rnacentral:lncRNA from 1 species
AUUUUAGUUAGUCACAUAUAUUUCCAAGAUGAAGGCCUUUCUUAUCGCAUGCUUUCUCUUAGCUACCAUCGUCUUCUCUCCCCUAUCCACUUGCACUGCUCGAGAAUUGGCCGAGCGAGGUGAGAUUUUAUUUCCAUCAUUAACUUCAGAAAACCAGUUCAUUUUGUGCGUGUGUGCGUGUAGUCUCUUUGUGUAUUGCAAACAAUUUUUUGUUAUAAAACUGAUGAGUCAACCUUUACUUCUACUUCCGGCAUUAAUUAACUGGAGAUAAUCAUUAAUUUCAUGUUUUGUAUGCAUAUAUUAUUUAAUUAUUCUGUCGUGGCCUAUCUUAUAUAUAAAAAGAUGAUUCUGCUAUAAUAUCAGAUUAUGUCAACAUGAAUCUUGCAGACGUAUCCCGGGGAGCUCUCAACCCCCAUAAACCAGUGUACGGUUGCGGAAGGGGUAAUCGAUAUUGCGUACCUAAAACACCAAGAGGUUGCCCAAAUCCUUACAAGCGUAAUUGUGGGCGCCAUUAAGAUUAGAAGAAAGCAAAGUUGAGUACUGCUUAAAAGUAUGGAGAGCUAUACUACUAUCUUUAUCAAUAUGUAAAAUGAUCAGAACUAUUUAUGUGAGAAAAAUAAGCAAAGUUCUCCAGUGGAUUAGAAGAAGCAAGCAAAGUUGUCUGCUUAAAAAGUAUGGACGGCUCAUCGUGUCUCUAUCAAUAUGUAAAAUGUUAUUUUGAUAUGGGAACUAUUUACGUGAGAAAAAUAAAUAGAGUUCUUAGUGAGUUUCAUGGUUUCUUUUGAGGUUUUAAUUUCGGUCACUAUGCAGUCCUGAUCUUUUGAGGUUUUAUUAAUGAAGGAAUCCAAAAUAAUAAUAAUAAUAAUAAUAGGAGUGAGAAAAUGGUGCUGGAUUACCCAUAAAAUACCUAGAAAUUGGUUGAGGAGGUUCAAAAAUACAAUAAUUAAAAUUUGACAGUAUAUUUUUAACUUGUGAGAGUCAUGUGACAAGAAAAAUUCAAUUGAGGAAGAAAAGUUCAAAAUCAGAUGUUUAUGGACUCAAUUAAAUUUUAUCUAAGGUUUAAUUGAAUUUAUGGAGGGUUUGAUUGCAAGAAAAAUUGAUUUUUAAAGUAAAUUUACGCUUUUAUUGGAAAAAAAGUUAAAGUUCUGGGGUCCAAUUAUAAUUUUGAAGAGUUGAUUUGGUCAAAUUAGGGGCUUAAUUACAUAAUUAUUGAAGUUUGAUGGCUAAUUAGGAACUUAAUUGAAACAAUCCGAAACCAAGGACCAAACCAGAAAAGGCGAUAACAUUAAGGGACCCAAUUACAAUGUUUCCGGGGUUUGAUUACACAAUUGCGAAACUUUCAAGGACCAAAUCAGAAGACUCCAAACGGCGCCGUUUCCUUUGAAGCACUAUUCACUGUCUUCUCAAACAUGGCAGCUGUGGCGUUAAAGGCAGGAGACGUUAGCAGCGAUAAUGGAGCCGCUUCAAUCAGGGGGCAUGUCUCACGCCACCAUGUACGGAAGCCUUUACUUUGUUGCCAGAAAACUUCUGCAUCCUCUGGCUAUAAAAGCCAGAGGAAGGAUCGAGCAAAGGGGAGAAAAAAAGGGAGGAGAAAGCAAGGAGACAGCAGAAAAAAAAAACAGGGUGGGAAAAAAGGAAAGAGAAAAGAACAGAGGGGAAAGGAGACGAGGAGGACGCAGACACACCAGAAAAAAAGAACAGGGAGAAUAAAGAAAGGAAACAGAGGGAUGCGCACUGGGUAGCACAGGGAGAAGGAAGCAGGGGAGAGGGACUGUUGAACCUCUUUCAAAACCGCAGGAUCCGUGAUCAAGCUCAGACGAAUUGGAAAAAAAACACGAAUACCAGUAGCAAGGAAAAACAGACGAAGAGGAAGAACCAGAGGAAAAGCAAACGAAACAGGGAAGAUAUAAAUCCAAAACAUGUUGCUGUCUUCGUCUUGCUUCCAGGUAACUCCAGCUUGGCAAAAUAAUGCACAAAAUACUGUGCACUUGGAAUUUAAUUACAUGGUGGCUGCAGCAAGCGUGCGUGACUUAUUCACGCACGCUGGCGGGUAGAAUCCAGCCGGGUCACUGGUUUGGGCCAAUGACCCGGCUAAGCCUGCUGGGUCCAGCCCAGCCACAUGGGCCGAGCUAGACCCAGCCCAAAAAAAUCCAAAAAUCUCUUCAAAAAAUUUAUGAUUUUCUCGUAUAUUUUUUACUGCAUUUUGAUCAAUAUUGGUUUGUAUUUUUAUAAUGUAAAGAUACAAAUCCGGUAUUAAAAUACUUGGUUUUCGUCAAAACACAAAAAAGUAAAAAAUAAAUAAAUAAUAUUUUGUUUUCAUGCAUACGGCCAAGUAUCUCAAAGAAAAAAAAAUCAUAUUUUCAUACAACAAAAAUUCAAAAAAUAGGUAUUAGUAUGCAUUUUGGCUUUAAUAACCAGUUUAUUAAAGUUACGAGAACUAGGCCAAAAUUUCAAAAAUUCAAAAAAAUUAUUUUGUUUUCUUUUAAUAUCUAGGGUUACGACCUUAUACGUAAGACGUAUUCCGGAUAUUAAAUUCUUUUGUUGAUGUUAGAAUGGUUAAGUUUCACCCGAUAAGAUAAGGAUCUCCUUAUCAAGGAGAACUUUUCUUAAAUCAUAGACGGACCAACAACUAGAAAACACGACAAGACCUUAGAUUUUAUCAGACAAUAAAACAAUGCAGUUUACCUUAGGUAGGGCGUAUUUGGGGUGCUAAUACCUUCCCUUUACGCAACCAGUCCCCGCACCCGAUCUCUGAGACCAAUUAGGAUUCCUAGUGACCAAAAUACUAGGUGGUGAGUCCCAUUCCAAUUUUUCCACUAAUAAAAGACAAGAAUUUCUUGUCUCCCCAUAUUUUCCAUAUUUUUAGAUAAUACAAAAUUUUGAGGGUGGAUGUUUUCGCCGCACACGUGCGACAAUUAAAGUGCCAAAGGAUACCAAUCGUCCCACCACUACCAGAAAAUUGAUAAAUACAAACAGAAAUACCGAGGAAAUAUUUUUGUCGGUGAAUUGCCGACGGAUUUUACCGAUGGAAAUAUUCCCUCGAAAUUUACCGAGGGAAUUACAAUGGGAAAAAUAAUUAAAACAAAGCAAAAAAAUGAUGACGUGCCAUUUUUACCAACGAAAUUACCGACGAAAUAAAAUCAUUGGUAAACUGUCAACACUAUUCAUCAUGUUAAUUACGAAUGGAAUCACAGAGGGAGCAUUUCGUCGGUAUUUUACAGAGAGCUUUAGAACUAUUCACUUCCCAAUUGCACUGUUAAUUACUGUUCUUUACAGAAAAAAUCACUGACGGAUUGAAAAGUCGUCGAUGUUAUUUGGUGGUUUUCUGAAAAAUUUAAAUUAAAUAUUACAAACGGAAUCACUGACGGAAUGAAAAGUUAUCGGUGAUAUUUGACGGUUUCUAAAAUGUUUUUAUUAAAUUCAAAAUUUAAAUUAAAUAUUAUAGACAGAAUCACCGACGGAAUGAUUAAAAAUAUUAAUAUUUAAUUAUCCAUAAGUAAAAUUAUCGGUAAACGCCCCAAUAAAAAGCCUAGAAUCUCUACAGACCCGUCUUCUUUCUUCUUCUUCUUCUUCUUUUUUUCUUCUCUCUCCUCAACUCCUUCUCUUCUCCUCCAUACUCAGGUAUGUCUUCUUCUUCUUCUUUUCUUCUGUUCUCUCCUCAACUCCUUCUCUUCUCCUCCAUACUCAAGUAUGUUUUCUUCUCCUUUCUUAUUUUUUCUUCUCAGUUUUUUUUAAUUAGUAUAGUUUACGAAUUUUUUUUUCUCUUCUUAGCUUCACUUGCAACUACAUUAAGGUAAAAAAAACAUUUCUUCUUUUUUCGUGUUUUUUUCACUAUAUUUGUUUUUUAUUUUAUUUGUAAUUGCUUUUUUCUUAAUAAUUGUAUGAAUUUUGUUGUAGGAUUCAUUUUUUCAUAUAAGAUCAAUUUUUAGUUGAUUUCUUUAUAGGAUUUUUAAACUUUUUUCAUAUGAAUUUUUUUAGUUGAAUUUAUUUUUUCACGUUAUUUAUUUGUUGCAAAUUUUUUUGAUUUGAUUUUCUUCCUUUUUCCAAGAAUUUUGAGUAUUAUAGACUGUUGAUUAAUAAUUAUUUUAUAUUUUUGUAAUAUAUAAUUUAUAUAUUUUUAAAUAAUUACCGAUGGAAUUACAUACGGUUUGUUUCCGAGGAAAUUACCGACGGAAUGAAAUAGUUUUUUUUUGCUUGCUUUUUUCGUUAGUAAAUCCAUCUGUAAUAAUAUUUUUUUAUUACCAACGGACUUACCGACGGACAAAAAAUUAUCAACGAAAGAUUAACCGAUGGAGACUUUCCGUCGGUGAUUUUGUCGGUGAGUUUUUUACCAAUGAAAUGGUAGUGCAAAUACUGACAGAAAAUUUCGUCGGUAAAUCUAAAGAUUUUGGUAGUGCACCUUAGAUGAGUGGUCUUACCAGUUGAAACGGUUUGAUGAAUUUGCUUCCAUACAAAUGUUAUAAGCUUGAGUAAUUUUCAUCGGUGUCAAGAACAACUAUUAGGUACUUUAUGGCUCCAAAAGCAAGUAAUUAUAUAAUCUUUAAGCCGCUUUUGGAUCAGUAGUUACUAGUAGAUUAUAUAAUCUUUAAGCUGCUUUUGGAUCAGUAGUUAGUAGUAUAUUGUCUCGCACUAUGAAUUAAUAUCAAAUUUAAAAAAAAUGUAAAAGAAAUAUUAAGAGUAUAGAUAAUGUUUUAAUAGCCUUGGAUCAAGUAGUCAUGUCAGAUUCAAGGCUCUUAGGUCUGAAAUGGCUCUUAGGUCUGAAAUGGUUGUCAAACCCAAGUAGCUUAGGUCUGGUGUGGUAGCUAGAUGCAAGGCGUUUGGGUCUGGCAAAAACGCUACACGCAAACUUAUUUUUCAUUUUUUUAUGCUAAAAACAUUAUUUUACUGUAUAUGAAAAUUGUAAAAACCUGAAAUGCCCUUUUUCGGCAGCCUAUCUUUUAUAUAUAUAUAUAUUUGAGGCAAAGAAGUAUUAUUACUAAUACGAAUAUUGUGAAAAGCCAAGAAAGUCAUUGGUUAACAAUUCUAAUUUUUAUUAACUCUAGGGGUUAAAGAGUACUUUAACUAUGUCCUAGGUGCCUUGGGUCUAGCAGCCUUGCUAGAUUGGCAUCUAGAUCUGCAACCAUGCCAGAUCGUGUUGGGGUCUGCCACACCCACGCAUGGGUCUGACAACCAUACUAGAUCCACGCACAACAAACAAAGUGGAUAAUUGUGUACUUUAGUUUUUAGGAGAGAAAAAAAAUAGAAGAAAAAACACAAACAAUCGAUCAUCAGCGGCAAUCCAACCAUUAUCUAGCUACACGCGCCAUACUAUGUGGAAGAGGGCACAACUAUAAACUUCCAAUUAGAUGGUCGUUAGCCAUAUUUGGCUACUAGAAAGUGUCAUAUAUGCCUCCUUAAUGGCGUGAGGAACACUGACCCACAGCUUUUCAAUUAAAAUAAUAAAUAUAUCAUGAAAAUACUAAAACGCCCCCAUGGUCCUCUUAAUUACACAAAUAUCCGUAUAAAAAUACCAAAAUACCCCCAAAUGCAAAGUUUUUUAUUUUAUUUUUUCUGAGGCUAAAAGCGUUAUAUGACUGUACUUGGAAAUUGAAAAAAUCCAAAUACCAUUGUAAUAGAAAAUCAAAGAAACAUCUCGUGAAAAUAUAAGAAAUUAAAAGUGAAACUACUGUUAUAAUCUACAAUAAAAAAUCUCUUAAUAUAUAGUGAUUUUCCGACAUCAUUUAGUUUUUGUUAUAAUUGAGCUGUUUUCGUGAAAAUAUUGGAAUUUAUAAAUAAUUUUUAUACAAGGUGUCUUAUAUCUAUGUAAGAAUGAGAAGUAUAAUUUAGGAUUAUCUGAGUGGUAUGGUUAUGUACUAAGUAAUCACAUCUAACAGACUUUCUUCUUUAACCAUGUUGAGCGCGAUAUGACAUGAACAGAGGAUGGUUACAUGAAUAUGCCUUUACGGGCCGUUUAUUUUAUUUUUAAUUUUAAAAAAAACUGUGUUUUAUGAUUUUUUUUAAAAAAAAUUAUUGCUUGAAAUUAAUUUUUUUAUGUUUUUAGAUCUGUUAAUAUUAAAAUUAAUUUUUAAAAAAUAAAAUAAAAAUAUUAUUUUUAUAUAUUUCUGAACGAAAAAUAUUUUUAAAAACAAUCGCUCUCACAUUUAUAAACAAUAUUUUAAUAUAUAAAAGACCUAGCAAGUUGGAUUAUAUUUUGACUUGGGGUAAUCCUCACAGUGUGGCUUGGUUAACCUAUAGGGUUUGGACAAUGCUUUCACUCAUUGUUAUUAAACCCGGCCCGGCGGGUCGACCAGGGACCCAGUCGACCUGGUAGCUGGACCGGUCCGGGUUUAAUAAAAGACUGGCUGGGGUAAUAGUCAGGCCAAACCCGGGUGACCCGGCGGGUCGAUCCAUGACCCGAGCGACCCGGGCGAACCCGGACGAGACCGGGUGUUUUUUUUUUUUCAAAUGUGAGAUUUCAAACCCAUUAGUAUAUAUACUUUAUGUUUCCAAGAAAAAAGUCAUGUUUUUUCAAUGUGGGAUAAAAAAACCUUUUGGUUUAAAUACUUCAACUUAAAAGAAUAACAUGGUAUCUUUUUAAUAUGGAAUUUGAAGCCCUUUCGUAUAUAUACUCUAUGUUCUCAUGAAAAAAGUUAUGUUUUUUCAAUGUGGAAUUUGAAACCCCUUAGUAUAUAUACUCUAUGUUCCCAAGAAAAAAAAUCAUGUUUUUUCAAUGUGAGAUAAAAAAACCUUUUGGUUUAAAUAUUUCAACUUAAAAGGAUAACAUAAUAUCUUUUCAAUGUGGAAUUUGAAGUCAUUUCGUAUAUAUACUCUAUGUUCUCAUAAAAGAAGUUAUGUUUUUUCAAUUUGAGAUUUGAAACCUAUUAGUAUAUAUACUCUAUGUUCCCAAGAAAAACGUUAUGUUUUUUCAAUGUGGGAUAAAAAAAAAUUUGGUUUAAAUACUUCAACUUAAAAGCUUAACAUAAUAUCUUUUUAAUGUGGGAUAAAAAACUUUUUAAAAUAUUAUUUUAAACUUCAUUGUUUACAAUAUGUGUAACCUAUAUUUACAUGGAUUUUUUUCAUAUGAAAUAUUAAAAUUUUAAUUUUUCCAGGUUGAUCCGGGUUAACCCGAGUUGACCCAUAAAACCUGAAACCCGGCCCUUUAACCGGCAACCCCAAGCUGAGUUUAAUAACUAUGCUUUCACCUUGGCAUCAACUCAGGAAGAGUAGACGAAGAUGCCUUUCGUCUAUAUUUGACUCGGAGUAUAGAUAAUUCUUUUGUAUUGACUUGGAGUCAACGUGCAUGGAAGCAAGUUGAGUAUUUAAGGAUCCAGAGAGGCGAUAUUUAUGUAGUAACGUCGCCUAGAAGUCUACAAUGGUGUACUAAGGAGGCUAAAAUUAACGUUGCUGGUAAUAUUAAGUAUAAACUAAAAUGUGUGAGUUUUUUUUACCGUGUAUUCAUAUAUUAUUAUGGAUUAAAUGUCUAAAAUCUUUAGUUUUUUUUUUCAAUUUGGUUUUUAAUUUAUUUAUUUUUGAUGAUUUAGUCCUAAUUGUGUAAAAUCUUUUUUAUUAGGUGGUUUUUUACCUUUAUACUUCAUGAAAAAAUAUAUAUAUAUAUAUAAACUCGGAUUGAUUUUUUGUUUUUGGUUGAUUUUGGUUUUUGAGACAGUUUUUUGAAGUCAAUGAUAGAUUUAUCACGGUUCCUAAAAUAUUUUAUAGGUAUUUUAAGUAAACAAUUUAAAAAUGGGUUUUUAAGUCAAAAAAGUUAAGCCCUGAUUUUUCAGCCAUUGUGGUGGCUGGAAUAUAAACAAAUCAAACAACUUGUUCUCUGAUUUUUUUUUCAAAAAAAAGUAGGACAAUGGACAUGCUACAAAAGAAAUAAGAGUCCAAUCACGGGGGCUUGCCAGUGCAGGCUCACUUAGGGAACCUAACAAAAUGGGCAAGGCGUCCGAACCCAACAAAGCUUGGCCUUUGUUUUUUUCUUGUAAAUUAUUAUUUCUUAAUUUUUUUAAAUGAAUGAUUUGUUUUGUUUUUUUCUCUAAUUUUUUUAUUUUUCAGAUUAUAUUUAUAACAUGUGUAACCGCGCAUCGUGUUUUUUUCCCCUUUUAUUCUAUUCAAUAAAUUUAAUUUGUGUUUCCAUUUUUAUUAUUAUUUUCUUUAAUAAAAAAUUAUCUUAAUAAAUAAAUUUAGCAAAUACAAUAAGAUAAAUUUCUUAUAUUUAAAGAUUAAAUAUCUUGAUGUAAACCUAAAUCUUAAUUUUCAAAGCUUUAUAAUUUUCGAAGCUUUAUACCUUAGAAAAUGAUACCUCAAUUUUGUACUUGCUAAAGCUUAAUUUUGACUCAAUUUAUAAAUAUCUUGACUCAAUUUUGUCACCGUGAGUCAACAGCUAGUCUUCAGCUUUAUUAAAGCAUAUAUACUAUUAUCUUCCAUCAUAUGUGGAUAGAAUGCACUCUUACUUUUCAAAGUUGGCUUAUUCAAUAGUGCGAAGUAUUUGAUACGUUCAUUAAUUAUCUUGGGCACGUGUGGAUAGAAUGCACUCUUACUUUUCAAAAAAAUAGUAUUUUGUGAUUUUUUGAAAAGAAUAUUGCUUGAAAUUAAUAUUUUUUAUUUUUAGAUUGUUGUGAUGUGUUAAUAUGAAAAAUAAUUUUUAAAAAUUUAAAAUAAAAAUAUUUUAUAUAUAUAUAUCUAAAUAAAAAAAUAUUUUUAAAAAUAAUAUGUAUAAUCUUAAUAUAUAAAAAGGACCCAUAAAAACACUAUCUUAAUAUAUAAAAAGGACCCAGCAAGCUGACAUAAACUUAGGAAGAGUAGACGAAGAUGCCUUUCGUCUAUAUUUGACUCGGAGUAUAGAUAAUUCUUUUGUAUUGACUUGGAGUCAACGUGCAUGGAAGCAAGUUGAGUAUUUAAGGAUCCAGAGAGGCGAUAUUUAUGUAGUAACGUCGCCUAGAAGUCUACAAUGGUGUACUAAGGAGGCUAAAAUUAACGUUGCUGGUAAUAUUAAGUAUAAACUAAAAUGUGUGAGUUUUUUUUACCGUGUAUUCAUAUAUUAUUAUGGAUUAAAUGUGUAAAAUCUUUAGUUUUUUUUUUCAAUUUGGUUUUUAAUUUUUUUUUGAUGAUUUAGUCCUGAUUGUGUAAAAUCUUCUCAAUUAGGUGUUUUUUUACCUUUAAAGUUCAUAAAAAACAUAUAUAAACUCGGAUUGAUUUUUAGUUUUGGGUUGAUUUUGGUUUUUAGAACGAUUUUUUGAGCUCAAUGAUAGAUUUAUCAUGGUUUAUAAGAUGUUUUGUAGGUAUUUUAAGUAAACAAUUGGUUGAAAAUGGGUUUUUGGGUCAAAAAAGUUAACCUGAUUUUCCAGCCAUUAUGGUGGCCGGAAUCUAAACAAAUCAAACGACUCGUCCUCCGAUUUUUUUUUCUAAACAAAAUUGGGACAGAAGACACAUUACACAAAAAAAAAAUAAGAGUCCAAUCACGGGGGGGCCUGCCAGUGCAGGCUCGCAUGUGGAACCAAACAAAAUGGGUGAGGCGUCCAAACUCAACACAGAGCCUGGCCUUUGUUUUUUUUUUUGUAAAUUAUUAUUUUUUAAUUUUUUUUAAAUUAAUGAUUUUUUUUCUCUAAUUGUUUUUUAUUUUUCAGAUUAUCAGAUUAUAUUUAUAAUAUGUGCAACCACGCUUGGUGUAUUUUUCUUCUUUUAUUCUAUUCAAUCAAUUUAAUUUGUGUCUCUAUUUUUAUUAUCAUUUUCUUUAAUAAAUAAAUUAUUUUGAUAAAUAAAUUUAGCAAAUAGAAUCAAAUAAAUUUCUUAUAUUUUAGAAUUAAAUAUCUACAUCAACACCUAACUCUUAAUUUUCAAAGCUUUAUAUUUUUCGAAGCUUUAUACCUUAGAAAAUGAUACCUCAAUUUUGUACUUAUGAACUAUGUUCUGCUUGGAAACCUCUGAAGGUGGAGCCUGUCACCGUGAGUCAACAGCUAGUCUUCAGCUUUAUUAAUGCAUAUUAUUAAUUAAAGCAUAUUAUUAUCUUCCUUCAUAUGUGGAUAGAAUCCACUCUUACUUUUCAAAGUUGGCUUAUUCAAUAGUGCGAAGUAUUUGAUACGUUCAUUAAUUAUCUUGGGCACCUGUGGACUUAAUUUCAAGAAUAGUUCCCUUCGAAUGCUGCUAAAAAUCAUGGUGGCUAUAAAUAGCUAGGAGCGGUGGAUAGGAGGAGAGCAUAAUCAUGUUAGUCGCAUAUAUUUCCAAGAUGAAGGCCUUUCUUAUCGUAUGCUUUCUCUUAGCUACCAUCGUCUUCUCUCCCCUGUCCACUUGCACUGCUCGAGAAUUGGCCGAGCGAGGUGAGAUUUUAUUUCCAACAUUAACUUCAAAAAAGCAGUUCAUUUUGUGUGUGUAAUCUCUGUGUACACGACCUUUUGUUAUAAAACUGAUGAGUCAACCUUUACUUCUACUUCCGGCAUUAAUUAAGUUAAGAUAAUCAUUAAUUUCAUGUUUUGUAUGUAUUUAUUGUUUAAUUAAUCUGUCGUGGGCUAUCUUAUAAAAAAAGAAGAAGAUGAUUCUGCUAUAAUAUCAGAUUAUGUCAACAUGAAUUUGCUGUAACAUGCGUGAAUCUUGCAGACGUAGGAACUCGGAACCCCAAUAAACCAGUGUUCAGUUGCGGAAGGGGUAAUCGAUAUUGCGUACCUGGCCCAUCACCAAAACGUAAAUGCACAAGUCCUUACCGGCGUGGUUGUGGGCGCCAUUAAGAUUAGAAGCAAGCAAAGUUGAGUGCUUAAAAGCAUGGAGAGCUUCUGCUGUCUUAGUCAAUAUGUAAAAUGAUGAGAACUAUUUAUGUGAGAAAAAUAAAUUAAGUUCUUAGUGAGUUAAUUUCAUGGUAUCUUUUGAGGUUUUUAUUUCGGUCAUUACGCAGUCCUCUUAUUUGUAAUCUCCCAUGAGAAUUAUUAAUGAAGUUUAAUUAUGCCAAACAAUAUGUUUAAUUACUUGUUUUUCCUCAAAUAUCAAGUUGAAAUCAAAUAUAUAUAUAUAUAUAUAUAUAUAGUAAAAUAAAAUAAAACUUAACUAGAGAGAGCAGAGUUUUAGCUAUAUAGGUUGUAGAUCAGGCCUCAGUCUAACUACAAAGAAGAAAAAAGAAGAAAAAUAAGGAAUAAACAGCCCAACUAAUGAAACAACAACACAAAAAUUCAAACAAAAUCAGAAUUUAAACGGAUCAAGCCGAAAUACAUUUAUGAUAGUUAUAUAGAUUCGCACAUGUAUACUAGAAUAAAAAAUUCAGAUUUCUGAUGGAAGCUACAGCAAAUAAAUUAGAACAAAUGUCAUAUAUUUCCAAGAUGAAGGCCUUUCUUAUCGCAUGCAUUCUCUUAGCUACCAUCGUCUUCUCUUCCCUAUCCACUUGCACUGCUCGAGAAUUGGCCGAGCGAGGUGAGAUUUUAUUUCCAUCAUUAACUUCAGAAAAACAGUUCAUUUUGUGCGUGUAGUCUCUUUGUGUAUUGCAAACAAUUUUUUGUUAUAAAACUGAUGAGUCAACCUUUACUUCUACUUCCAGCAUUAAUUAAGUUAAGAUAAUCAUUAAUUUCAUGUUUUGUAUGUAUAUAUUGUUUAAUUAUUCUGUCAUGGGCUAUCUUAUAAUAAUUAAAAAAAAAAAGGAUUCUGCUAUAAGAUCGUCGAUGGAAAGACAAUUGCAUUAGCGGUUCCAUCAAUGAUUAUUAACCACAACAAUUAGAUAGUUCAUAAUCAACCACAACCACGUAUUUACACAUCUACAAAAAUAAUAAAACUUAUACAAAUUUCAUGAUUCAUUUAAAUAUGGCUCACAACAAUGAGAUAAACAAAAAUUACCAUAACCCAUCUUUACCUUACAUACUAUAUAUGUUUGUCUUAAUAAUUAGAACACUAUAGCAUUUAACAGUUUUACCGACGAACUGUAUCCGUCGGUGUGAAAUUAACAUUUCGUCAGUAAUUAUUUUACCAACUAAAUCCCCAACAGAAUCCGUCCGUCGGCAUAGUUUUCGUCAGUAAUUCCACAUUAUGUCUCUAAUUCUAUCGGUAAAAAAAUGAAAUGCCAAUGAUUUUAUAGACGGAACAUGCACGCCAAAAAAAAAUUCUCGUUGGAAAUAUACCGACAAAAAUAAUCCGUCGGUGAUUGUAGCAUAUGAAGUAAAUAUUUUUCAACUCUCGGUGAAAUGCCGACAGACUGUAUUCGUCUGCAGAGACGUCGAUGAUUAUGGCAUUUGCAGUAAAUAUUUUGCAACUCUCGGUAAAAUACCGACGAAAUAUUUUUGUCUGUUAAGAUGUUGGUGAUUGUGGUAUUUCCAGUAAAUAUUUUUCAACUCUCUGUAAAAUACUGAUGAAAUGUUUUCGUCUGGAAAUCCAUCGGUGAUAUUUUUUAUUUUUUAAAAAAACAUUAUAUAGAAUAAAUAAUAUAAAUUAAUAGUAAAAAAACCAAUUAUGCAAAUAAAAUUGUAUUAAACAUAAUAAAAAUAAAAAUAAAAAUGAAGUUAAAUAAUAUUCAUAAUAAAUUUAAUGUGUUUCCAAAAAAAACUUAAACUAGAACAAUGGCGAAGCAAGAUGAGGAGGAGGUGGUGGAGGCUGGUCGUUCCCGGGACAAAACGGCCAAAAAGGAGGCGCACAUGUAUCAUCCAUUUGUGAUGUAAUUUUCAUGAGCAUUUGGCGGAGUUGUUUAUAAUUCACCAAGAGUUGCUCGUAUUUUUCGAUGAGAUGAGCUGUGUGUUGUUGCUAGGCCACGAUCUCCUUAGAUUGGGUGCUCAAUAUUGAUUGAGAGCUCCCAACAGUUGAAAUAUUAUGGGCCGCUCACAAGUUCUCGGCCGUAGUGUUGGAGAGCCUGUACACCCAAUUUUUAUCGGGUCUACCAGACGAUUCUACCUCCAUCCACAAAUUCAGAUUGAAAUCCAGAUGGGUCGAAGGAUCGUUCCCAUAUCUCUCCCUCAACUGGCUAUUAUAGGUCUCUUGAAAAGGAAAAAAGAAAUCAUCAUAUUCAAUUCAAGAAAAAUAAUAACUUAUGAAAUAAAAUAGUUGAACGAACAUACCACGAAGUGUUGAGUGUGGUUGUCAACGAACUGUUGCACCUUCUUUUGGCGGUCUUCACUCCGCAUGUGUGUCUCUAGAAAUAGCUUCAUUAGGCUCGACUCACAUCCAAGAGACAUAGCCUGUAAAAAAAAAAUUAAUUAAGUAAUGACAAAUUAAUUAACGAUAUAUUUCAUUUAAAUUAAUUUUACCAUUUGUUUUGCAUGUACAGCAAACAAAACGGAGCCGCCAUGUGGACCGGACUAUCGGUUCCGGUACCAAACUAUAUACAUUAAUAAACGUUGUCAUCAUUCAGGUGAUGCCUCUGCUAGAGAGGCAAUUAUACAUCAAGAAAUACUUGUAACGGGUGGUGAAUGAUUAAAUGAACUUUAGAAUUCUUUGCUUUGAUUACGUUCAAAAUGGCCCAAAGACCACAACUUGCUAUUAAUAGGUUGGGCUGAUGUGAAGUCAUGAUGACCCAACUUAAAUUUACUCGAUAUAAAGAAACAUUCACAUAUAUUUAAAAUUCAAAUUUAAUAAUAAACGAUAAAGUAAACACGACUAUAUAUACAUUUUUAAUUUUUUUCAUAAGCAAUUGAUGUUGAUGUUGCUACUACAAAGACAAUUAUAAGUCAAUAAAUACUUUUUUUAUUAUUAACAUAGGUGUUCGGGCCAGCUUGCGCGUACCUCGACUAAUUCCACGGGCCCUGAAGUUAACGACCAUGUAAGCCUCUAGUGGCCCUGAGGUUUGUGGGACUCAAACUGGUGACCUCUAGGGAGCAUCGUGUGAACCGCUUAGACGUCACGUGCUCAGUAUAUUACGGUUAUAUAUCCCUUGGGAUGUUUGGCGGUUUGAAAUCCUUCCAAACUGUCACGUCAUUUCAGCCUUGUAGACCGUUAUCUCUCGUGUAUUUUUUGGCCUUUUUUGUGCUAUAUACCAAAAAUCACGCAACCUACUUCCAUAGUGAUAAAUUAGAUUUUAAAACAAAAAUGUUUUUUUUUUAAUAUCGUAUUGUUUUCGAUGUUACCUAGUUGUUGCGUGAUUUUCCCACACCCUCCUCACAACAUUUUCAUGUACGUUUUUAAAAUUAAUCUAACAAAAUGGAGUUUGUUACUAAAUUAGUGGUUAAUGAUUUGCUGUGAAUCAAAUGAUUUUUUUUAAUGAUUUGUUAUAUCUAUAACAAAUGUCAAGAUGUUGUUUAUGUGUUUUUUAGGAAAACAAAUAUUGUGGAGUUGACUUGACUUGACCAAUACACUUUACAAAUCUAAAUAAUUGGUGAAAUAUAAUUUGGAUAAAAUAAUUUUAAGACGAUAUUAUUUUGUAUAUAAAUAUUAAAACAACAACAUAUUGAAUUGACUCGGCUUAACUUGCCAAAUUCGUGACUCGAGUCAUAAGGCUAUGAUAGCUCCAUUGAAAAUAAAUAAAAAUAAAUUAUAAAACUCAAUUCUCAAUCAACGUCAUGUUAUAGGAUAGAAUUGAAAAUAAAAUUAAUUAAAAAAAAGACAAAAUAAAAAAUCACAGUCAACCUAAAUUAACUCAUCAAAUUCACGACCCGAGUCAUGAGACUAAAAUAACCUCAUAGAUAGCAAAUCAAAUCAAAUUAUGAAGUCUAAUUCUCAAUCAACUCAAUGUUGAAAGAUGAAAUUAAAAAAAAAAAUCAAUUAAAAAAUGAUUCAAGAAGUCAACUCAGGUUAAUUUAUCAAGUUCGUAACCCUAAUUAUAAGAUUAUAAUAACCUCUUAGAAAACAAAUCAAAAUAAAUUAUAAAUUAUAUUCCCAAUAAAUCUAAUAUUAAAAGAUAAAAUUAAAAAAAAAAUCAAAGAACCGUUUCCUCCUCUUUUAAUUAGUUUUUAUUAAGUAUUUUCAUCCAUAUACAUGUGGAUGGAAUUGCACUCAUAUUUUUCAUAGCUGGCUUAUUCAAUAAUGCAAAGUAGUGGACACGUUCAUUAUUUGUUUUCUCUUAUGCGUAUGCGAACCUCCAUUAUUAGUUCACAUGCAAUGCUGCUAAGCAUGUUGGUGGCUAUAAAUAAGAGUGGCAGAGAAGAGGGAAUAACCAUCUUAAACACAAAUUAAUAUUUCCAACAUGAAGGCCUUUCUUAUCAUAGGCAUUCUUUUAGCUACCGUUGUCUUCUCUCUCCCUUCUCCACUUCCACUGCUCAGGAAUAUAAUUAAGGCCCAUAAAGGUGAACCCACCAUUUCUAUCUGCUAUCGAUUCCACUGAUCUUAUGAUUUAAGAGAUAAGCAUGUUCGUAGUUCAUGUUUUGUGUGUGUGUGUGUGUGUGUGUGUUAAGUAGUAUUAUAGAAUGUAUAGCAUGUAUAUCUCUGAAUAGGAAAUUAAUGUAGGAUUAUUCCAAUGUUGUAAUCCCUACGGUUACUAUCGUAUUCUGCCCUACAUAUAUAAAUAGGAAAGGUUGGCUAAGGCCAACCUAAGUCAUUCUGUUAUUCUCAACUAGUAGUUCAUAUAUGUAUUGUGUUUAUGUAUAAUACUGCAGCUAUGCCUGCUUUUGAAUGCAAGCAAAUAUUUGUUGCCAAAACUUUAUAUAUUUAAAUAGAUAUCUUACGAUCUUAUCUUAAUUGUAUACAAAAACCUUGCUUCAAGAUUACCCAACCAUGUUCAUGCUGCUCUCUUUUUACUUCCUUUGAUUUUUGGUCAUCGGGUUCCAUUUUCUUAUUUUCACUCCCUUUUUUUUUUUAUAUAUAUAUAAAUAUUACUUAAUUAUAUUUACUGAGUUUGUGAUAAUUCUCAUAACACGUGUAACAUACAUGUAAGUAAAUCUUUGCAGGUCAUAUGUGACGAUUGACCCUUCAAGAUACAUACCAUGCCGUAGCCGGCCUGAUGAUCCAAAUUGCAUCCCAAGGCGAAUCCCCGUACGGCCUUGUAAUCCUUACAAGCGAUAUUGUAAAAUCCCAUGAGAAUGGAAGUAAAGUUAAUUUUGUGCUUAAAAGUGUCGACCGACAGCUAGUAGUAUCUUUACUAACAUGGUAAUUUGAUAUGAGAACAUUUUAUGUAAGAAAAAUAAACUAUGAAGUUCUCAUAACAUGUCAACAACCAUGUAUUCUUAAAGCAUAUUAUUAUCUUCAAUAAUGCAAAGUAUUCAGUAAGCGGUAAUGCAACCCUAAAGCUUGCAGAAAACCUUACACCCUGGGUUAGAAGAGUAUGGAUGGCUAAUAGUGUCUUUAUCAUUAUAUAUGUAAAAUGUUAUUUGUAAAUGAGGACUAUAUAUUUAUGUGGGAAAUUUAAAAUAAAUAAAGUUCCCAUGAUCAGUGGAUGGAAGGAAACAUUUUGAGGUUUUAAUUUCUGUAAUAUUAAAGAAAGUUUAUGCCAAAUGAAGUGGUUAAUUAAUCUAAUUUCUUAUUGUGGUGCUUAUAUGGUAAAAUCAAUUAAAUAAAGUUGGAACUGGAUGCUUAUAUAUUAUUCAAGCAUUAAAAUUAAUUACGGGAGUGAUAAUUAAUGAUUGAUUUAUCUUUUGUUAGCUUAGGGAGGUAAACUUAAUCUCGACUUAUGAAAUAUGAUCCAAUAAUAAAAGUUUGACUCCUUCUUUUCUUUUCAAUUUUCUCUUAAUUUUUUUUUAAUUUUAAUGAAAGUUUCAUUGAAUUUCUUUUUCUUAGUUUCCCAUUUUGGUUCUACUUUGGUUUUUUUUUUUACAGUUUUUUAUGUUUUUCAAUAUUGUUUUAUUCCUUGAAUCGAGAUUUUGUAUCUUGAAGGGCACUUUAGUCAUCCUAUUGGAAAAUUUGUUGAGAUAUAAGGGUUAUAUAUGUUCUCUAUUUUAGGCCUUAGAAAAUGAUUGAAGAAAUAGACUAAUAAACUUAACUAUUCACGCAUGUGUGUGUGUAUGUGCUUACUGGUGAUUUUCCUUCGCACUAAAUUUAACUCUUCAAUCUAUUCACCACUUGAUAAAAGCAAGUCGAAAUACUAUUGACCCAAGCCAUUUUGAUGUCAACGUCCGUUGCUCUAGUAUGUUUGAAAACUUGAUGUAAAUUGUGUUUUUAUAAAAUUUUAAUUUAAAAAAAAACAAAAAAAAAACAAUGCAGAAACUAAAAAAAAGAGAAGGAACCAUCACCUACCACCACAACACCGCCAUCGUGAAUGACAGCACCUCACCUAGGUCAGCCUCUCCUCUUUUUCUUUUUUUUCUUCUCUUAGUUGCUUCAUUAUUCACGUUGUAUGUGAACAGUGAAGAGUUUCUCCAUUGUUUUUCUAGGCCGGACAGCGACGGCCCAGACCAAAUUAUUUUUUUUCACACGACUUGUCAUCUGAUUUUUUUCAAAAUAAAUUUGGGCGAAUGACAUGUUAUUUGACCUAGUUACAAAAAAAAAAAUAAGGGCCUAGACACGUGGGCUUGCAAGGGCAGGCUCGUGUGUGGGCCCUAACAAAAUAGGUUUUUUUAAUCUUUUGUAUGAAUGAACUUUUUGAAAAAAAAAAUUUCUAAUUUUGUUUUAAAUUAAUGAUUUUUUAUGGUUUUUUCUCUAAAAAAUUUUAAUUUAUAUUUAGAUUAGUAGCCCUUCUUUCUUUCAUUUUAUUUAGAGAGCCUCUUUUAAAUUACAAUUAAUUUUUUGGUUAUGCAUUUAAAUUUGAAAAGUUUUUUUAUUCAUCUACAAUAUUUUUUUUAAUCUUUUGUAUGAAUGAACUUUAGUUUUGAAAAUAAAAAAUAAAUAUUUUCAAAUAAUAUUUCUAACAUGUGCAGUCACGCAUGAUUUUUUUUCUCUUUUAUUUUAUUCAAUCAAUUUAAUUUGUUUUUUUAUUUCUAUUAUCAUUUUCUUGAAUAAAAAAAUUAUUUUAAUAAAUAAAUUUAGCAAACACAGUAGGGUAAAUAUCUCGUGUUUUGAGACUAAAUAUUUUGAUUUACACCUAUCUCUUGAUUUUUAAGUUUUAUACUUUUCGAAGUUUUACACAUAAAAUUUGUCAAGUUUUGCUCAUGUAGAUACAAUUGCAUUCAUACUUUUCGAAGUUACAAUUAACUCUAUUUUUUUGUGGUAGAUUCAAUAUGAGGUGGUAAGUUUUUUGAUAAUCAUGUGUGCCUUUGCGUAAAACGUUGUUACUAAUUAAUUGGGGAGGUGAAAUAGCAAAGGAAUUAAAGCACAUAACUGCAGUAAUCAUACUUUUUACAAUAACCCGGCAUCCGUUUACUAUGGUAUAUUACAUGCAUGCACUAAAUUAACCUAACACGCUAUGUUUUGCUUAGAGACCUCUGAAGGUGGAACCUGUCACCGUUAGUCAACCAGCUAGUCUCGGCCUUUUAUCGUCUUCCAUGCAUUUUUAAGCUUAAGGUCCACGAUGAAAUUUCAGUGCAGUGUCACAAUACCUUAGAAAAUGAUACCUCAAUUUUGUACUUGUCAACUAUGUUUUGCUUAGAAACCUCUGAAGGUGGAGCCGGUCACCGUGAAUCAACAGCUAGUCUUCAGCUUUACUGUCUUCCAAAUAUUUAAUAAAGCAUAUUAUUAUCUUCCAUCAUAUGUGGAUAGAAUCCACUCUUACUUUUCAAAGGUAGCUUAGUCAAUAAUGCGAAGUAUUUGAUACGUUCGUUAAUUAUCUUGGGCACGGGAGGAAUAGUUCCCUUAUCAACUAUGAUACCUCAAUUUUGUACUUAUCAACUAUGUUUUGCCUGGAAACCUCUGAAGGUGGAGCCUGUCACCGUGAGUCAACAACUAGUUUUCAGCUUUACUAAUGCUGAGUAUCUUCUUCCAUGUAUUAUUAAAGCAUAUUAUUAUCUUCCAUCAUAUGCGUGGAUAGAAUCCACUCUUACUUUUCAAAGGUGGCCUGGUCAAUAAUGCGAAGUAUUUGAUACGUUCGUUAAUUAUCUUGGGCACGGGAGGAAUGGUUCCCUUGGAAUGCUGCUAAAAAUCAUGGUGGCUAUAAAUAGCUAGGAGCGGUGGAUAGGAGGAGAGCAUAACCAUUUUAGUUAGUCACAUAGAUUUCCAAGAUGAAGGCCUUUCUUAUCGCAUGCAUUCUCUUAGCUACCAUCGUCUUCUCUCCCCUGUCCAGUUGCACUGCUCGAGAAUUGGCCGAGCAAGGUGAGAUUUUAUUUCCAUCAUUAACUUCAGAAAAGCAGUUCAUUUUGUGUGUAAUCUCUGUGUACGCCGGCUUUUUUCAUGCACACAACUUUUUGUAAUUAUAAAACUGAUGAGUCAACCUUUACUUUUACUUCCAGCAUUUUAAUUAACUUAAGAUAAUCAUUUCAUGUUAUAUGUUAUUUAAUUAAUCUGUCGUGGGCUAUCUUAUAAAAAAAAAUGAUUUUCAAAGGUGGUAACUCCAUUUAAAAGGUAAGAAGAAAAUUAACUAGGUCUUUUUCAAAGUCAUUGUAAGACCUAAUAUUGCUUGGGAUUUUCCAAAGGCUUUGUAGAAAAAGCCCUUAAUUCUAUUAAUUAAAAACCUUUCACCUGUAUUUUGAUACUUGUUUAAUAAUUGCCAUGAUUCAAUUCGCUGUUAUCUUAACAAGCUAACGUGUGUAUACAUGUGUGCAAAUCUUUCAGCUAUACCCAGCCCAGGUCUUAACCCAGGCAAUGUUCCAUUCAAUUGCGGUAGGGGUAAGCGAUAUUGCGUACCUAGCCAACCACCAAAACGUUGCCCUCCUUACAAGCGUAAUUGUUAGAAGCAAGCAAAGUUGAGUGCUUAGAAGUAUGGAGAGCUUCUGCUGUCUUUAUCAAUAUGUAAAAUGAUGAGAACUAUUUAUGUGAGAAAAAUAAAUAAAGUUCUCCAGUGGAUUAGAAGAAGCAAGCAAGGUUGUGUGCUUAAAAAGUAUGGACGGCUCAUAGUGUCUUUAUCAAUAUGUAAAAUGUUAUGUUGAUAUGGGAACUAUUUAUGUGAGAAAAAUAAAUGAAGUUCUUAGUGAGUUUCAUGGUAUCUUUUGAGAAUUAUUAUAUGAAGUUUAAUUAUGCCAAACAAAAUUAAUGCUUAAUUUAACGUUUUUUCAUGUAAAAAUCAGUUUGAAAAUUAGAUUGAAUCAUAAAAACAAACACUCUCUGAAGCUUUAAUACCAUAUCAUCUUAACUUCAAAGCUUAAGUUUCUACAUAAAACUUUAAAGCUUCAGUUUCUCUUUUAUCUCUCAAAACCAUGUUCAAACUAUUAUUUUCUAUUUGUCUGUACUGUUGCUGUUUGGUUGCCUAGAAAAAAUGGGACAGGUUAAAAAAAUUUGAAGCAUGGUAAACUGCACAGCCCUUGUUUGAGUGGGGUUUUGUCCUUUAAUUUUGUCAAAUGACAUGGAGAAGAAAGUGAUUUCAUAAUUUAUAAAGAAUCUCACUAUUAUUUUUUAUUUUAUUUUCAAUUAAUGCAAUACUCAUCGAACAUGUCUCUUCGGGCUGUAGAAAAUAGUUUCAAAUGAAAUCCUUUUAUUUCAAGUCAUGGGCCAUUAAGAAGAACCCGAUUUAAGGCUUUCAAAGCCUGUUAUCGAAGAGGAUGGAAGAACUCGCAUUUGUUAUGAAUGUUAAAUAAAAUUCAAAAAGAAUUCGUGUCAGAUUAGUUAAUUAUUUUUUUUAUUUUACUAGUUAGUUAGAAUUCUUAUUAGAUUUUGAUAAUUAGAGGUGUAAUCUCUUCUCUUUAUAUGUAUUCAAGAAUUUUAAGAGUAAUAAAUAUAUAAAUUAGACAAGGGAGGUUCAAAAUACUAUCAGAGCUUAGGAAAAAUCAGAGAGCAUAUACGCAGCAGAAAAAUACAUCUCUUUGACGAAGAUCUCAGCAGCAGCAGCAAAUUAUCGUCGCAGCAGCGAGAUAUUACGAACUAUCAGUACGUAGUUUCUUUUUCCGUAGCAGUAUCUUGUACCAGCUGACAGCAACAGCGUUCUACAGCAGAACACCAAGUAACAGCUGUUACGUUCCUAGAGAUAGCAGCAACAAAACAAAAAACCCAAGAGAUAGCAGCCGUUAUGUUCCAACAGCUGUUUAGAGAAGCUUGUAGCAGACUCAGCUGCUGUCCAGUUGAAGCAGCACGUAACUGCAGUUUAGAACAUGCUCCCAGCAGCAGCUUCAAAACAACUCAUCAUAAGUUCAAAACAAUAGCUUACACGCUAGCAGCAGCUUCUUGAAUUAACAGCAAAGUUUUUUCAGUUUUAAAUUCUGCAGCCCUCAAAUCACGAGCAGUAACAUCAAAUAAGUAGCAGUUUCAUAUGUUAUAUAUUGUUGAAUCAAUCCCACGUUAUUGAUGUUAGGAUAUUGCUAUUUUGUGGCAAUACCCCACCACCAGGCAAGUGGAAGCACCACUGGUGCCACAAUUAGUGGCAUGCUUUAAGGCUUUAUUGGCCCCUCCAUGUUGACCAUAUUUGCCUAUAAAAGAGGUAUAUUUGUGAGAGCAAAAUGAGAGGGUUGAGAGAGACAACGUGAGUGUGUAAAGAGAAUAGAGAGAAAGGGAGAAGAGCUGCAAUGGCAGCAACUGCAACAGAAGUGAGCUGGGAGUUGAGUAAAGUGGAUGUAAUCCUCCUCCUCCAUGUAUUUAUUGUAUCCUUUCUCUAUCUCUAAUAAAAUGAACCUCUCCCGUGGAUGUAGGCGAUUUGCCGAACCACAUAAAAUAUUGUGUCAGUGUGCUUAGCCUCCAAUGGGCAACUAUCAGAACAUCACCGGUUGGAAUCCCCCAACAAUUGGUAUCAGAGCACAUGGUUUAAAGGGGUGUUUGAUUUUGCUCAAAAAUUAAAGUUGUCAAAAUUGUGUUUUGACCAUACCACUGUGUAGACGAGGAAUAGACGAAGCCACUGGUAAAAACCGCGUCAAAAUUGGACGUCGGAACAGUCCUCACGCACCGUCACGUGCCGGCGAGGUGACUGCCCACGCGCACAGACUCGCGCCACGUGUCACACGCGUCUUCUUCACCCGGAUGAGCUGACCCAACCCGAAUACCAGAUGACCCGACCCACGUGCCAGACCCGGAUGAGUAUGACGUCAUCAUGUCCAGUUGGCAUGCCAUGUCAGCGACCAGUCACCUGACACGUCAGCACAGUGGGACUCACCUGCCACGUCAUCAGCCUCGAGCCGAGUUGAGCCGAGCCGUUUGUGAGCCGAGCCAAGCCGCGAGCCGAUGGAGAAGAUUCUGUGCAACGGAGUAUACGUGCAACCGGAUCUGAGAUUGAAUCUGGGCCGCUAAUCAAGCCAGAAUUAUUUUGAUCAAAUCCUAACUGUCUGAAAUGCAAUUUGGAUGAUUUCAGACUUGUUUCCAGCUAAUUUGAUCGUUCCGAAUGCAAUGGUACGGUCCGACCGUUGAGAUUUGAGACCAAAAAUGGCAGUGGUGAAUUAAGAGAGAUUGCGCGAUCAAGAGGCAGCUGAAGGGCAUCGUGGUGGUCGAUGGAGAUGAAGAAGAAGAAGGUGCACAUGUUUACCCAAUUACAUGUGCUGAAUUGAUUAGUGGGAAUAUUUUUUUUAGUUGCCUUGAAAAAAGGCAAAAUUGGGACACUCUGGACACCCGAUCAAGUGGACAAUUAGAGGUGUAUAGUGAAAAUUGAUGAAGACCAAUCUUGACGAAUCUAAGCACUGGUAGUCUCGCCAGAUGUUGAGAAAUGAUGUAUUAAACCAGUAUAUUCCAGAUCACUUGUAAAUGAAAGCCGCAACAAAGCUAGCAAAUGGUUGUAUAUACAGAAAGACAGUACGAUGGAUAGAUAUAGCCUAAGAAGUUCUGUCUAGGAGAUUGAGUUUUAAACGGGACCAGUGUGACCCCUCCAAUCUUUCCUGGGAACUUGCUUAGUGGAAGGAUUAUCCAUACGGUACUAUUUUCGUAUAUAUAGCAGUUUGUAAUGAAACGGUUGAAGACUAGCAGGAUGACGGCACAAGAGAACAGUUGGGUUCUGUAUGUUCAAGGAUCUGAUGGAGUGGUGAUUUCUCCAAAAAGGUUAGAUUCGAUGACUAUGAUUUCUCGAAGGGAAAAAUUAAUGAAGACCCUGAUAAUGGAAGAGAAAUACAGCAAGGGGAAAAAGAUUGGCACCCUAUUUUGACUUGGACAGGUGUUAUGACAGGAUGAGCUGCUGUCAAACAUAAGCAAGAAUAGGGAGAAAUCUGGAGAACAGAAAUUGCACGAGAGCACACGGAGAUUGUGCAGGAGUACCCGUAGGAUCCAACAAGGUACUGGAAUGAGACAACAUAUGCAAGGAGAAGAAGUGUUCCCAGAUGAAGCUCAGAGCAGAGACUGUUAAAGUUUGUACAACAAGAAGUCUCUUAUGCUCUUGAUGAAGACAACAUGCGAAGAACUUUCCAAUGCAUGCAAGGAUGGAAAGAGAGCUGUUGCAGAGGCACCUAAUUGAGGGGGUGCAAACGCCUGUGAUAAAAGGUGACCGCUUAUGAUGAAAGGCGAAGACACCAAAGAGAGUUGGUGUAGGUGGAGCUGUCAAGCAGAAAAGCGUAGAAGCUCCAAACAUAGAAAUCAAGGUGGAGGAUUGCGAGGAGUAUACCGCAACUUUCUCUUUCUAUGUAGUCAGUGGCAGUAAUCUCUCUCAUAGUGCACAUGGUGGUAGAGAAUUUUGGAGCCACUUUGAAGCAUUUCAGCUGAAGGAGGAUGCGACCGCCCCAUGACAACGGGCGAAGACACCUUAGAGAAUGUGUGAGGGCCUUGAUAUGAGCCCAAGAUCAGACCGCCCCAUGACAACGGGUGAAGACACCUUAGAGAAGGUGUGAGGGCCGCGAUAGGAGCCCCAUUUCAGACCGCCGCAUGACGACGAGCGGAGACACCUGAGGAGAAGGUGUGUGGGCCACGAUAUGAGCCCAGUUCAGAACGCCCCAAAGCCGAUGUGAUGGCUAGAUACAAGUGGACAAGUGUAUGGAUAGCCAAUGAAGUGGCUAUGAUGAGUAUAGAGACAAAUACAGGAUUGACUUUCAUGGAUAUUGCCCCCAUGCUAAAGAUCAAUGAGCUAGAAGACAUUUGCCUUAGAUAAUAAGUGGGUGACUUGUGGAGCAUUAAGACGCGGUUCCGGGAACAAGUUGACUCUUGUCAAGGUGGUGAGCUCGGUAAUGGCAUUGUAAUACUCAGAGUAUGAAGAUAGAUAUGGAUCAACCUUUAAUAGGCUGCCCUCAUGGUUAAAGGUGGAGAGCUACCUGGACUCUUAGGACUAAGAGCGAGAGACUCACGGAGAAGUAAGGCGUGGUUUCUAGGGUGGAACAGAGGGCAGGCGCAACUCCUGGAUGAGUAGACUCUUGGAAGAGUGGUGAGCUUGUGAUCACACUGAGAUACUCAGAUAAUGACUGUCGCGCUUGGGAAUAUUCCGUUUGAGGGGGUGUUGUAAGUCUUGGUGUAAGGCUUGAAAAAUCAUUCCGGACCAAGCAUGAUUGAUACACUCGAAGGGGAAUGUUGUGUUGAAGAUGCUCUCAAAAUGAUAAGCUUAGAAGAGCUGCAGAGUGCAAGCUUGUGCUGAAGAAGCAAGAGGACAAUUGUCCACACAAAUGGCAAAGGGGGUAAUUGUUAGGAUAUUGCUAUUUUGUGGCAAUACCCCACCACCAAGCAAGUGGAAGCACCACUAGUGCCACAAUUAGUGGCAUGCUUUAAGGCUUUAUUGGCCCCUCCAUGUUGAUCAUAUUUGCCUAUAAAAGAGGCAUAUUUGUGAGAGCAAAAUGAGAGGGUUGAGAGAGACAACGUGAGUGUGUGAAGAGAAUAGAGAGAAAGGGAGAAGAGCUGCGAUGGCAGCAGCCCUGCUGCCAUUGCAGCAGCUGCAACAGAAGUGAGCUGAGAGUUGAGUAGAGUGGAUGUAAUCCUCCUUCUCUAUGUAUUUAUUGUAUCCUUUCUCUAUCUCUAAGAAAAUGAACCUCUCCCGUGGAUGUAGGCGAUUUGCCGAACCACGUAAAAUAUUGUGUCAGUGUGCUUAGCCUCCAAUAGGCAACUAUCAGAACAUCACCGGUUGAAAUCCCCCAACAAUUGAAUCCCAGCAGCUCCCAACAGCAAUUGUAGAUACUUAUUGUUUUUAGAUACUUAACGGCCUUGGCAGCAGCUCAAUCCAUAACACAAUUUAUUCCAGUGGAAGUGUUUUAAAAAAUUCAGCAUUUACAUUUGAAGGGCAUGUUUCUAUAUCAUUGAUCAACCUAUAUAUGAGAAUCUAUAUAUAGUUGUACGCAGGGUUAUGGGUCGGCCUGGUUUUAUCACUUCGGUAUUUAUAUUUGAAGGGCAUGUUUCUAUAUCAUUGAUCAAACUAUAUAUGGUUGUAGUACCCUUGUUUCUGUCUAUGAUUGUUUGAUAGACAUAAAAUGUUCUAUGCCUAUUGAUUUGUGAGUUUUAUUGGCAGCUAUAUAUUUGGUUGCAGAGAACAGAAUCCUGAAAAUUAACUUUAAUCAUGUUAGAAGUGCUCCGCCAGCAGUAAAGGUUUUCUUUGGCCCUGAAAAGUUCAAGCUAGUGCAGGCGUUAUCAUAGGUCUUGCAGCGAGUACACUGAGUUCGUCUGUAUUAAUCAAUAUUAAGAACCGAGGACUAUUUGCUUAUAAGAUGAAUGGGAAGCUACACUGGAUUGCUGGAGCUGUGCUUUUUCGGUAUGGAUACAGUUAAGAAAUGUUAUCAAUCAAGAAUUGUUGUACAAUAGUAAUAUCAUUGUAUAAAAACUCUGAAAAUUUUGAUUUCUUAUGUAUGAAGUUUUAUUUUUCGUUUUUAUGACUCUAGUUUUUCUGAAAAUUGGAGUAUUACUAGACAGCUCUUUUGUAGAUGCAUUUUUUUUUAUGUCAUGAAAAAGACAACGGUGCCAGCUAAAUUAUGUAAUGGCUGCAUGCAGAUAGCAUAUCCAUCAGGAGUGGAAGGCUUUCAAACUCAACUUCUUAAAAUUCAGGACAACAUACCAAUCUGUGCUUCAAUACUGUCUCAGCACCUUGCUCUCUAUUCCUUAGAAAUGGGACCUGAAUGGGUGAACGAUCAAGUGAAAGAUCUCGUCAAGAAUAGGGAUAUAAUUCUGGAAGCACUCUCCCCUCUGGGCGAAGGUUCCGUGAAGGGUGGAGAAGGAGCAAUUUACCUAUGGGCAAAGCUUCCAGAGCAAUACGUGGACGAUGAUAAAGUUGUUCGCUGGCUUGCUAAAGUUGUUCGCUGGAUUGCUGGAGCUGUUCUUUUAGUUCAAAUCCUGUGGUUGAUCGAUGUGAGGCUAGUCUAUAUGUAAGGCUCACUACACCAUUUUACAGCUUUAGAGCAACAUUUCUUCACAGUGUUUACACUGAUAGUAUUUCGCAGCUCUCAGAAAUGCUUCACACGUUACAACUUCCUUGCCAAAGUUACUUUCUCACUUUAGUAGCUAGCAGAGCUGCAUUUAGAUGUUAAAUUUUCGACUUUCUUUGAUUUGAAACACAUUCCAAGCUUUCUUUCCUUCUUUUCUAACGUAUGCAGUUGGGAUCAGCCCAUUCUGCGCACAUCUUGAGCUCACGGACAUGCGUCUAUUGUUUUGCAUUCGCAGAUUUCGAAUACUGCAGCAGAAAAUAGAGAUAGUUAUGUGAUGCAGGAGAAGUUAGGUUAAAUAUAUCUUGUCAUUGUAUCUUAUGUCCUCUCGUGCAUUAUAUGAACACAAUACAUAAACAAAUGAGUCUUCAAUAAACUAUAUAAGAUUUCUCGUAAUUUAUGUAAUAUUUCGAAUAAUCUUAAUAAACAUAAGUCAAAAAUUAAAUAAAGAAACUCCUAUUAUUUCAUAUACUAUUUAUUUUCCAUGUACUAGGUGUUUUGAUAAUUGUUUGAAUCUCAUUAAUUACAUUUAUUAAAAAAUAUAUAUAUAUAAUAAACAUAUCCACUGUUAUCAUUUUAAAUAAUAAUAUUUCAUCACCUUAUCAUAUAUACAUCCUCGUACCGUUCAAUACUAGAAAUGUGACUCGUAAAUAAAUUACAAAUUAUAAUUUUAUCACCUUUUAUACUAAAAGGCUACGAAAACUACUGUCAUUACUUAUAAAAUGGAGAAACACUGGUAAUUGAAAAUCCGAAAUAAGAGAGAGAUUAAAAUUAAUUUAUAAUUUUAUGGACGGUAUAUAGAAUAAAUUAAUAUUAUUAUUAAAAAAAAAACAAAAUAACACAGUUAUUAUACCAAAAUAAAUAUAUAUCCUCCAAACUUUCCUUUCCAUUAGUCCCACAACAUGUACAUGUUAUCCCGUCAUAAAGCACAUGAUCAACGGCUUCCAUUAGUUUUCUUAUUUUUAUUUUUCUAUAUAAUAUUAAUAGGAUUCUUUAGUUUUUUAUAUAUAUAAAAAAGAUUAUAAUAGUCUUUUUAACCGUUAAUAUUUUGAAUAUCUUUCUAUAAUCAUGAUCUUCUUAAUUUUUUAAAAUUCUUAUGGGUCAAUAUCCAUAAAUGUAUUAGAGAUCCACGAUAGAAUAACCCAUAAAAAAAUAUAAGAAACCCAUGAUAUGGCAUCCCACAAAAAGAUGUUAAGGAUCUAUGAUGGAAAAAGUAUUAGAGAUUCAUGAUAAGUGGUCCAUGAAUAAAAGAAUCAUUAGUUUUUUUUACUCAUGAGGUUUUGCUCAAAGAAUGUUAUGUUAGUUGUUUUCAUGGUGGAUGACAGUUUCUAACUAAAUAAGUUAUCUCUAAUAAACAAUUUGAACUAAAUGAUAAGUUUCUUCUAAUACACGGAGAAUCUUAUAAUAUAUAUAUAUAUAUAUAUAUAUAUAUAUAUAUAUAUAUAUAUAUAUAUAUAUAUAUUAUUUUAUUUUAGUCAGGGAAUUUUAUUUUUAAAUGCUUUUCUAUUUUUUCUAUUUCUGGCUAAAGAGACCAUUGAGAACGAGUUCUAGAAAGAUUGAUAGAGAAGUUUUUAGAAAAAAUAAUUAUUUUAUUUAAUUAUUUUUAUUUCUUCCUUUUUAGUUUAGGAAAUUUAUUUUUUAUUUUAUUUUCCUAUUAAAUAAUAUUAUGCUUUUCUAGUUUUUCUAUUUGAAGAAAAUAGUUUCUUAUUUUUAUUUUUUUAUUUGAUAUUAAUAGGGUUUUCUAGUUUUUUCUCUAUAAAGAGUUGUAAUACUUUUUGGCAAGUUAGACCUGGAGAAAUAAAAAUUAAAUAUUAAUUAUUUGAUCUUAUAAUUUUUCUAUGUAAUUUUAUAAUUAUAUUUCAAUUAAUAAAAACUAAUAUUCAAAAUUGCAUCAAUAUGAAAUGAAAAGGAUUAACUAUCAAACAUGGAAUAAUGUGGUUUUUUAAUUAAUAUUAUGAAUUCAUUUACUAAAAUUACAAAUCCUUUGAAUAUAGAUUUCUUGAUCACCAUUUCAUUAUCAAUUAUUGCCUUCUUCCCAUUUUUAACCAUUCUAAUGAGAUUUUCAUGUGAUAUAAAAAAUUAAGUGUAUUUUAGGUUUUUUAUUUAUCAAAAUCAAAUAUAUUCAUAAAAUUAUUUGAAAUUAAAAGUAAAAUCACACAUGAUAUUAAAUAUUAAAAAAUACAUAUUAAAAUUUUUAAAAUUAAUUUUUAUUUAAUUCACCUAAAUUUUUAAAAUUAAUCAAAAUAUCAAAACUAAUUUUAUAAGCUUACCCCGCAGCAGCAACACGUAUCUUCUCCAUCGAACGAAGGGGAAGGAGUGUAUCAUACACCUUGACGUACCACAGCAUUGUCUCUCUCCGUGUCCAAUAAUUAGUUAAGGAAAGGGAAGGAAAAUAAAAAAAGGCGGCUCAUUUCGUAGAAACCGAAAAUCGAAAAACAGAUCCAAAAUUCUGUUCGCUCCAGCUUCUGCCUUCGUCUGCUGGUUAUUCGCUCGUGUGUCACUAAACCAAGUCUCACUUCCAGAACCUUCUCUCUCUCUUCGUUUCCUGUUUGGUUCCUGAGAAAAUUCAGGUAAGUAAAAAGAAAACAACAAUUACUCACUAUCUCUCCUUUUUGGUCUAUUUUUCCUUCCGUUUUAAAUUACCUCGCUAACUUCUUUUAAAGAUGAUUAAUUUGCAUUUGUUGUUUUGUGGUUUGUUUUGCAUUAGUUAUUUUGUUAAUUAGAGUGUUGCUGUUGUUUUUUUUUCUCUAAGAGAUUAGAAAUUUGCUGAUUGAUAAUUGCUAGUAAGUUUUUUUAAGCGCCUAAUUUUAUUUUCUUUAGUUGCUUUAAUCAAGAAUCUUUUUUUUUAUAUGUGAAUUUAGAUUAUCAUUAUUGUUAUUAGUUAGAUUAGUUGGGAUGAGCUAUUUUUGGUGGUUUUAAUCGUUUUUUCUUUUCCUAAUCUUCUGGUUUUGACGAUUAUUUUAUAGAUGAAAUUGUUAUUUUGUGUAGUGUAAAUACAAUAUGAUAGUUAUUAACAUAAGCAUUUGAUAUGAAAAGGUGCUUCUAUGAACACUCAAUUAGGGUUUUAUUCUUCUAUUUUUUUAAGUUAGAAACUUAGAAGACUGAUUAUUUUUUUAAGGUGGUAAAUAUUGGUUUUCUUUUUAAGUAACUAGGGUUUGUCAUAUGCAGGGUAGUUGAGGAGGCUUGGUUAGUGGACUUGCUAGAAGUGAAGCUCCUUUUAAAUUUGAGUAUGGAAACAGAUGAUAUGAUUGGCCUCCCUGGUUCUAUUGAUUUUGGAUAUAAAAAUGAGAAUGAUGAGCUUUCCAAGUCUGAUUUUGGGCCAAGUGAAUCUCGCUCUCAACCAUGUAGUAAUGAUGGUAAAGAAAGUAAGGAUGAUAAAGAGGGUUUGGGGCUCUGUGAAGGUGUGGUUGGAAAUGAAGAAGGUAUAGUCGAUCCAGGGUGUUCAGGGCUUAAUGUAGGUGAUACUGGAACUGAAGAAGCUGCAACAGAUCAGAGUAAUUUGGUGCUUGAGGAACGUGAUAUUGGAUCUAAAGGUGUCCAGUUUGCAGUGGAAACAGAGGCUGACAUGGAUUUGGUAGUUUCUCCUGUCAGACAAGUGAAUCUUGAUGUGGUUGAUGCUGUUAUAGUUUCCAAGAAGCCAGAUAUUUCCAGCAUCAUAGGGAACGUUGAGGACUGUUUCCUUGAUACACAAAAUAAUAGUCUUGUCCAACAAGGCAAGGUGGAUGGCAGUCGUAUCCUUUCUUAACCUCUGAUAACUUAAUCAUUUAUUGUAAAUUCUCCUACUCAACUCUAAAUGAACCCAUUAGAUUUAGAUCAUAAUUCCAAAAAAGCUUCUUAUUCAGAAAUAAAUGCAUCAAACAACUUUAAUAAGUCAAUCUCAAUUUGAGGAAUGCUAUAUCCAUGACAAUCACCUUUUUAGUUGCAGUUUAUUCUGAUUUCCUCCCCUUUCUGUCAUGUAUUCCCUCAAUCCAAUAUGCCAGAUAUAUCAGGCGUUAAGAGAAAAAGGAUGGCAUAUGAUGAACAGCAACCUUCAGUGCAUGUCAUGUAUAACUCCUUAACAAGGUCAGGGUGGAAGUGUUCAUAAUAACUUGGCAAUCCAAGAAUUUUUAACUGUAUGUUUUGAUUUCUUGUUGGAUUGCUGUGACUGUUAUUAUUCUGUACUUAUUGGAGGCAUCAUGUCUUAUUAGAAUUAGCUUAGAUCCUCAUUUGUUGAAUUCUUGGUGAUUGCCUUACUCUUCCCAGAGCUAGCAAACAAAAGCUUGAGGAACUGUUACAACAGUGGUCAGAAUGGCAUGCUCAACAGAAUUCAUCUCAUGUAAGGUUCAAUUUUCCUGCUAAUUAAAAUUGCAGUACUAUGUAAAAUUUUGUUUUUAAUCUUUUUUUGUUUGGGUGCUUGGCUUGACCAAUGCAAAGUUAGGAAAGUUUUUCAAACACAUAAUCCAGAUUGGAUUGAUAGAAAAUAAUGCAGAUAUCCUAUAUGGUGAAUGCAUGCAAUCUAUUGUUGUUGCUCUGUGGCUUCCUAUUCUUUAUUAAACCAGUGGCCGGUCUCAAUUAUGUAUCUCAAUCUUUCAGGAUUCUAAUGAAAUGUUACAAUCUGGUGAAGACACUUACUUUCCUGCUCUACGUGUUGGCAUGGAGAAGUCCUCUGCAGUGGUAAUUUCCAUUUUUUGCUUCUUUGGUCCUGAAUGCAUAUAGUUUUAAGCCAAAAGGACUAGCCAGGUAUUAGCUAUGAAGAACUUCUUGUUCUUGUAACUUUAGAUGCUUUAGGAUGUAUUUUCUGUGUUGCAAUUUGCCCGUUGCUUCAUUAAUAAAGCUAGUUGGAUUACAAAUAAAUAUAUUUGGUAAAGGGCAAAAAAUAUAGCGAAGAUAUUCUUAGUCAUAAAUUUUCUAGGUUCUCUUUCUUGGAAUUCUUUUUCUUGUGUGUGGCCUUAACCUUUGUCAAGCUCUUUCUUGAAGUUCCUCUCACCUCCAGGGAAAAAAAGAAAGAAAGAAAGAAAGAAAGAAACCUUUUUAACUUUAAUUGGAAUCCUAACCUUUGGAAGCAGAUAAUUUACUUUUUAGAAACUCUUUGGCAUUUAUCACGGUGCGAUCAAUGCACUGGUGUGCCAUUUUCUGAGCUAAAUCUUCAUGCUAAAAUUUAGAGAGCACAACUUCAGAUUUUAGACUUUUAGUAUUCUAAACAAUGACCAUGGAACUCUAUCUUGAAUCAUUAAGUUCCAUGGUUGUCAUGGACCCCAUAGCUUUUUUAACAUGGAACAAGGAAUGUAUUAUCCAACCAUUAUCUACUUGGAGCCCUAUUAUCACCCUGGAGGUUAGUUAAAUUUCUAUCACCAUUGAAAUUAGAUAUCCUCGGGUAGAAAUUUUUUUUGUUUAAGUUCUCAGUUCUUACACUGUAUUAUCGUGAGAUUUUUCCUCUUUUCUUUUUAUUUUACCUUUCUCAUCCUAUUUUGACCAGAAAAUUUGCACUCUUGACUGUCCAUUUUAUUCAUUGUAGCGCAGAUGCUAAGGCCCUAACCAUCAUAGUGCAUUGCAUUUAGCUUCACUAAAAGAGGUUAAAAUUUGGGAUUUCACAUCUUUGUUUUUCAUCUAGUUUUUCAUUUAAUUGGUUACUUUUUAUUUGUAGUCCUUCUGGAUUGAGAACCAAGCAAGGAAACAACAAGACAAUGAUUUAAUUCUUCUACAUAGUAAUUUUGUGCCUCUAUAUGAUCGUGGAUAUGUGUUGGGUUUGACUUCAGCAGAUGGUCCAAUUAAUGUAGAAGGGUAAAUGAUCUUGACUUGUGUACCUUUCUUAGAUUUCAUGUUUUGAAAAUGUUACUUUUUUGGUCUUUGUCCUACAUGCUCAGAAUUGUAGCAAAUAUCUAAGUUGUUCAAAACCUGUUGGUUGUUAUGCAUGUUGAACAAGCUUGGGAUAUUAGCUUUCAUGAUGAUUUUAUGAUUGUGGCAAAGGUAUUGUAUGUGAUGUGUUGACAAAUAUAAUGUGUUGGACAGUAACUAAUCACAAGGGAUAUCCAUGUGGACUUAUUUCCAAGAAUCUCUUGUUUUGUAUUUCCUUGGAAAACUUGCAAUUAUUUCCAAGAAUCUCUUGUUUUGUAUUUCCUUGGGAAACUUGCAAUGCGAACCUCAUUACAGACUAAUAGCUUACUAAACAGAGGAUCUGAGAAAGAUCAUAAAAACUCAAGUCUGUUCAGCACAUUAGAAUAGCUGCUGCAUUCAUAUCCCUCAUUUAUGUAAGAAGGAUCUCACACAUUACCUCAUAUAAUAAUCUGUUGGUGAUUUUAUACCUUUAAGGGGCCCAAUUUUCGUGGUGAAAACCCAUCAAGGACCUAGUUAUUCAUUAAUUAUAAUUCUGCUCCUAUAUUUUACUGAUCCAACCAGCUGUUCUUCUUGUGUUAAAUAUAUGUUUUUGAGGGUUCCUGAAUGUAUUUUAUCUUCCACUAUCUAUUGCCUUCCAUUUUUGUAGAGGCUUGGAGAUAGUGGAUGCUGCUGCACGUUGUUUUAACUGUGGUGCAUACAACCAUUCUUUGAAGGAAUGCCCAAAACCUCGUGAUAAUGCUGCUGUUAAUAAUGCCCGCAAACAACACAAGUUCAAGCGAAAUCAGAAUUCUAGUUCCCGCAAUCCAACACGCUAUUAUCAGAGCUCUUCUGGUGGCAAGUAUGAUGGUUUAAAGCCAGGUUCUCUUGACACUGGAACACGACAACUUUUGGGUCUUGGGGUAAGAGCAUACUAGAUUGAAUCAAAGCAAACAUUUAAUUUCUCCUGUAACAUAUUUAACACCCUCCAUGUUUCUCUUACAUCUAAGCCUAGAACCCAUUAGAGCCUAGGUGACUCAAGUAUAAAAUCCUAUACAUGAUAUAAGGCCAAAUCAAACUUCAUCUACAAUUUACAGAGUACAAAGUACACAACGCAUGAAUUGGAUAAUGAGAUGGAUUGCUAGUUGAAAUAGUAUUGGUGUUUUGUUCAUAAGAUAUUUGUUUUCCCUCCGUCUGAUUUUGUUAAACAGGAGCUUGAUCCUCCACCAUGGCUUAACAGAAUGCGAGAGCUGGGAUACCCACCAGGAUAUCUAGGUAAUGCACACAAUUCUACUUUCUGUCUGAUAUUCCAAGCCGUCAUAGAAUUGUCUAUUAUAAACUCACUUUUUUUAGUAUUUUAUUUUUUUUAAUGUUUACACUGGGAUGAAUAGUUGCGAUUCCUCUGUUGUGUUUGAUUUUCUUCUAUGCUGUCUGGGUGUUCCUCUUUAUGUUUGAAAUUGUCAUUUUAUUGCCAAUUUCCCCACCAGGAAAAGUGUGGUCUUCAAAAGAAUAUGAAUAAGGUAUUCAAGGAUUAUCAUAAAUUCUCACUGUUGCCCUUGGUUGACAUAUGGAUUGGAGGCCUAGUUUCAUGUAAUUGAUGUUAAUGGAUUGGUAAAAUGUAGAGUAUGACUGGAUUGAUUUUAUAAAUGUACUCUAAGCUCAUGAGGCCCUAAGGCCAGUAAGAAUGAAAAAGGCUAAUGUGGCCCAAGGAAAAUACAAUUUCAAAUCCUUGCUAUCAUUUUGCACUUCAUAAUUCAACUAAGCUCUAGCCAAUCUCAAAUAGUUUGGGAUUGAGGCUCUGUUAUGGUGGUUUCAACUGAGCAGAUAGCUCAACUGGCUCUAGCCCCGGGUCCCUCCCGGUGGAAUAAGUCAAGUUGCAGGAUCCUGAAAAAAACAUAAAAACGAAAACAAAGUGUUUAUUAUAUCAAAAUUAAAAAGAAAAAAAAAAGAGGUCUCUAGUUCAAAUCUCUACUUUGUAACAAAAGAAAAAUCUCUGAUUAUUCAUUGAAGGCAAUAAUAAUAUCCGAAGUCCUGCUACUGUAAAUUUAGAUCAAUACUUUUGUUUUCCCUGAAUUUGAGGCUAUGCAUAUAAAGGACUAGGACCCAUGGAGAGAUCAUUGAGCUUUUUAGAAAUGAUGCUUGAGCUAAUCACCUCCCACAUAAGAAUGGACCACAGCAAAUCAUCAUGAUUCCAGAAGGGCAGUACAUUGCAAUAGACUAAAAUUGUGGUCUUUUGGAUUUCAUAUGCUACAAUUUUCCCCAUGUUGAUGUUGGCGGAAUUCAUUUUGCUGUUGCUGUCAUCCCCAAUAACUAUUAUUGUUGUCGGCAGCUUUUAUUUAUUAUUAUGGUUGUCAUUGCAAGUCCUUUACAUUCAUAUUUCAGAUCCCGAUGAUGAGGAUCAGCCUUCUGGGAUCACAAUAUUUGAUGAUGGAGAUGUAGAGGAAGAACAGGAAGAUGGGGAGAUUAUGGAAACAGACCAUCCUGAACCACCAAGGAAAAUGUCAGUUGAAUUUCCUGGAAUAAAUGCACCAAUUCCAGAAAAUGCAAAUCAAAGAUUUUGGGAAGUGGGGCCUUCAAGUUCUGAUCCAUUUAGGCACCGAUCACGCCAUAGAUCAAACCAUUCUUCAGAAGCUACAGGCAGAUGGCAUCAUCAUGAACAGAGACAGUAUAGGGAUUUCAUUAACGAUGGGCCUCCAGGUGUUGAUCCCGUGUUUAGUCCAUCUAUGUCCAGUUAUCCUCCAAGGUAUGGUCAUCAUGACUCUAGUUACAGUUCUGACAGCCCUAGAGAUCUGAGCCCUGCCUUUGGGAGGUCCAAUUCCGAUAGAGGGAGGGGUGCUUUGGUAUAUGAGGAUUUUGCAAGUCAAGGUUCUUCAUCCUACUCAUCCUCACGGAAACGUUCUUCGCCACAGAAUAUUGGUUCAGCCAGAUACGAGACUGAUAACAGCCGGGAUGACUAUGACACGGAUUAUUCAUAUCGGGAUUAUUCAUUUCGGAGUGAGUAUGACAACGAUCGCUAUCGCCGUCGUAGUAGGAGGUAAAUGGGGUAGUCAUGAGUGCGACGGGGUAGAAUGGAUGCGAUAUUCUUUGUAAAACACCCCCUGUCCUCUUCAUUUCUUUAUUAUCUAGGCUAGAGUUGCAGCUCCGAUUCCUUUCUCCAUCAACUAGAGGAGAAGUCUCAACUAGUUUAAGAUGUUUCUGUAUCCAUACAUCGUUUGCAAUACUCCUCCUGUGGGAGCCGUUUAAUUUUUAUAUUUAUUUGCAUCUAUCUUCGUUGCUUUAUGAAAAUUGCGAAUUGUCUCUGGGAAUUUCUAGAGGACCUCGUGUGGAUGUCCAUCGAAUUUAUUUUUCUGAUAGACUGUCAAAUUGUGAUAGGAUAGGUUGAUGGUUUCUGUUAAAAUUUAUGUGCAACUCUGAUGACGAAUCCCACGUGCCACAUGCAUUUUGCAGUAUGCUUAUUCAACAUUAUCCAAUGUUUAGUAUAUGUUUAAGACGAGGUUCAACAUAGAUAAUGUAAAAACAGUAAGUAUAUUUUUAACGAAUGAUUUCAGAUUAUUUAUUUCAUAGUGUUCAAAGACAGAUCAUGAAGUAAAAGAAUGUCAAAGGAUCUUUAUACUAAUGCAGUGGGGUGUUUAAUGGAUGUUAUGAUUUGUACAAGACCAGAUUUAACACACGCGGUUAGUAUGGCGAGCAAGUUUCUAUCAGAUCUGGACAAAUCAAGUAGAACUUCAGAUACUUGAGGGGUAUUACAAACUAUGGCAUCAUGUUUAAUAGAUAAUAGAGUAAUCCUUCAGUUGUGGGAUAUGUAGAUGCAAACUAUGCAUAAUAUUUGGAUAACAGGAGGUCUAUCAUAAGUUAUGUAUUUAUUAUGAUAAAAGAGCCUAUUUGUUAAAAGUCUUUGAUUGAGUCUCUAGUUGCACUAUCUACUAUUGAGUCUAGUUGCACUAUCUACUAACGAAUCCCACGUGCAUUUUGAAAAGAAGAAUAAAGAAACAGAAAGGAAAAGGAUAAUUCAACAUUUUGCAAUUUUAAAUCUGAUGGCUAAUCCCACAUGCAUUUUGCAGUAUGCUAAUUCAACAUCUUCCAAUGUUUAGUCUAUGUUUAAGAUGAGGUUCAACAUGGAUAAUGCGAACCAAUAACUAUAUUUUUAACUAAUCAUUUCAGAUUAUUUGUUUCAUAGUGCUCAAAGACAGAUCAUGAAGUAAAAGAAUAUCAAAGGAUCUUUAUACUAAUGCAAUGGGGUGUUUAAUAUAUGUUAUGAUUUGUACAAGACCAGACUUAACACACGUGGUUAGUAUGAUGAGCAAAUUUCUAUCAGAUCUGGACAACAGUAUUAUGAUGCAAUCAAGUAGAACUUUAGAUACUUGAGGGAUACUACAAACUAUGGCAUCAUGUUUAAUAGAUAAUAGGGUAAUCCUUUAAUUGUGGGAUAUCUAAAUGUAGACUAUGCAUAAUAUUUGGAUAACAGGAGGUCUACCACAAGUUAUGUAUUUAUUAUGAUAAGAGGGUCUUUUGUUAGAAGUUUAUGGUUCAGUCUCUAGUUGCAUUAUCUACUACUGAGUCAGAAUAUAUGGCAAUGACCACCAAGUCUCUAGUUGCACUAUCUACUACUGAGUCAGAAUAUAUGGCAAUGACCGCCAAGAAAGCUUUGUGGUUUACAGGUUUGGUCAAAGAGUUGGAUAUUCAGUAAGGUGGAGUUCAAUUGUAUUGUGAUAGUCAAAGUUUUAUUUACUUGGCAAAGAACCAAGUGUAUCAUGCAAGAAACAAUCACAUAGAUGUAAGGUCUCGUAGGACCAGGGAAUUGGUUUCUUCUAAUGAACUGUUGCUUGAGAAAGUUCGUAUUUUUGACAAUGCAGUAGACAUGUUGACAAAGUUUGUUAUUACAAAUAAUUUCAAGCAUUGUUUGAACUUGAUGUAAUGUUUCCAAAUGCUAUACGGAAGACAUCCAAACUUAAAUGAAUUUGUUUUUAAUUUUCUUCUAAGGGGUGAUAUUCAUCAAGGUGGAGAUUGUUGUAGUUUGUGGCUCAUAAACAAAUGUUAGAGUGAAGUAAGGGGGUCAGAGCGAAAUGAUGAUAUUUGUCUUUUUGGGAUUUAUUUUUUAUUUUGUUGUCAGUGAUGAUUAAUAGGUUUGGGGUGCGGGGACAACACCCCCGCGGUACGGUAAAAGAGUAUUAUGAAAAUGGAUAGGAUUUCUUGAACGGUUUAAGGUUUACUAUAAAUACAUAUAAUGUAACUCUAUUUUGAUAUAGUAAAAAAUAAAAAUUUCUCCCUCAUGUGAAUAUAGACACAUUACCUAACCUUGUUAAAUUUAUGUUUUUUUUAAUUUCUUCUAUUACGGAUAUUUAUUAAUAAUUACUAAAUGUUCUUUCAUUUCAAAAAUAAUUUUAUAUUAAUAUCCAGUACAGUCAUUGCAAUCAUAAAGUGCCAACGGCUUUGCCGCAAGGGCAAAACUUUUCAGCUAUGUGAAAGGUAAUUAAUGUACUUGCGUAUAUCCCGAAGCUCAUUAGCAGUGAUGGUGGUUGUCAUUUUGCUUAAACCCUUGUUUCCCACUAUUUUUUCUGACAAAACAUGGAAUUAUUACGAAAUAAUUGUAGUUCAAUACGCAUUUUCCAGAUGCCAUUAUGCAGAGAAAAGCCUCAAAUAGUAGGGCUCACGCCUCACACUCCUUACAUAACCAGGAAAAGCAUUUACUGUGAGAAUCCCUACUAUAUUUACAGUGAUCACUAUAGUUGUAAUUGCAAAGACGGCACAUUUGAUACCUUCUUCAUUCUUCUCUUUUCAGGUUAUGGUGAAUGGGAUACGGUCCGUUACUGAGGAUAAUGAUGCUAUUUUAGAAAACAGGCAUUCGAGAAUCGACAUACUUUCUUGGGUCUCUGUCAGAAGAAUCAUUAUCAGUUUGACACACUUCGCCGAGACAAGCAUUCGUCAAUGAUGAUCCUGCAUCAUCUCCAUAAUCCAACACUGCCUGCAGAUGGAUCUUAUUAACCAAGGAAAUACGACUUUGCACUAUAGUUAGCUCAGCACCAUUAAAGAAUCCCAAGGAAUUCCAUCAAUUCUUUAGUUUCUCUCGGGCUGAAUUGAAUAGUAGCCUCAAGUCAUCUUCCCCUCCCCCAUCCUGACUUGGUCGGUCUUAUUUCUGUUGAUGCAAGGAAGUGACAGGUCAAUCAGUCCCGCCAUUCCAGAUUCAAGCAAAAAAACAUAUCUAGUCUCCGAUCUGGAGAAGGAAUGCUAUCUGGGACCAAGCCAAGUAUCGUCUGUUAAUCAUUCUUUGAAUCCCAGUUGUAUUAGUAUCCGACGUCGUCAGCGGGCUAGGGCCCCUCUGCGAUUGCACGACCUUUCCUCACCGUCAGGAAAGACCGUCUCCGCUAGUAAUCAAUGUGCAAGUUGGGCAUGAUUAACUUCUAUCCUCCAACGGGGUAGUGUUUAGUAGGGAUAUACUAGUAUAUUGCUUAAACUUGUUUCUGGCCUAUCACCACUAUGAAAUUAUGAAUUGGUAAAAGCUGUUCUGCUCGAAGCAAGAGUUUUCACUUUGCUCUUGUUUUCAUACAUUGUCACAAGUAAACUAUUAUAAUGUUAUGGCUACAUGUCUCGGCAUAGGUAUUAUUUCAGCUUGGUAUGAUUCCUCAAAAUCCUUGAAUUUACUAACACCUCUCGCAUCACUUCAUGAAACAAUCAUUGAGAAUUAUUAAAAAUCCAUGGACUCGUUACUUAAUUGAGAUGAAAAAUAGGUUUGGGACCUAAACACGAUUGACUUUAAAGGUAAUGAGAAUUGGCCAAAAAAUCAGUGUUCAUUGAGCAACCAAACUAUUUCACAAAUCAAUUUCACUCCUAGGUACAUCUACAUGAUGCCAUCAAAAUGAUUGACAAAUUCAAACUAAAUCAUUGAUUAUCCAAUAAGGUGUUCUUGUUUUCAUAGAACAUCGCCUCUUCACUCUUCCUUGUACUCGAAUUGGCAUCAUACCACCUAACAGGCAGAAUAGCUGACAAAGAACAAGGACUGAGACCGCAGUUUCUUCAAACGUCACUCCUGCAAGGUGAAAUAAUACACGUUUUGAUACAACCAUUUUGGAUAAUGUGGAAGAUUGUAUCCAGUGUCUAAUAUUCACUGGUCAUUGCUACAUCAAAUGAUCUACCUUGUUCUAAAAGAUAGCAGCUCCAAAAAAUCCUGAAUCCUAACAAACCAAAACCAGGGGGGAAGAAAACCAGAUCCCUUGCACCUGGGUUAAGACUUGAAAUCAUCAUAACAGUUAAACUUUUAAUACACACUACUUCACAUCAAAGAGCUCCUAACAACAAUCCUAAAAAAAAUUGGAACAAUCAAGAACCCAUUUAAGUCUCACCCAACUGGAGCACAAGAUUUACUAUCAUUACGUCGUCAAGAAAGUCCAGAGCUUCUUUCCUAUUGAGACUUCACCAGGAUGCAGAGACUCUUCCUCGUCAUCAUCUUCAUCCUCAUCUUCAUUUUCACCUCGAGGGGUUUCACUUCUGUUCUCAUCUGCAAUACCAUACUCCCCAGCCCCUUCUGGCGUUCCAUUUAUCUCUUCACUCAGUGCUGCAUUCUCAUCCAUCCUUCUUGCACUGCCAUCACCGUCCAGAGUGUCCAUAAUAUUUGCACACUGUCCACAAAAAUACAUCAUGUCAAAUAAAAAUGAGAAAAGAAACACUAUUGCUGCUCACACAACGUUCUAUAAUCAUUAUCCCAGAGAAAAUGACAUUAACAGCGGGUUUUUUGGCACUCACCCUUGCAAAGUGCAUGCUUUCCCCAUUCUCACUGGCAGCCCCUGCAGAAGCUGCUGGAGCACUUCUCAAUAGAUUUCCAUCCUGUGGACUACUAACACCAUCAUCCUCUUUCUCCUUUUCAUUGUUCAGGUUUGAUGAGGCUUUAACAGUUACAACAGCGACUCCACUGACAGCCAUUAAAUAAAUCCAUUUAUUAGUGGCCAGCCUUGACUGCUGGAGCACUUCUCAAUAGAUAGGUAAUUGCCCUUCUGAAGUGCCAUGCCUUUAUAUGGCUUACAAGUCUACUUGGAAUAUAAUAAGGUCUAUUUGGAAUAUAAUGAAUGAGAAAACUUACAGUUUGCGUCGCCGAAGAUUAUAUUGUGUUUGGCCUUGAGUUUGAUUGGGAACAACCUUUUGCCGUCUCUUCCUGCGAUCACCAGCAGUGACACUAUCAGAAUGACCUUCACUGUCAUCACCGUAACGGUCACUCACUGAAAUUUGAGAUGUCUGAGUUCGAUUCCGCUUCCGGGCAUUUCUUGGACCUCCUUUAUCAGCAAGACUUGAUUCAUCACGGCUUUCCGAUUUCAGAUGGCCAGAAUCUUCAGCCUCAUUUAAUUCCAAAGCACCCCCCAGGAGAGCUUUGGCAUCUUGGACAACUUCCUUGACAGAGCGUGUUCUGCUAACUCUUGGCCUACCCCUUUUACGAGGUUGGGGAUCAUGCUUUAAUCCAGAAGGUUGGGAAUCUUCCUGAAUUUCUGGUGCUGUACCAUUAUUGUUGCUCUGAUCAUUAAUCGAUAAAUCAUGUCCAGCUUCAACCUCUCUGAUGCUUGUAUCAGAGAGUACCCUCUGGGCAUCAAGUGAAUCAUUGACAAUUGCAAAAGAUAGCUCUGGUUCAUUUUCAGUAAAAUCUAAUCUUUUUGACAUUUCUUCUGCAUUAACUUGCUCACCAGACAGGGGUGUGCCAUCAGUCAAAUUUUGUAAAGCAGCAGGCUCAAUCCUUUUACCAGCAGAGAACUUAAGUAUCUUUGAUGUGCACUUGCGCAGCCAAGAAACUGGAGAUACAGAAUGAGCUAGAGUGGGAGACAUCUCGCUAUCAUGCUUCUCAGAAGCAGCUGGAUUUCCAUCAUCUGUGGUCACAUGAUUAUUAACCAACUUUGAUGUAGGAAGGGCGUCAGCUUUCUCAAUUUCUUGUGAAGAUAUCAAAUCAGAAAGCACAAACUCAGAGGUCAAUUCACCACAGUUUUUGCAACCCUUGUUUUGCUCAACAAAUACAAUGAAACGCUCUUUCUCUUUAAUAAAUUGCUCCCUGUGGUCCUUCAACUUUCUACUAAGAUUGCCCAGCUUAUCAAUAUCUUCUCGCAUUUCAAUUUGUUGCUCUUGAAGAUGCCUUUUUUUUUCAUCAACUUCUUGCUUCUCUUUCUCUAUCCUAAGCCUUUCCAGUUUCAUAUCUUCCAUUUCUCUUCUAGCUACAUCUCUUAAGAAAUUAAUAUUCUUAAAUUCUCUCUCUCUCUCUUCCUCAAACAGUUUCUCCUUCUCUUGCAAAAGCCUGUCCAUCUCCUCCUGCCUUUUUUGUAAUUCAUUCUCAAGCUCAGUCUUCUGCAUCUCGAUGCUAUGUAGCAUCUGGUUUCUCUCAUUUUGAGCUUUCUCAGCCAUCACAGACCGCUCAUGCUCCAUGUUGGCCUCAAAUGAUUCCUUGGCCACUUGCAGAGCUUCCAGCUCUCUUUUUAUGUAGUUUUCUGUUUCCUUUCUUUCAUUUCUUAUUCUUUCUUCUUCAGAGAGUCUAUAUUUUUCAAAUUUUUCCUUCUGUUCAUGAAUGCUCUUCAACUCUUUCUCAGCCUCAGCCCUUUUUUCAUCCAGAUCUUCCCACUCUCUCUCAAAAUUCCCUUUUUGCUGCUUUAAAUCAUCAGCCUCCUUCAAAAGCAGCUCUUCCUGAAGCCUACAUUUAUUUAUUUCCUCCUUAAGCUCAGCUUGCAAGCGGGCAUACUCAGACCUCUCUUCCUCGCUCACUUUGAGACGCUCCUUCUCUUCGUGAAUUUUCAAAAGCUGUUCUUCAUUUGAAGCCCUGGUUUUUUCCAGUUCAGCUUUAAGAUUCAGAAAAUUCUCUUUAGCAGAUUCCAGUUGGUUUUUCUCUCCCUCCAAAUUCUUCUGUUCAGAUCUGAUGGCCUUCUCCCUCUCCUUCAGAGAUUUUGACUUUGAUUCAAAUUCAUUCUCUUUCUCCUUACACUUCUCCAGUUUCUUAUCCAAUGCCUGCUCUCGUUUUGCAGCUUUCUCUUCCUUGUGGUUGAUUUCAGUUUCCCUUUUUUCUAGCUCAAUUACCUUGUUUUUGAGAUCCUCAUCCAAAGACUUCUUCUUUUGUUCAGCUUCCAACUCAAAUUCAUGCUUCUUUACAUCCAAAAUGGCAUUGUGUUCAUCAGUUAGCUUCUUAAUCUCAACCUUUGGAUGUCCCAUGCAAAAGGAAAAUCAAAUUGCAUGAUAAGUAACAGCUAAUUAUAUUAAAAAAGGUAAAAAUAAAAUGAUAAUUAUAGAUUUGAUCUUUAGUGAUCAAUCAGCAAAAUUCUAGAUUAGCGGACCAUUCUGAAGGUUUAAUUUUGGAAGUUUAUGUACUCCAAUAAAAAGAUGCACAAGAAUGAUGCAACAGAUGUUGGGAAAUGCGAGGAUAAUUCUCUCUCACACACACACACAUCACCAAAACCUCACUCAAAUGGGAAGAGUGAGAGAAAACUUCUUAUUGGAAUAUCUAGAUCAAUUAUGGUGAUUUAUUGUUCGCUGAACCACUAAGGAAGUCAAAUCCAAAUCUGAUUGUCAUUGUGUAUGACUUAUAAGUUAGUGGCAUAGAACCAGAACAAAAUGCAUGUAGAGCAUUUAAAACAUGUCAUCAUAUGAGAACACCAAAAAAAAAAGUAUUCUGCAUAAACUCACUCUCUCUCUCUCAUUUAGCUUUUCUUCUAGCACACGUAACUCUACUUCUUUCACCUCUAAUUUCUUUCUUGUAGCAUCAAAUUCCUGCACAGAUCAGACAGAUAAAUUAGAAUAUACAUUUAUUACUGAUUCAAUAACAGAAACUGUGAAGAAAAAACAUGCCUUUUCCUUUAUAGUUAGAUUAGUGAGCCGGUUACUAAUAUCAUCUUCUUUCCUCUUCAAAAUUGAGUUUGCAUCCUCAAUCUUCUUCUGAGCCUCUUCAAGAUCCUUCUCUUUCUGCUUAAGGAUCCUAUCGUUUUCAUUUGCCCUUUCUUCUCUUUGGUUAAUAAUUCUUUGACUCUUUGAUAGCCUCUCUUCUCCUUCUUGUAAUUUCUUCUCCCAUUCUUGCAAGUCCUCCCUUUGCUUAGAAAAAGUGGUCUCGUACACCUCUUUCCUGAGAGAAAUGUAAUGUCAUCAACAUAAUUAACAUGUGCACAAUUUGAACUCUAGUAGUACUGAAGAGUGCAGACAAAGAAGGGAGGAAGCAGAUUCAACAGUAAUUAGUAAAGGUAAAGUAAAUUGAGCAUACUCUGCAAUGAAGGACAAGCGCUCCCUUCGAAGAGCACUUUCUCGAGAUUCCACAUCCAGCAAUUUCCUCUGAAUCUCAGAACUCUUUCUGCUCACUUCUGCAAGCUUGGCAUCAGCAGCACGCAAUUUCGCCUCUACCUCCAGAGACUUCUCUUCAAUACUCAUAACUAAUGCAUUUGCUUCAGCCAGUUUUGAAUCGGCUGUAAAUUUAAUGUCUGCAUUUUCUGAACGCAUCUCGCGCACUGCCUUCUCUAACUACAUCAGCCAACAAAUUCACAGAUUAGUCGAAGAGAUUCACGGAAGAAAAGUAGAAGAAAUUUGUCAUUAAAAGGCGCCUUUACACUAGCAUAAAAAAUAAAAUAACAAAUAUGCACAAGUAGUGAGGGCAAUAUCAAAACUCUUAAACAAUGCAUGAUAACAUUAUCUAGAGCAGGAAAAAGUAAUCACAAAAUCGGACUUGAGCUGUUCAUUUCACCCCUCAUUGGAGAAUUCUUCAAUAAGAGGAAGUCAAGGAAAUGACCUCCGAGAUAAAAUAUAUGACAAGCCUUCUUACAUUAUCAGCAAUGCAAGUCAUUCUCCGGGGUUUGGCAACAUUCUACCUUAGGGGGUUUCUAACUUAACAGAUGCUAACCCUUAACAUUCCCUAUGAUCAAAGUAUGUUCAUUUGUUUAAGUUAUCAAUGAUUAAGGGAGACAGAUUAUGCAUGACAGCAGUCUAUUUAAAAAACAAGUGAAUUCUGUGGGGAAAAAAUCAUUUAUAUUAUCAAAGAAAGACAUUAAAAUCUUACAUCAAGCACACAUUGUUUCUCAACACCCAAGGCUCUUCUCAAAUUCUCUUCCUGCUUUUCAGCAUCAGAAAGUGCAAUCAAAUGUGCAGCUUGUUCCCGUUUGACAGCUUCUGUUGCUUCUGCAAAUGCUUGCAUGAGUUCUUCAUGCUUAGAACCCCACUCCUUCUUCUCAAUCAAGAGAAGCCCCAUAUUGUACUGGUACUCAAAUAGCUGGGAUACAGAUCAGUGGAUCAAAUGAGCAAAACAGUAUAAAGGCAACCAACUUACAGUCAAAGAAAAACUUUGUCAUUAUCUGUUGGAAACUUGCAUUUGUGUGGUUAUGCAGUCUCAGUCUAUAUAAAGUUAGCUAGGACUUUAUCUUAUGAUAUGCUACUUCUUAAAGAUAGCAGAACAGUGAAUUCAACAGUCCCACAUGUUUUGCAUAACAAAUUGUCCAGCCACAUCUUGUAGUUUCAUAGAGUGCCAUUUUAGUCUGUCGUUUAAAUGUUUUACGAGGAAGUCUACAGUUAGGAAAAUAAAUAGUCUUUUUAUAGCACAUAAAAAGAAUUCAAGUCUUUUACGAUUUGAUUGCAUAAUUAAAUACUUUGAUUGAGUUCUACUAAUUCAUAUUUAAACAAUCACUCUUUCUCCCUUUCUUCUCUGUUCAUUUUUUACUCUUUUUUCUGAAGCAACUAGUUGUUGCAGCCAGAAAACUUAGCAAGUCAUUUUUUUCAAUCAAUUUAUCAAUUUUCUACACCAAAUUUCAUUUACCAAGCAUAUACAUAACCUGAACAAUCAAGACAAUCCUUAUUGGUUCAAACCCUAAUUCCCAAGUUUUAACCAAUACAAACACACAAAAGAUUGUUUAAAUCAGUUCAAGUUCAACUCUGCAUUAGUUUAGAUGCAUAAAUGCAACUAUACAAGCAGGCCUUAGAGAACAAUAUUUAUGGACACACAGCAUCAGAAUUAUUAAAAUCAAUUUCAUUUGCUUAAUUUCAACAAAUUUAUUCAAUAAAGCAAGAUUUACUUGCAGCAUAUUUGACAUUGAUCAGUUGAUUUAAUUUAGCUAUCUCAUCUCUCUUCUUUCUAUGGGGAGAGGAGGUGAGAAGUGGUUGAAUUUCAAAUCAAUGAAGACUGAAAUCAAACUGCUUCCAUUCAACACUACCAACAGGAAGCAAAAUCUAACCAAAACCUAAACACAAUAAACAUCGUUCUCAAUAACUAAAUUUGCCACCCAGAAACAUAAAUAAUGAUAGCAUUUAUAACUCCGAGGAGCUUAGUGACAGCAAUUGAUGUAAAAUGUUCAAUUAAGCACUUUAUUGAUUUACCAACUUUAAGCUCCACUUUCUUGCUAAUCAAAAUGGCAUACGCAGACAUUAUCAGAUCUAAUCUAGUCACAGCACCACAUCCAAAUCAAAUCUCAAUAGUUUUCUAUAGCACAGUGAAGGGGGGGGGAUCACAAUCCACAACUUCCUAUUCUACGUCCCCACCAUCCAAUCUACUAUUACAAACUAAUUCCAUCAACUACUUCACUACUAUUAGAAUUAACCAAAAAUCCUCCAAUACAAACCCACCUGACUAAAAACAAUAGGAAAAAAAAAGUAAAAAACUUCAUACUCUAUGAGCACUAAAAUCACAAAAUUAAAAGAAAAAACUAAAACCCCAUCAAAUUCAAAGAAAACCAAGCUACAACAAAUCACAAAAAUCUUUGAAACAAAACGAAAGGCAAAAAAAUAAAAGGGACCCAAAACCAGAAACUAACCUCAUUCUCAAGCUUUGAAACCUUAUCCGCCAAAUAUUCACCGUCCAAAUUGGGUCGCACUCCAUUAGGCGUCACUUGUUCAACAAAACCCACACUCUUUCCCUUCGGAUCCGACCCGGACUCGCUUCCAUUCUUUUGACCCGCUUCGCUUCUCGGCGUCAACGACCACCCCGACCACACUUUCUUCUGUGGCGUAAACAUCGGAAUUGCCCCUCUAACCUCACUAAAUCUACAAAAACCAAAUUUAUAAAGGCCCCAGCAGUGAUAGAAACCCUAUAAUUUCUACAGAAUUGAGGGUUUGAAACUGAAAACCAUCAAAAAGACUGAGAGUCUGAAGGUUAAGAGUAACAGAGGGAGAGAGAGAAACCCUAGAAUUAGAAGAGGAACUAGGGAUUAAUAUUAUUAUUAUUUGAAUUGAAAUUGAAAAAACCUAGACCGGACGUGAAAUAGGUGUGAGUAAAUUCCGGCGGAAUGUUGCUUUGGAGUCCGGUAACGUCUCUAAAACGAACUUUUCUUUCUUCCUUUCUCUCUCCACAACUUUUUAUAUCUGUCGUACUUUCUCUCUCUAUGCAAAAUUUUUGAGCCCACACUUUUUUUUUUUCUUUGUGUCUGCUUUGUGAGUUCCACUCACGCUGCCUUCUUUUAUUCUCCUUCUCUCCCUUUUUUUUUAUUUUUUUUUUUAAUUAGUAAUGGGCCCCACCAACAUCAUUUCCUAUCCCAAUUACCAUCUCACCCUUAUUCCUCUUAUAUUUCUGGGGUCAUGCGAGGGUGGUUUGGGGAUUUGAAAGGUGAUUUCUGGGUUCGGAACGUGGGGGUUUAGACAUAGUGACGGCAAUGCCCCCGUCUUGGUGGCUGAGAGUGAAGGCGAUGGAAGGGUGGUUUGGAGAUUUGAGGGGGGCAGAGAGAGAGAGGAAUAUGCUAGCAUGGAAAUGCCACGGUGUUUUAGAGCUGUUAUGAGUAAAAGAAGCAUUGGCUUUGGAUUUGGAUUGUUGGGUGAUGAAGAUAAGCAUCUAUUUUGUCCCACGUGGAUUUCAAGGACACACACACACACACAAAAGCACACGUCAUCAUAUGCCUAAACUACUCUGCUGUCUUUCUUUACCAAGGCUGAAAAACAGGGACCUACUGUCUCUUUCCACUGGGAAAAAGGGAUAAGAAAGGUGAAAAGAACUCAGGAGCCUCAUGUGAGUGUUUCUUUUCAAGUAGAGGAAGGACUCGAGUAAAUGGUGACUCAUCUUUCAUGAGAUGUUCUUCCUUGGGUAAAGUAUGAUAAGUAUUGAUUAGUGCAUAUGCUUUUAUUGAAAAGGAUAGUAGUAGAGAUAAUAAUAUGAUUUUAUUCUCAUGGAAAAAAAAAGGGGUUAUUAGAGAUGCACAAAUGUUAAAAUCAGGAAUGUUUGAUUUAUCUCGGUUGUGGGCCUGAUGGAGAAGAGUUUUUUUAAGGAAAAGUUUUUGUUUUAUUGGUUUUUUUUUCUAGUUUAGAAAAUUAAAUGUUAUGCUUAAUAAUUUUAGUUUUUCUAGUUUGUUUAGGGUUUUUAUUGUUUUUCCUUUACUUUCAUGUUUUCUAGUUUGUUUAGAUUAGUUUUGAAGUUUAUUUAAGAAGUUGUAAAUCUCUUAGUGAGACAAACUACUUGAAGAGAAAUAUUCAGUAAUAAAAUUAUAAAUUAGGGUUCUAUGUGACAACCUUGUUCGAUUUCAAUUCUGUCUUUCUAGCUUGUUCUCUUCUCGUUUGUGUUUUCAUAUGUAUUAAUUGGUAUCACAACCCAAUCAUCUUAAUGGUUAUUUGCUUGUUGUGUGAUGAAAAAACCAUGGGUUGAAAGAGAUAGUAGAAGAGAACAUGCUCGGGUAAGAGAGGAUAAGGAGGCUCCCUCUUGAGAAAAAGAUGUUAAAAAACGAGUGAUAAAAUACAUGUGGAGAUAGAUUGCAAAAUUAUUCCAUCAAUUGGCGGAGGUCAGGAGCCCGGGGGAUCAUAAGAAAAGUAAUCACGAAUCUAUGGGUAAUUUUGAGAAACCGUUUCAGAGGCAUGAGUAGAGAAAGUAACUUUUUGAUCGGGGUGAAUAUGAUGUUGAAAUUUAAUGUUUUGAAGAUUCUAAUUUCUUUGUGAAUUGGAAUCAACCAUUAAAAUAUGAUGAGGAUGAUGCUAAAAAAGAAAAUUUAAAUGCAAAAUUCUUGUUUGUGAUGUCAAAGAGAAGGGAACAAAAUUAUAUAUUGUUCCAAAGAUGAUUUUUUUAUGAAUCAUAUUGUGAUAGACGUGUCUCAUAUGUGCUUGAGGAUAAUUUUUAAAUUGAUGGGGUCAAAGUUAAUGUUAUUGUGUUUUGGAUAAAAGUUGUGAAGUAGAUUUUCAAACCUUCUCCUGACGCUAAGAUUGGUCUCGUUGUUAAGAUGGUUGAACUUAUAAUUGACAAAUAUGAUGUUUUUAAUAGAAAAGCUAAGCACAUAAAGGGUUAGAAAUUUUUUAUUGGACAUCCAUGAAAUUGAGACAACAACAAUUUGAACUCAAUGACAAGUUCUUUUCAACCUGGAAAGAGUGAUGUAGGAGGAUUUUUUUUAGUAUAUGUUAUUUGUUUUCUUAGUUAUUUUUAUUAUUUUUUAUUUAGUUUAGGAAAUAAAAUAUAAUGCUUAAUAAUUUUAUUCUUUCUAGUAUAUUUAGGACUUUUAUUUAUUUUCCUUUAUUUUCAUGUUUCCUAUUUUGUUUAGGUUAGUUUUUUGGUUUAUAUAAGGAGGUUUAAACUUUUUAGCAAGUUGGACUACUGAAAGAAAAAUAUUCAGUGCUAGAAAUAUGAAUUAAGGUUUUGUGUGACAAUCUUAUUCAACUUUAAUGUUGUCUUUUUGUUUGUAUUUUUAUCUAUGUUAAUUGACAUUAGAACCUAACUAUCCCGAUGGUUAUUUUUUUUAUUGUGUGAUGGAAUAACCAUUACUGAAAGAGAUAAUGGAAAUAUAGUGUUCUUGUAUUAGAGAGGAUACAAAGGUCCUCCACGAGAAAAAGUAUAUUCAGAAACUGGUGUUAGGAGACAUGUAGAGAUAAAUUGUAAAAUUGAAAAAAAAAAAGAGAAGGAAUUUAGGAACUGAUUAUAGAAGACAUGCAAACAUAAAUUACAAAAUUAAUUUAUUAGUUGAUGAAGGUGAGGAUCCAUGAGAUCAUAAGAAAAGUGAUCACGUAUCUAUGGCUAAUUUUGAGAAACCAUUUAAAAGGCAUGAGCAAAAAACAUAAUUCUUUUAUUGGAAUGAAUCUGAUGUUAAAAUUGAAAGUUUUGAUGAUAUUAGUUCCUUUAUGGUUUAAAAUCAACCACCAAAAAUUGAUGGGGACGAUGAAAAUGGUGUUGAAUGAGAAGAUUUAGAUGCAAAAUUCUUAGUGUGUGAUGUCCACGAGAAAGGAACAAAAUUAAAAAUGGUUCAAAAAGUGAUUUUUUAUCAAGCAUAUUGUGAAAUGUGUGCCUCACAUGUGCUUGAGGAAAAUUUUGGAAUUGACAGGGCUAAAGUUUAUGUUAUUGUACUUUAGAUAAAAGUUGUGAACCAUAUUUUCAAAUCUCCUCCUAACACUAAGUUCGGUUCCAUUGUUAGAGAAGUUGAGCAUGUUAUUGACAGGUACGGUAUUUUUAAUGGAAAGGAGACUAAUACAAGAGGAUUUUUUUAUAAAAAAACCUAUUUUAUUUUUUUCCUAUUUAGUUUAAGGAAUUAAAUAUUAUGUUUAAUAAUUUUAUUUUUCCUAGUUUGUUAGGACUUUUAUUGUUAUUCCCUUAUUUUUUCAUGUUUUCUAGUUUUUUAGGUUAAUUUUGGAGUUUAUUUAAUGAGUUGUAACGCUCUUAAUAAGGCAUGAUACUUGAAGAGAAAUAUUCAAUAAUAAAAUUAUGAAUUAAAGUUCUAUGUGAUAACACUAUUCGAUUUCAAUUUUAUUUUUUUAUCUUGUUAUAUUCUUGUUUGUGUUUCUUUUUGUGUUAUGAUGAGUUGCGUGUAACUACAUAUGUAGGCAUGUAUUGUUUAAAGAUUUCUUAAAACCAACAAUUUUCUCAAAUAUAAUUGUGGUUUGAUUAAAAAACAUUAAAUCAUUUGUCCUAUGUCAUUUAAAUGUGAAUGUCUUGAGAGUUAUUGAGGUGUUGAAUAUAUCUCUUUCAUUCAGCAAUUACAUGAAAAUUGAUAUAUUAAUAGUAUUAUUAAACCCGACUUAGAUAUGUGUGGUUGGCCUAAAACCUGGCUCGAGCCGAGUUUUUUUUUUUUAAAAAAAGGAUGAGAGUUAACUCGGGUUACUUGACGGGUCAAUUGGUGACCCAAUUAAGCUUAUUAAAACCUAGUUUGAUUUAAAAACAAAAAAACAAAAUGACAUUGUUUUAAUGUUUUUUUUUAAAUUGAAGCAACAUUAUUUUUAUUUUUUUCAAAUAAAAUUAAAACAUUAAUCGAUCAGGUUAACCUGAAUUAUCUCAUUCAACUCUUAACAUGGAUUGAGUUUAAUAACUUUGCAUUAGCAAUAAAUCAUUGAUCUUCUUGUGAGUUAAACUUCAACCAAAAGAAUUAAUGUUGGACUUUGUAAUCCAACAUACGUACUUUAACAUAAAAUAUUAACAUGGUUUUAAAAACCAAUUAAUUAAAGAUGAAUGAGAAAUUAUUCUCAAUGAACCUUUAGAUAACAAAAGUUUCAAACCAAAACAACUUUGUUGACCGGGGAGCAGGCUUGUGGGCUCAUGAGUUUAGAUUUAGGUUUGAUUAAUAAAAAAUAUUUUGCUAUUAAAUCCUUAUUUAAUUGAUAAUUUUUUUAGUCCCUAAAAUAAAUAUCUUAGUACAUGAACUAAUAUAUUAAUUAUGUGAUAAAAAUAAAUGUAUUUAUGAAUUUUCAUGAACUUUGAACAUUCAUCGUAAUUAAUAAAACAUUCAAAAAUUAUGAGUAAUUAAUGUUUUGGUUUCCAAGUCCUAUAAAUAGAUGUCUUUGAUGGGUGGAAAUUCAAUAAAAAAAAUAUCCUGAGUUCUUUCCUCCUUUAGUUGUUAUUUUUUAAAAAACUUGUUCGUUUACUCAUUCUUUUCUGCUAUAGUGCUUAUGUUCGGUCUCUAUAGAGAGAUAUUGAGUAUAGAUUUUUAAGUUCAUUGAUCCUUGUUUAGGAGUGCACCUAAACAAAAAGGAGUUGUUAGAAUCUUGAGAGACUUAUUGAAGUUAGUCCUUUUACAUAAAGCGAUGAACAAUAAAAUUUUAAGGACAAUGAUUGAUCACUAACAACGAUAAAAAUUUCAAAGUAAAUAUUUUCUAAGAAUUUCAACAAGUACCCUAAACUAGUUUUGUUUACCUAUAAUUUUAAAAAUUUGUUUAGUUUACAUGCUAGGAUUGUUUUUUUAUAUAUAUAUCUUUUGUAAGUUAUAUAUUUGUUUAGUAUGUAUGCUAGUUUUUUUUUUAUAAUAAUUGCAAAAUUACCAUGUUUAAUAUGUUUGCAUGAUUAUAAACUAAAUAGAUGGAUCCACUUGGUUAAUCAUCUACUCAUUUGUGAUUAUUGGACAACACUUCAUUUAUAUAUUUUAACGUAUUUGAUUGGUAUUUAUGAAUUAAUUUUUUUCCAGGAAAACUAUCAUACAACUAGAUUUAGGAAUUUAAAUCACGUAUCGAUUUAAUCAAAAUAUCAAAGUAGCUACUCAAAAUCUAUAUUGUGAACCCUUAAAACUUUAUUUUUUUUAAUUCAAUAAAAAAAUAUCUUCAAAUUAGUUUACAUGUAUGUAUCCUUCGUAUUAGUUUAUAGGUAAAUUAAGAUCAUCCUUUUCAAACAAUCCUAAAUUUAAUGUAUUUGCAAUAAAAACGUUAACAAGCAAUACAUUUUAAACAUUUUAUUUCAUUGUGGUCAUUAUUGUCAUGUUAAUAUUCUAAAUUUGAGGAUUUCUUUGAAUUAUUGAUUCAUCAUUAUUUAUUAGAUUGAUAUGUUACAGAGACCAUUAUUAACAGUGUUGCACUAGGUGUGGAAUUGUGUUGUGUUGCAGGGGUCAUAUUAUUUCUUUGCGUAAAAAAUAAUAUUCAAGUGUCGCAAACAUGUUUUGAAGAAGGAAGAAAAAUAUGUGACUCGGUUCAUAGAUCCAACUAGGUCAAAAGUUAGUUUUAUUUUAAUCAGAUGAUAAAAAAAUAGACAAUGACAACAAAUUAACCAAAUUUUUUAAAAAUUUAUCAUGAUAACCUGAAUUUUUUUUUUCAAAAAAGGACAAAACAAUUGUGUAAAAAAUGACAUAAAAUAAUUGGCUUGAGUUAACUCGAGUUAUCAUGACAAACCCGUAACCUUGAAAAUCAAGGCCGAGCCAACUCAGGUUAUCUCGUCAAACCUGUAAUCAAGGUCAUGAGUUUGAAAUAACCUGAUAGAGAAAGAAAUAAAGAAAAUAACAAAGCCAAUUUUUUUUUAAAAAAAAAACUAAUCCACAUUAACUUUCCAAACAUGUUAUUUGAGUUAUUAGAUCAUAAGCACCCCAUAUGAAAAAACCAUAAAGCUCAACUGCCAAUCAAUCAAAAUAUUUAAGGAUGAAAUUGAAAAAAAAACUCAAUUAUACAAAAGGAUUCAAAAUUAAAAAAAAAUAGCAAUUAAAAGAAUAAGGAUCAAAAUUGAAAUACAAAAAAAAUAUUUUUGAUUUAAGGGUGAAAUUAAAAGAAAAUUUAAUUUAACAAAAGGAUCCAAAAAGAAAUUAAAACAAUCAAAUAAAUGAUGAUCAAAUUGAAAUAAAAAUAAAAACAAAUAUUUAAUCGAAGGGUAAAAUUGAAAAGAAAAAUCAAUUAAAUGAAAGAAAAAAAAUCAAAAGAAUAAGGACCAAAUUGAAAAAAAUAACUACCAAAUUAUGAUUAAAUGAUGAAAUUGAAAAAAAAUCAAAAUUUUAUAAAAGGACCAAGAACAUAAAAUUUAAAAACAAAAGAAUAAGGAUCUAAGUGGAAAUACCCAUAAAUAAAAGGGUAGGUUUGAAUUUUUGCAUGGUUAAUGCGAAUUUCGAGGAAAGAAGAAAGAAAAUAGAAAAAAAAUAAAGUGUUGUUGAUGAUAAACCAUGCCAACAUCGACUCAUGUGCUACCCCAAAAGAAAAAGGAUACCAUGAUGUUUCCAACGACACAAUGAAGGGAGAUUUUGGCCGAUAGGAGGCACUGUCCGAAAGGUGCAGGUGCCUCCCACACGUGUCAGUUACUUUUUACUUUUUAUUAUUUUUUAUAUUUAUUCAAAUAUCAAACCGUCCCUUAUCUGACCUAAUAAUGAUGAAAAAACCAUUGUAAAAACACGAAAAGACUAUUGACGUUCUUUUCAUUGAGCUUUUUGUUUUUAUUUAUUUAAUAUUUAUUUAAAUAUUAAAUUACCUCUUAGUUGAACUUAUAGUGACAAAAAAAAAAACAUUCUGAAAAUACAAAAAAAACUCAUUUACACCAGUUUUAAAUAUUUUGCUUUUAAUUACAUUUUGAUCAUUUUAUUGUGUUUUUAAAAUGAAAAAGAUUUAUUUGUACCCAAGCAAUUUAGUAAUGACUAAUGGUAUUGUGAAAAGACCUCAAUGCUUUUAAUAGCCAAUUUUAAGGUUUUUUUUUUUUUAGAAAAGCCAAUAUCGUGAAAAUACUAUUCUAAUAAACUCUGUUUUCACUAAUAAUCUAUAAUGUUUUCUCCUCAUAUUUUAGCUUUUAUUAAUAUAGAUUGUGGUAAUAGUACCAAAAAGAAAAGAAAAAUUCUUGUAAUCAAAUUAAAUUAAUUUAAAACCUUGAAUAAAUUUAUAAUUAAAAUGAUAUUUGUAUUCGUAUCUUGUUUUAUUAAAGAUCUCAAUCUUAAGUAAAAACUUAUUCUUAAAAAUAAACUUUAAAAACCCAUCUAGUCCUCCUUUAUCAAUCCAUGACUAGUAUAUAAAAAGUGAAAAUAUUAUUAUUAUUAUUAACAAAAACUAAUUCUUUUAGGAAAAAAAACUAUUUCAAUUCCUAUGCACACACUUAGUUGCAUUAUAAAUUGGAACAAUGCAAUUAAGCGAUCCUUUUUUUUAUCUUUAAAAAAUUAUUUUGUUUUGAUCAUUUUUUUUAAUUUUAUUUUCUCAUAUUAAAUUGAUAAAAAAAUUUGGCCUUAUAAUUUUUUUUUUGCAUACAAUUAAGUUCUUAUGAAGUUCUUAUGAUGUCAAAAAAAGUGUCAUUUUUAAUUUUAUAGAGCGGAACUUAACUUUAGAAUUUUUUUAAAAUUGAAACACUAGGAACUAGAUUGUACACUUAAACAAAAAGACGUACUUGUUUUUAUUUAUUGUUCACGAGUAGUUGAAAAGUACAUUUUGAUCCUUGAAGUUUUUAAUUUAUUAAUUUUUUAUCCUUGUUUUUUUAGGAUUUGACAUUUCAAUCUCAAACUUUAUUUUAUUCAUAUUUGAGUCUAUGCGUUUGAAAAAAAAAUAGAAGAAGUUAUUGGAAAAUAGAGGAGAAGAGAAAAAUGAUCAUUGACCAUAUUCUUGCAAUAAAAAAAACUAAUAUUUGUGUCAACAUGUUUCAUUUGAUGAAAAGAGAGCCAUUGAGAUAUUUUUUUUUAUCAUCUGUCUUUCUUAAAAAAAAGAUUGAGGACUUGAGAAUUUUUUUUAUUCAAGAUGAUUUUUUAGGUUUUUGAUAAAUUAAAGACUAUUUUAAGAUAAUAAAUAAGUUUAUUAAGGUUUCUAUGAUUUUUUUAGAUGUUUUCAGAUAAAAACAUGAUUGAAAAUGAGUUUUUUUUUUUUUAAUAUCUAAGAAGUUAGGACCUAACUUUCCGACUAUUUUAGUGUCCAAAGUUUUCAACCAUCACAAACAACAUAUCAUCUAUUGUUUUUUUUUAAAAAAAAAACAAAAAAAAUCUAGUGGAGUUUUUCUUCAUAAUUUUAAUUAAAAUUUAUUAAAAUAAAGUUUUUAUAAAUAUAUUUAGAAUGUUACUUUUUUUUAAAUAUCAUUUAGUUUUUAUUUUUUAAAUAAUAUUAUAGCAUUCUUUUUAUAAUAUUUGCAAACUCUUUUCUUUUUUUACAAUCCUUUAUGAAUUUUUAUUAUUUUUUUUAUAUUUUAUUCAUUGUUUUUCUUGUGAAUAUUUAUUUUUAUUGUCGUAUAAUUUAUAAUUUCUUGUGGAAACACGUGAGUAAUAUAUUAUUUUUAUAUAUUUUAAUACAUGAAUAUUCAUGUCAAAAUCAUUAAAAUAUUAUUUUUUAAAAUUUGUUUUAAUGAUUCUUAUAUAAAAAAGGGAGCAAAUUUGUAAAAUAAAGAAAUUUUAGUUAAAAAGGUAACUUUUUUUAUUUUUAUUUCAAAUCAUUGAAUUUUAUAUAUUUAUUCUAAUUGCUUUUAGUAUUUAUUAAAUAAAAAACAUAGCUUAAGAAGUUAUAUAUUUUCUUUUGAGAAAAUAUAGAUCAAUAAGAAAAGGUGGAAUUAUACUAGAAAAUUAUUUUAUUUAAUAAAAUUUAAAUUAUUACUUUUCUUAAAAAAAACUUGUUUUCAUAUAAUUAAAUAAAAAAUUUUAAAUAGCUCCUCACAACACAAAAUAAAAUAUAUUAAUACACAUCUAUAAUAUAACCUAUUCAUUUAUUAUUUAAUCAAACACUAACACUUAUUUUUAAUAUUUAUUAAUAUAUAUAACUUUUUAUUUAUUUUAUUAAAUACACGUAAUUCCUUUACAUUUCACAAUUAAGUUUUUUUAUAUAAUACUAGGCUUGCCAUAUAGUGCGGAUCAAUUGGGUAGUUUAAUAUAAAAUAAAUUAUAUAUUAUUAUUAUUAUUAUUAUUGAAUACUGUCCGAAACUUAUAAAUUACAAUACAGAUAAAGUACAACUUGCGCAUAUUUCUCCAAUUAUUAUAGUAGUUGGAACAAAUACAUACUUAUCCAGCAAUUUCAUUACACAGAGGGACCGUCACCAAACCAAGAAGACUCGCCACCACUAUUAAAGCCAAAAAAGAGAAAGAAAGACGGACCCUUCGCAUCUAUCUGCAUGUACUGUUUCGACUUUGACAAAGGAACAAGAAAGCAUCAAUCUUUAUUGAAUUAAGUUUUGAGGUCAUGGCAGCAGCAACAGCAGAGGCAGCCAGAUCUUCUUCAGGUAGUGGUGGAGGGGCAUCAGCUGAUUCCUAUGUAGGUAGCUUGAUUAGCUUGACUUCAAAGUCUGAGAUUCGUUAUGAAGGCGUUCUUUUUAACAUCGAUACUCAAGAAUCCACCAUCGGUUUAAGAAAUGGUAAUUAUUUCAAUCUUUCAUUUUUGGGUUUUUCUUUUCUUUUUGUGGGACUUUGCUUUCUGGGUUUGUGUUUUUUAGGUUGUGGAGACAGGGAUUCUUUCAAUCUUGAAUGGUUUUUUUUUUAUUAUUAUUAUGUGUCAUUGUGAUGUGGGUUGGAGCUUUAGAGUGCUUUGCGUUUUGGUUUAGUCAUUUAUGUAUGGAUAUGGAUGUUCAAAUAUUAAUUGUAUUCAAUGCUGGAAGCUUCAUUUGUACUUGGGAGAAUUUCUACUGGAAAAGAAAAUUUUGGGAGCCCAGUUCAAUGUUGUUUGCUGAAUGGGAAAUGGUGAAAGAUAUUAGCAUUAAAACAUAGCUAUAUAUCUGAAGAAUAGUUGUUGUGUUGUUUAAGAGGAUUGAACUAAGGCAGCUAUGGUUGCAGAAUCUGCUUCAUGGUCCUCUUUGGGAUUAGACAUUUUUGUUUAUGAUUCAAGGUAUACUAUUAUUCAAUGAGAGGAAGGAUGCCAUGUUGGUAAGAAGAAAGAAUGAAAGGGAGAGCAUAACACUCUGGUGCAAUCUUUUACAAUUUUCAAUAGUGUCAUGUCUUAAUUGGAAGGAUCUGUUGGUUUUGUAAGUCCAGAAAUUCCGUUGAUAAACUAGUUAAACAUCAACUUCUCCAUAGAAUGUCACUGAUUUUGCAUAUUACGUAAAUGUAAGUUUGGAAAGAGAACAAAACUGGACCAAGGGAGUGUGAAUUACAUCUCACUUCUGUUUCCAUGAGUUACAUUUCAUGAAUGAUUUGAUGAGAUUUGUAUGUAAUCUGGGAUAAGUUCUCAUCCAAAGUAGAUCAUAGAAUUUAUCUCUUAUCGAGGUCGAAAUGCUUUUUUUUCUUAGAAUGGUUGAAACAAUCCCUUUACACAGGAUAACAGUAUUGUUUCUAACAGUUGUGUGUGGCUGUUGCAGCUCUCAUUUCUGGUCAUAACAUUGGUAUUCUUCACUCCCAUGACCCAACUAAAUUGCUUAUCUGACAUCAUUUUGUUAGAUUUCUCUUCCACACUAGGGGAGGCAAGACAUACUGGCAACUUGCAUUCCAUUUAUAUGGUAGUGUGUUGAACAUUCAAAGGCCUAAAGCAUUCUGGUGCCGCACAAGUUUUUUAAAUUUGAAAAUCUGGUUUUUAAUUCUUUUCCGAUCCUGGAUAUUGGUGUCUUUUAUACUCAGAUCUUGAUGAAGUCAUCAAAACCAACCAGGAAGAUGUCCAUCUCUUGAUUUUAUGGUCUUUUAUUUUAGUUUCAGUUGUUUUUCUACAUGUUUCUGUUUCUUUCUGCUUUCCUUUUCAUGAGGAUCUCUAUUUCACCUUGAAAUUAGUUACUAAUAUACCUUUCUUUUCAUAAAACAGUAAUUGGAGAUGCCCUUAGGCCUUCCAUUUUCAAGUUUACAUGUAAUUACUAAUUAAGAUGGUUUUUCCUUGUUUAAAAUUUGCUAAACCAACCAUGAAGCUGUUUCACCUGUCAACUCUCUUUCUAAGCUACUAGUCCAAGGUUUCUCUUACAUCAAUGGCCAAAGAAAGGUGUUUUUCUUAAAUUAUCUCUUCUUUGCAGGAAAAACGGCAAUUUUUGAAAAGUUAAACACUCACUGAAAACCAAAUAUUGUUUUGGUGGUAGGACAGCAAACUGACAGCCUGACACAAACAAAUUUGUCUAAAGAAAUGUACUGCAUAAUAAAUUAUUAUAAGCACAAUUCAAGUUGCUUCAGUCUUUUACAUAUGCCGUGUGCUUGUCUUGUGCCCUCUUUGCAUCUCUAAUGUAAUUAUUUAUAGGAAAAAAUGAAACCCUCUCCUAAUGCUAGAUAAUAUUGUUAACACAUACGCAGAUAUCACAUCAUUUUCAUAUGAAAUCAGUGAUAUUUCCAUGAUAGAAGUGUUUUUCUUAACAUAACAAUAGCUUUUGUUGCUUUUAUGCCUGCUGAAAUACCCUCUAUUGUUUUCACUUUACCAUACAGUUUUUUUAAUAGAAAGUUUUAUACUUAUGCUGGAACCAUAAUGUGGUAAAUUUGGGUCACAAUCUUCUAUGUUUUGUGCUAAUCCUAUUUUAAAUUGCUAUAGCAGCAACCACAUUUUUCUAGAAUCAAUGUGAUUUAAUAUGUUUUUCAGCCACUUCAACUUUCUUGUAUUUCUGAGGAUAAUGAAAUUGUGAGUCUCAAAAGAUAUUAAAAGUAAAUCUUUGGUUAGAAGUUCUGUAUUUUAUUCCCUCUCUUUCUUCUGGUUACUUUUUAAAGAUGCAGAGCAUAUCUUUUGGUUUUAAAUUGCAUCACUUAAAUUUGCAGUAAGAUCAUUUGGAACAGAAGGGCGGAAAAAGGAUGGUCUACAAGUUCCUCCAAGUGAUAAAGUUUAUGAGUUCAUACUCUUCCGAGGAACUGAUAUCAAGGUAUACUGAUUAUCUGCAAUGAGAAUCAUAUGCUGUGCAUAUGAAAAACCAAAGUCUGGACUAGGUGUUAAGAGGCUCUUUCUGGAAACAUGCGUAAUAUGUAUUAUGAUCAUACUUGCUAUCAUUGCUUAUGCUUGAUUUCUUCUUGGAUAAACUGUCUGUAUUAGACCACACAGUUUGGAACUAGAAAACAUGCAUAGUUUUUUUUUUUUUUCGUGUUGUUUGUAAGUUCAGAAUUGUUGUCUCUGGUCAUUCCUGCCCCAUGUUCAAAAGAUUGACCGUUUAUCAACCACACACUUUGGCACUGUAUAGAUAGUCUAAAAUGAGGCAUACAACUUUGAACUUGUUAGCCACAGACAGACUAGGAUUUUUUUUUCAUGGCCUAGUUUUUUGACACCAUGUCACUACUUGUUGGUAGUUGUGAUGGUUUUGUAUUUUUGCUGUGUCGUCUCUUUUAUUUACACUCCAGAUGAAGUUCUGGCUAAGAUGUGCUAGGCUUGAUUCUGGGCACGAAUUCAUCAACCAUGCUUGCCUGCCCUGGACAGGGAAUUAUAUAAUUGUUAAGCCCCUGCCUCUGCAGAAAAAAUUUUGGUGCAGAAUAUCAUAAAUAAAGUGCCACUACAAUUCUUGACACUGUUUCUUAGGACAUCUUAUGCUUAAAAUCAGUUUCAGUUGGAUUUAUUAAAGCUUUGUUGCACACCAGCUCACAUAAACAUAAAGAAAUCCUUCAUUUGUUGAGUUUUGGAAAAUCAUGUUGAAUAUUUAAGGAGUUACAGUAGACCAUCAUUGAUUUUACUGUUUAUGGGCCAAACAUUUUGUUAAGUUGGCCUCUGAUAGUCUUCAUAUUUAAAUUAUCAUUGGAUAGCUCAUUUGUAUUCUUUCUUUGGUUCAUUUGGUCGCAGGAUUUGCAGGUCAAAUCUUAUCCACCUGUUCAGACUGCAACACCAGUACACAAUGAUCCUGCAAUCAUCCAGGUGAAGAAAAUAAAAAUCUGAAUAGUGCUUGUUGUAUCUUGGCUUGACAUGGACUGGUGAAAGAAUGUCUUGCCUUGCUUACUCACAACAUCGUUUAUUUGACUUCCCUGUGCAGUCUCAGUAUCCUCAAGCAACAACUGCAUCCAUGAAUUUGCCUUCUUCUGCUAAUGGACCGCUAACAGAUCCAAGUUCCCAUGCUUCAUCCAAUGGUCUUCCCAGGGCAACAUUUCAAGGGAGUCUUCCCCAAUAUCAGCCUGGUGCAAGUUUAGAACCAUGGGGUUUGUCACAUCUUCCUCCAACCACAAACACUAGUGGGCUUGCCAUGCCAAUGUAUUGGCAGGGAUACUAUGGGCCCUCAAAUGGAGUUCAGGCCCCGCAGCAAGCUUUGCUUCGACCCCCUCCCAACUUGUCAAUGCCACCUUCCAUGUUGCAAUAUGUGCAGUAUCCUGCCAUGAAUGCAUCCAACACUUCAGCUUCUGCACUCUUAGAAAACCCCCCUCCUUUGUUGCCACCAUUAAAUUUACAGACUUCUACCCUUCCAUCACGGUCUUCUGCAAUGGUUUCAGACUCAACAAAUUUAAUUCCUGAUAGGGUUUCUACUCAAACUCUUCCUAGUAAAUUGCCAUUGGCUUCCCCAUUGACCACUGCUGUAGAUAAAAUUGCCGUUGCACCAUCAGUUUCUGACAUACCCAAGACAGUGCCAGAUCCAAUAAUGCCUUUUAAAAGUAUUUCUGAACCUCCAACCUCCAUUAUGAGGGCAUCAAGUUCAGUUACAAACGAGGGAAAAACACCUUCUCUAGUUACGCCGGGCCAACUUUUGCAGCCUGGCCCCCCUAUAAUGCCCUCACUGCAGUCUUCACAUAUAGCUCAAAAGGAUGUUGAGGUGGUGCAGGUAUCAUCACCAGAAUUGUCAGCACCACCACCAACAACAGCUUUGACUGAAGUACAGGAAUCCAUAUUACCCCUACCUUCACAACCUGAACAUAAGGUAUGCAAAUUUGCCGAGAGCUCUAUUAUUGUUGACUUGAGAAAAUUUGAAAUUGAUCACUUUAAAUUGAUGUUUCCUGGUGCCUUGUUUGGUGAUAAAUUCUUUUCUACAAGUUUCUCACAUAAACUGUUUGAAUUGUAAUCUACCUCAUCUGUUUCUUUUCCCCUUGAAGGUAUAUGGAGCUCCUAUGUACACUUACCAAAGUAGUAGAGGAGGACGUGGAAGGGGAAGAGGAAAUGAGGUAUUUGUUGUUUUGCUUGCAUUUUUCCAUACUGGCAGAUUUAACCUUUUUCUUUAUCAUGAUCUGGAAAUUUGACUUUGAUUCUGUAUGACAUGACCAACGUAAAAUAAGAACCUUACAUUAUCCAAUGAGCUGUUACUUCUAAGGAAUAUUAAAUGGAAAGUUUCUGAAAACAUCCUACUUUAGUUUCGCAUGGCUCUAAUUUCUUUUCUCCCUUUCCUUGUUCGUUUUUUUUUGGGUUAUUUUUGCUUUUUUUAACAAUGCAAUUACUAGUUCUAGGUACAGAAUAGUCUUAGUUUUUGUGCUUAAUUUCUUCCUUUUCUUUCUCAAUCACUGCUAGUUCAUUGGUAACACCAGAAAAGCAGUUUGUCUGUAUUGCUUUUCCAAACCAAAUUAGUUAUGGCCAAUAUUCUUUGAGGUGAUGAUAUUGGUGGACUUUGAUUUUUAACAAACCAAUCUUUUGGAUUGCAGAUUGCACGUUCUGCUACCAGAUUCGAGGAGGAUUUCGAUUUUACAGCAAUGAAUGAGAAAUUCAACAAGGAAGAAGUAUGGGGUCACCUUGGUAAGAGUCACAAAGCUCAAGACAGGGAUGAUUUACUAGAUGAAGAUGAUGUUGGAUCGUCAAAACAUGAGGCCAAGGUAAACUCUCUCUCUCUCUCUCUCUCUCUCUCACACACACACACACACACACACACAAAGCUGCAAAGAUUGAAAGGAUCUUCUGUCUCCAAUCCAUUGUACUUGUUCUUACUCUGCAUUUCCUGUUCUGCAGCCUGUUUAUGUGAAGGAUGACUUUUUUGAUUCCAUUUCGUGUGGUGCUCUUGAUGGUGGAUCACGCAAUGGGAGGGCUAGGUUUUCCCAGCAGUCAAUAAGAGAUACCAAUGUCUGUGUUGUUCCCUAUAGUCCUCAUCAGUUUACUUUUUCUAAUUUUAUAAUCUAAUCUGAUAAAAUUUGUCAAUGUUUUUACUGCAGCUACUAAAUUAUGUUGGAUUGUCUAAAUUGUUUUGUUUUGUUUUAGAAUAGAAGUUUCAAAAACAUUCUGAACUGCUGAAAUGAUGAAUUUUUGUUUUCAAAUGCCAUGAUCAACCCUGUUUCUCUUUGUUCUGGAAUAGUUUUUGUUUCAUUAUCACUGAGCUGAUUUCUCUUGAUUUAAAAUUGCAGGCAUUUGGUAAUUUCUCCCACCAUCGGGGUGGUCGAGGUGGCUGGGGACCUGAUCGGGGUGGUCGAGGUGGUUGGGGACCUGAUCGGGGUGGUCGAUCACAUGGUGGUUAUUAUGGAAGAGGUUAUGGCUAUGCUGGUCGUGGUAGAGGUUAUGGCAAUGAUGCCUUCUAAUUAUCACUCGAGUUUACAGUGUAAUAUUUGGUGAUAUUUAGUUCCUGUCGAAGUCAUCUCACACCAACCGACACUGAGUUUGUAGGGUAAUGGUUGGUUUGGUGCUUGGAGUUUGCAAUGCAGUGAUCAGGUGUAACCUGUCACCUAAUGGUAAUGCCUGGCCGAAUUGGAGAUAUCCAUAAAUGGCGAUGUAACUUUUUCUCUGGUUGCUUGGAAAUGUGCUGAAAAUAAACAAAAGAACAUAUUUUGUUGAAUGACUAAUUUAUUUGUGGAGUUCCCCCACCUUUUAUGUAUUGUUUCUUGGCCCAAGUAAAAAUUCAAGACUAGCAGUUCUCUUGAAAUUAUUCCUCCUGUUUCCUUGCUGUGCUCAAAUAACAAGAGCAUGCCAGCAAAACAGCAGCAACUCUAUUGAAAUGGUAAAAAUUGAACCUUCAUGUUGCCAUGAUUGCAAUUUCAUAUAGGGAUAGAAGGAAAGCAAAUCCUCCAUGCCUGGCCACAACUUGAUCAUUGAAGGUAUCAUACGAUAUGUGAAAUUUCUCUGUUGUUCUGUUUCCUCUGAUCACUGAUCUGUCAUCAUCUGUUCCACUGUUACCUUCUUUAUGCCUCGUUAUGGAGCUGCACCACAUUAUCAAACUUUUUCGGUUUAUCAAUGUAUCAAACAUCGGUAGCAUAGGCGGAGGCAAGCCCUCCAUUGUUAAAAUGAUAAUAUUAUUGGCAUGUACUUUGUAAAUUUUAAGGGCUCAACCCUCUCUAGUGACUUCAAUCUUUUGUUACAAAAGUGUCAAAUUGAACUCAUUAGGCAAGAACAAAUCAAUAAACAAGAUGAAAGUUCCCUUGAAUGAGAGCUAACCUUGCUAUAAGCCCACGUAUAUGACUAGAUUUUUGUUUGACUUUCAAGGUCACAUAACCAUAUUAACUGCCCAAUGCUUUUGCCGCCCAAAUUGUCUUCAAGUCCUCUCCUCUGGACCCUCCGGAUACCAUCUCUCUCUCUCUUUUCUUCACUCUCUUAACCUUGCAAACAAAAGAAACAAGAAAAACUAGAACAAAACUUUGACAGACUCCUUCCAUGUCAACCAUGCUUCUCUUCCUUCUCAUUCUCCUUUUAAUCUCUUCCUCAGUUCUUGCAGCUUCUAACCCUUUCUCGAAUGCCAUGGAGAUCCUCUCAACCUCUGGCUAUCUCUCCAUGGCAUUAACCCUUGAAAUCACUUCGAAAAGACUCCAUCUUGAAUCAUCUGCUGCAACUAUAUUCGCUCCAUUGGACAUUGCAUUUGCAAGAUUAGGCCAACUUUCUGUUCUUGAUCUCCAAUAUCACAUCUCGCCAGUGAGACUUUCUGGGUAUUACCUCGAUAGUCUUCCUUUUGGUACAAGAAUCCCCACGUUGUUGCCAAAUCACUCAUUGAUUGUCACUACAAGUUUGAGUUAUUUUGAUGGAAAGUUGUCAAUCAAUGGAAUCUCGAUUGAAGAAUCUGCCUUGGUUGAUUUUGGGUCUCUGAUCAUAUUUGGUAUGAGUGAGUUCUUCAAUUCUUCUCUUGAGAUUUCUCCUAAUUUGACUCCAGCACCAGCACCAAGUCCUAGUCCAGUUACUAGUCUUGGCAAUACUUCUCAGAAUGAAUCAACAGGCUUGGAUGUCGAUUUUUUUGGCCAAGCUUCCCAUUUACUAAUGCCUAGAGGUUAUUCAAUAAUGGGAACAUUUCUUGAUGCGCAACUGUUUGGGAUCAAGAACCAGACAAGAUUGACAAUCUUUGCACCAGUUGAUCAAGCAAUGGAUGCAUAUGCAAAGAAUGUUAGUGAUUAUUCAUCGAUCUUUCGGAAACAUGUGGUUCCUGGAUUGUUUCCAAGGCAAGAUUUGGAAGGGUUCAAUGAUGGAACAAGUUUGCCAACUUUCUCAGGAGGGUUCAUGAUUAAUUUGACUAAGUCUGGUGAUGUGCUUGUGCUUAAUGGUGUUCCUGUUAUCUUUCCAGACAUGUAUCAAAGUGACUGGCUGAUAAUUCAUGGCCUGAACCAGCUGCUUACGCCACCAUUAAAGGAGGAGGAGUUAGUGGGGGAAUCAUUCUCAGAACUCGAUGGGGCAGAAGAUAAGCCAGAUGUGCUUGAUUUUGAUGAUUAUGUAUAUGGAGCACCAUGAAUGUGUAAAUGAUCAGUAGUAGUUUACUCAUUUAGUUAAAAUCCUCUUCAAGCUGCUGACACCUUCUCAUCAAGUGCAAUUUUACACCUCCAGAUCACACAAAGCCCUCUUUGCAUUAAAAAUCUUCUGCCAUGAACAUGAUUUCUGUUCUCUUGGGAACAUAGGAAGUGAAACUUCAAGUCUUCAGUUUAUUCUCAAACUUGACAAGUAAUUAAGAUCCAUAAGCAUAGUUUUAAGACCUUGGAACAAAAUUCUUCACAAUAUUAAUCAAUACGUUGCGAGGCAUGAAUUAUUAGACGAGGAAUUAACUAUGAACAUUUAAGUAUUAUGUUUUAAAUUGUUAUGAAAAACUAAAAUACAAGAUCAUGAACAUAAAUUAACACGUCUGUAUAAUCCUUGAGAAUGAAUUUUGAAGAAUUAACUCUAACUUUGAUGAUGCUACAAAAACACAUCACAUGAAGAAGUCACUAUGAACAUCGAUUGAGGAAAAUAAUCAUGUAAGCUAUCGACCUUUUUAUGCAUUCAUUCACACUAUUCAUUUGCAUUUUUUCAGAAACAUGAUGGCUAUAUUUAAAAAAAUACAAAAAUUAUCUAAUAAAUAAACAUUGAUUGUUUGCUACUCUAUAAUGAAUAAAUAUUUCACGUCAUAGUUAUAAAAAUUGAUUUGAAAAUCGACCUGAAGCUCGGAUUAUAUAUACAGGUGAGGGGUUGACCAUGGGUUAACACAGUAGAGAUAUCAAAAACUUCCUUGUAUUAUUCUGUACAAUCAGGAUACGCAUAUAUACAAGAGUUCCUCUACUAUUUAUGAAAUUAGUUAAAAAAAGGAACAAAUUAAAUAGGCUAAUUUAGGAAGUUUGCUCUACUAACAAUUAGCCUAAUAAUCUUCCUCUUGUUAAGAGAAAUGACAGACUCCCUCUCUCAAGUUGAUGCAUAGAUAUUAUUGAUUGAUGCCUAACUGUUGAGAGAUUCAGAAAAAAACUUUCUUGGAUAGUACUGUAUAUAUUAAAAUAUUUGUAGCUGAGCUUCAGACUUAACAAAAGGUAGAGUCACAAUCUUGGUGUCUAUUUUUUUUUUUGAAUAAAGUGACAAUCCAAUUCAUCGUGAUAUGUGGGAUCAUGUUGAAUUGAAUUAUUGACAAUUUCCCUUGCAAUUUUACUGUCACAGUAAAAAUUCAUAGUUCCCGAAGAUGGAUAACCUAUUUCAGAAAGAAACAACCGUAACCACAGUAACUCACAAAUUCCAUGAGUCAUACCACAAUACUCAGCUUCAAUCGAAGACCUUGCUAUAACAUUCUACUUUUUUACUUCGCCAAAUAACAAGAUUUCCUCAUCUAGAUGUAGAUUGAAGAUCAGAAGAAGAACCUGUCCAAUCAGCAUCUAUAUAUCCUUCAACAUCCAUAAGUCCAUGUUUACGAAACAUGAGUCCUUAGCUAGAGGUUGAUUUGAGAUAACUCAAAAUCAUCUUGACUGUUUUCAUAUGCUCUUUACUUGAAGAGUGCAUAAAAUGACUUACCAAUCCAACAUCAUAGGCAAUGCUAGAUCGAGUACAAGAUAAAUGAAUAAACUUUCCAAGUAACCUUUGAUACCUAUCUUUAUUGGUUGGUAUUUGAUUAGGGCACACUGGAUGAUUCUUUUUUUUUUUUAGUUUAACAUGGGUGUCCGGAUCAGCUUGCGUACAUCUCGACUAAUCCCACGGGCCCUGAAGUUAACGACCAUGUAAGCCUCCAGUGGCCAUCAUAUGAGCAACCAUAGGGCUCGAACCUGAGACCAUAGAAGGAGCAAAUCUCUUGGUCCCAAGCUUUUACUACUGGGCCACCACCUAGAUGGUUCACACUGGAUGAUUCUUUAUUGGUUAGUAUUCGAUUAGGGCACACUGGAUGAUUCUUUUUUUUUUUUUAGUUUAACAUGGGUGUCCGGAUCAGCUUGCGUACAUCUCGACUAAUCCCACGGGCCCUGAAGUUAACGACCAUGUAAGCCUCCAGUGGCCAUCAUAUGAGCAACCACAGGGCUCGAACCUGAGACCACAGAAGGAGCAAAUCUCUUGGUCCCAAGCUUUUAUUACUGGGUCACCACCUAGAUGGUUCACACUGGAUGAUUCUUUUUUUUUUUUAGUUUAACAUGGGUGUCCGGACCAGUUUGCGCGCACCUCAACUAAUCCCACGGGCCCUGAAGUUAACGAUCAUGUAAGCCUCCAGUGGCCAUCAUAUGAGCAACCAUAGGGCUCGAACCUGAGACCACAGAGAAAGCAAACAUCUUGAUCCUAAACUCUUACCACUGAACCACCACCUAGAUGGUUCAGAUGAUUCUUAACAAUAGGUGUAGUGGAUGACUUACAAUCUAAUAUAUCAGUUUCAGCUAACAAAUCAAGUGUAUAUUUCUGUUGAGAAAGGAAGGUUCCUUUAGCAAAUGAGCAACUUUAAUUUCCAGAGAAUACUUGAGACUUCCCGACACCUUCAUCUCAAAUUUGAAUAUUUGAUUUUUUCUUUUCUGUCUCCUCGGGAUCAUUUCUUGUAAAAAUCAUAUCAUUAACAUAAAUAAUAACAUGAUCACCUUGUCAUUUGAUAAAUAAGGUGUGAUCUGAGUUACUUUGAUUAUAUCUAAACCGUUUCAUGAUAAUAGUAAAUCGUCUAAAUCAAGAUCUAAAUAACUGUUUUAAUCCAUAUAAUAUCUUCUGUAGUUGAAAAACAUUACCACCACUAUCAUUAGGCUCAUAACCCAAAGGAAAAACCAUAUGAACUCUUUCCUCUAAGUUAUCAUAUAAAAAAGCAUUUUUAACGUUAUCGAAUUGUUUUAGCGGCCAAUUGACAACUAGUUUUUUUAAUUAAUAUUCCAAUAUUAGUGUUUUUCAUAAAAGAAAACUUAUGUAACCUGAAAAACCUUCUACAAACAUUUAAUUAUUUCAAUAAAAAAAUCACAUACAAUUAAUCUACUGAUUUUAUAAUUCAUUCCCAAUUCUCGUUAAAUUUUAUAUAUAUAUAUAUAUAUAUAAUGUUUUAAUCACACCUUCAAUUCUCUAAUAAAUUUCAUCGACGUAUACUUAAUUUAUUAAUCACAUUAAAAUCUUCAAUGACCAGAAAAAAAUAUCAUUUCAUUCUGUUAAAAUAAAUAACCAUAAUAUUUAUGUCCUCCAUUUUUAUUAUAUAGAAAGUUAUCCAAGAAAUUAAUAAAAGUAAAGGAAACCCAGCAUGGCGCUGACGUGGUAGUCAGCUGUAAAACCUUAAAAAAAAGUGAGUUGGAAUUUCUCUUCUUCCAAGUCCUUCCUCUGUCUCUUAGACAAGAAGUAACUAGUGUUAGAUUUUGUCUUUGGGAGUCUAGACAUAAACAAAGGCAACCGAUCAAAGAAAGGAAGGCAUAGAUCCAAAAGCCAAACUCUUUAAUAAAGCCAACCCCUUUUUUGCUCUACAUUUUUCUCCUUAUAUUUGCAGUUAUUUUUUCUCCCCAUCUUUGCAGUUAUUAUUAUUUAUUUUUUAAAAAAAGAAGAAGAAGAAAGAAAAAUGGCAGUUCCAGUGAUUAAAUUCCCAAUCUUGAUGAGGUUGAUUAGGUUAAUGGGGGUGUUAGUAACUGCUUUAGUGUUGACAUGGACUGUUCAUUACAGAGGAGGACUAGCUCUUGUCUCUGCUAACAAAGAUCUCAUCUUCAAUGUAAGAACUCCAACUCUCCCUCUCAUUGAUGCUGUGAUUUCAAAAUCUGGGCUUGGAUGAUUGGUGGACUUAAUGCAGUUUCUGUGUCCCAUUUGUAGGCACACCCUGUUUUAAUGGUGAUUGGGCUUGUACUCGUGAAUGGUGAAGGUAACUAUCUCUUUUCAGCUCUUUUGGCAUUACUGGUGUGUGAAUUCAUUUGUGCUGGGGAGGAGAUGAUUGAUCAAGAGAAUGUAGAUCUAGUAUCCUUUUCAUUUCUGGAUAUAGACAAGAGAACUCUCUCCAAGUGUUCUUCUAAUUGUGAAUCUAACAGAUAAGAUAAUUAAAUGUUCCAAGGACAAGCGAUGGUGUAAAACAUAGAUUGUAGGCCAUGUUUAUUUGAGCAGAAACGUGUCAAUGAUUAUAAGAUGAACGAUUUUGUCUUGUCCUGGAGAAGGUGAAGAGAGAAAACUAUGACUUAAAUUUGGCAUGUUAGGAACUUCUCAUGUUUUGUUAUCUUAAAUUUGAACUGACUCUUUUUUUUUUUUUUGGUGUUUUCUGAUUUUGUGUUUCAAAUGCUUGUUACGGACUCGUGCAGCCAUGCUAGCCUACAAAACGGUGCCAGGAACAAAAAGCUUCAAAAAAUUAGUUCAUCUGACACUACAAUUCCUCGCAUUUUGUUUAAGCUUGAUUGGCUUUUGGGCUGCUUUGAAAUUCCACAAUGACAAAGGCAUUGACAAUUUUUACAGCCUGCAUUCUUGGCUGGGACUAGCUUGCCUUUUCCUCUUCAGCAUCCAGGUCUUCACUUUUCCUUUUCACUCCCCUUCUUGAUUGCCCACAUGCACUACUACGCUUCUUGAAGUUAAUGAACUACUCAUGAUCGUUUCUUCAUUCCAGUGGGCUUCUGGGUUUGUAACCUUUUGGUAUCCAGGAGGUUCAAGAAACAGCAGGGCCACCUUGCUUCCAUGGCAUGUGUUCUCUGGGGUUUAUAUUUAUGCCCUAUCUGUUGCCACUGCUACUACUGGUAUCUUAGAAAAAGUCACUUUCCUCCAAACCAACAACGUGAUAUCACGCUACUCCACUGAAGCUUUGCUGGUGAACUCAUUGGGUAUCUUGAUGAUUGUUCUGGGUGGUUUCGUUGUUCUUGCAUCAGUUUCUUCUCUGAAUAGCAAAGGCGACAUCCCUAGAAAUGCAACAGAGUAGGCACAACAUGUACAUUUCUACAUCUGAUGAUUGAUUAAGUGGUGUAUUCUUAUUGCAUAUGAGUCACAGGUUUAUGAUUUAUUGUUAAAAGAUCAAUGUACCACAAAAAAAAUUCGCUUGGAGUUCUAUUUGUUUGUAUGUUGAACAUUGAGAAAGAAAUUCUGAACUUGGUAUUUUAGCAAAGGUUGAGCAGAGUGUUUUCUUUAAGGCUGCAACUAUAAUGUUGGUGUUUAAAGGAAGAAUCAUAAUUUUCUUUCUGAAACCCUAAAACCAAUAAUUCCGGCACCUUGGUAAGGUGGAGCUUCUUGAUCAAAAUGUAACUAUUGCUUGCACAUUUUCUGUAAGAUCUCGUUAUAUAUGCCAUUGUCCAUGGAGGUCAAUGAACUUGUUCAUGAUCUUGAGCAAGGAGAGGAUCUAGGUUAAUGGCAAAACAGUUGGCUUUCCCAGCUUGAAAUUUCUUGACUAUAGUUUAACUGGAUUAAAGAUUUUCCAAAACCACCUAUUAUGGAAUAGAUGAAUGAAAUUCUUUAAGAGGUACAUGAAAAUGACACGAAUGGAGUGUCAUAUUGAGGAAACAUAAAAUUCAUAGCUCCUUUUGAUGACUAUUACAGGCUAAAUAUACUGUUAUCAAUUUGUGAAAAGCUUUAUCUAUUGUCAAUUGAUAGAUUAGGGACUACUUUGACAUCUUGGUGAAAAUAGUGAGUUUAACCAUGAUUCGACUGUGUGUGUGUGUGUGUUGUGUUUAGACUCGGAAGAUAACAUGGCCUCUACUUAAAAAUUAAAUAGUUGUUGAUGUUGUAUGCAUUAGCCCUGAAAAUGAAUGCUGUAUUAAUAAAAGCUGGUGAAUGUUUGAUCACCGAUUAAAAAACAAAGCAGUAAAUACUCAGUUAAUCUCGUACUAAAAGUUUUGAAAAAACAUUAACAAUACUAUCUAUAUAUAUAGAGUUCAAGGAUAUAUAUACUAAAAGUUUUAAAAUUAUUUGGCGAAACAAAUAGAUUUGAUAUAUAUAGUAAUAAGACCAUUAUUAUUUAAAAAGUUAAAUAGUUUUGUUAUAUAAAAAUAAAAACUAAUAGAUAAUUGUGGAAACAUAUCCAGCUUUUACGAGAAUCUACAUAAUCCCUUUAUUUUAAAAGUUAAAGCUUUUAAGUAAUAAAUUCUUAAAAAAAAAAUCAAGAUAAGAAACAGAAGCUUUGAUUAUACCAAAUAUUUGUUUCCUGACAAAAGUUAAUGCACAGAUGACUUUCAGCAGUGCCAACCAUGGAAUGGAAUAAUAACCUCAUAGUACAGUCUACUUUUAGAGUAGGUCUAAAAAAGGCAUAAAUUUUCCAUCUAAUUCGUGCAAAUAUUCCUUCAUGUAAUGUACAUGUAGUCAAGUUGCACCAGCUGCUUGUAUCACAUGAAAAAGGCACGAAGAAAAAUAGAAAGAAAGACAAACAGAUGAAUGGUUUUCUUUUCAAGUCAGAAAUUCAAAUACAAUUCAAGGUGUAAGCUUCUGGCAACAAAAUUGUCAUCUGCUGAAAAAUAUUUGUUUGACAUCCCAAAAGGGAUACAUCUCUGUCACAAGUUCACAACAUACAUGAGUACGCACGGCUAAAGCUGCCCGGAGAGGCAAGAAUUGCACUCUACACAGUCAGGAAAUAAGAAACAAAAAUGUCAAAAACUCAGCAUCAUUCCGCAAUUGAGACCAAGAGAAAGAAAAGAAACCAAUUGAUUAGCAGUUUUACUAGCCUUAUUGCUCCAGUUGUGUUGUCUGGGAAGGCGGAUAUCGGCAAAAAUUUUGAGGAACCUGGAUGAUAUAUCUGCAUGCAUCUAUAUCCACAAGUGUUCUCUUUGAUAAUCUCUUACUAUGACAGGCACACUCGUAGGUGGAACCUGAAAGCACCAAAUAAUACAAGUCAAUAGUAGCUUCUAUUAACAGAUGAAAAAAACAAUUGAAUAUUAAAUAAAUAAAGUUAAGAUUGAAAUAGCAGGUGCUUCCUCUCAUUUCCUCUCAUUCCCAUCAGUCUCAGGUCCAAGGACACCAGAUAGAUCACCUAGCUUGGAAGUUGGGAGGUUUCAAGCAGACGUGUAUUGAUGUGUAAAAUGCACAUGUAUCAAAUUUCAAUUGGAAUAAUGCUCUAAAUACAGACAAGUGGAACCACCAUUAACUUUCAUAAUAGCAUAAAAAUUAGCUCGAAAUCAGACAACCUACCAUGCCAUAAUCAGUGAUUAUCAUUGAAAUGUAAUCUGAAGGUGUUGCAUCAUAACUGUCCGGCAUGUAAGAUCCAAGGUCAGGUUCAGAAAACCAAAAUAUUUCAUAAGACCAAUUAGUAUCAAAAGAACUUACAUCAAAUUCAGAAGCUGGAGAUUUUCACUAUCAGUCGAUCCAUCAAGGAGGUUGAUAUCCUCUCUUCCACGAACUUUUGAAAUCACAUCUGGAUCACCUGCAAGAAACAGACAGGUAUUGGAGAUAUUAAGCAUGCAGUUAAAAGUCAGUCAUUGAUUGUAUGAAGCACCUCCUAUAGCCAGAAAUGCAUACCCAGCUCAUUAGAACAUAAUGAGUCAAGCUGUACCCUUUCAUGAAAUUUAUAUGCUUCACAACAAACUAAUACUGGUACACGGAAUGCAUGAGCAACCAUAGCAACACAAGCAGUCCCAACUCUCGAGUAAACUGUUCCGUUGGACAGGACUGACGAUGCACCCAGAAAAACUCGAGUGACUUCAUGCAUGAUAUAAGAAAUGGCAUUUACAUGAGUGUAUGUACAGUCGAUUCCCUUUCCAACCAACCUAUGAAGCAAUAGUUGCCCUUCAAGCUUUGGACGAGAAUCCACUACCACAACACGGAACUGUUUGCCAAGUUCAUGAGCAUGCAAUAGUACCAUUUCAACUGCAGAAGGCGAUCCAUAUGUAAGUAGAACAUCACCAUCACUGAUCUUUGUAACAGCAUGCUUGACUAUCACCUUGUCUGCAAGUAUGAUCUUCUCAUUUAUGAAUCUAUCGAUGUCUGAAUGAAGAGUUGCUUUUACUUCCGCUUCAGACAAAGUCAAAGGUAACUUGGCAAUUCGAUUCUUUAGAAACCUGAUUGCAUUCCCCAUGCUGAUUGAAAGGGGGCGGCACUCGAUAAGAAAAGAAAGGUAACUACCUAUUUUUGCUGUUAAGUCUCGAGCAAGAGUUUUUUCAGAGGGUGUUGAGUAGUCUUUAAUGGCCUCUUGGAAUGCUUGAAGCAUUGCAAUGCAGCGAGCAUUGCCACCACAUACGUCUCCUGACAAAUACUGUAAUCCAACCUGCCAACAAGAAGAAAAGCUCAACAAUUGGACAGCAAAACCAGAAUACCUGAUCCCUUAUAUAAUGAACUUCAGCAAAAGUCCAAAUAACCGAUGCAGGAAAGCUUUAAUUUGGGCUUAAGAGUUACUCUACCAUCAAUAUAGGUGGAUAGUGAUUGGGAGGUUUAGGGAUUCAUAAUAAGGGAGAUUAGGUUUUGAAACUGGGUGCUUAAGAGGUAGAAAAGGAGCAGGAAAGGUGAUCUGAGUCUGCUGGAACUACAUUUUAACCUUAAAAGCCUCAGUAAUUCCUUAAGAGAAAGGGAAAACUUUGAUGUAAUCCCACCAGUAAGAACUUCGCAAAAUUGAAAAAAAAUAUUAUUCUCAAAAUAACUAUGUUUAGAAGCAAGUACAAUGUUGGAAAGUAUAGAGUCAAAAGAAAUCCCAAUCUAGGAAGGAAAACUAGAUGCCACAAGGAAAAGUAAAGAGUACUCUUAAAUCAUUAAGAACAAACCCUCCUAAUUAAUCAUUCUAAUAUCAAACAAAACAAAAACCACUAAUAACCUUAAUUUCCAACAAGCAUAUUACUGCAAAAUUGCAGAAAUACCCCUACUAAAGGUUCAACAAUAACUGUCAUAUACUCUCAUGAACAUCUAGCUGAAAGUUGCGUUCAUUGAUUAACUUCUACAUAGAAUCACAAUGUGGACUAGAUCAUGGUUAGCAGGUACCAUACAAAAGAACAAAACACCAAAACAAGAAACAACACUGUGUAGACUUGAACUGUAUCUAAAACUAUAUUCCAGUUCACAUAGUUACCUAGGAUUGUUUAAUUCAUUCAAUGUAUGAUAACCAGAAGAUAUGUCCACCAAAGGUGCAAACUAACAACUUCAAAAGAAUACCUUGUAGACAGCUGGGUGCAUUGGGUCAAGCUCAAAGAAUUUGGACUCAAGUUCAGUAAGCUGAGUUCGACGUUCAUAUUGAGGUAAAUGCCUGAACAACUCAACUCUAUUCCUAGCUUCUGUUUGCUUUACCACAGCACGCCUCUUUGCCUUUUCCACCCGACUCUUGUCAUCAUAUUGCAUACGUGGUUGGGGGACUUCCUUCUUUCUAUCCUUUUCGGGUGGCCUAUCACCUCCCUUCUUCUCCGAAACUGCAACUGUAGCACUAUCAUUCUUCUGUGAAGGCGGCUUCACAGAUUUAGCUGACUUCGCAGAAGCUGCAGCCCCAGAUGCAGCAGCAGGUGUCUUACCACCUUCAGCUAAUAACACGUGAUAGAAACCAUAAUUAAUGAUAGGAUUGUUAUAAAAAAGCCUUAGACCAGCUUUACUAGACAAAAGAAAACUGAUGGCCAUAAUCAAAUUAAACAUCAAAGGCAUAGUUGCAUUUAUUCCAUGAGUAAUUUGUUUGCAUAAAAACCAACCAAACAAGGGACAAGUGACUCCAUGUGCUCAUAACCAAGACAAAAAAUAAUGUAAUUAAGACAUCUGAGCACACAAAAUAGCAAUUAAACAUAACUAAUUACAGGCACCAUCACUAAAGCAAAAUUUAGCAUUGAAAAAAAAGGGACAAACUUUGAUGUUUUAAAAGAAAAUGAAACGGCUGUAUUCACCUUUGGCAGCGGCUUUCGCAGCUCGUUGAGCUUCUUGAAGUGCACGCCUCUCUGCUUUUGUAGUUUUCUCUUUCAAUGACUUCGAACGUGAAGAUUGAUCAUUUUGCAUUUCCACCGCCACCCCGCCACCCUUCUCUGCAAUCACACAUAUUUUUACACUCCUUUCCAUGCAGACUUAAAUCACCAUGAAUUUUUUUUUUUUAAAUCCCCUAAAAAGAAUCCAUGCAUUACUUCAAGUCUUCAACUAUACAAAAUAACACAUUACCAAACAUCUAAAAUUAUUUAUUAAGUUAAACAAUCAGCUUAAAAUAGUUAAUAAUUGAAUAUGAUAAUUAACAUAAAUUAAAAAGGAAUACCAGAAAUACCAAUAGGUAAAUUGUUAACAACCGAGACCGUAGUCAAUCCACUCGCGGGAACACUACUCGCCGCUGAUUUAACCGCCGCAAUAUCAAACCCUAACCCUCCCGGCAAGCUACUCGAAGCAGCAGCAACACCCCUCCGCAUCAUCGCCGACGCCACAUCAUCGGAUAAAGAGGAGGCGGUGGGAGAAACAGGAGGGGGGAAGAAUUCAGCGGAGUCACGGCGGAGAGGAGAGAGAGUGGCGGAGGAAUGGCGAGGAGGAGGGAUCAUGACAGGAGAGAGAGAGUUUCCGGCCGAAGGAGGGGAGCUGUCGACGAUAGAAGGAGGAGAAGUGGGGAAGGAGGAGAUUGGGUGGUCGGGUGGACCCCAUAGAGAACGGUCUGGUGGGUCAGUAAAAAACCCGACUUUACGGACCUUCGGGUCGCUUACGGUUCUUGGGGCUCGCCGAGGGUCCAUAAUGUUGGAGAGAGCGAGGGAGGGAGGGAGGGAGGGAGGGAAACUAGGGAUUCAUAAUUAAAAUGGGGAGUUCGGAUUUUGUUGUUGGAGAGAGAGGAGAAAAAUUUGGGGAUUUUUAUUACAGUGAUACAGUUGCGACGCCGAAAGCAGUACACUCAAAACGCUGUCGUUUCUCUGCAUUUCUCAUUCUUCUUGCUGUCAAGACGACCAUCGAUUUGACUGUUGAUAUGAACAGUUAACUGUAUUAAUAUAUUUUUUUAAUUGUUUAAUAACAUAGUGAUUAAUUGCAUCAGCAAGUAAUUCUUUCCCACUCUGCAGAAACUUGCAGAAAUUGUGUCAUAUCCUAGAACUUCAAUAUUAUGAAAAUUUUAUGGCUCUGACGACUUUUGGAACGCGUUGCUUAAAAUUUUUUUAAAAAAAGUUUGUUAAAAAUUAUAUUUUGAUAUAUAUAUAUAUUUUUGAUUAUUUUGAUGUCAUAAUUUUAAAAAUAAUUUUUAAAAAAUAAAAAAAUAUUUUUUUAAUAUAUUUUGAUAUAAAAAAUAUUUUAAAAAAUAAUUGCAACUACUAGACUCACCAUUAAAAUUGAAUAUUUUUUUUCAUAUCUAUUAAUUGAUGGAGCAAUUAAACUUUCCCUCACAACUUUACUAGUGUUAAUUAAAUUAUGGAAUCUAUCUUUUUAUAUCUUUCAUCAUUAAUUCUUAAAUACUUUUUUAUAUAAAAAAAACAUUUUAUUCCCUUUCUCAACAAACUCUUUCAUUUAUAUAAAAGCAUAUAAUAACUAAUCAUUAAAAAUUAUUAGAUUAUGAUACCAAUUAAUAUAAAUAGAAAUAUAAGUAAAAAAAACAAACUAAAAAGAUAAAAUUGAAGUCGAAUAGGGUUGUCAAACAUAAUCCUAAUUCAUAAUUUAAUUACUGAAUAUUUCUCUUCAAAUAGUCUAUCUUUUUAAGGUAUUCAUAAUUCCUUAAAUUAACCUAAAAAACUAACUUAAACAAAAUAGAAAACUUGAAAAAUAAAGAAAUAAUAAUAAAAUCUCUAAACAAGUUAGAAAAAAUAAAAGUAUUAAGCAUAUUAUUUAAUAUAUGAAACUAAAUAAGAAAAAUAAUUUUCCUCCUGCAUCAAAAGUCAGUUUACAUAUCUUUUUUUUAACAAUAAAUAAAACCUUUAUCUGAGCAAUAUAAAUUAUGGAGCACAUUUUAAUUGUGUUAUUUUUGUCAUAUGUUUUGAGCUUCUUCUUCUUUUUGUAUAGUUGUUUAUGUUCAACAUAUGGAUACAAUUUGUCUUACAAAAUCAUUCAUAUCAUAUGAGUUUCAAUUUGUCUUAAAAGUGUUAUGUUAUAUAUAAGGGUAAAUUCAUCUAUUUUAUUUUAUUUAAAAUUUUAAGUUAACCUAUGAUAUAAUGUAAAGUGUAAUUUUCAAAGGAAUUGAGGUAAAGUAAAAAAAAAAAAAACUAAAUAAGAGGGGUUUUUAUGUAACUAUCCUUUUUUAUUAAAUAAUAAAGAAUAUUCUCUUGAAUCCCUCCAAUGUAAAUCAAAACUAAAUCUUUUUUCAAUGAUCUUAAUAAUACACCUUUUACAUUGAAAUUAAAAAAUAAUCAUUUUUUUUAGUAAUAGUUUGAUCUUUAAUGCAGAUCUUUUUUAUCACACCCCAACCCCUAAAAGUUUUUUCUUAAUACAUUUUAUAAAUAAUAUGAAUUUUCAAAAAUAUGGGUCUCACCAUGAUUUAUGACGAUUUCAUUUGAACCCAUAUAUAUUCAAAUUAAUUCGAAUAAGUUUGAUAAUUAUUGGAUAGUUAUUAUUUGGGUUCGGUUAAAAUAAAUAUAAAAGGACAAAGUCGAGUAUUGAGUGAAUGGAUAUUGCUCAACAUGAUUGGAAGUAUGAAUUGAGUUUUACUUGUGUAUUACAUUUAUAUUUAUGUCUAUAAAGUUGAUGAAAACUACUUUCUUAUUAACAAAAAUCUAUAUGAGCUUAGGUUUGCAUUGUGGAGGCUUUUAUAUUUCAUUAUGGAUUCGCACAGUGAAAAGAUAAUUUUUUCUCUUCGCAAUGAUAACCAUAUUCCUAUCAUUAAAUAUAUUAGAUCUAUGCUUGGAUAAUUGGUACUCAAAACCCGAUCAACUCGGGUUUGGGUCUAAAAUCUAUAUUCGUUAGAUGAUGAGUCAAAUAUAGAUAUUAGUUUUAAGUUUUUAUAUAUAUAUAUAACCAAAACCCAACUAUGGAUAUUAACCAUCAUUCUUCAUUGGUAUAUGUUUUCAGGAAAAUGAUAUGAAUGAAAAAGUCUAUUGAUCAUAUUAUUAAAAUUAAAAUUAUUAAAAUAUAAUUAUGUUAGGAAAACACUGUAGACUAAGACAUAGUUCAAUAUGGAUUUGCACAUGUUUUUCCUCUCUUUUUUUUGGUCCUUGAAUACUUUUUAUUCUAGUCAUUGAGUUGGUAUUUUUUUUUAAUUUCAUGAUUUGGCAUUGCAUUGACUAAGAAUGGAUCUUGAUAAUUUAUUUUGAUUAGUUUGCUACAAGGUUUUCAUGGAAUAAAAAACAUGUCUCAAGAUUAAGUUAGUGUUCUAUUUGCAAAAUAUAAUUCAAUUUAAUUGCUUAAAAUAAAUUGAGACUUCGGUGAUCAAGUUUAAAACUAAAACAAAAAAUGAGCCCUAUUUCUUAAUUUUUACUAUUCAUGAGACACAGAUUUUAAAAUUUUGGUCCUCAAAGUUUUUUUUGUUUUUCAGUUUUAAAAUUUUUUUAUUGAGGUUUUGACAUUUCAAACCUCCAUUUUUUUUUUUGCGUUUCAAUCCUUGAUUUUUUAUGAGGAGAGAGAUAAUUGCUGGAAAAUGAUAGAGGAGAGAGAAAGUUGUUAGUUGUCCACAUUAUAGCAACAAAAAAUAUUGAUCUUGAUGUUAAUUGGUUCUGUUUGAUAAGAGCAAUUUAUUUAGAUGUUUUUGACCCCAUAUCUUGCACACACAAAAAAAUCGAGGCUGGAUAAAAGUUCUUGAUUUGAGAUUAUUUUUGGUUUUUUAACCAAUCAAAGAUUGUCUUGAGGUUAAAUAUGACUUUAUUGAAGUUUAUAAUGUUUUUCUUAUGUAUUUUCAGGUAAAAAGGGUUAUAAAAUAGGUCUUUUGGGUCCAAGAAGGCGAGACCUGACUUUUCAGCCACCUCUUCAAAGGAUGGAAUAUAACCAGUGGAUGAUAAAUUGUCUACAACUAUAGAUGAUACGUCGUUUAUUUUUUUUUAAAAGAAAAAUGGACAGAUAAUGCAUUGUCCACUCAUUCUAAGAAAAAUAAAAUAAAAUGGCCAAGGAUACCGAUCUAGCUUUUUUUUAAUGAGCCAGGCGCGCCAUACACCUAACUUGUUUUUUGGCCUUGUUGUUUUUUUCCUUUAAUUUUAAUUAAGAUACAUUAAAAAAAUUUAAUUAAAAAAAUAUUUGGGAUAUUAUUCUAUUAAAUAGUACUUAACUUUCACUUUGUUUUUUUUAUAAAAUUAUAGCAAUUUUUUUAAUAUUAGCAAACGUUCUUUUUAUACAGAUUUUCAUAAUUUUGUUUUCUUAAAUUUUAUUUGGUGAUUUUCGUAUGCAUCUAUUUUUUUUAUUUUAUAAUUAAAUAUAAAAAUAUAUUAAAAAAACAAAGUUAUUAAAUUUAACUAGGUCGACUCAGGUUGUUGGUUUGACUGCUUAAAUCGGGUCAAUUCAAAAGUUAUCAUUUCAGUAUUUAAAAAAGAAAAGUUAAGAUAAUGUUGUCUUGAUUUUUUUUUAAAGUUAGACCAAGUUUUGACUAGGAUGACCGGAUCAUGUUUGGACCUGCCAAAUCAAUAAAGUUAUAUUGCAUCAACUCCUGACCUGUUUUAUUUGAAAUUCAUGUCAGUCAAGGAGCCAAGACGAGGGUCUCCAAGUUGACUCGUUGAGCCAUGCUAUAUAUAAUAACAUUGUCAUGCUUAAACAUUGUAUUAUUCUUAUAUUUUUUAAUAUAUUCAUGUCAAUAUUAUCAUUAUAUGUUUUUUUAGUAGAACUUGCUUUUAUGAUUAUGUUAAAAUGUUGUCUUAAAAACAAAUAUUCUAGUAAAAAAUAUAUAUAAAAAAUAGAACACAUUAAUAAAUUAAAAGGGUUUUAAUUAGAUAAAUACAUUAUUUAUAUUUAUUUUAUUUUAAAUAGUCUAUUUUAUUUUAUAUUUGUUCUAGUUGCUUUUGAUUUUUAUUAAAUAAAGAAUAUAUAUAAAAGUUAUGUUCUCUUGCAAAGAAACAAAUAUUAAUAAGAAAAUGAAGAAUUAUAAUACUAAAUUAUUUUUGUUUCAAUAAAAUUUAAAUUAUUAAACUUCUAAAAAAACUCCUAAAAACCUCCAUAAUAUCAAUCACAUGCUAAUAUAAUACCACACGGAGCAGGUAUGAAAGCAAGGUAAGCUUCUGCUGUCGAUAUGAUAUAACAGGAGGCGAAUUCUUCAAAGGAUUCAAAAUGGAAUGCAAAGUGUUGAUUUUGAAGUUUGAUAUUACUGGCACCAGUACUGUGGUUUUCCUUGGCAAAAACCCAAUAUCAUACGAACAUCGAUACUGAUAAUAGAUAAAUUAAAUGGAUCCAAUCAUGAGGCCAUUAUCAAAAAAUAACCGAGUUGGAUGUUCAUAAGUUUUAACACAGCCAAAUUCAUCAAAGUAGAAAUUACCCCUACGUUUUAACCAAAUCGUUUUGAGUGCAAAUAAUCAGAGGCAUUGCUGAAAUGCUCAUCAGAUCACAUGAAGCUUUUGCAGGCUGGCCCUUUAGACAAUCCAAGACGAACUUCCAUCCCACUGUGCAUGUCCACUGGACGGAAAGUUUCAGACUCACGAGGAUCUGCAAGUGUCAACACAGAGGACUCAUCAGUAGAAGUCACAGCAAAAACCUAUGUGAGUUGCCAUUUCCUCUGAAAACAUAUGCCAAAUUUAACCAGGUACUUUACCAGGAUCAAAUCAGGGAGAAUUUACAGAAACAAAUUUGGCCCAUGUUUAGAAUAUUUUUAUCAAUUAUAAUUUAGCCAUCACACAAACUAGACUGCAAAAUACCCGUACCCUAUUCAAAUAGCUAUUCCGAACCCCAAAGUGAGUACACGAUCUGUAAUUAAUGUACUAGAACCAUAGUUAUCGAAAAACAAUUGAAUAGUGAUAUGAAAGAUUCAUUAGCAUUCAUUGAAAGUUUUACCAACUGUAGAACCUUAAAAUUCUAUGAAAGACGGUCAACCUACCUUUGGUCAUUAUGAAGAAGGAUAAUUUAUUGAAAUGAAAGUUAAGUGUGAAUUCAAGAAAAUAUAACCAGCUCUAUAAAGAACAGGCAGGUUCAAAGGAAUAAUCCAAUACUAUCAUACUGAAAAUAACAUUUUUCUGGUUAGCAAAUAGUAGUUACCAUUCAGAUAAUCCUCGAAACCAAAAUCCUCCAAACUUCCUGUCAAAGCCUCUAGUCCUAGCAUUGAAGAUGGAAUUGGUCCUUGUGGCCUCUGGAAUCUGCAAAGUUCACAGAUAAAGAUAGUUAAUGCUAAAUUAGAGCAUAAUCUGACAAUUGUAAAACUAAGUAAGAUCUCACAUGUUAUCAUUGUCUAUUUGAAAAAAUUAGAACCGCUAUUUUGCUUCCAUAAACAUUAAGGCUCCCAUGAAAAGCACCACCAGUAAUCCAUUUCACAAUUACAACAACAAGCUAAAAAGACAGAAUCGCACACUAGCGAAUCCACAACCACCUACAACAACAACACCACCAAAGAAGCACAAGAAAUCCAAUAAUUCUCAUAUACACCUGCAUAACUCAACCACAUUCACCCUAACACAACUAAAAACCUAGAGCAAUGUUAAUCAAGAUCCGCACUAUUUCAAGUUUUAUGGCCUUCCAUUCAUAAUCUAAAGUCCAAAGCUCCUCUAAACAACGCACUUGAGCAAAAUUUCCCCAAUCUGCAACUAAAACACGAUCUUAGUGCACUUUUCUGAUUAAAAAGAAAAGCCAAGGAUACAAUUAUUUAAACCAAAAUUCACAACGAAACAAAAGCCCUUCUUUUAACCAUAUAUAGUAUAUUAAAAAAACCAAUAAUCAGUCAUCAACAACAGGUUAUUUUUUCACCACAAAGUAAAUCAGCCAAAAACACAUACCUAGAAAGCAUCUGCCUUUCGAUGCCCAUCUGAACGGGAAAGGCUGCUCCAUAAACGUUCGCAAGUGUUAUUCUCUUCAUAUGCUCUUGAUUUCUCUCCACCUAAAAAAACCCAAAAUUAUCACCUUGUUAAGCAAAGAAACCAACUUUAAUUUCAACAAUCUAUUUCAGACAAAACCCUUAGACCCCAUUAUCAUACUUAUGAAAGAUGAUAAACAAAAGGGUAUAAAACUAAUUUUGUUUCAAUUUCAAGGCAUAAAAAACAAGAAACGAGAAGAAAUCAUUACAGAGAGCAAGGCAGAUUCAAGAGGGUGAGAUCCAAUGAUGUCGCCUCUCUUGGUAUCGAGGCCGAACCGAAGAGCAUCAUGGAUGUCUCCAAUUUGAUGCUCGAUCAUCUUUGGUGCUUCCAUUCUUUCUCGUUUUCUUCGAUUUGUGAGCAAGCUACAGAAGGAGAAAGUUUGGAGGCAUUUUAUUAUAGAGUGUGCAAAAAGAAAAGGAAAAAGAAAAAGAAAAAGAAAAUUUGUUGUCACGAAACGACGACGUAGACUCUAUCAUCUUAGGAUUCUUUGGGUUCAACUGCCUUGUUAAGUAAGUCAUGAAUAUAAAUUGAUAAAAAGAAAAAAAUGUUAUAGGAAAGACUAUCCAUGCAUUCCAAUAUCCGCCUUGGAAACACGGGAGUCAAUCUGUGUUUUAAAAAGAAUUAUAUUUUUUUUAUUAAAAAUUAAUGUUUUUUUAUAUUUUAAAUUAUUUUGAUCCGCUAAUCUUAAAAAUAAUUUUUUAAAAAAUAAAAAAUAUCAUUUUAAUAUAUUUUAACAUGAAAAACACUUUAAAAAACAACCACUAUUAAAUAGAAAAAACUUCAAGUUGUUUGAAUACAAAAUUGAUAUAUGUGAGACAGAUAAAGUCUAAUGGUUUAUAUAAUCAUUUUCAAGAAAACAAGAAGAAAAGAAAAUAUGAGAGAAACAUAAAGUCUAAUGGUUUAUAUAAUCUCAUUUAUUUUCAAGAGAAUAAAAAAUAUAUAAGAUUUCAAAGUAUUUAAAGAAAUAAAGCAAAGGGAGAGAAGUGUGCACCGAGAGAAGAAUAAAAAAGUAUGAAUAAAUUUUAUUUCAAUGUCUCAUUGAUUUCAAAGAGGCAUAUCUUUUAAUAAAAAGUCAAAAACUUUUUAAAAUAUAAUGUCACAAGUCAAUUAAUUAUUAACACUCAACUAUUUUCAAUAUAUAAUAGAAAUAAAAUAGCCGCGCUAAUUUUUUACCAAUAUAAAAAAUAAUCAUGUUAUAGCAACGUUUUAAAAAGUAAAAAAUCUAAGAAUUUAAUAAAUUAAAAAGGUCGCACGUGUUGUGUUGUAUGAGUAGUAACCCGGAAAGUAAAAAAAAAUAAAACACCAUAAAACAAGCUUCUCACACUUACACUCACAUAAUUAAUUUAAUUAAAAAAUAAAAUUCAUUUAAAAAAACCUAAUUCAAUAAAGGCUAAAAAUAAAAAUCCAAGUUAACCAUUAUUACUUUCAAAAUAAAAACAAAACCCCAUAAAAAGCAAAUAAAAAAUUUAACAAAAUAUUAGUGGAUUAAACUGAAAAAAAAUGAGGUUUAAAAAAAAUCAAGUAAAUCCAUGUGAACUUUGUAAACUCGGGUUAAUCUCUCAAACUCAUAACCCAUUAAAUUGUAGACCUAGAUUCAACUAAGAAGCUCAACACCCACUCAAUUAAAUGAUGGAGGAUAAAAUCAAUAAAUUUAAUUAAAUUUAAUUAAAAAAAUUACUUUUUUAAAAAAGUUAGAUAUAAAAAAGACCAAAAAUAAACCUGAGGCAACAUUUGUUAUUUUAAAAAGACAGAUAAAUUUCAUAAAAAAAAUACUGAAGGAUAAAAUUAGAAAAAAACACAAAAAAAAAAAAAACAAGCAUGAAUGAACUUGUAAACCCAAAUUAAACUUUUAAAUUUGCAAAUCGUUAAAUUUUCAACUUGAGCUCAACACUUGAAGACUUAAAUGUUGAAGGAUGAAAUCAAUUGACUUAAUUUACUUUAAAAACAAAAUUUCUUUUUAAAAAACUAAAUCUAACAAAGACAAAGAAAACCCCGAAGCAACCUGUGUUAUUUUUAAAAUGAUUGAAAAAACUCAUAGAAAACGAAUUAAAAAAACAACAAAAUGUUAUAGGAUGAAACAAAAGGAAGAGCUUAAAAAAGAGAAAAAAAAAUCAAAAAGUCAAGUGAACUUCAUAAAUUUGGGUUAAUCUUUUAAACUCAUAAGUCGUAAAAUUUUAGACUCAUGCUCAUCUAUAAAGCUAAACACCCAACUAAUUAAAUGUUGUAAGAUGAAACAAUAAAAAAAAAAUCAAUCUAAAACAAUCUUGUAAGGUAAAAAAAAAUAGCAAUAAUCACAAAAAAAAUAUUAUAUUUGAUAGGAAAAAAACUUAAGGAUUAAAUUGUAAAAAACAAAAUUCAAAAUCAUCUUAAAUAAAAAAGAUAGUAAUGAAAAGAAUAAGAACUAAAUUUUUUUUAAAAUUUUUUUAUAAAUGAUGAAAUUGAAAAAUAUUAAAUUUAAUAAAUUAUUCUAAAUAAAAAAAUAUAUUCAAGAUAAUGAGACCAAAUCUUAGGGAUAAUAACAUGAGGGGAUAAAUUGAUAGGGGCGCCAAGACACUUUAAUCACUGCUCUAAAAGCUAGGUUUUGGCCACCGAAUUAACGAUACUGCAUAGGUCGUCAAAAGAACUUCUAAGUCAAAGGAAUUUUUUUAAUUUUCAAGGGUAAUCAAGUGUUUGAAAUCAUUGAAAAUGUAAAGUAUAUCGUCGAGCAUGUUGCCCAUGAAUUUCAUGCAAUCCGUUACUAUGUUUUUAUGUUUAAAUAGAAAUCCUCUGUAUGAGUUUAAGAUUACUUGUUGACGUCCUUUUUUCUAUGAUAAAAAAAUAGUUUUUUGUUUUAUUCAAACAACUCCAUCAUUUCCAAUUUUUCUUCUUAUCUGAGCAAACUCAUUUUUCAUCCGCGGCUAAUCCUUCAAAGAUGCCAGCAAACUCAUUUUUCAAAGUUGCAUUUACUGUGUUGUUCAAUGAACUGAUGAAGAGGUAAAGAGAGAGAAUUGGUCAAAAUGAAAGCUUGAUGGGAAUUUGGAAAAGAAACAAGAGGAUUAGGUGUCAGCAAACUAAUUAGUGUACGCGUAUGAUUAAUUUAUGGUUAGUGUUUUGAUAGAACUUAGAAGUAGUAAACAUGAGCUUCAACUGUCAUUAAUUUCCUCUAAAAAUAUCAGCAAAAGAAAUAAGCACAGAAAGUUGGUGAAAUUAGCAAUGAAAAACUGGAAAGCUGGCAGAGACAUAUGAUCUUAAACAACCUUGAACUGUAUAACUCGCAAAUUAGUUCAUAUCGUUCUGGGUAAAUGAAACCAGAGAUAUAGACCAUCUUCUUGCAAGAGUUUGAAGUCUUGUAUAAAGAACGUUGCAUGGCUCCCACUAUUUUAUAGCCAUUAACAUCUUGAUGGAAGCCAAAGCCAAACACCAUAUCAGGACAAUUAGUUCAUGUUGGAGAAUUAAUCAUAGCACAGGGGAGGAAUCAAUAUUGUCUUGUUGCCGGAUUCCGUUAAACAACUCGUGUGUUGCCACCAUAAGACAGAUCACUAAGACCAGCUAAACCAUUACUAUAACCCAUAAUAUUUGCUAUUUAACCCAUACGGCUGUAUGUUUUGAAAGGCAUGUCUUCAUCAUUGAGGCUUGACCAUGGAGCUUGAGGAGGAGAGAAAGCUUCAGUCUUGACGAGUGAUGGAGGUGAGUGGUAAUGCUGUUAGGCCUUGAGAUUAGAAACAGCCAGUUUUUUGAUACGCACUUGAAUACCAGCAAAUUUUUUACUCGUGAUCUUGAUAGAAUCUCUAUGAAGAGAAUCUCAAUUUUUUCCUCUCGAAGAGAAAUAAUUCAGAGCUUAGAGGAAUGAAAGCAAAAAUUAUCAUUAGGGUUUAAGGUUUUGCAAAUUCAUCGUUUAAUCACUACCCUUAUCCAAUCUUAUUUCAAAUCCUAAUCGAAGUUGAUUACAAGAACUGGGAGCUCGUACAUGGGCUGCCCUGAAAAGAACUCACAGGCUAGGGCCAGCAUAGGACAGCUUUGCCAUGAUGGCCCACGACAAUACCAUGUCGCCACUACUUUGGUCAAAUCUCUGGGUUUAUUGUCUUUAAAAGAGUAAGAGAUAAUGAUGUUAUAGGAGACACUAGCUAGGUAGCCAUGUUACACCAUAUGCUAGACCAAAUCUUUUAUAAUAUAUAAAAACAAAUAGAAGUGAUGGUAAUUAUAAUAAUUUAAUAUUAAAAGUUAAAAUAAAAAAAUUAUUUUUUAAAAAAAAAUUGAGAAAAAUACCCUAUUGGGCGGUAGCAUGUUUAAUGUUUUUUUUCAAGGAUAUUUUAGUUCUUUUAACUAUUUAAAAAAAUAAAAAUAAAUUAAGUCGAGGAAUGUUUUUAUUAUUACAAGAGUAAAUUAGAAAAUAUAAAAAGAACUAUUUACCUAUUUAUUUUGGAAAUACCACUUGUACCUCACAAAAAAUCAUUUUAUUUUUAAAUUUGCUUUUUUUGUUCUGUUGUUAUUAUAUAUGGGAAAAACAUUAUUAUAUUAUAGUAAUCUAUAGUGCAAUGAGUCUAUUUCCAGAGUGAAUCAUUUAACACCUUUAGUUUUUUUAUUAAUAUUUUUUUUUAUUUUGAAAUAAUAAAAAUUCAUUUUAAAUUUAUUUCAAAAUCAGAUUUAUUUUUAUUUUAUAUAUCUUUCUUUGCUCAUUUAACCAAAUACUUUUUUCUUUAUCAAUAAUUUUUGUUUAUAACAUUAACAAAUAUUGCAAACUAGUGGAUGUGACUAUAUAUAUUUGGGAGUGUGGUAGCGGUUGCUUUUCAAAGUGUUUUUUAUUUCAAAACACAUCAAAACAAUUUUUUAAAAAUUUUUUUUUGAUAUUAGCAUAUCAUAAUGAUAUGAAAGUAUUAAAAAAUUACUAAUUUGAGGCGAAGAAAAAAAUAAAAUAAAAUUUAAAUUUUUUUAAAAACAUUUUCAAAAUGUAAUUACAAACAUACCGGAAAUAAAGUGGGAUAAGGUUAAUGGAACGCAAAUUUGGUGGAAACGAUGGUGAAUAAAAAGAGGGAGAAACCUUAGUAAUUACAAUUGAAAAAUGUUUUGUAGUAAAAUCACCUCUGCUCUUCUUCAGGAAACUUCUGCUCAACUUAUUAACAACGUUUUAGAUAGUUUAAAACCAGAAUAAGUUAAGAAUAACUGAAGACAUCGAUCUGUAAGAGAGAAAACUUUUACAAUUUAUCCUAAGUUUGAGGUGAUCAUCGCACAAAUCUCUCAAUGAGGACAUAGUUUUGAUCGGAGCUAGCAUGCGUUAAUUAAUACGAUAAGAUUGUGUUUGAAAAUGCAGUUAUAGCUGUUUUUUAUUAGAAAAUAAUAUAAAUCAUAUUUUGGGAUUUUAUUUAACAGUUUAAGCUAUUGGGUUAAGAUGAUUCUUUGACAUGGUAUCAGAGUCUUAAUGAUCAAGUGGUCUCGAGUUUGAAUGUCACCAUCCCUAUUUAUUUGAUAAAAAUUAAACACAAAGUAAUGUGGACAUGUGCAAGUUUCAAGCCCAAAGGGCUUUCACUUGAAGGGGUGUGUUAGAAAAUAAUAUAAAUCAUAUCCUAGGACCUCACCUAACAGCUUAAGCUAUUGGGUUGAGAUAGUUUUUUGAUAUUUUUUAUUUAAAAAUAUAUCAAAAUAAUAUUUUUUUAUUUUUAAAAUUAAUCUUUAUGCUUGUAAUCAUCCAACAGAAUUUACAGAAUUUUUCUACUUCAAACACGAUAUAUAUAUUCUUUUUGCAAGAAUUUCUCUCUCUCUCUUUCUUUCUUUAUUUCAACUCACUGCGCCAUUGCAGCUUGGUCAAGGGCCCUCACCAGUCACCACCUAAACCUAAUAACUAUUUUCCCCUUAUUAAAGACCUCCAGGCCUCUCACGUACUAGCAGGACUAGCACUGCUUUCCUCACAACACCAUACUCUCUCUGGUGAUUAGCUGCUAGCUCAAGAUUUCUGGAUUGACGUCGUCGAGUGGAUUUCCCAUCUAAAUUAAUAAAGUACACACGCGCUUUACCUAAUCUGUCAGUAGAGUAGAGGCAACCAGAAUAAAACAAAAAAAAUAUUCAUCAAUUCUUUUGACUGUCGAAAGCUGAUUCCUCAAGAAUAAGAUCUCUCUAGUUCAUAUAUAAAUUAAUAGGAUAUCUCGUAAAUAGAUGGAGACUCCAUUGUGUGUGGUCUGUGUUUUACUGUAACAACAAAUUUAAAAAUAUUUAAUUAAUUAAUAAACACUAGUAUACUAUACAUAUUUGCGUGAGUUCUACUAAAAAAAAAUUAAAUAAUAAUUAAAAAAGCUAUAAUUUUGAGUUUUUUUUUUAAAUUUAUAUUUUCAAAUCAUAACAAUAAAAACUAUCAUUAUACUAAAUCCAAUUUAACUCAUUUGACAAUGUAAAUUAUAUCACAUGGACAAUAUAUUUAUUUCACGAAAAUACAUUCCAUUUCUUCUGGUCUCUUGUAGUAUGUGUUUAAUAACAUAAUGAUAAAGAUGAAUAUGGUAAUUUUUUUUAUGUGGAAUCCAUAUUAAAAAGUUAAAAUUUUUUAUGUAAGACUUGUUUUUAAUGAUAAUGUUUUGUGCAUUAAAUGAUUUGUAUUUAAAAAAAAAAAUGCUACCACAUCACAUUCUAAAUACAAUUUUAGAUUCUGUUUAUUAUUUUAUUUUAAAAUUAUUUUUAUUUGUAUUUUCAUAUUAUUUAAUGCAAUGAUAUUAAAAAUAAAUUUUAAAAAAUAAAAAAUAUUAUUUUAAUAUAAUGCCGCCUCAUAAGUCAUAACUGUGGCAAGUUGUGCAUCUAUUCGGCAUUUAUCCUGGUCCUUGAAAAGGAAAAAAACAGAAGAAAAAAGACACUUUUUUUUUUUAAUUCGAGAAAACCCACCUCCCCGCAAAAAACAAAGACGCUGCUAAGCUACCAGUACCCCUGAGCAGCUCCUACUUCUGUAGACUGCAACAACUAUAUAUGAUGUCCAUAUAAAACUAACUACUACGUACUAUGAACAUCUGCAGGACUCUCAGUCUCACACUCGUUCAAGGAGCGAACAAACUCUUCACUACAAAGUUAAUAAAAAGGAGGAAAAGUUCAAAUAGUUCUCAUUGUUAAUAUUAUUGCUAGCUAGACGUUCACUACUUCAAAAGAUCUCAGGCUGCUCAGCCAUAAAGAUUAACGGUCACUUUUCUCCUUGAUCUUUGUUCGUCAGAUCCCAAGAGAUUCACAGAAAGUAAGUCAUAAUUACUUACCGCUGCUUUCGUGACUUCUUCUUCUUCUACGAUUUUUGUUUCAUUUGAUGUCUCUUUCAUUCCCAAGCUUUUCACUGUUUGAUUUGUAUGUUAGUACUGUUGCUUUCUUGUGGUAAUUUAACUGUUACUGUUUGCAUUGCUUUGUCCUUGAUGUAUAUAUAUAACUACGUCGGUAAUGACUGGAAAAAUGGUGGAGAGAAAAGGAAAAUUAAAACAAGAAGAAAACAAGUUCAGGCUAGAGUUUUUUUUUGAAUCCAAAUCAUAGCUCUGAUAUACUUUUUCCUUAUGUUUUUCUUCAGCAACAUGAUGAAUUUGAAUGGAAGUUUCAGAAUUAUAUGUCGAAGCACAAAAUAUAUAUAUAUAUAUUCUUUGCCUGCAAACUGAAUUGUUGGGUUAUUUUAGGGACUGAAAAUGGCACUAUUAUUUUUCCCACUUCUUCACUGUUUUAAUGGCAUUCUCUUACAUUAAUUGGCCAGUGCUAACAAAAAAUCCAGCAAUGAGCAUUGAUGAUGGAAGUGAAUGCACUGUAAGGUAAGACAGAAACGGCCAAGAACGUUCCCCCCUGUUUUUUUCUCUCUUAUAUUUUGUGCAAUAUAUGCUUUAAUGAUGCUAGGCUUUGGCCUAAUAAAGUAUGUGUUCUUCCACAAGUUUAGAAACAUUGCUGAGAUUUGUUCUAGUGAGAUUGCUUUAUGAAUGGCAUACAUAUAGUUGACGUGCAUGGAAAUGACUUAAUGAAAUUGUGUGAUUAAUUCUAUCCAUGUAUAUAUUGACGCAAUAUAUAAAUACAAAGAUACUUAUAAAUCAAAAUCUUUUUAAAAACUAAGAACAAAGAAAAAUACACAAAAAUAUUUAGUUUUUAUUUGUUAGUCAUUACAAUUAUUCAAUUAUAAAAACUAUAAAAUUUUAAUUUGAAUAGAAAAACAAUUCCUUUUAAUAAAAAACUCUAAUAAUACUGAAUAGAAAAAUAAAACACAAAUAAAUAAAUAAAUAGAAUCCUAGAGUUAUUACUAUAAUUUUCCAAUAAAUCACUUGCUUAAUUAAAUAAAACUCAUAAAUCUUAAGAAAAUUAUCAGCUAAAUAAAUAUUACAAUGGAAAUUUUUUAUUUUAAAAUAAUGAGAUUUAUGUCCCGCAUCAUGGAUCAUGUCUAACUUACAUGAGUAUGAAAGGAAAGUUGUUGUGGCAGGAAUAUUAAUUGAUUUUGGUGGGUUUUUUUAAUUUAAAAAAAGCAAAACGAAUUAAAAAGAAUGAAAAGGAAAGAUGGAGGUCAAAUUAGGAGUUCGAUAAGGCUAGGAAGGGUCAUACGACAGAUGAGCAAAGCCCUCCCCAUCCCACCUAGUAGGUGAACUGUUCUUUUACCCUAUAUAUUCAUCAGUGUUCCUACCUCUCUGUCCUCAUGGUUUAGAAUUUACCAACUUUAUAUCCUUUAGUUAAAUAAAAAAAAACCAUAUUUUUAUAUUUUUUUUAUAUUUCACUCACCCUUUUGCUCUCAAAUCUCCAUAUAUAUAUAUAUAUAUAUAUAUAUAUAUAUAUAUAUAUAAUAAAAUCUAAAAAAACACUUAAAGGAAGAAAAAAAAGAAGCUAAAAUUUGCUAAUUGUUAGGGAGAAAAUUGAGAAUUUUAGAAAUUAAAAAGGUAACUUUGAGAAUUUUUAAACUAUAAAAGCAAAAAUAAAACAUUAAUAAACCUGCAAUGGCAAAAAUUAAGUUUCUUUUACCUUAUAUUGUUGUUUAGGUAUAAAGUUAAGCUACAAUGGAGCUAUGUACAUUUUAAGUAAAUUUAUAUCAAGACAUAUCAUAUAUUUAAAGCAUAGUUAUAGGAAUUUACUUGAAAUCAACCUCAUUUAAGGUCUAGGUUGCGAAUCGGGUGAAUUGAUUCAAAUCAAUACAUUUUUUUUUUUAAUUUAAAAUGAUAUUAUUUUAAAAAAUAUUAAGUUUUUCACUUGCACUGGACCAGCCCUUAAAACAACGCUCACUGGGUUGAUUAACUAGAGCACUAAUUUAAGUCUUAUAAGUAGGAUUUAAAGUAUGAAAAAGAUGUGAUGGGAUUUAGGAAAGGAAACAACAACUUUAUUCUUUAGUCCAUGACCUGUUAUAUAUAUAAAAGAUUAAGAACUACAAUUUGAACAUAAACAAAAAUUAUAAAUUGAUAGAUGCUAUGGAAAAAAAUUAAGAUUCAAUUAAGAAAUGAGAAAGUGAACAAAAUAAGUAUGAUUGUACUAUUGUUAGAUUCUGUAUGUUUUUUUUUCCAUAAUAGUCGAUGAUAAAGAAAAGAGUAUAAAAGUUUUGAUAUAACGAUUCAAAAUUUUCAUGUAACUUUCGCAUUUUUAAUCAUUUUGUUUGAGUAUAAUGUGGUAAAUAAUUAUUUUGUGUGCAAUUUAUCUAAACAAUUCAUUCCAUUAUUGAUCCUUUAGGUUACCAAAUCUGUAGCAGAGUUUCCCCUAUAACUUACACAUUUUCUCAAUUUUUUUUUAACCUUUUAGGUAACACAAUUUCAAAUAACUCUAUUACAUAUAUGCAAUAGCCUUCAGUCACCCACUAGUUCAAUUAUUUCUCCAUUUGAUUCUUUCUCAUCAUUUCUCACAAUUCAUCUUAUAUUCUUUUCGUUUUCCUUUUAUGCAUUAUCUUAUGACAUCUAAAUUCAUAUUUAUCACUUUCGACGCUGUCUUUACUUUAUAACGAAUUACAUAAUACAUUCAACUAUGAGGUUACUGAUUACACAUCACUACGCAGCAACUCAUUUUCUUAAUUUCUGAUUCCUCGAUCAACUAAUUAAUAUUUUAUUUUCUUAGUUACCAAUUUUUUUGGGUACAAUCCUUAAAGUAACUAUGCAUACUAGUCUCAUGUUUUUACAUCACUAUCAUCACUUAACAUAAUUCUUUUGUAACAUUAUCAGAUUUUCUAUUUUUUAGGUAUCACAACUAUUUAUUAUAUUAUCACCCCCCUUAACAUUUGUUUUAACUUAGUAGCACAUCAAACAAUAUUAAGUUUUAAGUUAUCAAUCAACCCCUCUAUCAUAUACAUUUUUAAGCAUUGAUUCUUCAUAUUACACAAUGGUUUUCAUUGUACAAUCGAGGAUAGUUUUAAUAGUUUUUGUUAUUUGGAAUCAACAACACCAUGAUUUUCGCCCAUUUGAAAAAGACAACGCAAUAGUUUUCAUUUAUUGGAAUCAACAACACCAUGGUUUCAACACACUUGGAAAAGACAACGCAAUAGUUUCUAAUUAUUGGAAAUAACAACACAAUGGUCUUCAUUAAAAAAUGAAGACAACAACAUGAAUUCUCUUUUUAUUAGGAACAACUAGGAAGUAACCUUCAUUGUCCACAAUUUAAUUUAAAGGACUUUUCAACUUAAAUAGAAGCGUAGAGAAAUAAGAACCUACAUCAUUAUCCUAUCAUUAACCAAACCAUACUUUGCUUCCUUAAUUAUCAUUCUUUUGGAAACUAAACACCAACACUUGCUAUAUUUUAAAGUACCAAUAAUUGAUCAUCAACUAUCAAUUUAUAUCUGCGAUCAUUAAGUAUCAUUCCUUUUUUAUUCUUAAUCCUCAUAUCACGGUCACCAAGUAUCAUUCUAUAUCUCAUCUUAGUCACCAAUACUAUGACCACUAAGUAUAAUCCGACCGCCCCCUCACGGAUGCCAAUCAUUUCGACCAUCCCCUUAUAAAAGCUAAUAAAUAUGAUCAUCCCCUUAAGGAUGCCAAUAAUUCUAGUUAUCCCCUUACGAAUGCCAAUAAAUUCAGCCACCCCUAUACGGAUGCCAAUAAAUCUAAUAUAUUGGUACCCUUAUACCUUUCUUUCUUUUGCAUUUAUUUCUUUAUAUAUAUAACAAAAUAUUGACAGUAAAAAAUAAACAAAACUAACCCUAUUUAAAUACGAGGAAGGUGAUGAUCAUCUACCUAAUUUAACUAUUUCAUCAAAUUUCUCAUGCACAACCUCAUUCUAUUUUAAACAUUUACAAUGUCUAUGCAAUCUAUAUUCAUUGUCUCAACGUAUCCAACUUAAACUCAUAAUCACAUUAACACAUAGUUUCCAUUAUAUCUAAUUCAAUUCAUAAUCACAUUAUCACAUAAUCCCAUCAUAUCCCGUUCCUUUCAAAAAAACAUUAGUACAAAAUCCUAUCAAAUACAAUAUCAAUUCACAAUUAUAUCAUAGCAAAGAAAUCUUGAAUUUCAUAAAUUAAAAUUGUAUAAAUUCUAAAAAGAUAAGGUUUGAAUAUUCAUGCACCUCGAUCUUUUGUACAUAUUGUCGCUCCUUGUUGCUAUCUUAUUACUUUAGCCUCACUUAUACCACCAAUGAUACAUUUAUCAUCAACAAUGUAACCAAUAUCAAUAUUUUAUUUCAAUUCUCAUUCAAUCAUCAUUUUCAAACAAUUAACAAGGAAAAUCCUUAAAAUUCCAUACACAUACACAUUUUCCAUUUAGAAAUUUCAACAUCAAGGUUUCCAAACCUUAUUUCUAUACAUUCUAGACAAAUAUCAUCGUAUACCAAGUAUCCAUUUAAUUCAAUAAGUCUACUUUUUUUUAUAAUUUCCAAAGCUUCCACAUUACAUCAUAAGCAUUCAAUAUCUCAAAUUCACUCAACUUAAAUCAAUAAUUUCACAAGAUCUCAUCACAUGUCUUACAUCAAAUUCGCGUCUUAAAUAUCAAGAAUAUACUUUUCAACAUUCUUUUAACAAUUUGAGUACUUAUCCUGCAUGAAUACACGUACUCUUACAUUAUCAUAUAUUAAACUUAAGAUUUGAAACUCAUAACGUUCUAAUUUAAGCAAUGCUAUUAUGUAAGCUUCUUUCAUGCAUACACAUAUAUUAUGUUUUUCUUUUUCCCAUAAUAAUCAUUCAUAUCCCUUAAAUAACACAAAUGAAUUAAAGAAAGUCAAGAAAAGACCAAAACAUAAAAUUGAGCUCCAACAAAACAGUAGACAAAAUGGUCUAAUCAUUUUAAGAAAUGGUCUCAUCAUUUCUUAAAUUGGUCUAACUGUUUCUCAAAACGGCUAGUCUGUUUUUGGUUUACAUUUCUAACAGCAGUUUCAAACACCAAUAAUUAACAGAAACGUGAUAUUCAAGCCAAUCCCAAUGGUCAAGUUGUAGUUCAUCAUAAUACUCAUAACAUAUUCAAAUAUCAAUAUCAUCCAACGGUUAUAUUACCAGAACAAGGUGUUUAACCAAACUGACCUUAAAGAUUACAUAUCUAUUGUUAAGGAAGAACAAUAUCUGCCUGAAAUGUUUGUUUUUGAUCUCCACUGUUAACACUUUAGAGAACACCUGGAUGGACAAUGAAUCAAAAUUACAACCCAUUUUAACGGUUGAUGAAGGAGCAAACAUCUGACGACUACAACUGUGCAGAAGAGUGUUUUCUCUAGAAAUUGUCCACUGGCUAUAUUUCUCAAACAAAACCUGAUAUGAAAAAUCCAUUUGGUUAGAAUUUAACGAACAUCAUGAUGAACAAUAUACCCAAAACAAAGCCCGAUCUAACAGUGAAAAUGAAGAUAUAGAUGUCAAAGUUCCUACUCUCAAUGUGUUUUCUCUCAAAGGAAAACUCAAUCUCACUUAAAGCUCUCAAUCCUCUCCCUAACCCCUUUAUUUUGUUAAGAUUUUAAGAAAAUAAAUGAAGGAAAAAAGCUUUCUCUCUUUACAAACUCAUAAUCUUACUCAAUAUUGUUUUAGCAAGGACAUGCAAAAAGGAUUCAAUAAAGAGGAACAAUGAAGGAAAAUGUUUUUGGGGUGUCCCGAGCGACCCUAAGAGAAAAGAAAAUGAGCUGAUUUUCUUGUCUCAUUGUAUUUAUACCUCUCCUUUUAAUAACCCUAGGCCUUGUUUGGCUAGUUACCAUUUUACCAUCAUUCAACCUUUUUUUCCUGUAUUUAUUAUUUUUUAAUUAAUAAUUACCCUAUUUAACUCAUAUUUAUCCUUUUUUUUAUUAGGGGUUUACAUAUGAUCUAAAUGAGAUAAACUAUACAACUGCAUCUAUUUUAGUUUGUUCAUCUAAAAAUGUCAUCCGCACUACGAUAAAGAUCAUUACUAGUGUAAGAAAAAUUCGCCUUAGUGGUCUGCAACCAUGUAGAUAGACAAUGUAGGAUCAAAACAAAGAUCGAGUCCCAAUCUAGCACUUUGUUAUUGAAGAUUAAAUCAUUCCUAGCAAGCCAAAUACCCUAAAUCAUUAUAGCCACACCCAUAAAACAAUAUUCACUAAAAUAAUAUUUUAUGAUUUUUUAGUUUUGUUUUUCAAUUUCACAUUUCAACAACCCAAUUUUUUUUUAGUUUUUCUUCUUAAUUUUAUCUUUUAAUAUUAGAUUAUUUUGGGAACUGUGUUUUAUAAUUGUUUUUUAUUUUCUUUCUGUCAUGUUAUAUACGGGUCUCAUUGAUUUAGCUUUUUAUUUAUUUCAACAUUCAAUAUUAGAUCUAUUGGACAUAAUUUUUUUCAAUUUUUUUCAAUUAAUUUAUCUUGAUCUCAUGACCUAGGUUUCUAAUUUAAUAGUUUAGUCCAAGUUGACUUGAGUAAUUUCUUUUGUCACUUUUUCUAAUUGAUUAUUUUUAUUUUAUUUUUAAACACUAGGUUGGCUAGAAAUUAGUCUUCAUAAUUUCUUUUUGAUUUUAAUUCUAUGAGAUUAUCUCAAUCUUAUGAUCAAAGUCAUGAGUUUGGUGGGUUAACCUCAGUUGACUCAGUUAAUGUUUUUUGAAGUUUUUUAAUUGAAUUUUUUUUUUCAAUGUCACCCUCCAACAACUCAAUAUUCUUUUCUUUUCUUUGUUUUUUUUCUUUCAAUUCCAUCCUUCAUUAUUAGGUUGCUUGGAAAUUAGCCUUUAUGAUUUUUUUUAAUUUACUUUCCGUGGAGUUUUCUCGAUCUCAUAGAUGUAGUUAGUAUUCUCUUCUCGAUUUCAACCUUCAAUAUUGGGUCUAUUAGGAAUGAAGAUUUAUAAUUUUUUUAUUUAUUUUUUAUGAAGUUAUCACAAUCUCAUGAUUUAGGUCCCAGGUUUAACAAAUUAGUCUGGAUUGACUUAUGUUAUUUUUUUGUCUUUUUUAAUUGAUUUUUUUCAAUAUUAUCCUUCAAUUCUAGAUUGGUUUGAAAUUGAACUUCAUAAUUCUUUUUUUAUUUACUUUCUAUAGGAUUAUAUAUAUAUAUAUAUAACUUCAUAUCUUUCAAAUGAGAAUAAGAGUUAAUUUAUUAGAGGAUAGCUGCCAUCGGAAUGCAUAAUGCAAUAAUUUUGUUUUAGCACAAUAAAUUCUUAAGAUAUGUGUCCUUAAUUUCUAGGAAAACAGAUUAUAAUUAAGAGCUUGAAUUGUUUCAAAUAUCUAUAUUUAAAUAUUUCUCAAGAAAAAAGAAGAAGAUAGAGAAGGGUCAUUAUCUGUUUCAUGUGAUGCUUAUUUUAAGUAUAUUCUUAAAUGCAAUUAACAGAAUGAUUAUACUCUUAUUGUAUAUCAAACUGUAUACAUAAACGACAAAAAAUGAUAUUCAAAUGUAUAUCAAACUGCAUUUUUGCUGUCAGAUAUAACUAGUUACAUAUGCAGGUAGUGCUUACAAAGCAUUAGGAUAAAAUGGUGGCUCUACUUAUUUACAAGCAAUUCGACCUUUGAGUCAAAAAGGUUGUUGACUUAAACAUAGGCUUCUGUCUGUUGGUAGGAAGACAUGAGAAAGUGGAAUUCAUGGAGAUUUUAUGGGACUGCUGUAUAACUUGGUUAAACAUCUAUUCUCAUUUUUCAUACUCAAUGCUAGAAGGCAAAACGUACUUGCUAUAAUGCAUUAAUUAGAUGUCCCAGAAAUUAAUGUUGUUAGAUGUGAUGAAAACUGUCACAAACAUCAUGGAAAGCAUGAUGACAGGAAAUAGUAACAUUCUCUCUUUUUCUUACAUCAAUUUAUUUAAGUGACAAUGAUAUAUGUCAUGUUAGAAAACCAAUCCCAUAUAAAAUAAAUAACUAGAAUAUGUAAAAAUAAUAAAUAAAGUUAAGAAUAUGUCAUUCAUAAAAAAAAAAGUUAAGUGUAUUGUGAAUGAAAACCAAAUUCAACUACUGGAGAAAUUACAGCGAAUCUUAAUAAUAUUCAGGAGGAAGGUAGGUACAAGUGCAAGCAAAUAACUUGAGGUAGAUCUCCAUAUAUGAUUCUAUGGGAAAAGUAACAAGUAGUAAAAUGUGUCUAUCUCUUCAAACUUAUUUUUAUUUCCCAGAAACUGAUGAACAAAUUAAUUUUCCCAUAAUCAAAUUGGUUUUAGUAUAUCAUUUUGUAUUGAAACAGGAGAUAUAUCAUUGCUCUUUUGGUCACACGAAUGAACAAGAUUGUAGCAGCAAGUUCAAGCAUGGAUGCAAUAACUUUCAGGAUUUCCACCACAGACGCUUGAAGGUAUAUAAAGUAUGAAAAAGGGGGGAAAAGGAAACAAUUUAAACAUCUCUUAGUUUGUAUAUCGAGAUUUUUUUCAGUUCACCAAAAUGUGAUUAAUUCUCUUUUUUAUAGUUGUAAUUUUUCUACUUAUGUGGAUACAAUAAAAGGUAAAUUGGUAAUGUCAUAGAAUGAUGAAUAUUUGUUUUAUAGAUAAAAAACAAAGCAUAUAAUUUUCUAGCAAUUUCUUAAUCUGUAAAUCAUAGAUUAGUAUGCAUAUAUAAGAGGGUUUUGUUUCUCUUAUACAUGUUAACAAGCUUCUAAUUUUUAAAAUCAUUUGAUUUAUAUAAUUUUCUUAGUCAGACAAGAAGAGGAAAUUAUAAAAUUAAUUGAUGUUUCUAGAUGAGGUAAGUAUAUAGAAAUGUGAAAUCAACAAAUAUUGUAUAGAAGUGGUCAAGUUUACUUGAAAGUGAACACAAGCUAGACCUUCGUCUACAUACAAUUAAAUUGCCAGUAAGGAUUUCAAAGCAUUAACUUAAAUCCUGUGUGUUUUACUAUUAAUAAUUUUCGUAUAGCACAGUUGAAUUGCCCUAAUUAUUUUCAGUAAACUCUAAAUUCUUUUUAUUUUUUAUUUGUAGGAAGUAUAUGGUUUUAGCUCCAACUUUAUUUAGUUUUAGCAGUUCUCAAGCCAUGCAGCAUGUAAAACUAUGGAGGUAGAAUGUUCUGAAUGGUGUCUGCCAUAAUCAGUUCCAAAGAAAUCCAAGAAAAAAUGGAAAAGAAUAAAUCAUCCUCUAAAGCUCAGUGGUUGUUAGUUCCAUAUACAGCUUGAAGUUUUUUUUUUAAUUUUGUUUUAUAAUGCUUUUAACCAAUAGUUCUAGGAAUGAAACAUCCUCCUUGACAAAAGUGAAUCCCUAUUGUCCAUACUCAUUCUUCCAGUGUGUGGUUGCUAUGGAAUCAACUUCUUAUGUUGAAAAUAAAAGGGAGCUUCUGGUGUUGGGAAUUUUCUUUGUAGAACAAGAGUAGGUAAAUUUUGAGGAAACUUUUAGUAGCAGCACUCAAAUAAAAUAUAAAACAUAUGGAGAGCCAUAUUUUAGCUAAGUUUGUACUUUGAUUUAGAUGCAAUAUUGAUGUUUUAAAGCACUUACUGGAUCUGUAUGCCAACAUUAAGUUGAGUUGUUAUCUGCUAAACCAAAAUGUAAUUAGCAAAAUAUCAUAGAAUUGAGGGAGACAAAUAUACAGAGAUAAGAGAUUAAUUUAUUUUUAUUUGAAAGGUACUCUAUUUCUAGGAUACCAAGAGAUUCAGCAAGAGAACUGAAGCUUACAUCUUUAAAUAGUAUUGUUCAUAACACCAUCUUAUACAAUACUGUUGACAUCAAUUGUUCCCAGUCCCCCAAAGUUUUCCAUUCAGUUGUAUUUCUGCAAAAAUCGAGGUUGAGAUUGAAUCAAUUGUGACUGAAAUGUGAGAAGUUUUGUGUUCUCAUAACAAACCUGUAGACGGAUUCAUGGUGGUAAAAGGACGGAAGCUGGAGUGCGCAAUUGCACUGCUAAUGUCCCAAUUUUGGGCUAAAUUGGGUAAGUAGCUGCUGUUGCUGUUGUUGUUGCAACUUGCUUCUUUUAACAUUAGAAGGUUUUGCUGAUAACCCAUUGUUGCAGAUGGCCUCAACUUCCUCCUCAUCACUAUCGAUUCUUCGAUGAUGUUUCCUUUAGGAGAAUGAUUGGCAAGUGAGUGGUGAGAGCUUGGAUCUUCAACUUGACCACGAGCAACAACCUUCAUGGAGGAUGUGCCAUUGUAAGAGGAUGAUUUCUCCCAUGAUUGAUGUUGGUUCAAGGGACUUGGCUGCUUCAAGCAACUAAAGUCAGGACAUUUUUUUGUCUCAUGGAGCCUUCUAGUACACAUUUUCACUCUAGUCCUUUCCCUAGCUCUUUCUCUAGCUUUUGCCCUUGACUCUUUGACAAGAAGAUCGACUGCCAUGUUUUGCAUCUUCUUCAUCUUUUGCUUUUGACUCUCUGAAGGUACUCUGUCCUCUAGGUCCCCACUUUCGGAUACAACUUCACAAUUAGUAGAAGUAGAAGACAAGCAUUUCUCACCUCCAUUCUUGGCUAGUUCCUCAAUGGCAUAUUUUGAUUUGGUGAGAAGCCAGUCUAGGGUUUUACUUGCUUUAUCAAACCCUAGCAUCUCUUGGAGAUCAAAGAACUUACGCGCGAUUUCAAUGGAUAAUCUCACUCUCCUAUCUCUCAAGCCUUGAGCUGUGUAGAUUUUGCUGUGCCUAUCUUUCUUCACAGAUUUUUUCCCAGCAAGAAAAUGAGAACGAUUAUAUAGUUCUCCAUCGAGAGCAGUAACAUCUCGCUCAGACAUCAUGCUGUUGUUUGAAGCUGCCAUGUUCAUCACGGUCUCAGUGACUGGUAAUGGGUUGGUUGAUACUGAAGGAAUUGUGAGCGGAUCAAUGUGGUGGUGGUGUUGAUGGAAAAUGUCAGUAGUUUCAUGGUCAGUAAUGUAAGGAGGAGGGUUGAAAGGAGAAGAGGAAAGGCUCUGAAAAAGAUGGAUAGUACUGCUGGUGGAAGAGAACAUCUGUGGCUUCAAUGGCACCUAGAAAGCCCUAGCUUCUUAGAAAGGAAAGCAAUUUGACAUCAAAAAGAGGAAACUACUUGUGGUUGCCAACCAAAAGCUCCACCCAAUUUUAGUCUUUUCAGAUUUACUUCUUCGCAAAAAAGGAAUGAAUAAAACUUCUUGAAAGACCUUCAUGUACUGAUGAGAUCUGAAGCGAAAGAGAAGGGUAAUUUAAACACAAAGGGUUGGAUUGAAUAAAUGAACAUAAUGGUAAAUGUAAAAUGUUAGGGAUAAUAGAGUUCGCUCCUCUUUUUUUUCUUUUUUCCCCCUUCAAAUCUGGGGCAAAAGAAAGGAGUGAAACACUCGUCGUAACAAUCCUCCUGGAGUAGGUAAUUUUUGUUCUUGUUUUUUUUUAAAUUAAUAUUUUUUAUGUCUUAAAUUAUUUUAUUUUAAUAUGUUAAUAUUAAAAAUAAUUUUUUAAAAAUAAAAAAUAUUAUUUUAAAAUAUUUUCAAAUAAAAAACAAUUACAAUCACAAUUCUUAAUGCACUUUAAAACCGGCUGUGAAGCACACAGUUUGGUGCCUCUUAAUGUGGUAGCAGCAGAGAAUGGUAGGGACUGGUGGCAAUCUGUCCAACUUUUAGCCUUCUAAUUUGGAAACAAGUAACUAGGUUUUAGACUGUAGAUCGAUAGGUAGCUAGGUCUCCCAUUAAAUGUAGAGAGAGCCGAAACCUGAAAACGAGUCUAGGGCAAAUAGUCUUCUGGUGCAAUUAGGUUAUAUUUAGCAACAUAUCAUGGAAUAAUCAUGGUAAAAUGAGCAUUUAGGCUUCUCCCAUGAGUUUGUUUGUUUCGUAGGACGUCUGUAUAUUACAUGUAAAUACACAGCUACGUGUUAAUUUGUGGAGGGUAGAGGAGGGCUUACCAGAAAAAGAAAAAGAAAAAGAAAAAGAAAAAACUUAGUCUAACAAGAGAGGAUAAACUAGGAAAUACAAGCCAAUAAACUCAGAAGGAGUAAGGACUCGGUACUCAUAGAGCUGAAGUGAGCAAGCUAGCAUCUCUUUUACUGAACCACUCAAUGUCAGGCUCUUCUUCUUUUUCCUUUCCCCGUGGAGUUUCUUUAUAUAUAUUAAAUGAUAUAUUUUUUAAAUAUUGAUAUAGCACAUAUUAAAUAAUAUUUUUUUAAAAAAAUAUUAAGAUUAUGACAUAUUGAAUCGAUUAAAGUUAACAUGUGAAAUCUAAGAUUCAAAUAAUGAGAUUAUAAUAACCCUAUUAAAAAAAUUAAAAUAAAUUAUAGAAUUUAAUUCUUAAUCAAUUUAAUUUUAAAAGAUAAAAAUAUUAAAUUAAAAAAUGGAUAAAAAAACCCUACAUGAGUUAACUCGAGUUAACCUGACAAACUUACAAUUUAGGUCAUGAGAUCAGGAUAAACCAAUAAAAAACAAAUUAAAAAAAAUUAUCAAUCACAAUUCUCAAUCAACUCAAUGUUGAAUGCUGAAAUAAAAAAUAAUUUAAAAAAAGAUCAACCCAAGUCAACCCGUGCUAACUUGUUAAACUCGUGACCUAGAUCACAAAAAUGAGAUAACUUCAUAAAAAAAAUUAAAAAAAAUUAUGAAGCUCUACUCACAAUAUAUCCAAUGUUAAAGGUUGAAAUCGAGAAAAACAAAAUCCAUGAAACAGAGAUAGCUUCACAUAAAGCAAAUUAAAAAUAAUUACGAAACUCAAUUUCCAAACAAUAUUGUAUUGAAAGAUGAAAUUGAAAAAAAAAAGAUUGAGUUGUUAGAGGGUGAAAUUUUAAAAAAUAAAUUAAAAAGGAACAAAAAAACAAACCAAGUUAUCUUGGGUUAAUGUGCCAAACUUGUAACUCAGGUUAUGAGACUAUGAUAACUCUAUGGAAAGAAAAAAAUAUUCAAUAAAAAAUGGACCCAAUAAAAGUGAAUAGAAUAAACACGGGUCAACCUGCAAAACCUGCGAUCCAGGUCAUGAAAUUAAGAUAAUUUCGUAGAAAGCCAAUUGAAAAAAUUACAAAGUCUAAUUUCUCACCAACCCAAUAUUGAAGAAUGAAAUAAAAAGAAAUUCAAUUAGAAAAAGAAGCCUAAAAAAAAUCAAAAUUAACCUAAUUUAACUUGUUAAACCUGUGACCUAUAUUAUAAGAUAAGGAUAAAUUCAUUGAAAGAAAACUGAAAAGAAAUUAUGAAUCUCACUUCCAACAGAUCUAAUAUUAAAGGUUGAAUUCGAGAAAAAAAAAAUUAAAUACAUGAGACUGGUACAUAAUCCAACAUAAAGGAAAUAAAAAAAAAACUACAAAGCACAAUUCUCAAAGCAACCUAAUAUUAAAUGAUGAAAUUGAAAAAAAAAGAUAAAUGAAAAAAGAAGAAGAUUGGGUUGUUGAAGGGUUAAAUUGAAAAGAAAAGAAAAGAAACUUAAAAACAAAAAGAAAAAUAAAACACAAAGUUUCCCUCCUCCUUACCAUCUUAAAAAAAAGAAGAAAAAGGGCUGCAACUUCCACUGGCGAAAAAAGAGGGAUUCAAACCUUUGGUAAACAAAUGCCUACGUAGCAGUUCCAUUACUACGCCUUAAACCAGUUGGCCAUCUCUCCUAUAUAAUCUUAUUAUUUUAUUAUGAACCUCGCGAGUGAAUAGCGAGUCAACACUAUUCAAAUGACUAAUGUUUUGUGGGUGUUGCUAUAGUGAUUUAUCCGUACCUUUUAUUUUGAUAAUUUUUUUGUUUAUGUUGUAUUAGUAUAAUCAAUUCACUAACCUUUUUAAAAUAAUUCCUUCUAUGCAAAAAUAAUUGGGGUUAAAACAUAUGAACAGUGAAGGAGUUUGCCCUUCUCUCUGUUUUUUUAAACCCCAUUUCUAAUUUUUUAAUGAUUUUUUUUAUUUUCAUCCUUAAUAUUUUAUUGAUUUUGAAUUUGUAUUCAUAAUUUAUAUGAGGUUUUUUUAUAAGGUUAUUAUAAUUUCAAAUAAAUAUUCUGUCAUUUGGUUGAUACUCAAUUUUACGAGAGCCUGUUUUUGUUAUCAUAUCAUUAAAUAAAUAAUAGUUUUGAAAAAAUAAAGUUGUUAGACCUAGUGGAGUCCAUGAUUUGGAUAACGAGUUUGGCAAGUUAAGACAUGAAGUCUGAGUUGAUUGAAUAUGUCGUCAUCUCAAAAUUAUAAAAAAAAAUAAUCUUGAUUUUUUUCUUAAAGCUAAACCACUCUUUUUACUAGUUGUUCGGGUUGUAUUUGGGUCUAUCAAGUCAACUUAGUCACAUUGAGGCAACUACCACGCAAAUUAAUCUUAAAUUUAUGUUAGAAAAAAAGUCGAGUCAAGAGAUUUCAAAGUUUACUUGCUGGGUUUGAUCUUUUUUUUUUUCUAUUUUUUUAAAAUCCCAUGUUUCAAUUUUUUUUCUUACGAGUGAGUGUCUAUUUUUGUUCUCGUAUCAUUAAGUAUCAAAUUGUUUAAGAAAAAAUUUUUAAACCUAGUGAAGUCUAUGAUCCAGGUUGCGAGUUUGGUGGGUUAAGUCGCGAAGCUUGUGUUGAUAUAAUAAACUGUCAUCUCAAUAUUAAAAAGAAAAAGACUUCAUCUUGAUUUUUUUAAAGUCAAACCAUGUUUUUUUUACCAAUCAUUCGAGUUGCUUUUGAACCCACUAAAUCAACUAGAUCAUAUCAAAACAACUUCAUGUAGGUUAAUUUAAAACCCAAACUAAAUAAGGAGUCCAGUCAAAAAGUUUCAAAAUUGAUCCAUUACGUCGGGUUUAAUAACAAUAUCAAAUAUAGUUUCCAGUUACCAAAAUAUUUUUUUAUGUUAAUUUUUUUUAUUUGGCUCACAAUGUAACAUAGGCCAAUAAACUAGUUUAAAAUCAAAAUGACUUGGCCUUUAAUUUUAAAAGAUGGAUUUACAAUAUUGCCCAUUGUGAUUCACUCUUAUAAAUCUAGGUUUUAUUAAUUGAUGAGAACAUUGCCUUAGGUAUAUAUUGAAUGAAAAACUAGAGAAGAUAAUUAAGAUAGUAAUAUUUAAGGGUUAAGAACUAAUUCUAUAAACAGUUGUUAAGGGAUAAAUUGUUAAGUAUGUUUAGAAAUUUUAAUAUUAAAUAUAAUUGUAAAAAAAUUACAUUGAUCCUUUGAAUGCACAAGUUGGCGUGGAACAUUUUAUGGAUGCAUUUAUUGUCUAGAUAGAUAAAGCAAAGUCCAAGAAGAAGUCAGGACACACCAAACAUCUAAUCUGAAAAAACACCUAUAAAUUUUGGUCUGAAUAUUGAAUAUUGGAACGUGUUUAAAUUUUGAUAAAAGAUUUCUAUAGGCUGAGCUCUAUUUGGGGUUGGAUGAAUGAAGUCGAGUAGGUCCUCAAAUUAGCCAUAGAAGAGUUUUUAAGAAAAAAUUUGUGUUAUUUUUUUUCUAAUUAGUUUUGGUUUGUUAGUUUUUCUUCUAUAUAGGCUAGGUCAAUUUUUGCUAUUAUAUAAAUAGUGUGUGUGUUAUUUUUUAAGAUAUUUAUUUAUGAAUUAUUGACUAUUUUUUCUUUACAGUUUAAGGAUAUAAUCUUAAUUAGAGCUUAAGAAAUCAUAGUUCUAUCUCUUUUAGUUAUACAUUAUUGAAAGGCUUUACAAGUCUAAGAGAGGGGUUAUAUUAGGGUUUAAUCCAAAAUUCCAACACUUUAAAAAAUUAAUUCUUAAUUACUUAAAAAAUGCUAAAAUACAUAAACACGAUUCAAGAACAAUUUUAUCUUUUCAAAUUUAGCAACAAUAAUAAUACAUAAUUAAUUAAUGCACAAGUAAAUUGAGAGAGAAACAAACAUAUCGAUUUGAAAAAUCACAUACUCCACUUAUUGAGCCUUUAUUCAAGUAUCCCCUAUCGCACAUGGUCUUUCUAACGGGUAAGACCAAACAUUUUCCAUUUCUUUUUUGGGUUUAAUUUUUAACCCAAUUUUUUUGCGGGAUCAAUAUAAAACCCUACCUUUUUAUGAACUUAGGAUCAAACCUAUCACAAUCAUUUUCUGGACUCAAGAUUAAACUUAAUCCUUUUGCAGGCUAAAGAUCAAACUCAUCACCUGAUCUUUUUAUGGACACAAGAUUAGAAAACCUUACACGCAAUCUUUUUCAAGACUUAAAAUUGUAAACCUCUAUUUGGCUCACUAUCGAAGUACAUAUUAAAGUUCAUAUGGAGGUUUUUUGCAAAACUAGUCUCAGAAAACUUGAUUUGAAACAUAGCAUAAGGUAUAUAUGGUUUCCACAAAAAAUACCAAGGCAAACUAUACUCAUUAAGCAUAGCUCUUUCGAUUUCUUGAAAAGAGUGGCUUUUCCUUUCAACAACACCAUUUUAUUAUGGAGUUAAAAAAAAAUCAUGCUUAAAACUAUUUUCUUCACAAAAAAAAGUUGAAUGCAAGUUUUUCAAAUUCUCCACCAUGAUCACUUCUAAUUUUAGAACUCAAGCAAUCUUUAUUCAUUUUGAAUUCUUUUAUAUAACUUUCAAAGGCUUCAAAUACUUCGUCUUUGCAUGAAAGGAGUAGAACCCAUGUAAACCAAAGUCAUUUAUAAUGAUAAAUGCAAAUCUUUUACCACCAAUACUUGAAACACGCAUAGGACUGAAAAGGUCCAUAUAAAGAAGUUGUUGUGCUUGAUUUAUGAAAACUUUAUUCUUGGCUUUGAAUGAGUUUUUUAUUUGCUUUUCAUAAUGGCAAGCAUCACAAAUCACUUUUUUUUUUGUACUAGAGUUGUAGAAGUCCUCUCACUAGCUCUUUUUUGCAUAAUUUUUUAAUUAAUUACAUAUUAGCAUGACCAAUUUUCUAUGUCAAAUAUAAGGUGAGUCCACUAAAGCACUAAAACACUUUACAUCAUAAUCGAUAUCAUUUAUGUUUAUCACAUAAGUGUUUUCAAGUCUUUUUCCUAUGAAAAACAUUUUAUUAUCAAUAAUGCUAAUGACCAAAUAAUGUAAAGAAUAAAAAAUAACUUUAUUACUCAUAUCAGAUAAUUGAUUAAUGCUAUACUUUAAACCAUCAACAAGUAAAACAUGCUCAAUAGUAGGAGAAUUUAUAAUAUCACUGAUACCUUUACCUUUCCCUCGGUAUCGUUUCCAAAUAUCACAUGUCUGACAUUUUUCUAUUUGAAGGAGGUGAAAUUAGAUUUGUUACCUUUCAUAUGUUUUGAACAUCCAUUAUUCAAAUAUCACUUGUACUUUUUUUCCUAUAGGAAAGAUCUCAACAUGGUAGCUUUGGUACCUAUAAUUUUAUAAGUUCAAUUAGGUUAGUGAAUGUGCCUUUUGGCACCAAAAUAAAUUUGAUUUUAGUUGAGAUAUUCUUGUGCUUGCAAUAUUUUUCAUGAAAAUCAUUUUUGCUAUAAGAAUUAUAUAUGCUUAAAAAUGAUGAUGCUAUAACAAAGAAAUUUGAGGAAAGUCUUUCAUUUUUUAUUGGUUUAUAUCUUAAAUCACUUUUCUUAAACAUACAUAUUUGAUUACUUAGAAGUUGAUCUACGUUCUCCUUUCUUUUAGUAAGUUUAGUCAAAGUAGGAUUUACAUCAAUAACUUGAGCUUUCAAGAUUUCAUCUUCUUUGACUAAUUUUUUUUAAAAAAAUUGAUGAAUUAGAUGCAUCUUUCAAAUAAUCUAAUUUCCUUUUAAAAUCAAUAAUUUCCUUUUCUUAUGUACUUUUUUGUAUUAACGAUAUAAUUCAUCAAACGCAUUUUGUAAUUUAUAAAAAAUGAAAAUAAUUUAAGGUUCAAGAUCAUUUAUCUCAUCAUUGUCGAGGGAGGGAGCUAAUGACCAUUAAACAAAUUUUCUUUUCAGUGAAAUCAAUAUUAUGCAUGACUAAUUCUUUGAAGUUGAAAUCACAUCAUUUGAUGAGCUAUUAUAAUUGUCAUCAUUUUCUCUUAUAAAAUUUAUUUAAUUGCCAUACUUCUCUAUUUUUACAAAAAUUGUGGACAAUCAUAGCUACAUCAUCAUUAUUAUUAACUCAUUCUUAUCCUCAAGAUUAGUCACUCAUUUUAAAUCCAAGGAUUUCUUCCUAACUCCACUAUCUUCAGCCUUAAAAAAAAAAAAAAAAAGAUAACCCAUACAGAAAUGGUGGGUAAAAUUAUGUUGGAUGUGCAUGCUCGUACUUAAUAUCAUUCUUAACCAAAUUUACCAUAUGCCUCAGCGUUGAAACUUGCAUAUUUUUUAUAUUCCAUACUACUAACGUGUUUCCAUGGAUCAAUGCCCGUGUUUCCGGCUGAUGUGCCCAGUCAUAGCACUAUAUAUACAGUCUAAAGCUUUCCAUUUGAACAGCAUCUCCCUCUCUCUCCCUCUCCCUCUCUCUCUCUCCCUCCAUGCACCAUAUGAUCAUAAUCGUCUCUGGAGGAUGAAUAGGGAAACCCUUGAAGGAGUAGUUCUAAUGUUGCUCUCAAAGGACAGGAUGGGCGGCAUGAAAAGUUUGCUGAGUGAGUGACAGUGAGUGCAUAACCCCAUGAAAUGAACCAUUGCUUCCAUUUACUUGGCAUCUAAUUAAAGUGAUGAUCGCAUAUCCUUUUGGCCUAUAAAUUAUAAUGGCAGUCACUUCCGUUCUUUCCAUGAACAUCCUCUGCUGUCUUGGUGGAUUGAUUAGACCACACUUCUCAUCGAAGAUGGGAUUCAUAAAUAAUUCAUGAAAGUGAGGAUCUAAAAUAAGCUAAAACCGUGUUUCAAGCUCCAUGAUUAACGCUAAAAUAACUCUCUUUUUCUUCCUUCUGAACCGCGUAGUGAUUGGGGUGAGCAAUAAUAUUUAAAUAAAAGAACAUGCAAAUAAGCCUACCCCUGUAAUCUCUCAACACUCCCCCUGUACCUGACUUUUCUGGUUUCUGAAGUGAUGUGUCAUGGUUUCCUUGUUAUAGAAUUCAAGAAAAGAGACAGGAAUAGAAGAAGAAGAAGAAGAACAAGAAGAACAAGAGGUUGUAAAGAAGAGAGAUUACAUGAACUGUUCUUCAAUUAUUGCAUUGACUUUGUACGUUAAUUUUCUAUUACAAGCUAUUUAUACGAGUUCUGUUCUUCCUUCUUUUAAUUAGCUAGCUAACCACCUACCUUCCAACUAACAACUAACAACUUGCCAACUAACAACUAACUAAUUUCUAGCUAACUUCCUUCUAACUGCUGUUGAUGCCAUAUCUUUUGUUGUUGGUACCACUUUUGUUGCUGUUGCUGCUGCCUUCAUGCCUCUAUUUCAUGUUAUCUGUUGGAUAAUAACGAUCUCCUGUAAGAUUCUUGUCCUUGAGAAUUGAGAUUAAGGUCUGGAAACUGAAUGGUUAGCUCCUCCAAAUCUUCCCAAGUGCUAUUUUCCUUGAACAAAUUGGACCCUUGAACAGGCCCUAUAGCUAUUGCCUAAUUAUCCUUCUUCAUUACUUUUCUGUCUAAGAUUGCUAAUGGAUUAACCUUCAUCAUUCCAUAGUUAUCCACCUUUGGCAAGAAUGUCGAAAUCACAACAUUGUCUCCCACUUUAGUGCGCAUAGAAUUGGGGGUGAGUAUUUUCAGUUCGAUUAGAUUUUUAUUUUAAAAAAACAACCAAACUGAAUUUUUAUUUUUUUAAUUUAAAACUGAAUCCCGUUCAAACCGAUCAUUUUUUGUUUGGUUUGGUUCGGUUCGGUUAAUUGAGAAAAAAAAUCAGAAAAACUGAUAUAAUCCAGUUUUGUUUCAUGUUAAGGACAAGUUAAUGCCAACAAAGUGGAGAAGAUAGAUGAUGAAUUGAUUAGUCUAAAUGCUAAGAAUUUCAACCAUGUACAAAUGCAAAAUAACUAUCCUGACUUUUUAAAAAAAAAUAAUGAGAGGACCAACAAGAUUUCCACCAACUUAUAGGAGUGAAAAGUGGCUUCACAUUUGUCAUAUGAAUACGAGCUAAAAUGUCCAUAAUAUAUCAUAUUUGAGAAAAGCAAAAUUUCAUAUUGGGUUCGGAUAGCUUUCACACUUAAAAAACCAAGAUCCUUAAUAGAAAACCAAUGAGCAAGAGUUUGCACAAAAUAAUCAACAAUCUCUAAAUUAUCAAUAAUCAGAAUGAAAUCAUCAAUAUUUACUAAAAGAUAUAAUAUGUCCAUCAACAUCAAGUACAAACAAAGAUGUAUCAAUAUAAGAAUUCUUAAAACCAAAAUUAAUGAGAAAAUAGUGAAGCUCAUGAUACCAAGCUCGAGGUGCUUGGUUGAGGUCAUAGAUUGUUUUUCUAAGUUUGCAAAUAUGAGAUGGAUUAUCUUGAUCAACAAAGCCAGAUGGUUAUGUCAUAUAAACAUUGUCUAGAGGUGGCUUUGAAGAAAAACAUUGUUUAUACUAAGUUGUCUUAAGGACCAACCCCGAGACACAACAAAACUUAGAAUAAUAUGAAUCUUGGUUCGUUUGACAAUGGUAUUGAAAGUGUUAUAAUAAUCUACCUCUUGUCAUUGAUGAAAGUUUUUUACAACUACACAAGCUUUAAACAUGUCAAUAGAAUCAUAUGAGUUAUGUUUAAUUCUAAAAAUCCAUUUACAUCUAAUGAUAUUAUCAGUGAGAUCAUUUGAUACGAGCUCUCAUGUUCUAUUCCAAACUAGAACAUUAUACUAAUCAGGCAUAGUCCAAUACCAUUUAGGAUUUUUAAGAGAUUGAGUUACCGUGUUGGUAAGCUAGGUUUAUUUCUUUAAUUGGUUUAUGAAUGUUAUUUUUUGAUCUUGUGGUUAUAAUAUGAGUAAAAAGGGGUGAGUUUUUGCUGGAUUAAGAUUGCAUAAUAAUUAAUUGGAUUUAAUUUUUUAAGUUAUUUUUAUAUUAGUUUUCCUAUAUUAAGAUUGUUUUUUUUUCUUUUUAAUUGGAUCUAAAUAAAUCAUUUACAUGUAAACUUGAUGCUUAUAAGAAAAAAUAUUUUCUUAUGACCUGAUUGGGAGAGAAAACCCACUUGUUGUUGUUGUCCACUUUACCACUCUACAUGUCCUACAACUGAAAGCCCAGAAAAUAUAAAGCAAUGAGCCCAAUUACAGCAGCUAUUCACCAAGCCUUAAAGUGAAAAAAUGAAACACCCAAUACAAGCCCACCAAUGAUACUACAGCCAGUCUUUCAAGGUCAAUACAAGCUUUUCUUCUCUUCUUUCUUGUCUUCCACAUCCAUACGACACCUAUCAAGAUUUACUGUAACUCCAGAAAAGAGAUCAACUGAACUCCCAAUGAUCAAGCAGGAAUCUGAUAGCUCUAAACUGUUCGAUUCUUGAUCAUAUUUACCGCGAGAGUACUAAUUCAUCAGUCAACAAGGUUCGUGCAUGUCUGGCUAGCCUCACAUGUGAAGGUAUAACAAGAUGGACGUGUGAAUGACAACGGGAUCCUAUCUGUUCAGUGUACCGAGCCAUUCAAGACGGGCCCGGCUGCAUGAUUUUCAUGCGAUCUGAGUCGAUAUACGUGCAGAGGUUGGGGACCUCACAGCUGGUUCCAUACUCCAGUUCAUUAUCACCACAUGGCCAUGGACACCCCUUUCAUUUGCCUAAAACUUUCAUGUUAAAUGUACUUACAGCUCCAAGAGGAAAACAACGACAGUCUCUUCUUGUCUCCAAGACUCGGCAUGCAUGCGUACAUGAUUAUGGGGCCAGCUGAUAGAGGAGGCCCACUGCUCUUAAGAUUUGAUUUGAUCAUGAGACGGUGGAUCUUCGGGGACAGCGUGGUUGACUAGAACUCAUAAUACUCUCUAGCAAAACUUUAUGUCAUGAGAAAUGGAAGAAUUAAUUAAGAUUUGUAAUUUGUAAAUGCAUGGAUGUCGUACAAUUUCUUAAUUUGUUUUAAUAAUCAAGGCAUUUUAGGGCUGAUUAUACGUACAUUAUAUAAGAUAUCUACUCAAUAUAUACUUUUUUAUAUAUAUAAUUAAAGUGAAGUUACACAUCUAUAUGUUUCAUUAAAACUAAAUCUCAUGGCAAAAUCACUUAGGACCCCCUUAAAUUGUAUUGUUAACUGCAAUGCAAUUUUUUUUCUUCGAGUUUAUUAUACUUCAGUUAUUAAUUUUAUUUUUCAAUUUUAUUAUUUAAAAUUAAAUUAAAUAAGAUUUUUACUUAAAAUUUUUUAUAACAAGCUUAGAGUUGUUUAAGUGUCAAAAAAUAAUUUUGGUAUUAAAUUAAUGUUUGAUUUGACAAGAUAAGAUAUGAUUUUAUUAAUUAAAAAAAUCAAAAGUUUUGGGAAUCAAAUUUCACAAUAAAAGAAACAUGCAACUCUAUUCUAAAAUUACUAUGUUGUCAAUGCCUUUCCUAAAAAAAUGCUUUAUAUUUUUUACAAUUUCUUUUUUGAUCUUUUUAGUUUGACAAUUAUAUACUUUUGUCCAGAAUUUAUUUUUUUGCAUAUCAAUCUCUAAGUUUAAGAGAUAAGAGAAAAGGUCGUUAAAAAAUGGUAAAUAAGAGAGAAAAUAUUUGUUAAUGUGUUAUAAAAAAGCUAAUUUUAGUGUCAAAGUAGUGUUUCUCUUGAUAAUGAGAGUAUCAUUGAUGUAUUUGUUUUUUUGUCUUCCAUGCUGCGAAAAAGAUAGAUUAGGGUUAAGAGAGGUUUUUUGGUUUUCGUUUUAAUUGUGUUUUUGAGUUGAGAAAUUAGUGUUUUUUUUUUAUAUAGAGAAACUAAUGUAUUAAGGUUACAAGAGUGUCUUUAGGUAAAAAUUGGUUUUGAGUCUCAACCCUAGCUUGUUUUUCUAAUCACCUUUCUGGUGAUAAAAAAAAAACUAGGUUAGAAAACGACGCGUCAUCUGUUUUUUUUUUUUUUAAAAUGAGUGGAUAAUUCAUCAUCUACGAGUUUUAAAAAAUAUAAAGGCUUAUAAGUGCCAGCCUAGCCUGACAAGCCCACUCCCCUAGGUGCCUAGCUUUUUUUUGUUUUUCUUUAAAUUAAACUUUAAUUUCUUAAAAAUUCAUUAAAAAAAUAUAUUGAAUAUAUUAUUUUGUUAAAAUUUUAAAUUAAUUAAAAAUAAAUUUUAGAUAUUUUUUUAUUAAAUAUCAUUCAAUUUUAACUUUGUUUACAAAUAAGAUUAAAGUAAUCUUUUGGUAAUAUUAACAAACUUUCUUUUUUUACAGCACAUCACAUCAUGAUCACUUUUAAAAAAAAAAUUCAUUUGGUUGCCUUUUUGCGGGGGCCUAUUGUUUUGGAAUAUUGUUAAAUAAAAAAAUUUUAAAAAUAAAAUUAUUAAAUUCAAUCUUGUCCAUGAGCUAAAUUUUGGAUUUGGCAUGGUUGAUAUAAGGUGUCUUCAUCUCAAAAUUAAAAAAAAAAUUUAUUUUAAACUUUUUUUAAAUCAAACCGGGUUUUCACUCAUCGUCUUUGUCACUUUAAGUCAACCCCCCAGGGUUUAAUUACAAACACAAGUUAAACAAGGAGUUGGGUUAGGAGAUUUCAAGAUUGAUUUGUUGGGUCAGUCUAAUGAUAUUUCCAAAGAGUUCCUCUCGGUAACGUGUAAUUUUUGUAUUAUUCUUAUGGUUUUUAAUUAAGUCGCCUCAAAAUUAGUGAGGAAUUUUUUUAUUGAAACUUGUGUUUUAAAUAAUUAUAGAAUAUUGUCUUAGACACAUAUAUUUUUGUAAACAAAUAACUCUAAAAAGAACCUGUGCACCUAUUUGUUUUUAGCAUGUUUAAUAUAUGCAUUAAAUUUUAAGUUUAUGAAUAAUUUUUUUUAUUGCUAGAAAUACAAUAACAAUAUAUAUAUUGCAAUGUAAAAGAUCUUCUACUUUGCUUUGUAGUAUUUAGCGAGGGUCAAGUAGCUAAUUCCUUCUCUAAUUCGUGCUAUGUUUCAAUUUCUUAAUAGUAGUGACAGUGCUAUGUUUCAAUAGGAAGACUAGAAAGCCUCUCGCUCAGUUGGUGUUGUCUUAUUAUUGAUAAUGGUUUACAUGAUUUUGACAUUUUCUAUUUUAAACCCUGUAGGUUAAAGAGAAUUGAUAAAAUUUCAGGUAGAGGUGGAGAGUUAUUAGUCGUUAGUUGCAGAAAAUGGUGAUCCCUACACCAAUUUCUGCUCACAUUUGACCCACCGAAGUAGAAAGAGUAUUGUCAUGCUUUCAACCUUUCACGCAUGUUUUCUGCUCUGUCCAUUUCUGCAUACUCUGCCUGCUUUGCCUGCUUUUUUGCACGACUUGGGACCAAAGCAAGCAGUAAGCAUCACUGUUAGAAUCUGACCAUUCUACCAUCAGCACAAGCACUCUUCGCACGUGUUGACGGGUCUGAGACUGAGAUAUUAUUACUCUAUGAAAGUCUGGUGAGAGUGAGACACUUAUUGAGGUUUGCCGAAUUUUAGCCAUUAGUUUUUCACUGCUCACUGCUUUGUGUUGGGACUGUUUCGGUAACCAACGAGCCACCUAGAUCAAUGGUUGCGUUUUUAACCUCAGAAACUGAACCUUAGGUUAUUUGUUAUCAGUGCGUGAUGGCCUGUACCGCAGAUCAAAUGACUAGGAAUUUGAAUAAUUUAUAAAUCCAUGUGAAAUCAGGAGCUAUUUUUAAACAUUAAGAAUAAUUUGGUAUAGCAUUUAUAAACUAAGCAGUUGUUCAAGUUACAGGCCAAGCUACUAUCCUUGGACACCCUUAAGUUCAUUCAAUAUUUAGAUUCUUUGAUUGAUUUUUUUUGUGAUUGUGGGCUUGCUUAGAUUCCUAAUUUCUCCAAAAACUAAAGUAUAAUUUGUGAGCAAAGUGUAUUUUCGAAUAAAAAUAAAGAAAAUAAAAUGCCCAGUUCAUCAUUAUGUAAAUUAACCUGAAAAUAGAAUGUCCAGUUCAUCAUUAUGUAAAUUAACCUAUUUGAUUUGUGACGUGAUGGCCAUAUCAUAAUUAGCAAUGAAUUAUUAUGCACUGUUCAAAGCUAGGAUGCGGUGUUUUUUUCUGAUGAGUCACUGUGCCUUUCUUGUACUAGACACUAUUGAUCUACAUGGUAAUACUUAAAUUCAAUAGCUCCAUUGCCUUCACUGUUUUGAACAGAACAUUCAAGGGCAAAGUAGAAAAGAAAACAAGUGCUUCGCACUUGAGCUAUAAAUGCUUUUUUCUUUCCUUUUCUCUUUUACACCAUUCAAAUGAAUAAAACUGUACUAUCGAUUGGUACAAUCCACAUGUGACAGCCAAUACUUUGAAGCUAUGCUCAUGCACUUCUCUGAGUUGACAAGACUACAUCGAAUGGAUCCUACGAAAUAGACAACGAAAAUCAUCACAAGUGUGGAAUUCUCAAUCGCCUUUCUUCGGAGAAUAUCUCCCCUUGUUACACUUUCUUCAAUCUGCUUUACUUCAAGCUACCAUGCCUAAUUAAGAACUAAACAUAUCUGUUGUUUAUCUGAUCACUAAUUAUGCUUGAUUAGCAGUUUAUCUAUAAAUCAUGUGCAUCUAUUGAGGCAAGGAUGAGUAGAAAACGAGAGAUACUGGGCUAUCUCAUCGCUCAAUGAUGCAAGAAAUAUUCUAAUUAUAACCCAGUAAGUGCUUUAGAGAUAUUUGUAGAAGUAGCUAAAGAGAUGCUCCAGGGAUAAUAGUACUGAGAAAAUAACCUGUGAAAAAAGAUAAUUUCUUAUACAUAUAGAGACUGCAAAACUUGUUUUCCUAGAGAAUUGAGAUCAGAUCAUUUGGUAUGAAACAUUUCCUUGUACACAACAAGUCCAAGUGGUGGGAUAUGUAGCAAAAUUAAUCAACUAAUUAAUAUCUAGGUAGCCUUUUCUAUUUUCUAUAUACAUUUUGAAAGAUAAAAAUAAAAGACUGGGGAGCUUGGUUCCAAGUUCACAGCUAGCAAUGGUGGAUGAUUUGGUUGAUAGCUCUUCAAAUUCCCAGUGAUGGCGCCAAGCUCCAUAAUUGAUCGAUCUUCGGCUUAGUCAUGCCAGCAGACAAGCAUGACUACACAUCUCCUAAUAAUGUAGAGCCUUCCUUUCUGUUGUCUAAGGUAUCCUCCAAGCCUUCUGCAUGAAAUCUUCUUCUUGGACUCUCCCAUGGUUUCGCCGCUCAUCAUCUUCAUUUUGUUUUUUCAAGAAAGAAGAAGAAAGCACUCGAGAACUAGUAGUGAUGCUUGUGAUGGCAAGGAAGAGCUAAGGAGCACCUUAUAAAGAGAGUGAAGCGGGGUCCAAAACUCCCAAGAACAUGCAACUAGGCCCCCACACACGACCGAACUUUGAUUCCUCUCUCUUCCUGCCACAUCAUUCCCUGCACCAACAUUUAUGUGAGUUAUCAACAACCUAGACAAUUGGUCGGCAAUUUUGAUUCCUUAUCGAUAAAAAAAAGAAGUAAAAAUUGAACCAAAGUCUUUUUGAUACUUGGGAUGCUGCAUUCCAUGCGUGUUUUCUUGAACAAUAUUUUACAAUAUGGGGAAGAAACUAUGAUGUUAUCCAUUGUCUGCACUUUGAAUGCAUGUUGCAUAUGGCCUAACGCCUGAUAUUAUUGUUUAUAAGACCAUCAUUUCGGCACGGCAUGUAAUAUUUUGACACAAAAAUUUGAUGUAUAGUGUUUUUUAAAAGUGAUUUUUAUUUGUAAAUAUAUUAAAAUAAUUUUGUUUUAAUUUUUUAAUAUUAACAUAUUAAAAUCAUCAGAAAAUAUUAAAAAAAUUAAUUCAAUAUAAAUCAAAACAUUUGUUUGUUUAUAGGAUGAUUUACAUUAUUUGUAUAUGAGUGAAUAUCUUCUGUAUAUAAAGAGAGAGAAAGGAGCACACCCCUAUAUGUUUUGAAAAUUUAAUAGAAAUUAAAUUUGAUCAAUUUUUUAAUUAAUUUUAACGAUUAAAAAUCUCAAAGAUUAAGCAUAGGAAAAAUUAAAGUUUAUACUUUUUAAAACUAUUUUUAUGCAAUUAGAAUUAAAUAAAAAAUAAGUAAUAUUGGUUUUUAUAUAGAAAUUCAAAAAAGACAAUAAAAUAAGGAAAAAUUAAUGGGGCUCACAAAUUAUUUCCCAUACUCCUAGUUUUUCCUGAUUUAGUAUAAAUAAACAAAACAGUCAAAUUACAUAUAUGAUAUUACUAGGUAAAUCAACCUCCAGUCCUAUAUAUUGCUAAUUUUGGUAUACAUUUGAAUAUUAAUAAAUAAUUGAAGUGUUCAACUCUAUAUAGUUCCAUUUUUCAGUGGAUGUUCCCAGUAAGUAUAGUUUAGUUCAUCAACAAUGAAUAAAAAAGGGGACAAUUUAGGGUUUGCAAGCUGGCUAUGUCGUCAAGAAUGCUCAAAACUCAAAAAAAAUUGCCUUGGAACGUGACUUCUUAAAACCCAGCACAGAAUUAACUCCUGAUUAAAUUAGUAAAACAAAGCAUAAUCCCACAUGUGCUUGCCUCGUGCUCCUCCCGUAUCGCUUUGCAGGAAGGUUUAUUCUAAUGGGUUCUGUACCUGGUCCCCAUCACUCCAUCAAUCUUGAGGAAUCUACAAUCCAUUGCUGUAAACUCCAAGCUUUAGAAGGAAUAAAGAACUGAGCCAGAUGGCUGAUAGCUACGCCAAUCCCAUUUAUUAGUUGCUGACAAUCUCUUUUCUAAUAAUCCAUUAGGAGGUCCACUAUAUUUUGAACUAUAUUGAUAUAAAAACUAUAACUUUCUAUCCCAUGAGUCCACCUAGCUUGUUUUAAUUAGUGUUAUUAAGCCUAGUAUGUUCAAUUGACUCAGAAUCAGAUUGACCCGUCCUUUAUUGAAAAUUAUUGAAUGUCAAAAAAAGUUAAUUUAAGUUAAUUUGGAUUGAAUGUAAAAAAAAAUCAAUUAAAGUUAAAUGUAAAAAAAGUUCAUUAAAGUUAAUUUGGGUUGAAUGUAAAAAAAAAUCAAUUAAAAUUGAUUUGAUUUAACUUGAUUAACCUAGUCAAAAUCUUAAUUGAUUUAAAAAAAAUAAUUAUUAACCCGAGUCAACUCAUUACCUGAUUUUUAAAUCAAGUUAUUUUUUUAGUUGUGUUUAAUAAUUAUGUUAAUACAAUCUAUACUAAUCAAAGAAUUUUUCAUAGGGAAGAAAGAAAAUUGAAUUUGGAUCACCCAUGAUUUUAAAUUAAUAUUAUUUAUAUUAAUAAGGUAAUAUAAGAGAUAAGGAUGAAAAGUUAAAGUUACAUCAUAACUCUUUAGUCUUUACCGUCAAAGAUUAUGACUCUUCGCCGCCGAAGGUUGUAACUUUUCAUCAUUAUAAAUAUAUCUGUUGACAAUAACAAACAACAUGGCACAGGAAAAUAAUAUAUAUAUAUAUAUAUAUAUAUAUAUAUAUAUAUAUAUAUAUAUAUAAACACAUAUUCUUCGUCAAGAGAAGAAAGAGACUCUCGAGUCAACUCAAAGAAGAAUUGUUUCUGGAAAUAAGAUGCACUUAGCUAGACAGUAAAUACCAAGAAUGAUUUAUUAUUAUUAAAAAAAUAAAAAAUAUAUAUUAUUUUAAUAUAUUUUUAUAUAAAAAUACUUUAAAAAACAACUGUUAUCACACCUCAAUCACAUCCUUAAACCCAUAUAUAAUAACAUGAGUAGCCCACCCGCAUAGCAUACCAUUAGAAUGAAGAUCCUAGGAUCGUUGAGGACUAUAGAACUUUUUUUAAAAACAUUUUAUCUAAUCUUUAAUCAUAUAAUACAGAGAUUUCCUCUUCCCUAGAUUCACUUUAUGUCUAAGUUGGGUUUUAGGCCUCCAUCAUAUGGUCAAAUAAAUCGAUUACCAAUUAACUAGCUAGUGCAUGCUUUUGAAAAGUUUCUUUUCUCAGUAACUGGCGAGCAAAUUUUGAGUAAUUGGACUGUCACUACUGUGCUUGAUUUUCUUUUUUUUUCCGCUGACCAGUAUCAAGCUACUAUACUUGAUAAUUUCUAUGCUAAUAUGACCCACCAAAGAACACAAUCAUAUAAUAGCCAAUUAAUGGGAAUAUUAUAGCUGGCCAAACCCUAGAAAAUAAAAUAUCAUAACCUUAUCCCAUGGAUGUUGCGUACGUAGGUCCCUGUGGCGGUGUGGCCUCUUUGAACAAAAUUUCCAUGCCGAAAAUGAGGUAGAUAACUAGGAGACAAUGCUCUACUAAACUAAUCUUGGAUUCUAACACCAUUAUCAGAACAAUGGACCAGGUUUUUGUCCCAGUUGUUGUUUGCAAUAGUUUUGUUUUUGCAUAAAAUUGUAAGUAAGAUCACAAACUUGUAGUGUGCAUCGAAGACAUGCUUACACGUGAAAAUCUGGUGAGAGACAUGGUCCUUGCCUUUUAUCUAGUAGACAACUUUGAUUUUUAUUUAUUGUUCUUCUCAUCUCACUAGGUCGAAGCUUCUGGUCUAGCUAGCACUUGUUGUUUUACAAUUACCUGAAUCAACUACUUAAUCAACAUUUAAUUAAUGAAUUAUCGUAUCUUUGUCUUGGUUAAUUCAGAGAGUACGAUCCGGACAUCUCCAAAUGUACUGUACGGUUCACUGGAUUUAGUUGCUUAUGAUCAUGUUUUGGACUCGAUAAAUUCGAAUUAGGGGCUGCUUUUUUUAUCUAGUGAGCUUCUCUGUUUAACCCCAUUUGCAACUAUGAUCUUGUCCGUCUUGAUUUAUUCAAAGGUCAUGUAUGUCCUGUGAUAUUUCCAAGUUGUAAGGUUCAUUGAAUUGAGAUAACUUGAUCAUAUUUUAUUGUCCAUGGUGGAUUAAGGGUUAGCAUUUUAUUUUUUUUGUAUUUUAAAUGCAUUUUUAAAGAAUUUUUAUUUUUAUUUUUUUCUUUAUUUAAAUUUUUUUUUUAUAUUUUCAGGUCGUUUUACUGUGUUGAUGUAAAAAAUACAAUAUUUUGAUGAAUAUCGAAUAAAAAAUACUUUGAAAACCAAUCAUUGUCGCACCAAAAUAAACUCUAAUUAUCUGACCAUCAUUUGCAAGGUAGGUCAGUCCUGUAACAUAUCUUGAAAUUGGCAAGCUGAGUAUUAGCUAGCUGGAUCAUUAAUGGUGAAUUGGAGAAGCACUAAGCAUGGGUUAAGGUAUUCUUGAGACCACUUUGGCAAUAAUAUGUAGGCUUAGUGCAUUUGCUAUUUGUAUGUAGUUAGCUUGGCAUUGGAAAUAAGCUAUAGUUAUGGUAGCUAGUUAAUUAUUUCAUGGAAAUUUAGCCCUAUAUAUAUACUAGUAUUAAAAUCUUGGAUUAUUCAACAGAUAACCAUUAAUUAGCUAACCAAAAGCAGGACUUUUCUCCUUUCGUUUUUCCCUUCAUGUAAUAGAUGUUCAAUCCUCGAAAGGAGCUUAUUAUUGCACAAAAACCAGGCAUGGAGGUAUGUGUGCAUGGGGGCAGGCGCAAGCCAUGAUAAAAAAAAAAUAUCGGACGAGAAAAGCACGAGACAGAGAACGAAUGCGUGUUAAUUUUACUUGACCAAAAUGCCAUGCAAAUGGUGGCUCACAAUUUGGGCUUGUGGCAUCAACAUCAUAGUCCUUGACCACCCAACUGAGCCUAUAAAAGCUUCGAGUGAGGUGGGUUGAUUGCUUUUGGACUGGCAGUGGUUCUUGCCACUGGAUGGUAGUUUGGGCCGUGUGUUAUGGCUUUGUAAGUUUGGGCUUGUUUGCCCAAUAUUAAUUUUCAAAGGCCCAUCAAGUCAAAGAAUUACAUACUAUAAGGCCCACUCAUACUCGAAUUUUUUAAAAUCACAACUACGUCGUUCAUAUUCAAAUAUAAAAAUUCUAUACUGUAUAUUCUUUUUUCUAGCUGUCACUUCCCAUUUUUCACUUCUUUAACGGUUUGCAGUUCGGCGAAGCACCCUGCCAUCAGAAGCGGCGAUGUCGUCAAUGGCAUCGAAGAUCAAAGCCUACAGCGUCCCUCUCUUCCUAUUUUCCCUUUCCGUCUUCUACCAGCUCGUCGUCCUUCCUCGAUCCUUCCCUGCCUCUCAUUACGACGGUAUUGAUUUACUUGUGUCCUCCUUGUAUCUGUAUACUAUCAAUUGCAUUUCUGAUUGUUUCUUUUGUAAACGAACGUAGUUUUGGGGAUAAAGCGGUAUAGUUCUGUUGAAGAAGUGAAAGAAGCAUACGACAAGUUGUCUUCUAAAUGGUAUUAAUUCUUUCAAUUCUAUGAAUUAUUUGUUUAAUUAAUUUUUAAUUUAAUUAGCAUCAAUCGUAAUUAAUUUCAGGAAUUCAGAAGCGGGAAUUCCUGCCACUAGUGAUUUUAUAAAGGUAAUCUAAUUUCUUGUUUUUUUUUCCUUUCAAGUUUUAAUUAUGAAGUACUGUAUCAUUCUACUUGCCAAGUGGGUUGGAUGGUAUCUAGAGGUAAAGUUGAGUUGAGGUGUUAGUAUUACCAUCCUUGAAAGGCUGGUUCCCCAUGAUUAGUGUUUGAAGCAGCGAGGAACAAGUUUUUAAAUGUGAGGAGUGAAAAUAUGGGAAAACAAUUAUGGAAAUUGUGAUCGCAAGUUUUGAGAUGCACUUUGCAGAAGUUUUCAAACUGUUUAGAAGUACUCAUUCUCAUGUGAGUUUCAGUACACUGCUUCAGAUGUAAUUCAUAUAAUUAAUAAACUGGAAAGUGUUCUUUGGUACAUGUUAAGCUUUGAGAAGCAACGAGCCUAUUGAAAAUCAAGUUUUUCCAAGAUUUCUCCACUAGUUGGCUACAGACUGAUAAUAAAAAUGACAUAAUGUAUAAGAUCUCUUUCUGCAUGCCUUUUUAUAUGACAAAAGCUCAAUCAGGUUACUACAACUCUAGCAAUUAUAUCUCUUCUUCUUGUCUGAUAUGCUGAUUCUGCAACUUUAUUACUGGUAUGUGAUGGGUUAUUGUUAUGUUUUUUGGUGAAUCGUUUUCUAAUAUGUGGUUAUUUCAGAUCCAAUAUGCUUAUGAGCUGCUGACGAAUCCUUUAUGGAAAAGGGACUAUGACAUAUUUGGCAUUGAUGAGCAAGCUGUGAGUAGUUAACUCUUGCACCAUCGAUUACUGUGUCCAGUUUUUUUUCCCCUAUAUUCCUCCAACUACUUUGUCUGAUCUAGAUCAUGAGUUUUUUCGUAAGUGACUAGAUUUUCCUGGCUGCAGCAUAUUAUGGACAAGAUUAACUUGCAACAUGCUGGGGAAAGCAUUUCAGGCAUAGAUCUUCCAUUACUAGAAGCUACUACUUUUGGUUAGUCAAUAUGCUACUACUUUUUGUUAUCAGACCUUCAAUUCACUUUGUAAAAACUUUUCUUCUCGGUUUUGUUUUCUAUUGUAACUAGAUUGUUUCUAUGUGUAUGAUUUUGACUCUUGGCUGAUGAAUGAAUAAUCUUGUCUUUCCUUCAGAUCUUGGAUUUCACACAUUUAAUGAGUUUACAUCUCAAGAGUUUGCACCUAUGUUUGAUAGUUCUAAACCAUGGCUGGUUCUGGUAUGCUUGAUUUCUAGAGCAUUUUAAUAUACUAUUUCUGCAGAUUAGUUUUUCCAUGCUAUGGGAUGAUAUUGAUGUCAAAUUGAUACCUUGUUCUGUAACUUGUAAGUGGAAUUGAUUUUCUAAAAUGUGUAUCAUUUUCAAGUAUUAUUACUUUUCUAGCUUUUGAAGACAGGAAACUAGCAACACAUAGUAUUUGGAUUAUUUUUUUUAUUUACACUUAUUUUCUCAUUAAAAAAAAAAGAUUUCUACUUGAUUCUUGAUGUAGUGUGGAAAGAGGAAAGCAACACAAACAGAAGUAUGGCUGAAAUAUAAAUAAAAUUAAUUGGAACAAUAAAAGAAGAAGAAGAAGAAGAUUGAUGGGGGGAGAGAGAGAGAGAGAUGAUUCUUCCACAUGUCCUUUGUAGGUGGUUUAGAUUUUAAUUAAUAUCAAUUCUUGCCAAGUUAUUGUUAACAAUAUUGUGCGUGGAAAUUUCAAUUCAGGUAUAUUCACUUGGGAGCAAGAAAUGUGCUCAAUUCUUUUCUUCGUGGAUCGAUAUCAGUAUGUGUUUCAUUUGCUAAAUUAUCAAAGUUUUAGUUAAAAUCUGGGUUGAUCGGUCAUUUUGUGUAAUUGUAUCUCUUAUUAUGCUCAUUUAUUUAUGUGUUUCUUCAAAAAGAUUUAUGUUUGUUGAUAACCUGCUGAAUUUUAUGUCUUCCAUUUCUGAUUUAUCAUUUGUACUUAGAACCUUUCUUAUCUCCCUUCCUGAACUCUCAUCUAGACUUGUAACCUUAGCUGUCUGGAUUCUUGAUUUACCUCUUCUGAAGUUUUAUUCCAGUUCUGGUCUUGUCAUUCUGAUUUUUUUUCUCAUUAUCAAUAAUCGAACAGCUCAAUAAUAUGGAUAAAUUAGUUAUUCAUAUGCCUCUCAUUCAUGGAAUCCAAUUCUAUGUCUCUCAUUCAUGGAAUCCAAAUGAAACACUAACUCAUGUGGUGGUAUCUUAAAUAUUUGUUUAGAAGGCCAUGAUAAAACCAUUUAGACCUAGUUUCCUCCAUGCAACUAAGAUAAGCUUUAUACUUCUUGGCCUCUUGAUAAAAAGUCUAAAAUAUGUCAUAUAUCACAGUGUGCAUCCCUUCUAAUACAUUGUAAACAGGAUAUCUUCACUUCUUUUGAAGUUUAAAGUUUGUGGACUUGAGUGUCUAAUCGAAGCAAAAACUGCUCAGCAAUAUUCAGACAAGUGAACUAGAAAAGUUUAGGUAGAGCCGCAUCUAAAUGUUGGCUAGGUAAACCUCUUGUAGUAGUAGUUAUGAACCUUGUAGACCAUCCCCAUGUGGUGGUGAGGGGAGGGUGCCAAUUGGUAGAAAAAAACCAUCAACCCCUUGGCAUUAUCCUGUACUUGGAAGAAGUAGAAAAAGGAAUAAAUAUAGUGAAAAUUUGAUUCUUCAUCAUCGUGUUGGGUUAUUUUUAAAAGUUUUAGAUGGUUAUAAAUAGAUAAAGAAACUAGGUUCGAGGUAUCUCAUAAGUUUAAGACAACUUAUAAGUUUUUUUUUUAAAAUCUAAUUCCAUGUUGACUUUCAUUGCAAUCAUUAUCUUAAAAGACUUAUGUUGCUUUUUACUUUUUCCUAAUGAUCCAUCUCUUAUCUAUUUUGAAUGUUUUUUUUAAGAGAUCAAUUUUAGUAUGAUUCACCAUUUGCUAUUUCAUUUUUCUAUCUGCUUUGACAUUCAGCUGGUCUGUUGGAUGGUGUUGCCGGUGUUGGUAUUUUGGAACUUGGUGAGCUUCAACUUGCAAUAUCUCUUGCUGAGAGAAAGCCAACUGGAAAAUUUUUCUUUCGGAAUGGUGAGUGUUACUUUUAGUCAUUAUUCUACUCCUUUAAUUGAACAAAUGUAAAACAAUGAACCAAAAAAAAGAAGAACAAUUCAAUGGAUGCAAUGUAAAAUGAUUAGAAAUGCUAGUUUAUUCUUUGAUAUACAGAUGGAUUGGAUUGGCAGACAGAAAAUGAGUACAGGUCAUUUGCUUCUACAGCUGAAAUUUUAGUCACAGGAACCUGGCAUUUGAUUUUAGGGGCAUAAUAGUAAAUUAGCAAUCUUUUUUGUAUAAAUUCUGCUCCUUCCCUGUCUAUGUCAUAUGUUGACAUUGUUUGUUCCAUGCCAUUUCUCAUGCUUCUGUAAUAGGUUGAUGCUUAGCAUCUUGCUGAGUUGGAGAGCAACCUUGUUACUACCUUCCGUGCUAGAGCAACCUUGUUACUACCUUCCGUGCUAGACUUGUCUUUUAUUCUCUCCCUUCCACGAAAGAUGUCCUGUUUGACCAAGAAUAGCUAAUAAGUUUUGUGCCAAUCAUUUUUUUUUUAUUUCCAGAUUUGUCCUAACAGAUAAGUGAGGGAAGAAAUAGGGGAAUUAAUAUUUGACUUUUUGAUAAUGGACACAUCUUUUGGAUGGAACAAAAAGCAGAGUAUGCCCAUUGUGGGAUGGAGGGAGUAGUACUUAGAUUGGUCGUUAAAAUACUAGUCAGAAGAAUUAAAUGAAUUAAGUCAAUAUUUGAUGCCAGAAAUUUUUUAUUCUUGCAUCUCUGAACUCAUUGGAUCCUUUAUGCCAAGACACCUUUAUUAUUUGCAUUUAUGCAGAGUAUUUUAUUUAUAUAUUGGCAAUAUCUUAUUCUUGAUUUGAUGUGUGCCUCUCAAAUUGCAUGUACUUUUGCUGAAUAGCUUUAGCUUCAGCAUAACUUGUUUCUUAUUUUUAAUUUGAUGGAAAUGCUUACAGGACUUCCUUCGCUUGUUGCUUUUCCAUCUGGCUGCAAAGCAUCAGCUUGUCUUGUUAGGUAGGUUGAAAAUUAGAGAUUGAAUUAUAAAGUGAGAAAAUAUAAAAAAAAUCACACUGCAAAGCAAGGAAAAGCAAUUAAAAAAGAUGGUUCAGUGAAGGGAGAGAAAUUUUAAAUUUUGGAGUCAAUUUUAGAACCUUUAAGACUCUGCAUUUCAUUUGAUACCAGCAAUAUCAAAAUCUCUUAAGGUGUUAUACAGCUCCAAGUAAUAUUUAACUGACUUGACAAUAGCAUAGUACUAAAGUUGGUUUUCGUGCUAGGUUUGAGGGUGAUCUCUCCACUGAUGCAGUCAUUGAUUGGUUUGCAACAAAAGUGCUGGGUUUACCUCGCAUUUUAUACUAUUCAAAGGAAUCACUGGUAAUUCAAGGCACUCGCUUAUCAUAAUCAUUUUUAAUGACAAAUUUGUUUUUCCUGCUUUCUAUUAUUUCGACUGAAGAAAGUUUUUUUCAUGAGUCAAAGCACCAUGUUGUAACAUGAGAGAACCUGUGUGAAGAAAAAGUCAUCAAAAUGGACCACAACAUUGCAUUCUCAAGUAAAUUUGUGGGUCAUGUGUUGCACAAGCUAUCUGUCACCAUAUGUCUUCUAGCUCUUUCUGCAUAGUUCUUUUAGACAACCUGCUGGAUUUUUUGAGUUGCUUAAUUAUUUUUCAUUGUUACUAACCAUAUUGAUACAUAAUGCUGAAAUCACUCUUUAUCAUUAUAUUCUAUGCAAGUAAAAGGCAUUACUAUGUUUCCUUUCUUGUUUCAUAUAUAUUAUCUUUCUUUUGUCUCCUAGUCUCUUUACUGCUUGAAUGAUAUGAAACUUCAUUAUAAUACAGGGACAAAAUUUUCUGGCAAAAAGUGGUCCCCACAAGGUAAAUUAUUUUUCAAGUUAAUUUUAUCAUUCAAUCUAUUAUUUACAAUGUUAUCAUCUUGAUUUUAUAUGAUUCUUCUCUUCAACUUUGAUUGGUGGUCAAGUUUGUGUUGAAAUUAAUGAGUUAACUAGUCAUUUCUUGAGAAAUUGUGAUAAAACUUGUCUGUAAUUUGGACUUCAAAUUUUCGAGAAAUAUUUUUGUUUUUGAACUUAUCAGAGGAUUUAUUAAUCUCUCAAUAUCUGCUGCUUCUAUGAUAGAUUGUCAUGGAGGAAGAAGCUUGAAGUGAUUUUUUACGUGCUUGCCUGUCAUGAUAAUUUAUGUUGCUAAUUCUAUAUUUUUUAACUCAGGCCUUACUCAUGUUGUUUGGCUAAUUUAUGUUGCUAAUUCUAUAUUCUAAAGAAAUCCAUUAACAAUGUGGUCCCUUCAUCAACUGCUGUUAAUAAUGAUGUUUACAUGUCUUACUUUUGUUGUUACAUGAUAAAAUUAAGACUAAAUUAAAGGGAAUUAAAUAAAAAGUUCACAAAAAAAAUAUUUUUAUAAAAUUAAAUGAAGACAUCAUAAAGAACCAAAAUUAUGAAUAACCCCCCCGCGAUAAUAAUAAUAAAAAAACCUCUCUCUCAAAUUACUUUCCUCUAGUUAUCAUCCUUCCUCUCUUUCUUCACCACAGCGACCACCCUCUUUCAUCACCAUCACUUCCCUAUGCAUUUUGUCAUUACUGAGCUUUUUAUUUCACAUCCCAGCAGUUGGCCUUCUAUCUCUCUUGUCAUUACCCUAGCCUCACAAUCUCUCUCAUCACAUUGAACUCUAUCCUUCAUAACCACCAAUUUCUUCAACCACCCAAAAGCCUUUGAUCAUGCACAACACACCUCUCACACAUUAUUGACACAAUAAAUUAUUGCUUAAUUCAGAUAUUGCAGCCUUGUCCGCUGGUUUUAGGUUCUUGUUGAAGAGGAAAAGAAUGGGUGUAUAUUCUUGAGACUUUGAAUAUUUUGAAUGAUUGCUUUUUUGGACCUUUUAAAUCAGAGAACAAUGAUUUUGAUGGUUUUUGAUGAGGUUUAAGGGCGGCUACUAGCUUGUGAAAUUUUUUAUACAUUACCUUUUCUAAUAGGAUAAUAUUAAUUGAGGAAAGAUAACACUUUUAAUAACACGUCUUAAUGGAAAAAUAACACUUUUAAUAACGGAUAUGGACAGAUGGUCUUAAUAGAAAAAAUAUAGAUGGUCCACACUAAGAAAUAUCAAGAGUAAACGGAUGAAAUAUAUGAUUAUCUCCAUGUUUGUACAUUCUCCUAAUGGAAAAAUAACACUUUUAAUAACGGAUAUGGACAGAUGGUCUUAAUAGAAAAAAUAUAGAUGGUCCUCACUAUGAAAUAUCAAAGAGUAAAGGGAUGAAAUAUAUGAUUAUCUCCAUGUUUGUACAUUCUCCUUACUUCUAAGUUCUUGAUAAAUUUUGUAUCUUGGAAUGAGUCAACUGUAUGUCAUCACUGAAUUUGAUGAUGCCUAUAUGAUAGUCAUGUUAGUUCAUGCUAGAAACUCAUUUAUGUGAAGUUUGGCUUGUUGAUUUUUUAAUGUUUUUUGUUGAUAAUAUGAAGUACUAUUGAAUUGACUCUACUGAGCUGAACUCAAUAUGCAAGCAAUGAACUGUGAAAUCAGAUCUCAAGUAGAUUUAGAAACCUGGAAAUUAGGUUUUGCACACUAGUGUGAUAUCUGAAUUGGAUUCUCGUUUAUAACAUUUUACCUUUUGGAGUAUCUUUUUCUGUGUCAUAUUAAUAAUCGAAAUUGAUGUCAUAUUUUUUGUUGGAUAUUUCUUUGUGCUAUUAUUAUGCUUCUACAUGUUAUUUUAUUAAUUUCAUUGUCAUGAUGCAAGCUUUUUUCUCUAUUGACCGAGGACCAACUUUGUGCAGUCAAAGUGAGUAUGAACUAUGUAGGAAUUGUCCAAAAAAUUAAGUUAACAUAGUAUGAAUUAAAUCUUAGUAUGAAUUAUGUAGGGAUGUAAUUUUUCUGAGAUUUUGAUCUUUUUAGAGAAGUAAACAUCAUGGAAUUAACUCCUAGUCAUAUGAACACAAGAGACUUCAACUAUUUGGUUCAAUUAUCAACACCACCAACAUGGGUUUUAUCAUACUGCAAUAGAUUAGAGAGAUUUUUGGUACUUAUAAAAAGAGGUGCAGUGUUGUUGUGGAGUCAGAAGUUUUUAGUCUCUUGAAUCCAUCACAUUUUUUUCCACAGGUUUAGAAUCUAGAAUCUUCUCUGUUAUUCGGUGCUUGCUUUUAAUUCCACUUGACGGUCUUCAAGUCUGUAAAAAAAAAUGCACAUUUUGGCAUGCAUAAAUAACAUUUUAUUGUUAGGAUAUUUGUCUCGUUGAUGGUAUCUACAUAAUUGGAGUGAUACACUAUAUAUCAAAUAACAAAUGCAUAUGCAUAUGCAGUUCAAUGCUUUGAUGACAACAAGCAUCAUUCUUUCUCAUUGCUUGACUGAGCUUUGCCAAACACACACUCAAUCACUCAUGUGAUGUGAGGUAACCUUGGUCUUGGUUCCUUUGAACACCUGGCUUUGGUGAAGGUGUGCAUCUAGCCCCUCCAUCCCAAAUUUUUAUAGCAAAAGAGGGAAAAGAAAAGGAAACAGAAAAAGGAUAAAAAUAGAAACCAAUUCUAUGGCUAUAUGUUAGUAACUUUGAGUUUGAUUUGUAAUUUUAAUAACCAUUCUUUGAUGUGUGUAUAGCUUUGAUGAUAACUUUGUAAUCGUACUGAUAGUUUUGUGCUUGUGAAUUUUAGGUUAAGGUCAUUUUCUUCUCAAAAACAGGAGCGCGUGCUACUCCAUUUGUACGCCAGACUGCUAAAAGUUAUUGGGCUUAUACCUCUUUUGCAUUUGUGUUAUGGCGGGAGGAGGAUUUCUCUGUAUGGUGGAAUGCGUAUGUGGACUACUUCUUUCCCAAACACUGCCCUGUUAUUUGUUUGGCCAUGGAGCCUGCAAUUGUGCAUUCAAUUUCAGUAACUUGCAUAGCCUUUUGCAAAUUGAACUAAUACUUUCUUUUAACAAAUACCACCUGUGCAUCUAUGAUUGUUUAACCUGGAAAAACACUAUAUUGUCCACUAAUUUCUGGCAUAACAUGCACAUUGAUGGAUUCAUAUUCAUGGGUAACAGAUUUGAGGUGGAAUCUGCCCCUGCUAUUGUUUUUGUGAAAGACUCGGGGGUGAAACCUGUUGUUGUCCAUGGUAUGUCUUUCUUUGAUUUUCAAACUUGGUUUUGAUUCCUAUAGAACUUUGCGAUGUGGUUUCUAUGCUUCUUUCAGCUAACUUAACAUUGUAUAUUGUGUUGCAGGAAUGGUCAAUAAUUCAGAGUUCUUAGAUCUUGUCGAAAAAAAUAAACAACAAGGUAUUUUUCAUAAUUUUUUUAUUACUAGUUGUUUUAGACUUUCAAAAUAAACCAUUGGUGUUUUGAGUCAAUGAGUUGUCAUCGCUAACAUUACCAUUGGAUUUUAUAAAAAUUUUAAAUAAUUUGUUGGCUCAUUGAUUUUCUCUAAUUGCCAACGUUUUUCUUCUCACAUUAGAAAAUAUUUUUGGUUUUCAAAUUGUAAUAUUUUCUAUGUAUUCUUUGCUGGGGAAAUCAUCAUGUUCUAUAUGAUUGGUUUUUGUUUCCAUUAUUAAGUAUGAAAUUGACAUGACUGCUCUUAUAACUAUGAUGAUAUGACUUAUAGUCUCUUUGAGAUGCACUCGCCUGCUUAAAUUAAUUUCCACGUAUCAAUGAGAUGCACUCGCCUGCUUAAACUCAUCAAGCCCUGAAAACUAAUAAUUAAAAUUGUAGAUGCAAGGUUCUCUUAUGAGUAUAUGCAUGAGAGGAGAUAGUGUGACAUGCAAGUAAUGAAACAGAAAUAAAGAGAGCUGGAGGAUUAGGCAAUACUUGGGCAACAUCAAACUUCGUUGCCAGUGAGAAUGUCAAGUGAUGUUGGGGACAGUGGAGAACUAAGUGAAUGGAUGCAGUAGUGGAGUCGUAUUAGAAUGGAGAUAAAACUGAAAUUUGUCAUUGUUGUAGUUCUCCCAAGAGUAUUGUUUUUCCUUUCCAGUGGAAAUUUGGGCUUGAAAUUUGGGCUUGUUAAAAUCCUAGACGUAUUGAUAAAGUAAUUUGAUAAUGCAAUUUACAUUGUUCAAGUUAUCUUGAGUCUUGAAGGGAAGAAGAAGCAACAUUAUAAUUUUGCAUAAUUUCAAGCUUGCCGUGAGAUGUUGAAACUCUCAUAUAAUAUCAGUAAUGCUAUUUAAACACAACUUGGUAUUGAAGCAAUGUUUUAUAUUCAGAGAAGUUAAAGUGAUUUUCAUGUGCAAUUUCAGAACUUCCUCAACUAAGAAGUGCAACAUCAAUGGAACUUGGCUGUGAUGCCCGAGGCCAUUCUCGUGCUGGAAAUGAUACCAUAUCAUGGUAUUGUGUUAUUCUAGCAGGAAGGCUGGGCCCAGAACUUAACAAGUUGCGUGAAGUAAGCAUUUUUUAACUUUUUUGUGUUCAAGCUGUAAUUGUUUUCUGAAAACUUAUUCUACACAUUAUUCUUUUAAUCAACUGGAAGUAGGACUAAAAAUCAAUGUAGCUAGAAAAGGAUUGUAAAGCUUUUAACUGCCAUCCUACAAUUCAGAUGAUAUCUGUUAUGGAUUUUCAUAUCUAUUCUUCUAUUUGUCUCCAAUUUUGUUUAUAUUAUUAAAUAUUUUAUAACAUUUUGAAUCAAUCCUAAGUCCGUGACCUCUUUUCUUUUUCAGCUCUGUAAUGUAUUUAUUUUUAAAUUGAAGAGCAGACACAAUUAAUUAAGAACUAGUUUUGCAAUAUUUGGAUUUUUUUAUCUCAAUGGGUUGGGUGAGGGAGCAAAAAGAAUAAUAAAAUGUGCUUUUUAUAUUGCUUUGUUUCAAAUACUCAUUUUUUGUCUAAUAUGAAAAAUAUUUCCUUCAUUGGAAAUGCUGCCAGUUUUUUCUGGAAAUUAAGUGAAUAAAAUAAGUUCAUAGAUUAUGCGCAGGAUACAAGAACGAUUAUCAAUAGAUAGUGAAUCGAGUGAAGCUGAUAAAGAGCAACCAUUAGCAUUGACUGGUGCAUUUAAAGGCAAACGAUUGACUUUUACUUGGCUUGACGGGGAAGCCCAAGAAGUGAGUUCUGUUACAUAAUCUUCUUUUUCCAAAUAUGCUGUUGAUUUUGCACUUAGUUCAGCUGAACGCAGACACAAAGUGGUAGCAAAUGAAAGCAGUUCUGUGUAGAUAAUUUUUUCUUAAAGCAAAUGCAUUAGUCAUUAAAUCUUGUGAUUUUAAUACCUAGAUCCUAUGGAAUAUUUUCUGUGAUAAUUCUGCCCUAUUUACUUGCAGCCCAUCUGGGCCACAGUGUAUAUGUUAUUAGGUGGGGAUUUUAUAUACAGCAAUGAAGAAAUUGACAAUAACGUUUUAAAGGAAAAGUAGAAUUAUCUGUUAGCUUAUCUACUGAGAAAUUUUUUACCUCAAAUUUAUGUUCCUUGGACCUGUAUAGAUACCUCCAUUUACGUAUGUUUUUUUAGUAUUAAGACUUAUUAUGAGGUGGGAAAAGUCAUGGGUGGAGUCUUGUCGUGACCAGUUCAAGGCUUCUAUGUCUCUCCCAGACCAUGCUAUGCAGCUUAAGAAAAACCUAAUCUACUACUUUCCCAUCAUCCAUGAGAACAACACCCCGAUAUGACUUAUGACCUUUCUCAUGAAAAAGGGAAAGAGACUACAUUUUCGUGUGCAAGUUAGGUCAACUGACAAGUUAUGGCUCCUUAUUGUGGUGUUUAGACAUGUAAUGAUGUAUUCUUUGUUUUAUCUUUGGAGAUGCAAUGUUCAUGUUGUACAACUGGCUCAAGCGCCCGCCCUUUUAUAGAAAUUAUUCUGCCCUAUAAAAAUAAUCUACCUGUCCUCUCAUGGAAAUUAUUCUUCCCUAUAAAAAUAAUCUUACCCUCCAUAUCAUUUACAUAUAUUGUUGAUCAAAGAUUCACAGAAUUGUAUAAAUAUUGAUAGUCGCUUACUACUCAAACAACAAAUGAAUAUUUUCAUUAUUCUUGGGCUCAAAGUCACUAACAGUUCUGAUUUUCAUCCAGAAAUAUUGUUCCUACUACCUUCAUUCAGAAACCAGCUAUGAUACGUGUGGACCAAGGAGGGAUUUGAUUGAUGUACCUAAGUUAUUUAUUGUGCGCUAUAAAAGGAAUGCUUCUGAGGAUGAUAUCAAGGUUGAUACAAAGCCAAAGAAAAUAUUUAAUGUAUUUGAAGAUGAGGACGUGGAUCCUGCAUCACAACUUGUUGCCAGAUACAAUGGCUCAGAUGAAAUUUCACAGGUAUAGCACUUCUCUAAGGGUUUGUUGGCUACUUUCAUUACUUCUUUAGUUCAAUCUUUUGAUCUUUGCAAAAACCCUCAGUUUAGAAUUUAAGACCAUGUCUUUGCUCCAAGAGUUCUUUGCACGUGUUUCUAAUUUGGUCCUUUGCAUUCAAAUUGUGUCGACGGUGAGUCAGGUAAACCUUUUAGACAUGCUAAGACACAUGUAAUGAUGUGGCUUUUUUUUUUUUUUUAAGGUAAAAAAUAUCCUUGUAAAGAAUUUAUAUUCAAAAAGAGCAUCAAAAUAUUAUAUUGUAUCUAUAAAACCCCAAAUAAAAUUUUGGUGUUGUACCAUUCCUCUUUUCAAUUUCUUUCCCUAUAAUCCUCUCUGAUCCCCCACCACUUAUCUAUCUUCAACUUUUAAAAAUCCUUUUAAAUUGUUACGUCACAAGUUUCUUUGUAAACUUGCAUCAAUUUUCUUGGAAAUGAAGAAAUCAGCCUUGAGUUCCACCUCAGAAUGAAAACAAUUCUUAUUAUGUUAGUGUUCACACCAUCCCUUGGUUUGGUCCAAUAUUUUAUAUUCCUGAAAUCCACUUCUGCAAUUGCACUUGUGGGUAUUGAUUAUUGGUGAAAACAAGACAAUAGAGAACAAGAAAAGGAUAACGCAAAGUUAUAGGAAAGAUAUCUAGUAGUAUCCUGUGAACGUGUGCCCCUGGAAUAAUCUUCUAGUCACAUAAUGAUAAAGUCUCCAUAUUCUUUUUAGAUUUGAUGAGUAUAUGAAGUCUUUUACCGUGGCUCCAGAAGGGGCUUGGGUUUUUUUAUCAUAUAUUUAAUCAUUUCUGUCUAUUUUAUUGGGGAAGGUUUCAAAUGGCAGGCAAUUAUUGCGUAGACUCACCUUUUCCAUUUUUUUCUCCGUGUUUUAUUUAUUUAUUUUGGUACAGAUCAUGCUAUGGAUGUCUGAAAUAAUCAGGGAUGGUGACACCAGGAAUCUGCCCUUCUAUGUAAGCCACAUAAUUUUUGUCCUUGGCCAACGCUGUAAACCAGCCUUAUUUGUGACAUUCACUUCAAAGCAGGGAUCUCCAUUAUGAAGUGUAGCUGUAAAUUGCAUAUCUAGUGUAAUAUACAGUGGUAUAAUGGUAUGGAAUAGACUAGUGCAUUUCAACUUUUGCUGGUAAAGUUAAUCUGGCACUGUACAGAAAGCAGACCCCUUUUAACUUUAGCUUGAUCCUACAUUGGGAUCGAGCACUUCACGAAGGGGUGUGAGUUGACCCCUUGCCUUAUUAUUAAAUAUGUGCAACCAAUGUUUCAUGAAGCCUCUACAUGGUUUAGUGGUGAUAUUUGGAUGUGAAAACGUUCUUUUGGAACAUUAAUAGAUGCUUCUCUUUAAAACAUUCAAUUCAAUUGCUCACACAUUUAUCCAUUUGCAAUGCAGAGAUCAAAAACUCCUGCUCUUGUUCCUGAGGAUUCAGAGCCUAUCUGGUCAAGAGGUGCCCAAAGCAUCUUUUCCAAAAGCAUAGGAAUCAAGCAGAGGAUCUACAACAAUAUUAGCAGAAUUUACGAUUAUCUAGGGGAUCCAAGAAUCGGCCCAAUAUUACUUUUGGGAGCCUUGAUGUCGUUUGGUACCAUAUGGUUGAUUAGGAGCCAAUCCACUCAUCCUACUCAAGCAAGUCAGCUAAGCCAGUCAAAUGCGAAGGUAAGUGAUGACACUAAAAGUGUCUGCAUGUGAAUGCUAGUCAGCUUGUGUGUGUACAUGUUUUCCAUGACAUAUGCAAUUGCAAGUAGGUGCAUGAAUGGUUAGAUAUGGGUGGGUCCAAGAUGGGUAAGGUUACUCUUAACGUCUCACCUCUUUGGUCCCGUUCAUUUUUUAAAUGGUACCUAUGUCCCUAGCUCCGCUCGUUAAUAUUCCUUUUCAUUGUCAUCACUCACCAAUCAACCUAACGUUACAAUAAUCCAUAAUUUCAUAUAAAAAACACAAAUCCCUUAAAAACUUUAAUAGACUACAAUGACCUUAUUGCUGAUAUCUCGAUUUUCGUAUUACUUACUCCACAAUAGUUGGUAUUAUAUGGGCAAAGCAUAAGUAUCUAGUUUUUGCUCCUGCAUGCAUAUGCUUUAUAAAAUGCUAAUAAAAGAUAUGGAAGUUGGGGUGAAAGUUCCCAGCCUAAAUAUUCUAUAUGGAUUGGUAUUUUCACUUCAAUGUUACUCUCUUUUUUUUAUCUUGACAUGUUUAUUUCACAUAUAAUACUUGUAUGCAAUAAUUCAAACAGCUUAAAGAUUUGUUAAAAGUGUUCAUAGAAACUUAAAACAGCUCACUUCACCCAAAAAUCUAACAUGGAUUAUUACUCUAUUAGACUAGCUUUUGAUCUCCACUCUUUUCAACCCUAAGAUGAAUUAAAAGAUAAAUAAUUGAGAAAAAUAAUACUAUUGACUGCAUGUUACAAUAUAUAAUGUCAGGUUACUCCUUUAUAGAUAUAUGAAUUUUUAUUAAAAAGUACCAAUAAUUUUUUCACCUUUAAAAGUUUGUUUCACCUAAGAUAAACAAUUCAUUAUAUAAGUCUAAAGUAAAACUACAAUUAAAUAAUUGAUCUAGAUACUAUCCUUUCUAUUUGUUGUGUUGUCCUUUUAUGUGCAAUGAUUCUAGUUUAAGAGAAAGAAAAGACACCACCCAAAACUGAUUUCGUGAGUCUUACAAAAAUUAAUUUUGCACAUGAUGACGCCCCCCACCCCACGAGUGCAUCUCAUUUUGAAGCAACUUGUGUCUCAAAUUAAAUAUCAUUGGUUAUUGGUUAGAGAAUGUUGUGAUUAAUAGCCGUAGUCCUCUUUUUAUUUAGUUUGUUUGUUUUUUUAAGAAUUUUAUGGUUUGGAUGAUAUUAUUCUCUAUUUCUUUUUUGCAAUUAUUUUGUUGCUUGUUCAAUUCAUUUAUAUGGUUUUACUUAAAAGGCUUAAAGUUAUGAAAUGAUAAUUUGAAUUUGAUGGAAGGAGGAAACAAUCGGUCUAUUUGAUUACUAAGCAACCAUAAUAUGCUUGUUUAUCCUAUAAAUCAUGAUAAAAGUACAAGAUACUCUUUUUUUAUUGGUUGGAGUUUUUCAUAGAUUCAUAGAUUAAUUAUUUUGCACAUGUAGAGAACAGAAAAAUAUUGAAAAAUUGGGAAGAGGGUAUUUUUGUGAAGAUAAGAAGUAUGUCUUCUUAGUAUAGAAACAAGAAAAAAAAGUGUUGAUAAAUAGAAAAACCUUUCAUAACAUUAGAAACUCGUGAAACUUGAGUAAUCCACUGUUGUAAAACUGAAAAUGGCUUUGCUGAAAACCAUCUAGUAGGUGGCCUAGUGAUAAGAGCUUAGGAUUAAGGGGUUUGCUCUCCCUGUGGUUUCAAGUUCGAGUCCUGUGGUUGCUAAUAUGAUGGCCACUAGAGGCUUACAUGGUUGUUAACUUCAGGACCCGUGGGAUUAGUCGAGAUGCGCACAAACUGGCCCGGACACCCACGUUAAUCAAAAAAAAAAAAAAAGGCUUCGCUGAAGAUAAUUAUUGUUAAAGUAGCAGAAUAUCGAUUAAAUGAAAGUUUUAUUAAAGUUAAAGAGGACGUUAAAUAAUCCAAUUAAAAGAAACCUUUUUAUAUAUUCCUAUGUUGAGGAUGUAACAUUUCAAUCUCCCUAGCCACAGAAGGUAUGAUGACUUUUUAUUGUUAUCAAAUUAGUAUUGAUUUUAUUUUAUUUUCAUUGAAUUGAAUUGCUCUAUUAUUUUUUUACUUAAAAGAUGUCAUUUAAAAAAAACUAAUUGAUACAAUUAUGAAGCAUGUGCCAUGCAAGUUGUAUAAAAGUUGUUUAUGAUUGUCCCUUUGACCAAAAUUUAAACUUAGUUGACCACCCUGACCCUGUUCAUUGAAGUUUUGUUAAAUAUUUACCAGCUUGCUUUAAUCAAUUUUUCAUUUAACUACUGCCACCACCGAACAUUUACCACUACCAUUAUUACUAACAUUUCAAUCACUUGCCCGACUAUCAACACUCCUACCUUAAGAAUUAUGAUCCACCAAAAUACCACCACUGCCCCUCAACCUCCUACCACAAUGCCACCACCACAUUAUCAUACUACUACAAUCACCUAUAGCAUAACCACCAAAUCACCAGCACUUACCUCCUCCACUGUGACUUCCAUUUUUUCUUCCAUUGUCACUGCCUCCAUCAAUACAUUUUGCAAUACUUGAGUUUGUAACUACUUGAGUAACCAGUGACAUCACCCACUUCUCAACACAUUGUGGUUGUACCUUGGAAAGAUUGUGUUAUGAAGUGGUGCCACUAAUUCUUUCUCAUGUAAUUAUAGUUUGAGUAUUUUAUAAAUCUUCUUUGCACCACCACCUCCUCAACCAACACUAUUGUGCUACCUACACCAUUUACAAUCAACUUUAAUCGUUGGUAAUGGUAUUUGUGGUGGUGCUGGUGGAGAUGGAAGAGGCAGUGAAGGGGGUUGUGGAUUGCGGUGGCAGAGUGGUGCAGGGGGGGUUAAGUAGUUUUAGCCUAAUGGUCAAACAUAGUCAAAGAUUGUCAAAGCUGGACUAAUUGGUUGAAAUUAUGAUAGUCAACCUAGUCAAGAAAGGUCUACUUUGUCAAGUCGAUGUUUGGUCAAAUUGGAUACAUGAGUGCAACUAUUGAUAGAAAAUCUCAGGCUGUGUUUACUUUUAGAAAAUUGUGUUUUAUUUCCAUCUCUAGUUCUCUUAUAUACACUAAAAUGAUUUUUUUUUCAUGGAAGAUUAAGGAAACAUAUUCACUAAAUACAAAUCUUCCAAAUUUGAAAACAAGGGCCUUGUUUGGCUUAAAUUGAAAAUAUUAAAAGGAAUGAUCAUAAAAUAUUAGGUGAACCAAACAAGGUGUUUUUUUAUAUAAUAGAGAAUUUUAAAAACAACCAUUUUGUUGUUUUUCAACUUUCUAAAAGAAUUAAAAAAAACACAUUUUUCUAACAACAUAUUUUCCAAUUAGUUUAUGCUUCUAUUUCUUAGAUAAUUUUUAUGAAAAAUUGAAAAAAUUUACAUAGGCACAACCUUAAUAUUGCAAAUGGUAAGGGGGGUUAUUCGGUAAGAAACCCCAUCUAAACCUUAUAAUUUUGCUACUAUAACAUGACCAUUUAUAUACCAUUAUAUUGUAGGUGACCCAUUUAUAAAACAUUAUUGUAUAUUAUUGCCUAUCCAUUUGUGACAUGCACCAAUUUACCCUACAUUGUUUAGAUAUGGAUGACUUAACUAUGUGCAAUGAGAAAGAGGAUGAAAUGAAAUAAAUCUUUUUUGUUUGUAUCAUGCCAUAGAAUAUGCGAUUUUUGCUAGCACGGGUGAAAGUAUGUUUGUUAAUGCUCGCAAGUUGCAAACAAUAUUCAUUCUUCGUAUAAUUGUUAAUCCUUUGAAUCUUAUUUCCAAAUAGAACUCGAACUGUUUUCAUUGUUGUAAUUCCGUCUUAUUCUUGAUUUAUCCUUUCAACUAUCCAUUUAGUUGCUUCAACUCUAUGUGAUGCAUAUGUUAUUGCUGUUUGCUUGUACUUCACCUUUGUAUCUUACCCUUUGAUUCUAGUGUCCAGUCUAUCUGUCUAAAGCACUUUGAGAAAAUUCUUGAUGUGUAUGUCUCUAGGAUGAAACUAGAGCGAGGCGGAGAGAAAGAGCAAAACAUGCAGCAAAGAAAGAUCAACCUCCUUCCAUAACUGAUAGUGAACCAAAAGGUGCUUACCAGAUGCCGCUGUCAGACUCUGAAUCUGAGUAGCAAGCACAGCAAUAGAGAAAGGAAGUUACCACAGGUUGUUUUUUUUUUAGCUGAAGUCACAAGUAGCUGUUUAAAAAUUUCCUAAUCAGAACUACCCCUCCCCCCAACAUAGCAUCAAUAAAAUGAAUUUGCACCCUGGAAACAGGGUGUUUGAGUAGGGAUCUUGAUGUGAGAGAGAAGAGGACAACUCUUGAUUUACUUAAUAAUAUCUCUUUUUUCUUUUACCAUUGGAACCCUCUCUCUGUGUAUGAAGCUUUUGGAUCCAUUUCGGUAGGUUUGAUUCUAGCAAUAAACUAAGUAAUAGCCAUGAAAGUGGAAACUGAAUUUUUGUUUUUUAUUUAUGCAUUUAUGUUUUUUUUUUCUUGUUUUAGGUCUUUAUAAUUUUUUUAAAAAUAUAUCCUGAGAUUCAGUUUUCAUUUUCAAAUUGGUAGAUUAAAUAUGGAGACCAAUCAUACCAAAAAUAAAUAAAUAAAUAAAAUAAAAUUGAUGUGUCCAUUUGCAUUAUAGCUUUUAAGAAUCAGUUUGUUCUUGGGUUUUAAAAAUAUUUUUUAAAAAUAAAUUUUUUAUUUUAAUUUUUUUUAUAUAUUAUUUUGAAAUAUUAAUCUCAAAAAUAAAUUAAAAAAUAUACUAUUUCAAAUAUAUUUCUAAAAACAAACACUUUAAAAUAAAAUCAACACACAUUAUACCAAAUGUGGUCUAAAUUAACAACUCUAAAGAGAGGGUCACCGUCCACAGUACAUUCUUUUUUCUCCUAGCAAUUAUGUCUGAAAAAGAACUGACGUUGCCAGUCACCUUCAUCCGAUUCCGCUGCUCUUGUCAUUAUGUCUUUUCAUAUCUUGUAUGCAAAUUAAAUAUUAAAUAAUUCUUUUUUUAUUAAAUGAUUUCAAAUUAAACUUUUAAGCUUUUCUUUCCUUCUUUAAAAGCUUUGAAUUUCUUCUAUCCGGUUUGUUUUUUAUUUAAAUAUUUUAAAAAAAAAUUAAUUUUUUUCUUUAAAUUAAUAUUUUUUUAGUUUUUUAAAAUUUUUAAAUUAUUUUGAUGUGAUGAUUUUAAAAUUAAUUUUUAAAAAAUAUAUUAUUUUAAUAUAUUUAUAAAUAGUAACGCAAUCCAAAAUAAUUUUUUCAAAAUUGAUUUUUAUAAUAUAUUUUUGUAAAUAUAAGUUAAAAUUAUAACAAUAUUUUUUCAUAAUAUCUUAUUUACCCACAAAUCAAGAGGAAAGAACAUUUUUUUUUAUCGCAUGAAAGAUAAAAGCAUCUUCGGAUCAUAAUUAAGAUUAAAAUAAAUUAAGAGAUUAGAGGGAAAAAAUAAUCCAAAAUGGUAAUCAACAAGAUAAUGAAAUUACUAAUUAUUUUAUAUAUAUAUAUAUAUGAUGGGUUCAAAGCUCAAACAAUUACAAUCCCCAAACCCGAACAUUAACACAAUAAUAUUAGCACGACAUUCCUCCAACAUUAAAUUAAAUUAAUCAACUCAACAAUGUCAUCAAUAAUGAUAUAUAAAUAUAUGCUGAUCAUCAUGGAUCAUGACAUGAUCAGUUCAAUUACAAUGCUAAUCCAUGGCUGCAUUAAACCCCAUGACCGCCACCGCCACCAAAAUGCACCCCAAUUUGCUCAACAAGCUUGGCAAACCUGGCAUGCUUGCUGCUCCAAGCUUCCACAAGUUUUGCCUCUUUACUUUCAGCGUCUCUAUGCAAUGCACUUAACUGCUCUUUAUACUCGCUCUCGAUCUUACUCAUAAAGCUCACCUCUUCCUCUCUCAAACACCUUAUCUUUGCCUCGAUCUCCUCCAUUUUCUCCCUUCUCUUCCUUGCUUUCUCUGACUCUAACUGCUGCUCUAGUCUACUAAGCCUCCAUGUUGCCUCCUUCUUAUGCUGCAGCCAGUUUUGCCUCCCCUCCUCGAGCUCCUUGCAAUACUGAACCAAAGUACCCAUUUGCUGACCCGGUAUGAUCCGGGUCAAGCUCGGGUCAAGCCCCGGAUCAGAAGGAGAUAAUGACAAGCUCACUGAUGGGGAUGGUGUUGCUGAAACUGUGGUGCUAGUUGAAGAUGACAAGUUUGAACCGGGGUUCAUCCAAACAGACCCGAGGGAGAGAACCGGGUCAGGGUCGGGCAUGGGAGGCAUCAUAGCGGAUAAACUACAGGGAAAAGAUGGAACCUGGUUGAGGAUCUUCGGUUGCACGUACUUCUCAGCAAAGGUCUCCAAGAUGUGGUCGUAUUUUCCUUGAGAAGAAGUUUUAUCUCCGGUGGCCGGAAUAUUCCCUUCUCGUUGGUGGUGCUGAUUGGAGUAUUGUGUAUUAUGGUGAUGGUGCAAUAAAGACUUGGACUUUGAUUGCUUCUCUUUAAAAACCUCCCACCACUUGCUAAGCCUCUUUGCUGUACGGCCAGGGACUUCACUAGCAAUCUUUUUCCACUUGUUACCGUACUUGGCCUGGAGAGAAAUGACAAGGGCUUGCUCUUCUGGGGUCAGACAUCCCUUCUUGAUGCCUGGUUUGAGGUAGUUUUUCCAGCGUUCAAGGCAGGAUUUUGGGUCUCUGUUAAGGGUUUUGCCACUAGCUUCCACACGUUGAGAGAUGAGAUUCCAUUCUUUCGGACCAUAUUGCUUAACAUAGGCUCUUAGGAUAGCAUCUUCUUCUGGUUGCCAACGUUGUCUCUCCUUCAUCUCAUCAUUCCUGUUGGUUAUAUGAAGUUGGGAUCAUUUAAGGAUCCUUUAAUGCCAUCUGGGCUAGUGUUGCUCCCUGUCUAGUGUGCCUUGUCUCUGUGUUUAUGGUCGUAGCAAGCUAGCAACUUGGUUUUGUUUUUUUUCUUUCAGUUUUAUGGCGAAGUGGGCCGUGGCGCAUGCAAGAGUUGAAUAGACUACAAACCAUGGAGUAAGGUUACAAGAGAGGGAAGGAGGGGAGGCAUGAAGGAGCCAAAAGAAAGGAUUGAUGAUGGGAUAAUACAUUAGGUGAUAGGACAUAUGUACUCUAACGCGUUAUGGAGAGCUUGACAACCACUCUCGUUGUGUUGGGUGCUAUGACUGAUGAGUAGCAGCAUGUGGCAACUAUUAAUUUAGUGUCAGUCCUGAAAUGUAUUGUUUCUCGUAUAUUAAAAUAAUAUUUUUGAUCUUAAUGUAAAAAAAAUAAAAAAUCUUCAAAAUUACAGUUAGACUGCCAAACACCUCCUUGCUGCUGCUUUGAAUUAGACUAGCUAGCUAGGGGAGGUCUCUUAUUUGCUUGAUGGGAGGGGGCAAUAUUAGUGGGGUGGCAGGCAGAGAGGCUGGGCCACUCCGGCCGGUUGUGGGGCAAGCGUGAGUCAGAGUGAGACAAGACCAGACAUUGAGAGAGAGAGGCCUGUAGUCGUGUGGGGCUGAUGAGAAAGAUGCUAAAAUAGGUGAGGAUGGUUUAUUGUGGAGAGUGGUCAUGCUCGUGCAUGUGCCUAUACAUAAGAAUGUUGAGAUGAGAGCAAUUGCUCAUGUUUUAAAUUUAUUUUUAAAAAAUUAUUAUUUUAAAUAUUGUAAAAUUUAGAGUUAUUAAAAAUUUAUUUAACCGUUAAUUUUAAGAUUUUAAAAAAUUAAUUAAAAUACAUGUAAAUUAGUUUAGAUAUCAUAAUAAUAAUAAAAAAAAAGUAUGAUUUGGAGUCUCGAGAAUUGUGGGCUUUCUGAAUCUGUUAGCUUAUUUAUGACAGCCAUGAAUACAUUGUUUACCUCUGAAAAGAAAACUGGGGAGAAAAAUUCUGAAGGAAAGGAGCUUUAACUCCUACAAAUUAAUCUCAACUCAUGACUCUACGAAUUAAUUUGCUUAUUAUUUUUUCAGUUAGCUAUUGAAAAAAUUAAUUUUAAUCAUUAAUGAUGAAUGUUGAAUGCUUCCUCCUCCUCCUUCUUCUUUUUUUUAUGACAAGUAUUGAAAAAAUUAAUGAAAUCUAUUAGCAUGUACCGAACAUCUGUGUUAUAUUACGGGUCAAAUAAAAAAAAUUAAACAUAAAAAAAUAUUUAGGGCACAAACAUGGAGAGCUCUUUGGAAUUAUCAUUAAACUUGAUCAAGCAAGUCAACACAUGAAAUCUUCAUUGUCUAGCAUGUGUUUUAAAUUAAAGUGUAUGGAAGUUGUUAUGAUAUUACCCAAUCGAUUUAGCGGGUUUAAAAAUAACUUAGAUGAUCGGUAAAAAUAUUGUUGGUUUGACUUUAAAAAUCUCAAGAUCCAGUAUCCUUUUCUCGCUCCUAUUAUUUUUUGGAUUUCUUCCGAAUAUCUUUUGAUAUCUUUUUUUGUAUUUUCUUAUUUUUUUUGGUGGGAAUCCAAAAAUGAGUAACAACAACAUAGUUCUUAAAAUAUUAAAACGACGACAUAUUGGAUCAACCCAAGAUUCGCGACUUAACUCAACAAACCCACGGCCUAGAGCAUGGACUCCACUAGUUUAAUAACUUUGUUUUUAAAAAAUUAUUAUUUUUAGUUAUAUAAUAAAAAAAAAAUAGAUGCUUGCAAAAUCAAACACCAAUAUAAUAUCAUGAUAUUUGUUUGAGACAAUGAUAAUCUCAUAAAAAAAACAAUUUGAAAAAGAUUAUGAAUUAUAGUUCUUAACCAACCUAAGUCAACUUGCUAAACCCGUGAUCUGGGUCAUGGACUUUUCUAGGUUUAAUAACUUAGGUUUUUUUUUUCUAAAACUGUUUUUUAUUUAUUUAAUUAUACAAUAACAAAAAUAGAUGCUUGCAAAAUUAAACACCAACUUAAUGUCGGGAUAUUUGUUUCAGACUAAGAUAACAUCAUAGAAAGCAAUCCAAAAAAAAUUACAAAACCCAGUUCAAAACAAACCAAAUGUUGAAGGAUGAAAUAAAAAAAUAUAAAAAAAUCUAAUAUUAAAUGGUAAAAUUGAAAAACAAAUUAAUACAAAGAAAUCAAUGGAAGAAAAAAAACAGACUAUGUGCGCGGGCCUAGGUAACUCAAUAUACUUAUGCCUUUUUUAUAUAUUUUUAAGGGGCAGAAGACAUGUCAACCAUCAUUUUUUUAAAAAAAAAAAUUACAAUAUAUGAUAUGUCGUCAGUCUGCCAAAAAUCCCCUCCCCACAAUGGUGGCUGAAAAAUUACUAUAGUGUUUUUUAAAAAUUAUUUUUCAAUCUAUUUUCAUCUAAAAAUACUUGGUAAACCCCUAUUAACCUAAAAAAAUAAUUUAUCAACCUUAAAAAAACCCUAGAAUAGUCUAGAAACACAAAAUCAAAUUAGAAAAAAAAUGAUAUCUUGAUCCCAAUCUACUUUUUCAGACAAGAUAAAGGUUUAAAAAAUACCUCAAAAUAAUCCUCAUUAAAUGUAACUUAUUGACACUAAAACAACCAGUUUCAUUGUCAAAAAGUGAUCAUUCACUGAAUUUCUCUUUUCUUUCUUAAAUUCAGGAACUGAAAUGUUAAGAAAAUAAAAUUUUAAAUCAAAAUUAAAAUUGCAAAAAAAACAGAAGAAACUAAAGAGUAAGAAAAAUGAAAGCAAGUGGACUGAACAUAACCUUUUCUAACGAAAUUGAGACCAGCCAUGAUAUUUCUCUUUAUUUUAUACUUUGAUUCUCUUUUACUGAAUUUUUUAUUUUGAUAAAAUAAUUUAAGAAAUUGAUCAUUAAUUUGGGCAUAGAAGGCAAUAGUUGGAAAAAUAUAGUUUAAGGAAAAAAAUGAUAUGUAUUAUAAUUAUUGUUUAGAAUGUAUUAUUAUUUACACAAAUGUGUGUGUAUAUUCCAAAAACAUAUCGUUUUAUUCGUACCGAUUCUUUUAUAUAUAUAUAUAUACACGCGCGCGCGCGUGUAAAUCUAAACAAUAGUUUUUAUACAUAUAUAGAAAAAAUCGGUACGAUAAAAAUGAUAUGUUUUGGAAUAUCAUACAAGUAAAUGUGUGUGAAGAAGAUUACAAAAAGUUUAAAUGGUUAUGCUGUUUAUGAAUGGCUGACACUUGUGGGAAGGAGGAGAGUUUCUUAAAAAGAAAAAAAAAAGAAAAAAGAUAUAUAUAUAUAUACACACACACAUAUACUGAUUUUGUACAAUGUAAUUAAAUGUAUCGAAAAUUAAAAUGCUGUGCUGUUCAACUUCAAUUCAUGAAUGGCUGACACUUAUGGGAAGCAGAUGGAGGAGGGAAAGUUAAUUCAUACCAAAAAGAUUUGUAAGUUUCUCAAAUUUGUUGGAUAUUUCCAGUUGAGACUUCUCCCACCAACACCAAAUCACGUUUGCAAUUUGAAGAUCUCUUAUUUCUGCAUAGAAAUUGACGACUCAAAUUGCCCACAUGCUCAUAUUGCUCUCCUAUAGAAACUAACCCCUCCCCACUAUUUUCCCUCACUUUCUCUGCCCCCAAACAAACAAAAGAUAACCCUUAACCUCACAAUAACCAAGAAUCAAGAUCAAUGGCUUACUCAAGCUCUGCUUUGAGAACCUUCUCUUCUGCUACUUCUGUGAAAGCAGCUGCACCGAGAUCAAACAUUAAUGGUGUUGUGCGUAACAAAAUCAAAUUAGGCCUGUCAAUACUCUUGGUGAUCUUGUGCCUUUCAGCAACAAAGUGAGUCCUCACCAUGAUCUAAGUUUUGUUUUUUUUCUUUCCCAAGAAAAUCUAACAUUAUUUGAUACGUUCUCACUGUUUUGUAUCCCAAAGAAAUUAUUCCAUGCUCACAUAUUGAAUUUGGAGCUCUAGCUUUUGACUUUCUAUUUGUUUUCUUGAAACAUAAUUUUUCUGCAAAUUGCUACACUUUCCUGGAAAAUCUUUGUCAACUUUUGCUGCACCUUUCUUGAUUCAAUAAUUUUAUUUUCACAAUAAUGAAAGCAAGUCCGUCAGUCCAGUUAGCUGAGAAAUCGGGUUGAGCAAGACUUGGAGCAACCUGCACGGGCAAAACCAAUUUUUAUAAUAAUGGUUUUUGCUGGAAAAAAAAGCCAUAAGGUGGUUGCAGUAGCGUUGUUGACGGUGAUGAUUUGAUGUUUCACGUUGUUACAGCUUUACACCGGAGACCUACAGAAACGCAUAGGAAUAACAGCAGGAAUAUGCAUUCUGAUCCAACACAAAACGGAAAAGCAAGGUGACCGGUAUGAGGCAGUCUACAGCUUCUACUUUGGUGACUACGGUCACCUUUCGGUGCAGGGAGCUUAUAUUACCUACGAGGACACGUAUCUCGCUGUGACUGGUGGGUCAGGUAUUUUUGAAGGGCAUAUGGUCAGGUUAAGCUGCGGCAGCUUGUGUUCCCUUUCAAGCUGUUUUACACAUUUUAUUUGAAGGGUCUUAAGAACGAUUUGCCUGAGGAGCUGGUUGGGAAGCCUGUUGAGCCAACCCCUGCUGUUGAGCCGACCCCUGCGGCUAAGGCUGCUGAGCCACAUGCUACCAUUGCUAAUUAUAGUGAUUAAUUACGUGUUGAAUGUGGUUUAAUCAUUAAUCGUUUUCGCAAUGGAAUAUUUGUAGAGUAAUAAAUAAAUAUUAAACAGUGUUUGUUGCUUCUUUCUUUUUCUUGUCAUUUUCUUUUCGUUGCUUUGAUAUUAUUUUUUUGUAUGGGGUUAGACAGCAUAGUUUAAACUAUACAGGUGGUCCAUGUUACGCUGAGAACUGAUUUCGUUUUUUUUCACUGUAAAAAAAGAUAUUAAGCAGAUGUAAGUAUUUCUAAAAACAAAUUAAGACUUAGAUCUUGACAAGGUUUGAUAACGAUUUCGAUAACAUGAAAUAAAAAAAUAAUAAAUCAACAAAAAAAAAAAGAUGAAAAAACAAUUCUCAAUACCAGGGCAACCCAUCAAAAACAAGAUGAAUAUAUGAGCCUAACCGGAUUAGCAUGCUAAAUUGAUGAUUUAAUUGUGAUAUCAGGGCAACACAGUCAAAAGCAAAUUAAAUAAAAUAAUGAAGCUCAAUUAUCAAGUCAAUGUAGAAAGAUGUAAUUGAAAUUUUUUUUUUGAAACACUCAAUUACUAUGUUACGGGUCGGGUCAAAUUUUUCUUGAACAUAAAAGAAAUAUUUAGAUAUUGCUAAUGUUUCUUUUAGUAAAAAAAAAAUUUAACCAUGCGAGGAUUAACUUGAAAUGACUUGAUUGACUUUGUGGGUCAAAAAACAAACCGAAUGACUAAUAAAAAUAUAGUUUGACAUAAAUUUUUUUUCAAAAUGAUAUUUUUUUUAAUAUUAAGAUAACAAUAUAUUAGAUUGACUUGAAUUAAUCUAGGGUAACAUGUCAAAUCCUUAACUCGGGUUAUGAGACUGUGAUAACCCUAUAAAAAAACAAAUCAAAACAAAUUAUAUAGCCCAAUUUCUAAUCAACUUAUUGUUAGAGGAUGUAACUGAAGAAAAAAAUCAAUUAAAAAAGGACCUAAAAAAGCGAUAUGAGUUAACUUGUCAAACUCAUAACUCAGGUCAUAAAACUGAGAUAACCCAUGGAAAGAAAAUUAAAACAAAUUGCAAAGUUCAUUUCUCAAUUAGUCUAAUGUUGAAUGAUUAGACAAAAAGAAGAAAUCAAUUUAAAAAAGAAGAAAUCAAUUUAAAAAAUGUCCUAAAACAAUACGUCAAAUUCAUGACUCGGGUCAUGAGACCGAGAUAACCCAUGGAAAGAAAAUUAAAACAAAUUACAAAGUUCAUUUCUCAAUUAGUCUAAUGUUGAAUGAUUAGACAAAAAGAAGAAAUCAAUUUAAAAAAGAAAGAAAAUAAAAAAACAACCUGAUUUAACUUACCAAAUCCAUGACUCUGGUUAUGAUAAUGAGAAAACCUCAUAAAAAGCAAAUCAAAAUAAAUUAUAAAGCCCAAUUCUCAAUCAAUCAUAUCAGACACAAUGUUAAACAAUGAAAUUUGUAAAAAUUUUAAUUAAGAAAAACAAAAAAUGAGUUAAGACAAUAUAGGUUAACCUGUUAAGCAUUAUUUUCGAGUCAUGAGGCUAAUAUAACCUCAUAAAAAUCAAACUGAAAUAAAACAUAAAGUCUAAUUCUCAAUCAAACAAAAUAUUAAAUGAUGAUGUUGGGGAAAAAAUCAUUUAAAAAAAACGAGUCAAUUUGAUUAACAUGUCCAACCCACAACUUGGGGCAUAAGACAGAGAUAACCCUAUAAAAAGAAAAUCUAAUGUUGAAGGACAUGAGACUAAGAUAAUCUCUUAGAAAGAAAAUAAAAAAAAUAGUCAAAAGACUUGAUUUAUCCGGGGUUAAAAUACCAAAACUCAUGACCUGAAUUAUGUGACCAAGAUAUUUUCAUAGAAAAUAAAUCAAAACAUAUUAUGAAAUUCAAUUCUAAACCGACCCAAUAUUUAAUGUUAAAAUUGGAAAAAUUUCAAUUAAAAAACACACAAAAAAUGACCCAAGUCAAAUAAGGUAACCCGUUAAGCAUUAUUUCAUGAUCAUGAGACUAGAAUAACCUAACAGAAAAUAAAAAAAAUAAAUCAUGAAAUCUAAUUUCAUAUUUACCUAAUAUUAAAGGAUGGAAUAAGGAAAAAAAGUUAAAUAAGAAAAAAAAUUAUAGCUAAUUAGGUUAAUCUAUCAAAUCCGCGAUUCAUAUCAUGAGAGCAAGAUAACUAAAUAAAAAAAAAACUUAAAAGGUUAAAUUAAAAAACAAUUCAAGAUAAGAAAAAAACAAAUACAAAAGUUUUUUUCUUUUAAUAGAGGCAUAUUAAUCAUUUUACACUUAGUUUAUUUAUUACUAUUUGUUUUUUUAUUUUUAUUUUUUGUAAUUGCUUUUUAGUUUUUUCUUCUUUUUUUAUGUACACUUUUUUUAUGAAAAAAUUAUUAUUCUUUACAUUUAAAAUAUUUAUCAAUCUACACUUGACAUGUUCAUACUAUUCUUUUAUAAUUUGUUUUAUAAUUUUUUUAUUUGUAUUUUUUUAAAAAACAAUAUUAUAUAAAGACUAAGAAAAUGAAGUUUCAUUGUAGCAAUCGAAAUAUUGUCCUAUUUUUCACUACAUUAAAAAACUAGUUUGGUAUCUUAUAUGUUUUUAUUAAUACAUAUAAUCUUCAUUAUAUUUUAUUAUAUGUAAAAAUUAAUUUUUUUAUUUAUAAUUAUAAUUUUUACUCGAUAUCAAAAAACAUGUUAUAACAAAUAACACUUAUAUAUUAAUUUUUUGUGUUAUAAAAAAAAGUUAUUCGAUCUACAACGAGGCGAGUUGAAUAAAUACAAUAAUACUUGUUUUUCUACAUUUAUUGGCACACAUAUUUUUUAAUUUAUUUAAUUAAAUGCAUGAAUAGAUUUUUUACAAUUUAUGAUUAGAAUUUAUUUAUAUUUUUUGUUAAAAAAUACAUUUGAAAAGUUUACAUAUUUAUUUAUUUUUUAUGCGAAAAACAUUUUCUGCCUCACAAAAAUGUGCGUUCAAAUAACUAAUUACACAUGAAAGAAACGGCUCUAGAGAGAUGUAACAUGCCUUUGUCAUAGAAUUAUUUUUAAUUACUUUCACAAAUUAUAAGUUUUAUAUACUAUGUUUGUCUAGAUGGAUGGAUAAGAAAGGGAUAAGUUAGAUAAGACGAGAAAUGAUGUAUAAAUUAUUAUAUUUCCAUUUAUUCCCUUAUUUGGCAUGAAUUAAAUAAGAUGAGAAAUGUUGUAUAAAUUAUUAUAUAUUUAAUUAUUCCCUUAUUUGGCUAAUUUAAGAGAGUAAGUAUGAAAAUCAAUACAUCCAAAUUAAAAUCAUUAAAAAAUAUAUGAGAAGAAAAAAGAUAGGAGUCAAUUUAACUUGCAUUGCAAUCUUGACUUUUUUUUUCCUCUCUCCCUCUCACUAGUGGGUUUUUUUGCUGAUUUUUCAAGUUGUUUUCAAUUUAGAUGUGUAAGACAUUUUAUAAAUGUAAAAUCUUUAUAGAAAUAUUUUAUAAUGUGUGAGAAGUAGUAAUAUUAUUAUAAACGGAUUAAUAUUUAUAAAAUAUUUUAUAAAACUUCAUAAGCUACAAAUAUUGUUUAAUAAAUAAAUUAAAAUUAAAUAUUAAUUAUAAUGUAUUUUAUAUGACAAUCUUUCAAUAAAAUAUUUUAUAAAAACCACAUAAUCUUAUUUAUUUGGAGUCAUAAACAUCUCUAGAAAAGGCUACUAUGAACCUUGAUUUUUUAGGAUCCGACAACCAGAGAAAAUAUUGUUAUAUAAUCAUUAAUCGAUUACUUAAUCACAAAUUUUAUAUUAUGGUCUUAACUAAAUAAAAUUAUAGAUAGAUUUGCAAUCCUUCUUGUCCUCUUCCUCUACGAUCUACAUUAUCAAUUAAAUAUUCAAUUAAUUAAUCUUUGGAUCUCCCAUCAACAAAGUCAGUAAUUACCCCAUCUACAAAACCAAAAACAUAGGUAUCCCAGAAAGCCAAAACAAUUUCUCCUAAUGUACUAACAAGAAGUUCAAAGGUUUUUUCUCCUCAUGGUACUUGUAGAAUCCUCAAAACUGUCUCUCCCUCCUUCUCUUCCACCAACAAAAUCCAUUCUCUUUGAACCAAACUCUCUUUCUUUAGCCUUAAUGCACACUGAUUCCUCUGUUUCCCUCUUUCCUUGUCUCUCUUUUCCUUCCCCUCCUCUCCCACCAAAACCCCAAACUCUAGUUCCCUCUCCUUCCUCUUCCUCUUCUUUCCUUCUCAUCCACCAAGACCCUAUCCCUAAAGUCCUUUUUCUUGUUGCUAGCCCAUAUAAGGGUGGGUACCAGAUUCUCUUAAGGUUCUAUCUCUUACAAAAAGACAACAUCUUUUGUAAGCCCCAAGUUGUUUGCAACCAAAAGGGUAUUGCUUUUGAUUCGAAACUUGGUGUUUUAUUGGAUAUAAAUCAUGGGGUUUCUAUAAAGAUUGUUGGUUCUGUUAAUUUUUUUGUGUUGCAUUCAGUUUCAAGCAAGAAAGUUUGGGUCUUUGCAGUGAAACUUAUUGAUGAUGGUGAUGGUGAGAUGGUGAAAUUAAUGAGGUGUGCUGUGAUUGAGUGUAGUGUGCCUGUUUGGUCAAUUAGCGUUUCUUCUGGAGUCUUGGUUUUAGGGGAGGAUAAUGGGGUCAGGGUUUUUAAUUUGAGGCAGUUGGUGAAAGGGAGGGUUAAGAAUGUCAAGGAUAUUAGUUCAAAUGGAAAGUCGGAUGGUAAAGGGUUUAAAUUGCCAAAUGGGGUUGUUGGGGAUGACUAUUUUCACGGUUCAAGCUCUGGGAAUGGUUGCAAUGGUGUACUGGAUAUGAAGACUGAUAAGCAAUAUGUUUCUGGUAAGUGUGCUACUAUUGAGCUCUUCUUAUUGUUCAUUUUGUGUUGAAAAAGUUAUUGUUUUUGCUAGUUAGCAUUGAGUUAGGGUAAAUAAAUGUGAUUAUUUAGCUUUGUGACAUAGAGAAAUUAGUAGUUGAGAGUUUUGCAAUGCAAAUUAUGCAGUGUUGUCCCUUUUACUUUAGAAGAUCUCCAUUGAAGUUGGAGAAGAGUUAAUUCUGUUUAACUUGGACUGUGUAUGUGUACAUGAAGGUGGUCUAUUGACCUGCAAGGAUUUUCUUUCUUCUCAAUUGGGAAUGUUCUAUUAAUUUAGGAUUCAAUGCUUCGUGAAUAUGACAUGUAUAAUUUGAUAAUGGAUUCAUCGACUGUUGUUUUGAUAUGGGUGCAAGAUUUCCAACAGAAUCGAUCAUAUUGUGUUGUAGGUUUAAAGGAUGUACAAUUUCAAAUCCAAACAUAAUUUCCAAGGCAAAGUACCAUUUGACAGUUUAUUAAUGGCCUUUCUUCUAUUUUUAAUGAGAAAUGAAAUUUACUGGGGAAGAGGCUCUCGCUGAAUAGGAAUGAAAUUUGUAAUUCCAGAGAAUAAAAGGAAUUGGGACUUGAGUAUCUUGAACGUGAGAUUUCUUGGUUUGACAGAAUUAAGAUUGCACCUAUGCAGCUAAUUUAAAUGCUUUAUGAAUCAGUUGUCUCGAUAAGUUAUGGAUCAAAAUUCCUGUCUUCUUUUAUCUUUUCCCAUCAUGUUUAUUAACCUUGUCUUUUGUAGAUUUCAUCAGCAUUGAAGAUCACAUACCUUUUGCUAUGUUUAGGUCUUCAAGAAGAGCCUCUCUUCAGCAUCACUUAUUUAAACAAAUAAGUUUUUUUUUUUUUUUGUCAUGAAGUCAUGAUUACUUUUAAUUUCAUUUUAGCCCGGGUAUUCUAAUUGGAGGGCAGUCAGCAUGUUGACCUUGGUCAAUUGGAAAGGAAUUCAGCAAAUUUAGCUUGUAUAAGCUGGACACAUUGUGGAUUUGCAGAAGCAACAUGAGAUAGUCAAUGACACCCUUAGAUUGGCUUUCUUGAGAGAACAAGGAUUUUCUCUCUCUUUAGAAUUAAGUCACCAGCUUCUUGAUGUCGCUUCACUUCUAAUGCGUUUCUGAAAAGAAAAGAAAAUUGCAAGGCAUAUGCCAGUGCUAGGAUUUUGUAGGAGUAAAAUUAUUUAGAGGGGAAAGCAAAUGAAUAAUAGAUGGGUGAAUGAUUCAAUUCUCUACUUAGGCUGCUAUUUUUAAUAUUUUUGUUUGAACUUGUCAGUUUUUCUGUUGAUGUAUAAUGGAGAAGGAGAUGAGGGAGAGAAUAGACGAAAGAGGUGUUGAAGAAAUAGAAAGGAGACAAAUAUAGAAGAAUGUUGGGGGAGAGCAGUGGGAGUUGAUAUUCAGAUUUUAAAUGUCGAUUGUCAAAAGCCUUUCGAAAACAUAAUAUGCGUGCUCUUAUAAGCAUGAACAAAAUAUCUAAUAGUUCAAAAACAAAAUAGGAAUAAGAACAUCCUAGAGAAAAAAAUUCCUAUUUAAUGCAAAAAUUCAUAACAGAAUUCUUAAUUAAUAGUAAAAGCUCAUUAUCCAUGAGCUAUUUUUUGUUUGUGUUGGAUAGGUGGUAAGAAUGGCCUAGACAAUAAAGUUCCUUAUAAAUGCUAAAAACUUAUAACAGAACACCUAAUUAAUACUAAAAAUCUUGUUAAUGUAAACAGCGGCCACGCUCCAUUUUUUGUUUUGGUGGAACUUUAACGUUCAAUUGUAUUCAUGGCUUUAUUGAAUCGCCUUGGUGAAUGAGUUCUCUUUGGGGGUUGGUGUCUUCUUACCUUGUAACAUAUUUAUCCUAUCAUUAUGGUAUUCUUUAUCUAUACAUUUGCAAUUUGCUCUGACAGAUUGUUUUUAGGAAUUUCUGUUAGACCAUGAAAUGGAUGAACUCAUAUUAAGUGAGGUGCUGUCCUGUGGUUAGAUUCACAAGGAUGCCUCUAGAUGGUAAAUCACUGUUAUUAGAAAGACAUAUUUGAUUAGGGGUUCUCUCCUGUUUUUGUCCUUGGCAAGUAAUGGUUGCUGAACCUUUUCUUCUGUGUUUGAUAGCUUUUAGAAGAGUAAUUGUGAUGCUUGCAGAAUCUAAGUUAUCUAUUUAUACAUAGAACUGGAAGUUGUUUUGAAAUAUUGUUUUUUUUUUUGGUUUCAAAAAAUGUUUGUGUUGUUGGCUCAUGACACUAAUUUGCAUUUUAACUCACAGUUAAGCUGAGAUCUGUAAGGUGCAGACAAGACUCUGGUGAAGGGGGUGCAUGUUUUGUGGCAUUUAAGAGGGAGGAGGUUGAGGUCUUGAAACCUAAAACAUCAAAGGCUGUUUCCAUUCAGGCAUUGUCUCACAAAAAAUUUGUGAUUUUGGACUCUAUGGGAGAUUUACAUAUCUUGUGCCUGUCCGCACCUGUUAUUGGAUCAAAUUUCAUGGCUCACAUGAGGCGGUUGCCUCAUAGUAUGAAAGUGCAGAAGCUGGCUGUUCUUCCAGACAUUUCCUUGAGUAUACUAUUCUAAAUACCCUCUCUCUCUUUCUCUCUUCUAAGUUUUGAUGUUUCUUGCAUGUCCAUCAAUGAUUCUGUGAUAAUGGUUCUGUGAUCAAAGUGUUUGUGAGUUCUUACACAAACUUGAUCCAAGGAUGAUUUAUUACACGUUGAACCGAUAAUUAUCGGGAUUGGAAAUUCAUGUGUGAUAAGGGAAUCUAACUUAUGUCUCAGUGGUUAGGUAUCAUACUUGGUAAAAUAAAAUGGAAACGAAACUUCAUAAUGUGUUUGGUAAACAGAUGACAUUUCGAUGAGGAAAAUAAAAUUUGAUUUUGCCUAUUUAUUUUGUUAAUAUAAUGCCCUUUCGAAUCUGUUUCAUGAAAAAAAAGGGAAAUGAUCUCAUGGUCUUGGUUAAUAUAUAUAAAUGUUAUCUGUAGAUUCUUCAACUGAGUGAACUUGCCAUUGCUUUGCAGAAAUGCAAACAUUUUGGGUAUCAGAUGGGCUUCAUUCUGUGCACACGAUUACUCUAUCUGACAUGGGUGCUGCUGUCAAUUCAAACAAUGAAGAUGAGACCCAGGAAAAGUUAAUUCAGAUCACAGGUUUCUUUAAUCCCCUUUAUAUUGGCGUAGUUUUUCAAAUUAUUAUUGUAUAUGCCUUGUCUUUUUAUUAAACUCACCUUGGGUUAAUGAAAGCUCUGGCAGCUGUUCUCAAAUGUUGAUGCUGAAGUUAUCUAAACUAUUUUUGUAUUAUUUAUCUUCUAGUUAUUCAAGCAAUUUUUUCUGCUGAAAAGAUACAAGAUCUUAUACCCUUGGGUGCAAAUGGUAUUUUGAUUCUUGGACAAGGUAACUUUUUUCUUUCUUCAGUCUAAGUUGUUUUGAUUAAGUAACACACUAGUGGAACAUAAAAUGAAAAAGAAGAUGCUAUAAACUUGCACUUUUAAGUUUUAUAUUUUCCUCCCCUAAAAAAAUGGGAAGAUUUGAGAAAUGACUUUAUAUCAUUAUUGUUUAUUUUGUUUGUUGGCAUGUAAUUGGUGGCCUUAAACAAAGUCUACUAUGUAUAAUCUUCUCUUUGAUGGUAGGCGGGAGUUUUUUAAAAUGUAAAGAAUCACUUAUCAAGAUUUUAUGAUUUCUUCUUGUAUAAUUGUUAUUUUCCAUUACACUGUUUAUCCAAAGUUUAAAUUCCACAUUAGUGCAUGCAAUCAAGAAAAAAAUGUUUUUUGGAAAGUAACUAAACUUUAUCUUUUUUUCCACUGUCUUUUCAAAUUCAAAUAAUGGAAUGGAAUUUUAUGUUUUUCUUUUUCUUGAGCAGGAAAUAUAUAUUCAUAUGCAAUCCCUUGAAGAUGCUUGGCACUUGGAAGUUAUCUAUCUUUUGGUGGUGAAUAUCUGAUAGUGUUUCUUCUUAUAUCAUAAAUCUUGUUCUCUUUGUGCCUUGCUCUAACCAUCUAACUUGAAUGUUUUAUAGGAAAUCUAUGCUCCAGAUCACAAUAGAUAUUUGUUACAGUUAUAGUGGUUUCCGGGAUCAUUGUUAUUGAACAGUAAGUAUUUCUAUUAUUUUCAUGAAAGUAGUUCUCUAGUUAACUCAUAAUGUAGUCAAUCUUACCACAGAUCUGACUGAUCAUAUUUCCUGAAUAUCAGUUAACUGCCAUGCGUUCUCUCUGAUUACCGUGGUUUUUUCUUGCCCUUGUGUUGCUGUAGUCAUGAGCUGUAGUUGUUUCAUGUGUAUAUUGGUGCACAAGAACUCAAAGACACUGAGCUCGUGAAGGUAUGUAACUUUAAAUGUUUUUCAUGCAAUAUUAUAUCUACACCAAGUUUAUGGACACAAAAAAAAGAAAGAAAAAAAAAUCAAAGAAAAGCACCCACAAUAUCACAGGCUGGAAGAUUUUGGACUGGGAAAACUUUCAUCAAAAUUUUGUUGAGAAACCAUCACAAAUAGUAUUGUUUUUGUACAUUUGGUUCUGAAGCAUCUUAGAAUGUUACGUUUGUGCAUGCCUUCUAACAAAUGAAUUGGAUCAAUUUUCUUUUUGUUUAUCACAUAGUUUCUUAACAGGGCUAUUCCGGUGGCUAAUAGUGAUUAGUUAUGUAUGACAAGUACAUUCUUAAUCAUUGUACUUCAUAGUAACUGUAAAUUGGUUCCUUUUCUUCUUUCUUUCUGCUCUUUUUUCCCCACUAGCUAAGUUGAUAUUCUAUAAAAUUUUGAGAGUAUCACCAGGUUUUUUUCGUUUAUUAAGGGGACCUGUCUGUCUUUUAUGUUCGGGCUCUAGGAUAUGCUUAAUAUGGCAAUUACCACAGAAAGAAGUCUUCCCUGUGUCUUCCUAAGGAAGACUAAUGAUGUAGAUGAGGGGCUUUAGGUUUACGAAUAGGAAAAAUCAUCACGGAAGCUAAUCAUAUUACUUUUUAGGUUAAUAUGGUGGAGAAGUGUAGACAACCAAAAAAAAAAGUAUAAGAAAAGAAAAGCUGAAAUUUCUCUACUGUUCAUUAUUAAGGAAUGUAUUGGGUUUUCAAAGAUGUGCCAUUCUUCAUCCUUAGAGAAGGGCAUAUAGAGCACAGUACAUCAACAGUUAUGAUAGCUGGGGUUGUUUAAACUUGAUUGACAUAAGUUUUGCCCGUGGCAGAAAAGAUAGUGCUUUGGGUGGUGAGAAUUCUUUUUCAUACCAAGGCAACUGAAGUUGAAACAAUUAGAAAAUCUCACUGGAUGAAGGUGCAGGGAGCCUCUAGUUAACCCCUACUUUCACACCUGGUUGACGAGUGAGUUGAUGGCCACAUCACAGAGCCUCACACAUUUGUGGGGUUUUCUUUUUCCAAGGCGACAAAGGUGCUUGCUUGUAGCAUCUUGCUGUGGUCAUCGACCCAGAGCAACUGUAUAUCAUAGGAUCACAUAGUAUGGAAUGCUUCACUUUUUUGAGUUCAUCAAAGCUUGUUUCAGCUGGUCUACAGGGUAGAGUGGGAUUGUCCCAUUCUCAACUCUAUUGCUAGAUUUUUCGUUGUGUUGUUUCCUGUUUUGUUUGCAUCUCAUGGUUGACUUCAUUGAAUUUCAUCGAAUUCUUUAUUUCAUGGUGAAACCAGAACCAACUUGUCUUGGAUCUUGAAGAUGGACUUUAUUCGGCAACUGAAAGCCACAUCUGCUGCACAGCCAGCUACCAUGAGUUGGAAAACAUGUCUUAUGCUGUUUUGCCCUCCGUGGAGUUUACUUCGUGUCUUGCUCUGUUAGCUGAAGACCAAAUGAACAGUUUACCGAAUGUUAUGAAGAUGUGCUUGGCUUCUUGUUCUGUUGCAUGAUGAAACUCACUUUUAUGAAUUGUAGUAACAACAUUUAUAUGGGGUGGGUUGCCUUUAGAGGCAUGUGGCUCGGUUUGUGCUUUUUGCUUUGUGCUUUUCCUUUUUUCCUUGAUUAAGUUAAGUUUGAAUUCAAUUCCGUGGUUGUUUUCCGAUGAACCUUACAUUUGACGAACAGUUUCUUACUAGAGAAAUAUGACAGUAGUUUCAAAGUCGUUAUCCACCCUGUUACAAGAAAAAAAUGGCUUCAUUUUCUGAAAUUAAGUGGCAGGAUGAAUUUGAUUGCAGAACUGAAAUUUAUUAAAACUUUAAUGUUUUGGGGCACCUGAAUUACUUCCCUAGAGUGGAAAUAUUUGCUUGCUCAAUGUCAAACUGGUGAAACGCCCUGAAAGGCGCUUUAAUGUUGGCAUUGAGACUUGAGGAUACUGAGGGGAGCAGUAGCAACUGCAAGAUACUGAGACUUAAGGAUCAAAAUGAGUGCAGGCUUAACACAAGGGUCGUAUGCCAUGGGACGUGUCUAAUUUUCUUUUUCCUCUUGGUUUAUCAGGUGUUGAAGGGGCAUUUUCUUCUAUGAUAUGAAAUGUUUGCAUUUCAAGAUUCGGAAUCUGUUCAUGUUCUGGGCCUCUAACCCGAGGCAAAAUAAAUAAUCUCAGAAGAAAUAUUUUGAGAUAAGAAGCAAGGGGUGUCAGAAUUCAGAGAUCGUAUACAAGAUUUGAGAUAAAAGAUACAUAUCUCUUUAGAAAUUAAAUGAAGCAGAAGAAGGACCAAAAUCUACUGGCAACCACAACAACCCAUCUCUGUCCAUGAAACCUACUUUGCAUACACAUCAGACAAAACUAAUGGCCAUGAUGAGUCCCAGCAGGGGACCCCUCCUGCUCCUGCGAUCGGAGGUCCUCCUACCCUUCACUCACUUUCAAGAAGAUGAUGACAACCACAUGGCAUGCAGCUUCACAUGCACAUGGACAUGCUCAGGACAACCACAGAGACACUCUCAUGGACACCCGCUCAUUCUUCUCUAUCCACCUCCCCCUCUUUUUUUCCCUCCAGCAACCCAAUAUUGAAAGCGACACAGCAGUGUUAUCUAGUUAUAUAUCAAACCCUAACAUGUUGUAACGCACCCAUCUCUCAUGGAGAGCUAAUCUUGUGCACUUGCUUCCAUGGAGCUCUGUUGCUUUAAAGAGCUAAUGAUUGUUAGGAGUUGAUAAAUAUAUGGGAAUAGUCUAUGAAUAAAAUAUUUUGCUAAAAAAUCUGAAUCGAAUUUGUGUAACAUAUGUUGCUUUCAAAAUCUUCUGCUAUGAUACGUUGUUCUCAAGGUUUAUCUACAACAAGCAUUAUUUGUGAAAUCCCAUUCAAAUUACAAGUGUCUCCUAGCUAAAGGUAAGUUCAUAAAAUGAUUAAAGUGUUAUCAAAAUGUUUUUCACCAAAUGAUUCUUUACCAAAAAAAUAUUUUUUAUAUAAUGAUGUCCUUAGAAGGGGUAAUUAAAGAAAAGUUAUUAAACCCGGUUUAGCCUACCCAUCUAAGGCUUGGGUCAUGGGCUGGACAGGUAAAACUUGGUUGAUUUUGAUCAAUCUAAAAUAAUAUUUUUUUUAAUAAAAAAAAUUAAAGUCAAACUAGAGUUUGACUGUGUCAUGGGUUGGCAUGUUGAGUCACAUCUGAUUUACUUUUACCCAAUUUAAUUUGAAACAUGACUCGAAACAAGGCCAGGUCGAUGGUCAUUGAGUUGACCUAUCAGGUUAGACCAUGGUAAAAAAACUAAUUUGAUUUUUUGAUAACCAUAUCGAGUCCUUAUAAAAGUGUGUUGGUUUUUUACAUUCUACUUUUAGUAUAAACUAGAUCAUUGGCCUACGUUAUUCUACGGGUUGUAUAUUAUUUAAAAAAUAUAAAGGCGUUACUAACGUGUUUUUAACAUAAAAAAUCAAUAAUGAAUUAAAAAUCUAAUACAUAUUGGAUAACACCUCUUUUUAAAUAUUGAGAUGAGACGUAUCAAAUAACACUAUUUUUUUAAAAAAAUAUUGAAAUGACAACAUAUUAGAUUGAACCAAACCAAUCCUGACUAACCUACAAAACUUACGACUUGAGUCAUGAGAGCUUGAUAAUUCAAUAGAAAGUAAAAAUAAAUAAAUUAGGAAGCCCAAUUUCCAAUAAGUAAAAAUUUUAAAGGACGAAAAUUAAAAAAAAAACAGUUUGAGUCAACAUGGAUAAAAUCGUUAAACUCGUGAAACGAAUCGUGAGAAUGAGAUUACCUCAUAGAAAAUAAAUAAAUAAAAUUAUGAAGCACAACUCUAAACUAAUCCAUUAUUGAAGGAUGAAACUAGUUAAGAAAUAAUUAAAAAAAAAAUUAUUUAAGUCAUCCCGAGUUAACCAAACAAACCUUGUUCAUGAGAUCGAGAUAACUUAAUAGAGACAAAAUUAGAAAAAAACCUAUAGAGCCCAAUUCCCAAUCAACUAAAUCGUGACUUGAUUUAUGAGAACGAGAUUACCACAUAAAAAAAAAAAAACUAAGAAGCCUAACUCAACACCAACCUAUUGUUGAAGGUUGGAAUAAAAAAGGAAACAAUUUUAAAAAACAUAAAAAAUAGAGUCAACCCAGGUUAAGCCAACAAACCUAUAAAAUGGAUCAUGAGACUAGGAUAACUUAAUAGAAAAAAAAAUUUAAAAAUAAAUCAGAAAGCUCAAUUCUCAAUCAACUAAUUGUUGAAGGCCAAAACUAAAAAGAAAAAGAAUUAAAAAAAAGACAAAAAAAAGCCCAAAGUCAACGUAGGCACACUAUCUUGACCUGCUACUCGGGUCGUGAGACCGGGAUAUUCUUGUAGAAAAAAAAUUCAAAAGAAUUACAAAACUCAUUAUCAAAUUAACCCAAUAUUGUAAGGCGUAGCUAAAAAAUCCAAUUAUAAAUAAAAAAAAUCCAAAGUAAACCUAAGCUAAUGCACCAAACUCACAACCAAAAUCAUGAGACCGAGAUAAUCAUGUAUAAAAGAAAGCAAACAAAAUUAAAGAAGCCCAAUCCCCAACCUUUAAAGAAUGAAAUAAAAAAAAUUUAAGAAAAUGCUAAAAAAUAUCAAAGUCAAACUGAACUAACAUUUCAAAUCCGUGACCUAGGUUAUGAGACCAAGAUUACUCAUAGACGUCAAACUGGAAAAAAUUACGAAUUCAAAUUUCCAAUCAACCUAGUAAUGAGGAAAACAUUUUAAAAAAAAUAUCAAUUAAAGAAGUAUCUAAAACAAACAAAUAGCAAUGAAAAGAAUGAGACUCAAAUUUGAUAUAAAAAUAAAAUGAAAAGACUUCUUGUUAUUUUAAGGAGAAUGAUGCGAAAACCGAGGAAAAGAGAUAGAAAAGAGGGAAGAAGAUAAAAAGAAAAAAUAGGGUUAUGAGACCGUUAUAACCAUAUAGAAAACAAAUCAAAAUAAAUUAUUAAAGCCAAUUUUUAAUCAACCUAAUGCUAAAGAAUGAAAUUGAAAAAAAAAUGAAUUAAAAAAGAAUAAAAAAUGACCCGUAUCAAUUAGGAUUAAUCUGUUAAACCAACGAUCUAGGUCAUGAGAUCAGAAAAACCUUAUGGAAAGCAAAUAAAAAAAAAACGAAGCUCCACUUCCAACAUAUUUAAUGUUGAAAGUUGAAAUUAUAUAAAAAAAAACUAAAUUUAUGAAACCAGUAUAUAACCUAACAAAAAGAAAAUAAAAAAACUACAAAGCACAAUUCCAAAAAAAAAAAAAACUAAUAUUAAGGAAUGAAAUUAAAAAAAUAUAUAAAAAAAAGAUUGGGUUGUUGGAGGGUGAAAUUGAGAAAAAAAUUCAAUUAGAAAAGACUUAAAAAAUAAACCGAGUCAACUUAUUAAACUUGCAAUCUGGGUCAUGAGAUUGAGAUAACCUCAUAGAAAGUCAAUUGAAAUAAAUUACGAAACCCAAUUUUCAACUAACCUAUGUUGAAUGAUGAAAUCGAAAAAAAUCAAUUAGAAAAAAGGAGCAACCUAAUAAAAUGAUUCGAGUCAAUCCGAGUUAAUCAUGAGAUUCAUAGAAAGAAAAUUGAAAAGAAAUUAUGAAGCUCUACUUGACACAGAUCUCAUAUUGAAGGUUGAAAUUAAAUAAAAACAAAUCUAUAAGAUCGAUAUAUAACUUAAUAGAAAGAGGAUAUAAAAAAAAUGAUGAAUCACAAUUUCUAAAAUAAAAAAUAAAAUUGAGAAGAAAACUAAAAGAGAAGAAAAGAAGAUUUAGUGGUCCGAGAGUGAAAUUAAAAUUAAAAACUAAAUUAAAAAAAAACCACAAAACACUAUUCUAGUAUAUCAUGAGAAUGACUACAAUAAAUUAGCUGCACCCUUUAAUUUCUUGUUUAUUAUUUAUCAUGAAAGUGUAUGGUAUGCCAUGGACAUUAUACAAGCUUCCAAUAAUAUGGGGCAAAUGUCUAGAAACUAUUAAGGCUAUUAUGAAUUCUUUAAAAAAUCCUUAAUAACUACCCUUUCAUCCAAUAUAUGUAUUUUUUUUUAAUUUUUUUAACGGAUUUACGUCUUUUAUUAAUAAUUUUUUUUUUUGAUAUAAUAAGGAAUCGCUCAGGUUGCUCGCUGUUCAAAAUUUUUUAUUUAGACAAUUCAUACCAUUCAUACAUAAUAUUUUAAUAUAAGAUUUUAAUUUUUUCAUGUUUGAGCAGUAAUAUAUUCUUCUGUGCUUCUCAACAUCAAUAUGCAUGUCCCUCCCUGCUUUUAGUUUUUCUCCAUCUUUUUUCAAUAAUUGUUGGCAUUAUAUUGCUUUCCCCUUUGGGCAAGUCACAGCUGAUCACCAGAAUUUAAAGUUACAGCUCCAUUGAGAGAGAUUGAUCUAAAUCAGAAUUGCAUCAAAAUCAGCACCCAGAUUUACAACAGGAAAAUAUUGCAGCACUGGGAAUUUAGUGCCAUCCAUUUUUAUGCCUGAAUACAUGCUGUAUUGUUUGAGCUUAAUUGUCAACCUAUUCACAAAAAUAAAAAUGCAAAAAAUAAUCUGUAGCUUAACUGAUCAGGUUCUGAGUUUGUACCCCAGAAAUCACCAGUUCGAAUGAUUUCUGGAGUCACUGAAAGCUUAUAUGAUUGUUAACUUCAGGGCCUCGAGAAAUUAGUCGAGUGCACGUAAGCUGACUCGGAUAUUCACGGUUAAAAAAAAAAAUAUCGACCUAUAUUUUGGCAGUAAAAUAGGUACAUUUAAUGUAUUUAAGAUGUAACUGCAUAUCAUCAUCUGCACUCCAACUUGAGAAAGCAAUGCAAUGCAAUGCAAUCUUAAAAGUUGAAAUAUGAUAAUAUUUCUCAUCCAAGAAAUAAAAACAACACAGCUUGGACCUGUUUGGAAGCAUGAAAUAAAAACAACACAGCUUGGACCUGUUUGGAAGCAUGCUAGCUUUUGUUUUUUGGUUUUUUAAAAAAGAAUAUUUACCUUAAAAAAACAUUAAUUUUUUUAAUAAUUUUAAUUUACAGAUAUUAAAAAUAAAAGAUAUAUUUUAAUAUAUUUUUUAAUAAAAAAACUUUUAAAAAAUACCAUAUACAACGAUAACAAACAUGCAUGGUACACAACUAGCUGUUGCCCUAUCAUGGAAUGGUGGGGGAAGGCAACAACGCAUUAAUGUCAUUUAGGAUUUUGAUUAAAUAAAAUACUCAAAUCACUAGGUAAAUAAGGUCAACUUACUAAUCAGGGGUAAACUAUUUUUUUUUAAUUAAAAAUGAUAUUUUGUUUUUGUUUUAUUUUUAAUUUAUUGAUGUUAAUUUAAUUAGGUUUGCAUCAAAUUAACUAAAUUGAUAAAAUCUUAAUCGGUUCAACCAAAUUUUACCGGGUUAAUAUCUUAUUUAAUUUAACUAAAAACUCAACUUCAGUUAUACUUUGAAUCAUAUAGACUAGUUUAAUAAUUAUGAAUAAUAUUUUUUUUUCAAAUAUAUAAUAUAUAAUUAUAUAACGGCAGUGCAAGAUUUACAGCUAUCAAUGUAACUUUUACAAACAAUAAACCAAAUAUUUUAUAGCACAAAAACAAAUUACUUAGACAAUGAUAGUGUUUUUAAAGAAGUAAGAAAAAUUUGAAACUUGUGUUAUUGACUUAACUGAAUUCAAUAAACUCAGUUAAUUUAAUAAUAUGAUUUAAAAAACAAUGAUAAUAGAUAAAUCAAACAAAAAAAUUGGCAAGAAUUAAUUAUAAAUAAUGAGCCACUAAUAUCAUACUUGGGAAGGGAAAAAAGAAAAGUCUGUCAGAGACCCACCGUCACUCUGCCAUGGACAGUGUUCCAUCAUUAGAAAGAGCUCAUCAAUGUGAUUCUAAUGCUAAUAAGAAAGACUUCAAACCAAACAAAAUAUCAUGAAAUGAAAAUCUCAUGCUUAUAUUUAAUCACUUAAUUUAACUUAGUUUACUUUUUUUUUUGUAAAAAAUCUAAAUUUGACAAAAAACAAAAAAUAAAAAGAUUCGAGAUAACUCGGGUCAUUUUGAAAAUUAGCAAAAAACCCUAUAGAAAGCAGAUAAAAAAAAUAAUGGAGCCUAAUCUCUAAUCAUAUAAUUGUUGAAGAAUGAAACUGAAAAAACAUAAAUUUAUAAAAAGAAAAUAAAAAACCAACUAAACCUAAACGAAUCUUCUAAACCUGAGUUAAAACCCAAAAUUCAUAACCCGUGAAAUCCUAGACCAGGUUCAGUCAAGAAGCUUAAUCUCCAACCAAUUUAAUGUUUAAUGUUAAAUGAUGAAAUAAAAAAAUAUCAAUUUAUUUUUUUUCCAAAGAAAAAAAGUAAUAGCAAUAAAAAAAAGAGGAUCAAAUCUGAUAGGAAAAAAAAACCCAAAGGAGGAUGAAAUCAUAAAAAAAUUCAAUUUAAAAAAUUAUGUCAAAUAGAACAAAUAGCAAUAAAAAAUGAGAACUAAAUCUGAUAGAUAAAAAAAAAAUUAAAGGAGGAUGACAUUGAAUUGUUUUUUGAAUUUUAUAAAUUAUUUCAAAUAAAAUAAAUAAUAAUCAAAAUAACAUGAACCAAAUACAAAGGAAAAAUAAAUUGAAAGGUCAUUUUGAAAAUUUAAAGAUUUAUGCAUGGAAAUUGAGGAGGAGAGAGAAAAGUGAGAGAAGAAGAAAAAAAGAUCAUCGGUUUCGCACCGCUACUCCACCACUGUCAUGCCUUGGCUAAAAAGGAAGAUCUCGGCAUGAUGCUUCCAUGCCAUAGCAGAAACUAGCAUUUGACUGUCAGGAGAUGCCUUACGCACCUCUUAAAAAACACAGACAUCUCCUAUAGGCUAACACGUGCAUUGCACAUGCCAACAUAUUUUUGUUUUUAAUGAAUAUUUUAUAUUCAUUAAAGUACUAAAUUGUCCCUCGAUUAACUUGAUUAUAACUUAAAAACUAUGGUGAAAAUACAAAAAAGCUCUUAAAUGUUAGUUUAAUUUUUUUUGCUUCAAGGGUAUUUUAGUCGUUUCAGUGUGUUUUAAAAUACAAAAAAACUAACUUAUUCCUGAUCAAUCUAUAAUGACCAGUACCCCAAUAGCAAGAGUAAAAUCAUCAUUAUAUUAUUUCAAUAAACAGUAAAUCUAAGUAUGAAUCAUCAAUGUUUUUCCAAUACCAAUUAUCUUUUGUCAAUGCUGACACCAAAACCCUGCAAUAUUCAUAUUAACAGCAGAAUUAUAUGCUGUCAACCAAUAAUUUUGCAAAAACAAAUAGGAUAUUUCUUGUUUUAAAUUCAACACCUUGGUAAGUUGUUGCUUGGCUCAUCUGCUUAUGUGUCAACAAAUAAAUUGCUCGCUAGAUUCACACUAAAAAAAAACCCACAAGUACAGCUAGCUAAAGACUUUAUAACUAACUACAAGCCUCCAUAUUUCAACUCGAGCAGUGUAAAACUCAUUCAUGGCUUCCACAAAGGAGCAAUCUCCAUACACAAACUUUCAACGACGAGAGGAACCUGAGUUCAAUUUAAGAGAAUGGGAAUUCAGGGCUCAAAUCAGCCGCGAACACACGAGAUCAAGAAGGUUUUCAGGAUCAAAUAUCAGAAGUUUUAGAGAAGAUGCAAGGUCUUUUAGAUCAAACAUUACUAUUUCUAGCACUGCCUCAUCUCCUGGCUACUCCAUAAGAGGUAGUAAUCUUGAGUCUUGUCCUUUUCUUUUGCUUCUGUUCUUUUGAUGCAAGGCUUAAUUUUCUUGUUUGUGACUAUCAAUUGUCUAAUCCAUCUUAUCUUAACAUUUUCAGAAGAGAUUGACCCCUCAACAUACUCAUUCACCACAGCUCUUAAAGGUACUUAGUGACUAUGCAAAUAGUCAAGCACGUCAUUAUCUGACAGCUCAAGUUCUUACGCUUAUAAUAUUUGUACUAUGCGUCGAGAUUAGUGAUUUUAAGUGAUUGUAUUUGUUCUUUUUUUUUUCCUGCAGCAUUGCAAGCAAGGUCAGGAUAUUAUAACAGUUGGGAAUGCUCAUCACCAGAUGGAUUUGCUUUACAUUCCAAAUGGAAUGAAGCAGAGAAAUAUAUAUGCAACCCGCUUUCAGGAGAGGUACCGAUGGAGUGUUUAUCAGCUAAAACACUAAGUGGAAGAUCAUUUCGAAACUUAACAAACAGAAUCACAAUGUCUGCACCUCUUGUUUACUCUAAUCAUUCGCGGCAAAUCCAGACAAAGACUACUACUUCUAUUGCUGCACAUGACGAUAUUGUCAAUCAUUUUCCAAUUAAAGGUUGUAAUUGGAUUACUUGUUGCUGUUAUUUUUAUGCAGACGAGACAAAAAAAGCUUGUUUUUGAAUUGGUUCAGGAUAUUUUUUUGGUUGCAGAAGAUAAGAUGGAGGGCAUGCUGAACACUAGAGAUGUCGGGACUCAAAGCACUCCUCCUGACGUCAGUUCAUCAAGUAGUCCUAGUCCAGCUUCAACGCCUUCGAUUAUAGAGAGAAAGAGAUGUGAAGUAGAAGGUGGAGACACCCCUAAUUGUAAUUCAAAGCUGAAAGCUCAAGGACAGGUAUGUUCUGCAAAUAUUCUCAACCCAAUACGCUCAUUUAUAUUUACUUGUUCGAAGUUGAAAGCUGAACCAGAGGCAUGUUUUUCUUGUCAAGUCAGUCUGUCUCCUUUGCUUUUCUGAAUAGUAAGUUUUCGUUGCUCCUUUUCACUUCAUUAAAUGCAAUUUCCCACUUCCACAACGUUGAGAUUUUUGUAUGAGCAUUUCGAAUGUAUUUCCCACUUUCCCUUCAAGUUUAUGGGCAUCGUUUUUUUUUUUAAAAAUUAUAUGGGACUCGAACCUGACAUUUGUUAAACCUUAAAGGUAAUCUAACUCGUUGAUUGUACAUUAGAGUUUAUUUCAUUUUACUCCUAGGCACUUCUUUCAGGACCCAUUUCAUAAUAAAUAUACACAAUACUAUGAAACCAUGCUAAUGAGACUGAAGCAAUGCGUGUAGCCUUGUGGUUCCCUCAACCUUUAUUGCAGAUUGUUCUUGUAUUAGAAAGAGUAGGUAAGGUGCAAACUAUUGAUAUUGAUUUGAUUUUCUCGUGAUUCUAGUCGCUGCUUGCCAAUGCAUUGCCAUCACGCAUCUGUUUUUUCUUUUUUCUUUUUUUUUGGGAAUUGGUCAAGUAUUUACUGAUACAUGUGUGUGUAUCACCGUGAGCCCUUCCAUGGUGGGGAACUAGCAAUUAGGUGAAAUGGUCCCUUAUUUAAUGGGGUGUGGUCACUAAGAAGAGGUGUACUAAGUGCAGGCAGUAUGCUACAAAAAUUACUAGAAAAUGUUUUGCACCAAUUGCAAGUUUCAGAGAACAAAUGACUUAUCUUAGCCCUACCAUUGUGGGGGACUAACAAUAAUACGUGGUAAUUGGUCCCUCUAACAAUGAUGGGUGCUUGCCCUAAUUGUAUACCAAGAUGCCCCAGGUAGCUAGCAUUCCAGCACAUAAGGUUGCGUUUAUCUAUGAUUCUCGGAAACAUUUUUGCUGUCAAAAGGAAAGGUCUUUCCUCUUUUUUCAGCUUCAUGGCUACUUUUUUUUUUUAAAAAAAAAAACCUCGAGGAGCAAAAACAGGAAGAAAGUUAAAGCCCUUUAGGAUGUUCAAUACUAUUGUCAUCGGAGAUUACUGACAUAAUAUUUUCCGUCCGUAAUUCCAUUGCUAAUUGCCAAUUUUCUGAUAGUGAAUCCUCAACUGUGUUCUUUAUUCAAACUUGCAUGAACUCCUCUUUUGUUCUUUAGUUCUUCUCUUCUCUUUGUUUUAUGUGGUGGCACUGAAGAUGCUUUCAAUUCCUUGAUCUCCUUUUUGUUUCUUUUGCUUUAGAUUCUUUGGGGUCAUCAUUGAAAGUAGCAUUUCACUGCCUCUCACAGUUCCUUUUCUUCUUUUUGGACAAAACAGCCAUGUGUUUCAGGGCUGAAUCACAGAAUAGUGGUAUCACUGGAUACGAAAAUACUCCUUCAUCAAGCUAUUAUCAUUCACAGUAUUGGAGCCACACAUCAUUAUUAGAUCUUGACAUUACACUGAUGUGGCAAACUUGUACAAGCAAGUUUGGUUAAUGUGACACUGACCCCUCGGCCCUCUAUAAUCUUUUGUUUGGGCACUGUGGUGUGGUACACUGUGACUUGAAUGGUCUGGUAAAACGAUGACUAAUGCAGUAAUACUCUUCAGGUGUUCAAAUGUUCGAACCACUUUGACCAUGUGCUAUCUGAUAUACUAUUGAGAUCUUGACUGGAGUUUGCCUGCCACCAUAUUUUACUAGUAUACUAGCAGAAGCUAGCCUAAUUUCCAUGAAAGCACAAAACCCCAUAGAAACAUUAAAGACACUACGGAAGAGACCUAAGGUGCAAACCGUGACAACCUUGUUUUGCCCUACUUGAACAUGCUUAAUUUGCUCUAGGUUGACGAUCUUGGGUUUGGAUUUUUAGGUUUGCAAACCACAGUUGGGCUUAUCUAAGCUUUUUUACUCAAACCAAAACCAGGAAAAGAAAAACAUGGAAUGGAUUGGAAGUUUUAUUCCAUAGUAAAGCCCUUCCUUUUCUUUUUUGGACAAUUCAGUGGUUAAUUGUUAGUGCUAUGAAAGCAGAGACUAGGGUUUAAUACCCAUCAAGACAGUAGAUUCACCUGACCACCACCACAACAAAGAUGAGAGGUUAACAUGUCUACCUUUAUACAUGGGGUUUGGACAAUUUGCUUAGAAUUAUUACACUUGCCACUUUCUUAUAUGGUACCCUGUAAUGUUUGUUAUUCGGUGUUAUAGCAUGAUAUUGUCAAAUCACAACAAUAGCGGCUAUAAUACGUCGUAUAACUAACGGUAAUGGGUGUUAUUGAGUGUAAUAUUACAAAUAACGGGUCAAUAAUGAUCCAUAACAACUCACUUGUAAAAUUGAGUUUUUUUUUAUAUAUAUUUCAAUUUCAUUUUUCAUAUUUCGGAUGUGGGCAGAUACAAAUCAUUAACUUGAAUACUCUUUCCUCUUAUGUUUCUUUUUGUUUCCUCAUAUCUCUUUUGUAAUGCAUUCAUUUUAUUUUCCUGUUUUAACUUUUCAGGUCAUCUUCUAAUAAAUGACUGGUGCAUUAUAUGAUGAAUAUAUGGUACAUGCAGGUUCAGGUAAAGGAAACAAGAGGGAAAGAAGAAAGCACAGAAAAUGAGAGCACUAGAGAGGAAAGUCAGAACAGAAAGGAUGAGAAAAUGUGGAUGUGCAGCAUCAGGAAGCAAGGUGGAUGCUUAUCAUGGAUGAGAAAAAGGCAGAGGGAGAGACACAAACCAAGAAACAGCAACAUUUUCUCUUUUAACGUGAAGGGUGCUGCUAAAAAGGAGAGCUAGAGAUGGUAAGAGAAUAUACACUGGAACCAAGGGAUUUCUUUGAAGAGGUCUUGUCUAUGGGGGAGGGAGGCUUAACUGAGGGCAACCAUGAAUGGACAGAAAUGAAAGACAGUGUCUUAUGUUGGUUGCCUUUUUUCCUUGGGUUUUUGUUGCAGGUAGUGAUGCUGUGUUUUAUUCCUUAGCUCUGAAAAUGGCUGACAGCUUUUGGGGUCACGUGCACUCCUUUGUUUAUUGCUUCAGAAUGGAUAGAUUCUUCUCUCUCCCAUGUAAAAUUCACCAACAAAUAAUUAAUGGGAAGGAUUUUUGAGUUUUUUUUUUCUUUAAAAAACUAAUUCAUACAAAAAACAAAUAUAUCAAAUAAAUAGACUCAAAAAAUAUUUUGAAAAAUAAUACAUCUCCUGGAUUGUGCUGUUAGCAACCUGUAAAAUCAAGAUGUUGAAAACAAUACAAUCUAUAAGUAACAAUAUUUUUUUUAAAAUAUUUUCAAUAAACCAUGUAAUUAAAAUCAAUGAAUAAAUCUUUAACUCAAGGAAAUUGUGCUCUUACACUCUCUGGUCUCUUGAAAAAUUGAAGUGGGUUACACUAGCUAUUUCAAACAGUGCAACUUUUAUAUUUCAAAAGAAAAUGUAUCAUGUUCAGAAAACUGAGAAUUACAUUGCAAUCUGCUGAUAAGAGAAUCAUAAUAAGAAGAACUCUAGGUGCAGAGGGAGCCAUGCAGCUAGGCAACUAGAAUUUAGCAAUCUCUUUGCAUUGAAUGUAGUGGUAUCAUAUGGUGAAAGUCCUGUUGGGUUUGUAUAUCGCUUAUAGAACAGAUUCAUGAUAAUCAAAUUACUUCUCCGGCUUUCCAUUGGGAUUAUAUGUAGCAUGCAUAAGUUUCUCCAAGGUUUUACACCUCACGCACACUCACAAAAAAAGGUGAUAAACUAAUGCUAAACAUCUUUAUACAAAUUUUUCACGAGGGAGCAUAUGUAAAUGAAGAAAAGAUCAAACAGAUAGCAGAGCUAGAUGAUACCAUGAAGCACUUCAUGAAGGUGAUGCAUCGGCAUUUAAGUUGGAAAUAAGUCGAACUUCGUAUAGGUUGUUUUCCCCUAUCCCUGCAAACGAUUAUUAAUUAGCAUGACCUCCAUAAUUCAUUACAUAGAAGGAUUCCGAGCUGUUGCAGGCCUUUUAAGGCUUUUCAAAAGCAUAUAUUUGAACCAAAGCAUUAAAGGCAGAUCUUACCGAUCUCAGCUGUGAUAUCUGGUCCAAAGAAUGAAGUAAAUUUUCCCUGAAAUCAUUAUUUGAGCUUAAAGAAUCAGCAAGCAAUUUUCAGAACUCUUCCACAAGCUCAAAAUUUGAUAAACACCAAAAUGCUAACUUCUAGCCAAGCUUGCACAAUUUUUACCUGUCUUUUUUCAAAGUCCGAUAACUGCAAAGAUUUUGCCUCGAAGAUCAGGACAAGACAGUAUUUACCAUCCUCUGUGACCUGAAACAAGGUAAUGAUACAAGCAAAAUGAUAUGAUACCAGUCAACGAAGACACUCAUUUAGAGAUCAGAACCACAUUUUAGGAAGCAAGGCUAGGUUCAAAUGGUUUCAAGCCAUAGAAGCUCUCUAAAAUCGUUUGAGUUGCAGAAUCAGUCAGAGAGAAGGGGAACAAAAAGGUUAUUUAGAAAGAAGCUUAUAAUGAGAUGCUUCCAUUAUCAGAAAAAAAAAAACCCUAGCAGCUUCAUGAAACAGAUACUAAAAUUUUAGAGUUCUAAGCAAUUCAACAUAUAUUGACUAAUAAAUGAUGCUUGCUUGUGAGCAAUCGAAAGUCUUCUAGUGAACUAGCACAUAAGUUGCAUUCCAAUAAUAUGAUCGAAGAAGUUGCAGCCAAAGACACUGUCAAUCAGAAGGUUGGAUAAUCAGUAUGUUUUGUUUUUAGAAUUUAAUAUGUAUUGAAAGAACAUACUUCUUCACGAAUCAUCUGCAGAAUAGGUGCAUUCCGCCUUGGAAUUCCUCCACCCUGAAAUGCAAGGCAGAAUACAUGAGAAUAAAGCUACAAGAACAAGAACUAUAUAAAUUAUCUCCUAUUUAAAUAAAUGCACCACUACAUAAAAUGCCAGGUCAUGUACAGAAUUUAUAAUCUCAAAUGUAAAAGUAGUGAUUUUUCUAUUCUUAGAUGAGUACUUGGUUUCACUUUGUCAUCACUAACUAUCAACCAAACAGAUUCAAGCAAUAGUAGGUCAAGCGACCAGAAACUAUCCCUGACAUGAUGUACUGGGACCAAUAUCAAAGUUCACACACUACAUGGCAUUCUGAAAAGGCUACUCAGUUUGAAAUGACUGAUACCCUCCAAAAAAGAAGUAAAAGAUCUGGAAAUAAUCGGUUCCAGAUCUUUGUCCACAAUUAGAAGGAAAUUCUCUUCCCUAAGAUGAAGUUUUAGGAAUAUUCUCAAGUGCGAAUGCCAGGAAGAGAUUUUUCAAUUGUGUUUUAUCAACAUCAGAUGCACAUUUCUUUUUUCUAAAAUUUUACACGAGCAGAAUAAGAAAUGAUGUGUGAUCAGUUGAAUCUAAGAUAACUUAUUGCCUUCAAUAUACACUGGCAUAUUGAAACAUGAGAAAGUUUGUAGGCAGGAACUUUAAAACAAAAGCUGAUCGUCUUUCAUGAUAUAACAGAUGAUCCAGAGCAUGCUCCUCGUACUAUUAAAUAUUAGUUAUUAAAUAGCAUACCAGACCAUACUGGAAAAUUCGUUUCAAUGCCUCAUCCAAAUGCUGCUCAUCUCCAUAACGAUAUCUUAUAACAUCAUUCCUGACCUGAUUAAAUAGAUAAAGAAGUAAUUCCAGAUGUUAUACUAUAUUCAAAAUGUCAAAAGAGUAUACUAUGUUGUCUACUUGUGCAAGCAUUAUCAUAAUAUAGACUGCAUGCGGUAAAGUUUUCUGCAGUCAGCACAAGAACAGGCUGUUCUAUGAAAGAGAAAAAAAUGCAAUAAGGUUCACAUUGUUGCUUAAAACAGCUAUACAACACAAUAUCCUAACAGGUAGAAGCUUCACGAUGAAUUUGUAUUAUCCAACAAUAUAUUACAAGUCUGAAAGGGAUGCCAUGCUAUAUCUUUAACUCACGAGAGCAUAACAUUUUAGUCACCAACGAUGCACAUUAAUCUUAAAUUGACUAGUUUUAUAUAAAACAAAAAAAUUCGUAACUCUUGAUCUGGUUAUCAGAAAAUUCUGAAAAUUAGCGUGGUAGAAUCUUGUUUCACCAAUUUGCUUUUCAUUUAAGACUUCGAAAUUGCUCCAGAAAUAAGCAAAGGUCGUCCCUAUUUACCUUGACCAAAGAUCAGGUUGAAUGGAAUUGCGAUUUGUCAAUAAUAUCAAACACAUGACUCAAAACAAAGAUACCAUGGUGGAACAAGCGACUAAUCGACCAAAAAAGAUUUGCUGAAGAAAGCAAAUAUCGCCCUAGUAUGAAAAGACUAAAGUCUGGAUGAGAUGUCCAAUCAUACUAUCAUAUUUCCUCAGGUAAGUCCCUUAAGUUAGGAGUUUAAUCAGAAGAAGUAUUAGAAUAAAUAAAAAUAGGAUCUAAUUGAUGUUGCUUGCUGACAUUGUGUCCGAUGGUGAAAAUACCUGUUUAAGGAUUGGAGUGGCACAUUUUUCUCUUAAAAUCUCAGCAUCUGAAUAAGUCAAGCAUGACACUGGCUUCAGUUCUGCAUACUGAACAGAAGUCAAAAGGAAAACAGCAUUACUUCACUGCCAAUACCACUUAAAUAAACCAGAUAUGUCAUAGAAAUUUAAGCAUUCCAUUACGGUUCUAAAGCCAUCCUUUGAAAGAAAAUAUAUAAAGAACCAUAUGUAACCAGACACACAAGGGCAGAUAUCAACUUAAGAAACAGGUUACCCAAAACAAACUAUAACAGAUAUGUUUCAAGCAGUGUGAAUUACUGUUUAUACUUGCUACCUCAAUCUCUGAAUGAUAUCUGAUAAGAAAAUUAAGAACCAAAAUAUUUUAUAACAUAAUUGUCAUAAAAUCCCAGUGAUGCAGAAAAAAAAACUUUUACCUUGAGAGCCAUACCAAUUAUUGCAAGAGGAAAGCCAUAUGUUAGCAUUAUUGCUGACCAUUCAGAUCCAGGAAGGAUGUUGAAAUAUGCCCCAAAACCGUACCUGCACAAUAUCUGUGAUCAGCAGUCACUUAAGAUUACUUAGGUACGAUCAAAGGGAAAGAAACUCACGACAGGAGCGAAAUCCCUAAACCCAGUCCAAUGACACCAAAUGAGACCUGCAAACAAUAGAAAACACCAUAAUUUCAUUCAUCAGAACAUACAAAUGAUGACACCAGGUUUACUAAAACUUUAUGCAGUAAGCAGGCUUGCAUCAAGUCUUAGCCAAAGCAGGUUCAGAGAAGUGAUAAGACUGAAGAAGAUGAGGAACUGCUUGGCUAUUGGUUAUCACUGGAAAUUUGCCCACAAAACUAUAUAAUGCAUCCCAUUAACUUGAAACCUUUGAAGACAGUUUCAUCACUUAUUCAAACAACUAGGAACAACAUAAGUGACAAAAGAAGUCAGUGCGUUAGUAUCUAAGAAUCUAACCCAAAAGCUAACCAAUGCUUAUCCUUACAAAUGUGGCAUUACACAAAACCCCUGUUCACCUAUUAGCAAGACUACAUUUCACAUACUUGACAGCUACAACAAAUGAGAUUAGCCCAACAGCCCUAGCACGUAGGGUAACAAACAACAAAGUGCAACAGUUGGAAUAAGAAUUAGUCAACAAGCACCUAACCAAUUAAUCAUGACUCGACAAUUGCAAACUUUAAACCCAACACCAUGCCUCGAUAACAUCAUUUUUCUCAGCAUUUUAUUUUCUCAUACAAUUUUCAAAGGAACAGGUUGAAUUUUGGUAAUCCCAUUACUUUAAAUUCAUAAAAUUGUCAAGCCUCCAUAAAAAAAUUACCGACAACAAGAACAACUUCUAAUCCAUAAACACCUAAAUUAAUCCUUUGACAGCCAAUAUAUUCGCUUAGUGAAUCAAAAACCAAUUAAUCAUCAUCACAAACAACAGUAAAGACCUCAACUUUAGAAGCAAUUGACACAAACGUGAAAUGGGUCUAUUUCAUUUAAAUUUUUACAACAAAAUUUAAUGAAGAAAAAUCAAUUCCAAGAAAAAAAAAAAAAAGCAAGAAGAGAAACACCUUAGCAAGAGAGAACUCAUCAUCAGUAACAAUCGUUUUGGAACCAGUAGUAGAAGAAGCAGCCCGACUCGAAUCAGCAGCUUUGGUUAAGAACACAAACUUAACUUUGUGGUUUUGUUUAGGACUCAGUUUUGAUGGUGACGAAGAAUGUACAGAGAGAAAGCAGCGACCUUUGUGCUUGUUAGUACAGAACCUUCCAAAUUGUACAUCAUAGUGGAAAAUGGUGGUUCUUGCUGUUGCAGAAGCUGAUAAUAUUAUUGCUUUCAUUGGGUAGUGGUCGAUUGAUUGAUUUUUAGAGUUUGGUUCUAACUCUAAAAAUUUGCAGACAUUUUUCUUCUGUUUCUUUCUUUGAGUAUGAAGUAUGUUAUGUAUCUGGUUUGGAGAGAAUAAGAAUGAGAGGUUACAGUUUGAUGAUCCAAAAACUAGUUUCAACCGCCAAAAAAUUAUUGUUACGUGGCACCAUUCAUUUUCUCUAUUUUUUCUUCUUUUUUUAAUAUAUAUAUAUAUGACAAUCAAAAUAUUUACAUUAUUUAAAUUUUUAAUAAUUACUAUUGUAGUUAUCUGUUUCAAUAAAUUUGAUUGAAUUUUUUAUACUUUCUCGAAUUUGAUAAGCAUCAUAAUGAUAUUGUAUUAUCAUAGUAUUAAUUAAAUUAGUUUUUUAAAACAAUUAGUACCAAUAAAGUAAUAAAUAAAUUAAAGAAAUUUCUUUUGAAAGAAAAAAACAUUCAUCAUAAACUUUUAAUAAAUGGAGAUUCGAUAAAAAAAAAAAUUUAUAGGAAGAAAUCCCACUUCAAUAACAAAUAUGAAUAUAAAAGUUCCACGAAGACAAAAUGAGAUUUUUUAGACACAUGAUUUUAGAAUAUUCAAUAGUUUUCAUUUUUUUAAGAUAUUCAUCGGUUAUUUCAAUAUAAAAAAUUAUUUUAUAUUAAAAAGAAUAUUCCUUUCAGCGUUAAAAGCUUUACUAAUUAGCUUUGUUAUUAUAUGAAUAUUUAUUUAUAAUAUUCAAUAAAAACAUUUACCAACAAGAAGCAUCAUGUAAAUUUCCAUUCCCUUCCAGCCAAGAAUUUGUUGAAUACAUAAUUUUAUUGAUGCUGCUCAUUGACGAAUCUUUCUUAGGACAACUGCUGAAACCUAAAGACUGAAGUAAGCCGUAAACAACAUUUGAAGAACAGUUGAUACACAUACUUUUUGCAGUGAACAAUAAGAAGACAGAAAUGGAGUGCAGAGACAUUUGCAGCUCUAAGCCAAGUUAGGAAUCAAGGUCGAUUCUCCUGCAAGCUAGUAGUCCUUAUUUGCAACAAGUAAACGAAAUCAUAUUGCACAACCUCACAUCUUGGAUUUCACUUUCUGAACGAGCUCUCUUCUGAGGAUUUUUCCUGAAGCUGAUUUAGGUACACUAUUGAUGAAAGUCACCUUCCGCAAUCUUUUGAAAGGUGCAACCUGCAAAACAGAGAAAAGAAUUGAUGGUGAACUGAAGGAAAUGUUGGCAUUGGUGAGCUUAUCACAGGAAAAAAAAUGUACAGAGUGUAUAUUUUUAAGCAUUUCAACUUCAUAAAAGGAACUUGAUAGCAAAUUACAGCAAAAACUUAUUCAAACAUCACAUGCAAAUUAAAGAAAGAAGCCGUAAUUUUUUUAACAAUGAGGAACAGAGCUGCUGGGCUGACCAUUAUAGAGGACUCAGCACAGCUUCGUCAACUAGAUGGCAUGAAUUUAUUUUAGAAAAUAGAAUUCAACAGUUAUGAUAGUGAUAAUACUACAUUGCUAUAUGUACUACCCAAUCUUCGAUUGUUGUACAGAACAGGUUCACCCAAGUUUUCUGCAGUCAUCUAAUGUUAAUCCAAUGCAACACCUUCAGAAUUCAUGGUUACCAAAAAGGUGGUAGAAGAAGAAAAUGAGUCAAACAUAACUGUAUUCUACUAAAUGAACUAUGAUUCUCAAGAGAGCAUAGCAUUUUCCAUUAUAUGCCACUUACCUGAUCAGAAAUAAAUUUCUGAACAUCUUCUUCUGUCAGUGCGCUGUUGGGUGAGCGCACAACAUAUGCAACUGGGACCUCACCAGCUUCAGCGUCAGGAUAUCUACAGCGAGUAAUACAACUAAUCAACUGUAUGAAUAUUAGAUAUACAUUAACAUGGAAGUAGUUUUUUACGAGCUCAUUGAUGUCAGUGGUACAAAUGCAUGGGUUCAACUUACGGGGUGACAACAGCAUCCAAAAUUUCAGGAUGAGAAACUAACAGCCCUUCUAGCUCAGCGGGUGCCACCUAGUGAAAAUCAAUGGAGACAAAAGGAAAACAGAAUUCAGUAGCUAUUGAAUAGCCAAAGUGCAGGAGCUGUGUUGCAAUGUAUUUCUACAGGCAAAAAACAAAUUUACAAAUAUUUAUGAAUUUUCUUUGCUAGAUAUUACCUGAAAACCUUUGUACUUGAUGAGCUCUUUAAUCCGAUCAACAACAAAAAGUUGUCCAUCAUCAUCAAAAUAUCCAAGAUCUCCAGUAUGUACCCAACCCUUUUUAUCUAUGGUAUCUUUUGUGGCUUGCGGAUUAUUGAAAUAACCUGCCAGUGGAUUGCACAACAUGGUGGAUUUAGUUAAAUGGAUAUUUGAAAUAUGAUUCCAGCAAGAGAAUCUGAUUGUAAUCCACAGUUGCAUCAAGCUGACCAAUCAUGCACACAGGAAGUUAGUCAUUUAAAUUACAUAGUUAGGCCACAAACAUUUUGUUUUUGUACUGCCACCAAAAUUCUAGGAGCCAUUUGUGCAAGAACUGAAAGUUUCUAAACGAUGCAGGCCAAUAAGCAUCUUACCUCUCAUCAUAUUGGGUCCCCUAACCCAUAUUUCCCCUAACUGAUUAGGAGGGAGAGGCUUUGCAGUUUCCACACUGACUAUCUGGGCCUCAAUUCCUGCAUUUAGUAUUCCAGCAGAACCAGAAUGUCGAACACCUAUUCUCGGAUCCUCCAAUGAAACAAUGCCACAAGUUUCAGUCAUGCCAAAGCCCUGAAACCACAGAGAGCAUCUUGAUUCAGAAAGAAGAAAAUCUUUCGUUUUUUUCUUUGAGAAAUCAAAAGGAAAUGAUUGUUUGUGCAUAAACGAGAACAUCAAAACAUUUCAUAUUUUCUCAAACUUGAAUUAUGAUUUUCUUAGGAACUAAAAUCAGCCAUAUCAAUUACCUGAAUUAUUGUAGCAUCCGGCAAAUUCUUGGCGCAUUCCUUCAUCAAAUCUUUUCCCAGAGGAGCAGCGCCUGAACCAAUAUUUCUCAAUGACGAAAGGUCAUACUUCUUAACCAAAUUCUGUUUAGACAAAGCAAGUAUUACUGGGGGCACAACCCACAUAUGGGUCACUCUAUACUUCUCAAUAGUCCUCAAAACCAUCUCAAAUUCAAACUUCCCCAUUGACACUACAGCAUUUCCCAUUUGUAGCUGUGAGUAAGUAAUCACAGCCAAGCCAAACACAUGAAACAUGGGCAAGAAACAAAGGAACACAUUGUGUAUCUCACCUGCCAUUACUUGAUCCAUACUGACCAUUAAAGAUGCAGCAAUGAAAUUCCCAUGAGUCAAGAUCACUCCUUUACUAACCCCUGUAGUACCUGACGAAUACAAAAGCGUAGCUAUAUCACUUUGCUUCACAUCACUCACAGGAAACUCAGAGUUAGACCCUCCUAACUCAACCAAAGAAUGGAAACUUCUGAUUCUUGAACCUGACUCCAAUGGCAAAGACACCUCUUUUGGUCCUAGAAAGACAGCAGGCAAAUUGAAGCCUUUGACUUUGUCCCAUAACUCAGGGACUGUGAUAACCAACUUGGGAUUAGAAUCUUUAAUCUGUUUUGAAAGCUCUGAGGUUGUAUAAAGAGGAUUCGCAGUUGUUGCAACAGCACCAAUGGAAGUGAUGGCCAAGAAACAGGUAGGGAAUUGGUAUGAAUUGGGAGCAAAGAUAAGAAUAACAUCAUUUUUAGAGAUGCCCAGAUUGAGUAAUCCAUGAGCGAACUUGAUAACAAUGGAUUUGAGCUCUGAAAAAGAUAAGGUUAUUGACAAAUCUGCAUCAAUAAGAGCUGGUUUAUGAGGAUAAGAAUUGGAGUUUCUGAAAAGAAAUGAGACCAAAGAAAGAUUAGAAUCCCUAGGAAGGACAAGUGUUGGUCUUAAUGACCUGUAUAUACCAUCACGGCCAUAACCAGAUUUCUCCAUGUAGCAGGUAUAAAAGUUCUUUCUCUAGGUGAUAACUCAAACAGAAAAUCUCCCACCUGGAUUGAAUCCAGUGGAGUAAUUGAAGCUGGCGUGUGGCCAGCUAAGCUAAGAGAAGGAGGAAGAAGAGUACCAGAGUGGUUAGAGAAAAUAUAGGAAGAAGAAGAGUACUAUAGCUGGAUUAAUUACUGCAUUCAUUCAUUUUUGUCCAAACCCUAUUCGUUACAAAUGAUUGUAUUUAUAAGAGCAAAUAAUGGAACAACAGAAUACUGACUCAACAUUCUUCUCCAGUACAAGUUGUUAAGGUCUAUUAUUGAAACGGUGCGCAUAACUGAUGGAGAUAGCCCUUGCCCUUGACUAGGAUUCGAGUUGCAGCCUGCUACCCCCUUCCGACCAAUCUUCGAUCCAAGAUUGCUAAAUCAGUGUACACCAUUUUGUUUCCCGCGCUCCUCUUCAACUGAGAGACAUGGAAGACAGGAUGGAUUGUCGUUGAUGGCGGAAGAUUCAAUUUGUAGCAACCUCUUCAAUCUUCUCAAUUAUUGCAUAUGGACCAUAAGAGUUAUAGCCGUUGGCUUGUGUUGUGGUACUGAUUUCUGCUUGUAGGGUUGUAGCUUUAAAUUCACCAAGUCUCCCACAUCGAAAACCUUGUCACUUCUCUUCUUGUUUGCUAAUUGCUUCAUUAUACGUUGCGCAUUGAUCAAGUUCUGUCUGAUUAUUUGUAGAAUCUAUUUCUUUUUAUUGAUGUAACUAUCUACUGCUUCCAGCGGAGAAUCUUAAGGGAAACAAGGAAUGUGAAUAGGUGGGGCAAAACCAUGUAGGACUUCGUAAAGAAUAAGCUUGGUGGUUGCGUGACCAUUCAUUUAGAGGCAGCCACUUACACCAUUAUGAAGGAGCAUCUCCUAUCAUGCAUCCGAGAUGGUUCUCCAAACAUUUCUUAGCUAUCUCGGUUAGCCCAUUUGAUUAUGGAUGAUAAGCAGUAGUGUAAUGUAGAUUGACUCCUUGUAAAUUCAACAGUUCCUUUCAAAACUAACUUAAAAAAAUCGAGUCUUGGUCACUAACUAUGCUACAACGUGUUGUCCCAAAAGGAAUAGGACAUUACAUCGCUUCCAAUGACACAAUAAAAGCUGGUAAUUAGCAGUCGGGAAGCGUCACGCGAGCCGCCUAAAUUUGAUAAUGACCUAGUUUAUACAUGAUUAAUUUAGUAAUAAUUAAUAAACAUCGUGAAAAGCUCUCGAUACCUCUGAUAAUAAAUUAUAUUAUUUCAUGUGAGAAGAUAAAAAACAUCAUUACAAUAUGUCAACAAACAAUGCCUUAAAGUUUACAUAUAAAGUGUUUCUACGAGGAGUAUUAGUUUUGGUUAAUUUUAUUACAGAUUCUUGCCGUAAAACUGCGAAAAUGGGUGUCUGUUCUCAACCCUUCCCCGAACAUGUUUCCUGAAUCAAUUUAUCCAGGAUUAUUGAUUUGCCAAUUCUAUAGAAGAUUUAAAAUGUAGCCUUUGUCUGCAUGUAUACUGUCAAGGGACAAAUAAAAUUCGGCAGCUGCAAGAUCGAUGUCAUAUCCUGCUAGCGAUGCUGCCAAAGUCUUCUGCCACCCUCCUCUUGUCUUUCUUUUCGUUUUCUUCUGGCAAAAUAACUCCAGAACAGAAUCGUUUUUCUAUUUUUAAAUCUAAGUUGUGUUUGUUGUAGCAAUCUACAGCAGGAAAAAAUGGAUUAUAUAUAUGGUAGUUUUAUGGCUUUUUCUAGCUUUUCCAGUAAAAUAUAUUUCUUCUUUAGCUUACAAAUUUCUUUCUCGUAUUAUGGUUAAAUUUUUGUAAAACUGUAGUAGAAAGGUUCUCUUGACGUUAUCAUUCCAAAAAUUCGUCGUCAUAAACAAGGAAUUGUUUAAAUCAUAAUUUUUUUUUAAAAAAAACAACAUUGCCUUAAUAAAAAAAAAAAAAGUCAACGGGUUGCAACCGGAUUUUUGACCGGAUCUUAUCGAGUUAACCGGAUCAUACCAGAUUUUUUUUUAUUUUUUUUGAAACUCGACCUGGUUCUAACUCUAUCAUCAUGAAAAAAUUUGUUGUUCUAGUACAUAAGAAAAAGGGAUCAUAUUAUAUAUGAAAGUGAAAAAAACAUGUAAAAAAUUGAUGUUCUGAGCACGUAAAAAAAGCCCAAAUAAAUUACAAUAUUUAGAUAAUUUAUCAAGCUCAAUAAUUAUCAAUGUCAACUUCAAAAGAUUGACUUGGUGGUCAGAGAUAAUAUAUUUUUUUUAUUUAACUAAAUUCAUAUUUUGAAAACGAUAUUAAAAAAAAAUUAUUGAAUUCCUUUAAAUAUUUCUAGAAGACGUGAGAAUGAUGUGCUGUUAAUUAAAAUUAGUUACUAAUGAGAUUUAAUUUUUAUUAUGUGAAAAUUGAUUAAAAAUAUUAUUUAUGAUCGAAUAAAAAAACCAGCAUGAGUGUAAGUUUUAUCGUAGACGUGAUCUCCGUGAACCACAUGGUUGUGGUUGCUUCUCAAAGUGCUUUUUACUCAGAAAAGUAUGCCAACAAUAUUUUUUUAUUUUUUAAAAAUUAUUUUUAAUAUCAGCACAUCAAGAUGAUUUAAAAAAAUCAAAAACAUAAUACUUCAAAAAAAAAAAAAUCAAAUUUUUUAAAAAAUACUUUCCAACAGCAAUGCCAAACGCCCUCGUGAUCUCCGUGAACCACAUUUUGUGGGUUCAUGAAAAUCCAUGGUGGGGCAAAUCCAGUACCACAAAUAAGGUGGGAAUUUCCAUAAGCCACACGUGGCAGCAUUUAAAUGGGCCAACAAAGAUAAGAAAAGGAUAACUAGAUUGCGGCUGAUCCUUAACAGCUAUUUCACUUCCAAGAUUCUUGCAAUAAGAACAUUAAUGCAAGUACCAGGAAAGUGCAUCCUUAACUGCUCUCUGCGACACUUCUUAUUCGUUCCAAGUUUCUGUGGCUUCACGGCAAAGUUUGUCGUUCUUGGCAGUUGGCGGUGCAUUAACUGCCAUCCUUUUAUGGUACUCCUCCAUUCCUUUACCCUCCUUUUUUCUGGUUUGGCUAUCUUGCUUCUGUGAUCAUUUUCUUUCUCUCUGAACUAUGAAGUUUUUUAAUAAACGAUUGCUACUCACUUCAAUGAACUGAGAAAUAAGCAAGAAAAAGGAGGAGAAUUCCUUCUCCUUUCUCUUCUUUCAAUAUAUUAAUGUUGCACUCUGAAGUUCUUGUUCAAAACAAGAGAUUUUGUGUUUUUGGUGAAUACCAUCGUGCCAGUUCACACACUUCUUCAAUUUUAGUUCAGGCUUGGCAUAUCCAAACCUGUACUAGUCAUGAAUUGGUGUGUUUGGGUUCUUCCAAAAGAAGUUGGCUUCCUUAAACUGAGCAGGUGCUGGGGUAGAUUGUAGCACAGAGGGACUUCCAAGAACACAUUUUUUGACAUGAAACUUGAAUUUAUUGCAUUAGACACCUGACUUUAUCAUUUCAGUGGUUACUGUGCAAACAAAGCACUAUAGAGUGUGUUGAACGCUAGUUGUGGCUUAAAAACAUCAUUUAUAAGCAUACGAGAUAGCUUCUUAAUUAUCUAGAAGAUAUUUUUAAGAAAGCAGUUUUUGUCAAUUUUCACUUGGGAAUAGCAAUGUUUUCCAUAACAAAAACUCCCUCAAAAUAUUUAUAAUCGAGUGAUUAUGUUGUUUGAAAUUUCUUCUCUCAAAGUAGUGAAAUAAAAUCUUUACCGUGCAAUAGGUCUGUCGGAUCGGAUUCUUGUCCCUUUGGAUUGACUAGCUGAUGUGAAGAGUAGCAUUUCUGCUGUAUUUAUGUAUUUUCUUGAAACUGAAAAUGAUAUUGAUUGUAGCUGUUUAGAACAGAUUUCUAAGUACAAUCGUAAUUCGACAGACAGUUUUUUUUCUUCUCUCUUCCAGAGUUCUAGUUGCUGAUAUCAUUUUGUUCGGUUGAUUUUGCAGGUUUACAUGGCUGUAGUUCCAAUAUGCUACAAAAUCCCCUGUAAAGAUCAUACUCUCUCAAUUCGAAAUUUAGCAAGGCAACACGAGAGAGGUCUUCUUUGUGCCUGUUCUGCUUUUGCACAGGGGGGCAGUUACCUCUCAAUUUCAAGUGAUGUGCAGAGGAAUUGGCCAGUAAUAUAUACAACUGCUGAUGUUCUGGUGAAAGUUAAGACUAGAGGUAGGACGAAUGCUUCAAAAGGAACGAUUCUUAACCAGGGUCUCUUGAAAUUUCAGAGCGUGAUGGACGUACCCCACCUGCAUAAAAUCCACAGAACAAGUAGAGAAAAUCUCUCUGUGGCGUGCUGUGCAUCAAAGUCUGGUACAAAUGAGAAGCAACUGAGAUUAUUAGAUUCUUACUUUGGAAAACUCCAAGAUAAUGUAAGUGAGCCCUCUUCAGAUUCUUGUAACGAGAGGACAGAUUUUUUGGAUACAAGAGUGCAAAUCAAUGUGAAGGAGGAGCUGGAAUAUCUAAAUGCUUAUCUUGACAAGGUUGAUAAAGGUAAGUUAUCAUGUCCCCAAUAUUUAUAUUAGUAGAUUUUGAUUGCUAGAGUGACUCCUGGACUAGGACAUUUGUGUGCACAUAAAUGCAAGUAAUGUUAGGAUUAUAGCAUCAGAAUCACAAACUACAAAAUCUGGCUACUCGAAAACCAUGAAUCUCCUUUUACAUGAGAGUAAUGGCUGUGCAGCUGCAGCCCUUACAGUAUUCUAUGAUAAUUACAGAAAAACGCUAGAAGAGGAUCUCACCUGUAGUCCAGUCCAAUCACGACAACUUGCUUAUUGGGAGAAGAUUUUAAGAAUUUAGAUUAGAAAAGAAUAACAGAUUUAGCAGUUCAGGUUCACGACAAAUAUCGAUUUGUCAAUGCAUUGAAGGCAAAAAAUUUACCAAUAAGCAGCCUGCUGAAACAUGUAAACUUUCCAGUCCCUUAUUUUCCACCCCAGAAUUAGUUGAAAGAUUUUUUAGUCAUUCCAAGCUCAAAUAGUUUUUUUUGUUGUUCCUGCUCUUUUACUUUAGUUUUCAGGCAGCUCAGUAAUUUUCAAGCUCUACCCUUCACUGUGUCCAUUUUUCCAACACACCUUAAUUAACCACACUCUGCACCAUUGAGGAGCAACAGCAGAAGCCAACUUCCUUGUUGUCCAUUUACUUUUCUAAGAAACAGAAUUAGCUAGUGUGAUAUACACUAUUUUUUAUGCUGUCUUUAUUCAGGCUAUACUUGCAGAUUCAUGUAGUGGAUAACAUUUCAUAUCAUUCAUAUUAAAACUUAUCAGCACUAUUUAGUUCUUUUAGCUCUGGGUGAUUUUAUCACCUUUUCCUCGAUUAUGCUUUCCUGCUGACAAAAAAUUGAUUAAAUUUUUCUGCGUGCCUCCAGAUGCAAACUUAGAGAAUAAUGUAUCAUCAACUUUCAAUGAUGAAGCUACGGAGGAAAAUCCAAUAGUAAAACCAAUAUCAGUCAGUAAAGAAUCUAGAAGAGAUAAUGAAGAGAGACUGAGAAGUUUCAGGAAUCUGAGAAAUCAGUAUGUUGAAAGUGGUUCGAGGAGGUCUGAAGCUUUAGAGCAAAAUUAUGAAACCUCUUAUUUCUACUUAAUGUAAGUCAUAUCCUGUCUUGAUGAAGUCCUAGUUCCAUCGCAGGAUGUCAUGUUGUCUUCUUUUCUUCUAGAAUAGUUUCAUAGUUGCUAUUUCAUGGCAUUCUAGAUAAUAUUGCUGCCUAUCAUAUUUGAAUGCAGAGGUACACUGGCUUCCAUAAAUAUUGCCGUUUUUCUGUUCGAAAUUGCUAGUCCGGUGAGGAAUUCCGAAUUUGCGCUCUUUUCACUCCCUCUGUUAUAUGGCGCAAAGAUAAAUGAAUUGAUCCUAGUUGGAGAGUGGUGGAGGCUUGUGACACCAAUGUUUCUGGUACAAGAUUGACAAAUGGGUUCGUGUUCCCAUUCUAUUACUGUUUUCCAUCUCUCUUGAUUAACAAGGCAAAUGUUGGAACUUGAAAGUAGCAACAAUCACCUUGUUCAUUACAGGAGGCAAUUUUAUCCAUAGCAACUUGGAUCCAUUUCAAGUCUGCAUUUGUCAUUUUAAAACGUUAUUAUCCGUACUUGAGAUAAAUUACUGUCGUAAAUGUUGUAAUUAAUGAAGUAAACUCAUAAUACUUAGCAUGCAGGAAACAGUUUAUCAGUUCGAGUUUUUGCAAGACUGAUGCAUUGUUACUUUGACAUUGCAAAAUGUAGUCUCUAAUACUUAAUGGUAUAUGCAGCACUCUGGAGCUUUUCAUGUGGUUCUUGGAUCUUGGUCACUGCUUACCUUUGGGCCUGAAGUUUGUCGAGGUUAUGGUUCCUUUACAUUUUUCUUGAUAUACGUGCUUGGAGGAAUUUCAGGAAACUUGACAAGCUUUCUCCACACACCAGAGCCAACUGUUGGUGGCACAGUAAGCACCAUUUCACCUCCUCUUUUUUGCUUCCCUUAUUUCCUUAUUUCUUUACAUACUUGUCAGUAAGUUAGUAAUUUGUUUUCCAGGCCCAGAUGUUUCAAAGAUAUGCCAGUAAUAUGUUGGCUAUUUAAACUUUGAUAUUAAUGCAGGGACCAGUAUUUGCCAUUAUUGGAGCUUGGCUCAUUUAUCAGAAUCAAAAUAAGGAUGUAAUAUCGAAGGAUGAUUUUGAUCGUAUGUUCCAGAAGGCAGUAAUCACUACUGCUGUUAGCUUCAUCUUGAGCCAUUUUGGUCCAAUCGAUGACUGGUAAGAUAACUGCUAAUAAUUCAUAAAAGAUACUUCUCUUGACCACAUAAUCAUAUAGAUACAAGAUUAUUGGAACUUGAGAAGGAUUGAAUAGAAACAUAAUGGGAAGAACAGUAAGCAUAAAAUGGUUUUGCUGUACUCUGCUACAUGGAUAGUUAAGCCUUUUUACCCGCUACAUUCUGUAGGACACAUUUGGGAGCAGUUUUGACAGGCAUAGUUUAUGGUUUUUUCACGUGUGCAACUCUACAAUUGGAUGAUGCGUCUUCAAGAAGUGGUCAAGAUGAAGGCAUUGCGCUUGUUAAAAGACAUGCAGAUCCUUGUAAAUCACUCAUUAUAUUCACCAUCUUCAUUCUCUUCUUAAGCUCUAUGCUUUUCUUUGUUGAACCUCCCCUAGAAACAGUAGUCCUUGAAGACUCCGUAUAGUUGUGAAAACAUAGGAUUCAAAAUCUCGCUUUUACUUUUCAAGGCCAAUAUAGAAAGUCUCUGAGUGGUUUAGUUGGAAAAAGAAUAGACAGAUGUGUGCGUAUAUAUAGAAUAAAGUUCUGUAAUAAACAUCUUUUUUUUUCUGGCUGUGUAGGAGUUUUUCUGCUCUAUUUUGAAGAUAAUGGAACCUGCUUCAAUAUAGUGGAAUUUCAAAAUUCUGAAACCAUAUAUCAAAUGGGACUAUGUGGUACCAAAUUCCAUAUCACUUCUCUAAUCAGUACCUCGUAGUCAGGUGGCCAUUAACUGAAGUUUGUAGAAAUUAACCAUCUAUGCGAUUGUUCCUGCCUAGCUCACUAAACAAGCUAACCCAACAAAAUUCACUACAUUUGGCUUACCAGGAUUUGAAUUUUCGGUCAAAGCUUCACUGUAUGCAUCGCAUUACUGCAGUUCGUAACUCAAAAUACUGUCAGGUCAUAUAGCAAUACCUAUGCUUAAUUAAAUCCCUGAGGUCCCCCAUGCAUCCUGUCACUGAGACCACUCAAAAGGGGAAAAAAAACUAGCCUUCUUGUUUGUUCUGUGAAUUUGUAAAAGAAAAAGACAGUGAAAAAUUAUAAUUCAUUUUAAAAAAGAGCAUGUUAGGACAGAAGAGUUGGCUUCAAUCUUGGUACCCUGUGACAUGAGCUGCUGUCUACUGUGGCCUUGUGCAUGUCGCAAACGUGUCACUUCUUUUUCUCUUGAUUUCCUUUUGUAGUGGAUUUUUCUUUGAUGUUCUUUUGAGGGUCAGUCAAUGACAAGUGCCCUAGUACAUUCUAUCCACUUCUAGUCCUAUUACAUCACCAGUAAAUAAAUCAAUGCGAAUCUCUUUAAAAAGUAGCUACUUCCAGAAGGAAGAAGAUAAAGCUGGAACUAAUCUUUGGAACCUCAACAAGCUCUUUGUGUUUGUUUAUAUGUAUCCAAACAAUCCCUAUGUCCCUCCACGUUUAAGACCCUGCAUCCUUCCGCAAACACACACCAGCGAGGUCAGGUCCCACGUUAAGGGCCACGUAAACCCUAACCGUUUUUUCACCAACAUUAACAAAACCCCACAAGCCCUUCUCUUUCUGAGAUUACUCUGAAGAGAGCGCGUUUUUGGAUUUGAAUAAAAGCUCGGAUUUUGAGUGGUCUUGAUGAUGGCUGUUGGAAGGGAUAGUAAAGAUUUAAUAGGUCCACUUUUAGCAGUGAACUUGGUAUUUUAUCUCAUUGUGCUUGGGCUAGCAGGUUGGUCAGUUGACAAAUACAUCAAUGGUGAACAGAAUCACCCACGUAAGUACUCUUGAUCUUUAAUCUGCAGUUCUUUUGCUCUUGAGAUACCAAUUAGUGCUAGCUUGGGUCUGACACUUUUAUGCUAUUUUCAGAUUUGGGUGGCAAUCCAGCAACAAGCUUCAUGUUGAUAUAUGCACUGCUAAGUGGGGUAAUUGGUGCUAGUUCAAUGCUUGUUGGGUUUGUCCAUCUUCGUGCAUGGAGAAAUGAUAGUUUAGCAAGUGCAAGUGCCAUGGCAAUCAUUUCUUGGGCUAUUACUGCCCUUGCUUUUGGGUAUGUUCUCUCUGGCUAAAAUUGAGCCUGAACAUUGCACUUCUGAAGUACAAUUGUAUUUGCUUUAAAAAAUAAAAUCUCUCUGAUUUCUUUUGCAAAUCAUCGAGACUUUGGCAGUGUUUAGGAUGUUUGUGGUAAGGGGAUUUCUUUUAACUCUACAAAUACUUUGUUGGAGGCUUGGGAUGGAGUUGGAGAACUUUUUGAUGAUGAAUCCUGUAUAAGUUACACUUACAGAAAGAAACUGUAUAUAGAAUACAUUUAGGAAUCUGUAUUUCACUUAUUCUUUUGUUCUUAAUUCAAGUAACAUUGAUCAAAUUAAAUAUGAUUACACUCUCUAUCUAAUCUGGUUGAGUUUCUUGUUGUAGAUUUGAAUGCAAGCAAAUCUUAUUAGGAGGACACAGAGGAAAAAGAUUGGUAAGAACUCUAAAGUGGAUAGUUUAUAUUAGCCAUCUACUAUCCGAAGGCAAUAUUUUUCUGAGCUUUUGGCUAAAAGAAGAGCUAGAAAAGCUCUCCUAUAUCACUACCUUAUCACUACCUUAAUAACUGGUGAUGUGCAUGCAGAAAACUUUGGAAGCACUGAUUAUAAUAUCACUCCUAAGUCAGUUCCUGUAUGUGGUGCUUCUCCACGCUGGGUUUUUCAGGAGCAGAUACGGACCUGGUUACCAUAAUUAUGGCAGUGAUUCUGUCGGCGACAUCCCCGUGGGCAAUGAGCCACAUAUGUCUAGCACCUGAGCAUGAAAGUUCUGGCAUGUCUCUGUUUAUGUGUAUCAAACUUGCAGAACCUUCGUUUCUUUACUACUACAUGCUUGUGCUGAGCCAUGUCCAAGACAUUCAAUUAUAGUGUCAGAAGGAAAUACAAUCAAGAAUCUGUUAUAGUAUGGUUGCUCAAAUAAUACAAGAAUUUUUUUCUGCCAAGCGGACCUUUUGAUUUAUUCAUAUACUUAAGAGACAAUCAGGCAUCAGCUAAUCAAAAUAUUGAAACAUCAUCAGAUGUAUAAAAAAUCUCUGAUGUACCUAAGAGGAGUUAUCAUUUACUAAAAGUGACAGGUGAAUGGUAUACUUACAGCAGCAACAGAGAAUGUCCUAUCACCAACUUCUGAAAGAAUUGUCAUGGCGAGGGACUUGGUUAACCCCUGGUCAUAAGUAACAAGAAGAUAUGAAAACUAAGCAUGGUGACAGUAAAAUUUUGUGUUAAAGAGAAAAUAGUUAAUUGAGUUCAUGAUCAUACCUGUUAUGUGAGGAGGCUCAUUUUCGCCAGGAUGCUAGAAUCUGGCAGGUAGAAGAUGGUAGAGAAAAUAGAGAGAAAAAUAAUCAGAUAGCUUUAUUCUGGGGCACUUUGCUUGAUCAUAAAUGUUCACUGGGAAGACAGACUUAAUUAAGACAUCAUUUGAUCAAGAUAGAGAGAAAAAAUCUUUGAUUAUUAAGUCUUAACUCAGAAAGCAUAAUAUGUGUAUCAUUCCAUGGCUUUCUCGUGUACACAUAUUAUGUUAAAGAAUCAUCUUAACUCAGAAGAUUAAAUUGUUAAAUGAGAUCUUAAAAAUGACUUUAUAUAGAGAGAAAAAUGAGUUGCUUCUGAUAUCUCUGCGAUAUAAUAUUUGAGCAAUGAUAUAAAUCACAAGGAAAGUAAGUUGUAGCUUAUGCUUUGGAGAUUUAGAACCUUAUAAACAUUAGUUAGGAGCAAUUUAUAACUUGGUAUAAGAACUUAGAAUGCUAGUUAGGAAGCAAGUAUCUGAGGAAGGCUACCUACUCCUACAUCCAAGUCCUUAUUCCCCAGAUAUUCUCAUCAUAAUGAACCCAUUAAUUAUUUGACCCUAAUUUACACGAACCAGUUUUAUGAGCAAAAGAUUGAAAAGUGCUUAUUUGUCCUUUAAUAUUUUCAUCUGGUACUCUUUUUAUUUUUAUUUUUGUAAGAAAGAUAUCAUAAGCCCCGUUUGCGCGCACCACACUAAAUCUCUUCUCCCCAAACAAGGCUGUCAAUAACAUGGCAUGCCCGUGGCCAUCAAUAUUAAUGUGCAGAGGGAAUAGAGGGAUUCGAACUGAAAAACAUAGAAAGAGCAUACCUCUUGGCCCUAGCUCUUCAGCAACUCAGCCACCCAUUCAUGGUUAUUUCAUCUGGUACCGGUAUAGAACAUUCAAUGCCUAAAAGUCUAUAUCCUGGCCUAUAAAGUUGCAUCCUAGGAAGAGAAAGCCACUAAUCAUGCAGAGUUGGAAUGAUAAAUUCCAAUCCAAAAACUUGAAGCUAUAAUAUAUUGAAGAACUAUCUUAACGCAGAAAAUUAAAUUGUUAGAUGAGGUUUUAAAAGUGACUUUAUAUUACUCUGUAACGUAUAGGAAUAGAAAAUGAGUUGCAGAGAAAAAAUAUGAAUAUUGGAAUGAAGUGAAGAGCAAGAAGUUAGGUUUACAGGCGAAGCCAUGCUACUGCAUCUCCUGGUCACUAGGACUCAAUCCCAAAUUCCGACUUUGAAAAGAUAGUUUGUCUCAAUGUAUAUAUUGUCUCCUUGAGCUGUAAAGGGUAUUCUGAGUUGCAUAAACAAUAAAAAGACAAUUCCUCAAAAUAUAAACUCCAAAAACAACAUUUACUACACAAUCAAAUAUUAAUUAGAGUCUGCCAACAACUCUUUUAAGAUUAGAGAAGUAACAUUAAUUAUUACAUGAACUUAUCCUUAACAGGAAAUACUUACUUUAUUGCAAAUUAGCCACUGUUUUCUUUUCAAGUAUAUAUUUCCUAUGCUGGUUUGUAUAUAUUAAUAAUACAUUUCCUAUAAUGCUUCAGGUUCCGAAUUUCCUAUAUUGUUCUGCACUUGCAUGCCUGGCUGCCUCCCACCGUCAACAUCGUACAUACAACUCAAAUACGCUCAGUUACCGAGCAACAAUUCUGCUUCAUCAAUUUUCUCCCGCGCGUCAGAAAGAUGAGUUUCUUGUUGGCAUGUUUUGGUAUGAGCUCUCAUCAAACUUAUUCCUUUUAAUUGUUCCUGUUUUUUGUUGUGUUUUAAUUUCUAAAUUUAAUUUCUAAUUAGCAGCUUCGUGGAAAUUCUCUGUUUUUUGCUUGCAUGUUGUUUCCGGACAAUAAUUCCUUUUCUAUUUCUAUUAAUACUUGCUCCUCGUAUUUUAUAAAAAAUAAAAAAUUCACCUUAUUUGCGUCACCUUCUCUAAUAUUUUUCAGGGGACAAUAACUCAAAGAAACCAAAAACUCCUCCCGCACAAAUAGUUGAAUCCCGUCCUGCAACUGCCAAGGGAGCGGCCAGAGAUGCAACUUCAAGCAAAGAGACAUUCUACGUCAUGCCUGAGAGGAUUGGUAUUGGUGGCCAAAGAGAGAUCGAUCAUGAUGCUGCCGCUGCAGCGUCGGGACAGAUGUACGAGUCUUUUUUAAUGCACCGUGCACAUGCAAUAUCGACAGCUUGCGCGCACCUCGACUAAUCCCACGGGCCCUGAAGUUAACAACCAUGUAAACCUCCAGUGGCCAUCAUAUGAGCAACCACAUGGCUCGAAUCUAAGACCACAAAGAAAGCAAACCUCUUGAUUCCAAGCUUUUACCAUUGAACCACCACCUAGAUGGUUACAAGUCUUUUAAUGCACCGUGAACAUGCAAUAUCGAAAGAUCCUACAAUCUCAGCGAGGGGUCGCUCUUUUUAGCUUGUAGAAAAGAGAUAAAACCCUCGGUUUUUUAGCUUCAUACUGAUUGAUUAUUACCAUGCAAUUCUCUUCCUUAUUAUGUCGAUGUUGAAUUGUUGUGCGCGCGUUUAGAAUCACUAGAGAGAUGAUAAGAAGGGAUGGAGUCAGGUUGAUAGCGCCGAAAGCUAGGUUGAAGAUUUCAUCAUUACAAGGACAGUAUUCAAUUAAUAGUUAUCACUUAACAGUCACCAGAAUGCUUGAAAUCCAUGGCCCUGACAUGAAAAUUGAACAGCUCUUCCUGUAAGUAAUGUGGCAAAGUCGAAUACCAUCCCAAUCACCAGGAAGUAAUACAGACAAUUAUCCUACGUUAAUGUUCUCUGCGUUGGUCUUGCAUUGUCUAGUUCAGACUUUUAGACACAAUCAUGUCAUAUCUAUUUAGAAUCACCAGUGUGCCAUUCCACAAUGGCCAGGGUAUGGCGACCUCCACUAGCAACAAGUUUAGCAAUCCAGCGUCCCGCAUCUCCACUGUCAGUAAGAUUUUUAGGAGGUGGGAUGUCUAUUGGCACUUCCAUUGGUUGGCCUGUAGUCACCUUCCUCCCAUAUCCAAGUCGUCCAUGGUCACCUCGACCAAACUGCAAGAAAAACCGGUCAGUAUAUAUUACUGGUCAAUAUUAAAACAAAAGUCAUUCGCUAAGAAAGUGGUUGAAAUGCAAGUAUCUAUACCUAUGUAAGUUUUUUUUAAGCGUUCAUGGAGGCAAUUAUAUUAAGAGGCAGUGACAUAAUAAAUAUACAUGGAUGCGGGAUAUAGGAAUCAACCUCUAUGAUUCUGCCAGUGAAAGGUGACUACAAGGAGGAAUAAAAACUGCACGCCAACCAUAUAUCAUGCCAUUGGAAUAGAAAGAGCUGAUUAUACUUACUGUAUACAUCCGUCCAUCACGUGUCAAUGCAACUGAAUGAGUCCCGCCACAAGAUACCUGGAUCACCAAUAAAUCAGUUCAAUCUUGAACCAAGUGAAGAUAUUAGACUGGUUAACCAUAGCAUGCUACAAAAUAGUAACGAUUCAAAUUUAUCUCUGUUAGAAUCAAUUCCAAUAAUGAGAAUUGUCAUGACAAACACAAAUAUGGGCUGCAAAUAUUGGGCAUCACUACAAAUUAUAUUAAAAAACGCAAGACUUGCAAGUCAUCAUCAAACAGUUCUCAGAGCUCCUACAUCUCCUUGCAUGGGUUGAUUGAAAACCUGUUGCCGUACUUGAUUAAGUGCUCUUAAUUACAGUAUUACUAUUAACAAUUUACUAAGAUGGCUGGAAAUACGCACCCAAAACUCCAGUGAAAAUGGGCCCCACAAAUGAGUGAGCAUGUAAUCCAGUCAUUUACUUUGUAGAAAUGGUUCCCCGCCAUUUCAAGUCCAGGUUUAGUUUCAAGUUUAAGCAAAAUUUACCAAACACUCAGAGUCCUCAAAAAGACCGAACAUCUUUUAACAUACUAUGGCCACAAGCGAUGAUCUUUAUCAACCGAUAUAAAUGAGCAUUUUCGUACAUAUAUGCCUUAUCCUGUGGAACUUGUUAUUUUACAAUCCUCUAAUACACCAAGACAAGCAAAAGGAAGCCAAAUAAUUUGUAAUAUAUACAAAGUGCAAUUAAGAACUUCCAAGAGUACCCAAAAGCAUAUGGCACAAUGUUGAUAAUACCUGAACAAUGUCCUCCCCUACUAAAAGAUUAACCCUUUGGGGAACCAUUUUACUGCUCUUGUCAUUAUCUCCAAAACCCAACCUUCCAUGUUCACCUCUUCCCCAGCCAUACACCUGCAAAAGAAGGCAUAGGUAUUAUGCAAGAAGUUAUUUUCAUCUCAAAUAUUAAAGACAAAGAAAACCAGAUUAGGUAUAUGCUAUGCGGCAAGUAAAACCUGAUUCUCCUUGAAAACAAAAUUACAAGGAAGCUAGAUUUAUUCACAGAGCAUAUUAUUAAUGGAGACAGUUCCCAGACUAAGAGGGAGGGUAUGCAGUGAUUUCAAAUAAGAAAAAUCCAAUUCAAGCGUCAUGAAAAAAUCUGAGAGGAGAAGGGGGAAUAAGGCCUCAAAGCCAAUAUCUAAAAGCAAAACUUUAACUUAAAAUACAACCUUUUCAAGAAAAAUAAGUAUGGAUUUUAAGAUCCCAAGCUAGGAAAGUUCUGCCACAUAAAAUUCUAGUACAGUUGAAUAACAAAAAUGAUACAAACAAAUGAAUAAAACAAUAAGCUCAAGUUGUAAAAAAUAAAAUAGAACAAACUUCUCGCUAUUUGCAGUCGUGCACUAGAACAAGUCAUAAAAAUGACAAGCAUGUAGUCAACUUAUGAAACUUUUAGAUUCAAAGAGCAUAUUUACCUCCCCAUCAUCAGUCAAUGCAGUAGAAUGCCAUCCACCAGCAGCAAUAUCAACCUAGACAUACACUCAGGCUAUUGUAGAUAUGAAAAUGAAAUUAAGCACAAAAUGUCUAAAGUUUUAACAAUAAAGAAAACUCAUUCUAUAUCACCAACAUUAACAAUCAAAAUCUAGAGUGUAAGCCUUCAUUAGAAGUUAACAAGUUGCUGGACAUCUUUAAAAUGCAGAUUCUCUACAUCACCAAGGUUUCAACACGGAUCUUUACUGCUUUUAUAAGCUUUAAUAUCUACAGAACUAAAUUGAAAAGUGAUACCUUGAUCAUGCCAAGGCACUAUACAUAAGGCCACUCUCACACUGGAUGAUGCCGAUCUUUUCAGAGAAAUGUUCCAAACAACCAAUUAUAGAAAACAGGCAUAUUUUCCAAGGAUUUAUUCAGGUAAUCUGGGAAAAAGGAUUUUCACAAAAGAAAAAAAAAGCAGCAGCAGCAACAACAAUUGCGAACCCAAUCAUCAAUAAAAUCAUAACACUUUAGAAGCCACGUGUUCAGAUCAAUUUUUUUUUAGAAACUGUAUUAUGCAAGUAACCAUGCCUAGUGAAAUGGAAGGAAAAAAAUCGUCAAAUGUCAAGGGACUUAAGAAUGUGAUACAAACCAAAGUGAGACCAGAAAGUCCUUGGACAGUAAUAGGUUGAGAUCUUGGCUGGGUAUCACCGGUUCCAAGCUGUCCAUAUUCAUUAUUACCCCAAGCCCAUAAAGUUCCAUCUUCUUGAAGAGCUAAAUUAUGAAAUGCUCCAACUGCAAUGAGCCUCACUCUUUCAAGGCCUUGUACACGCACAGGGACAGAUAUCUGCUUUCUGCAAAUAAGUAAACAAUGUGAGCAAUGAAUAUACAUUAAAACAGCUACAAUACGAGGACACAGCAAGCUAUAAAUACAAGUACACUUCCAAAGCAUGUAACAUGGACAAGAAACAGGGAUAUCUAAAAACAUAAUUGACAGUUAAGUCAAGGAAACUGUACAUGUCUCCAGGAGGCCAUGGUUGACCCCAGCUCCAUACAUGCCCUUCACGUGUGAGAACCACAGAGUGAGUACCCCCAGCAGCUACCUAACAUAUCAGCAAUUAGAACAGACAGAAAACCAAUAUUCCAAUUUAACAUACAAGUGCAAUACUCAAAUACAGAAGUGAGGUAAGCAAAAUCAAAUCUGUAAGUAGUACGCAUGCUAGUCUCAAAGUGGUAUGAUGCAUACAACUGAUACUUAUGGCUUACAUCUCAAUGAGUAAGACGCCACCAGCAGAAAAAUAUGGAUUCCAAAACUAUAAUUAAUCUAUUUCCACAUUAAGAAGAAAAAAGUAACAUGCUGUAAUAUAUUUUAAAGGGCCAGGAUUACAACUCAUGCAUUCUACGGUCUCAAAUACCAUUCUUAAGUAUUCAUGUCACCCUAAUGUUAUCUGUCAACCUUCUUGAGUUGACUUAUUAUUAACUCACUGAGAAAUACCUUGAAAAAUAUGUUAACCGUCCUCUUCUAUGUAUUCAUGGGAGAGAGAAUAGAAUCCAAAAAAUCACCUGGCGAACUACAAGUUUUGAUGCACAACGUUGGGGAAUGACUAUAUCCCUUCUCAAAGGCCUCCCAGUGUCAUCUUUCCUCUCGGGUUCUUCACCACACUGGCCAUAUUCAUUUCCACCUACAUUGUCCAAGAUACAUCAUAUUUAGAUUCAUCAUUCAUCACAAGUGACAUCCCCACUAGUCCUUCCACAGGUAUACAAACAAUGAGCAACCUAACUACAAUCACAAGAAAGAAUAGCAGAAAAAGUAAUGAACAUGAGUCAUGAUUCAUCCAUAAAAGAUCAUUGUAUUUUCUGCACUCUUUUCUUACAUACAGCAAUGAACCAAACCAAGCAACAUUACUCGGAUAGGAGAAGAAAAAUGAUCCUGACAUAUCAAUGAUUCAUUCUCAUAAGCAGAUGAUGGGAUGAUUAAUAAGAGAACGGAAAUUAAAAAGGGACCAUUGCAUACCCCAAGCAUAAGCACGUCCUUGAUCAUCAACAGCCAAACAAUGCCAUCCACCAAUAGCCGCCUAAAAAUCAAGAAACCCAAAAACCAAAUAUUAGAAGAAAAAUGAUUAACAUUCACAAACACACAUACAGACCAGUCCUCGCAUAACCAAAGGAAAGCAUAGUUACAAUGGUUUCAAAAAACUAAUAAUAAUAAAACAAAGAAAAACUAUUACCUGAACAAUGUUGACAUUAGCAAGAGCCUUGACCUGGCUAGGAAUGUUCUCAGUCUUGGUCUCCGGUGGAUGCCCUAAUGUCCCUCUUUGGUUCCAACCCCAAGUAAACAACUAGCAACAUCAAUCAAAACAUUUUUUUUUAUCCCCAUUUAUCUAAACACACUAAAAAACAAACAAACAUACAUAAACAAGAGCACCCUCAACAAUUCAUUCAAGUUGAUCAUUUUUUUUCAAUCCUGGCUCGAAUCCAAAUCAAUUAUCAAUAACUCAAUUAAUUACUGUAAUCCAAAUAAAUUUAAGUUUUAUUUCACUAAAAAUUUUAACUACUUUAACCGUCAGAAACUUAAAGGAAUCAAAAUUAAAAAAUUUUACUACAAGAAGUAAAAAAAAUCUGAACUUUCAAUCAACAAACUUAAAUCAAUUACUUUUCUUUUAACCAUUUAUACUAGUAUUUCCUUUCACAGUUAAGAAAGAGAAGGGUAAGAAAAGAGAAACCUUGCCGUCAUCACAAAUGGCAAGAGAGUUGCGGCUUCCAGCAACAACAGAGCGAACUUUGUAAGGCUCAAGAGCUUUGACAAUGCAAACCCAUUCUUUUUCUUCGUUAUUUCCUAUCCCUAGUUGUCCAUCCUCACCUGAUCCCCUGUUUGUUAUUUCACAAACAAAAUUAAACCAAAAACACUUCCAUCAUAAUUUUAAUGCAGUUAGGAGUCAGUGAGAGAGAUAGAGUAGUUACCAGGCAAUCACAGAGGACUCAGUUGCCAUUAGAAAUGGAGAAGCUUGGGGUGUCUUACCCCCUGUACUAAAAAACUUGAGAAAGUUAGUGAAGGCUCUCUUGUUUUUUCUUUUUCAUUUCCCUCUUUUUUUUUUCAUUUAAUUUUCUACUUCUCUCUCUCUCUCUUUCAAUUUUUUUUUUCUACAAUAUUUACAUGGUUUAUUUUUAAAUUUAAACGGUUUUAAUUAAUAAAUUUUUUUAUGUUAAUUUUUUUUAUUUAUUUUUUUAAUUAACGUGAAUGUCUGAGUCAACUUGCGUGUAUCUUAACUAAUCUCAUGGACUCUGAAGUUAAUAACCAUGUAAUCUUCCAGUGGCUAUCAUAUUAACAACCAUAAGGGUUGAGCUUGAGACCACAGGGAGAGCAAACCCCUUGGUCCCAAGUUUUUACCACUGAGUCACCUACUAGAUGGAUUUUUUUUUUUUAUCUAUAAGCCAAGUUAUUUUUUUAACUAAUGAAGUCAAUUAGUUUAUAUUGGGUAAUUCAUACACAAUUUAAUUUUAAAUUUGGGUUGUUAAAAUGUUGAGUUGUGAGGUUUUUUUCUGUCAAUCUCAUCCUUUUUUUUUAAUUUUAUCUCCAAAACUUUUUAUCGGUUAAGUUAACUAGAUUGUAUUGAACCAACUCUCACACGAUUUUAUUUUAAACUCAAACUAAGAGUUAUAUCAAGAGAUUUUAAAAUUGAUUAAUUGUGUUGGAUUUAAUAAUAAUUUCAAAUAAUUUUUUACUACUUAUAUAUAUCUUUUAUUAUAUUAAAAAAGUUAAUCUAAUCCGGAUAUAUUAUAUUUAAAAGGGGAGGUUUUUAAAGAGUGUUUUUUCAGGUUAGUGGUGGUAAUGGGUUUGGGGUAUGGUAGCAGUGGGAGGUUUAUAAAGAAUUUGUUUUUGAGGUUACUGGUGGCAGUGGGAUUGAGGUAUAGUGUAAAACUCCUCCAGCUCAAUUAGUUGAUUAAAAAAAUUUAGACUAAUUAAGAAUCAUGUUGAAUUUAAAAAAAUACGUUGGAACGUAUUUUAUAUAUUUGAAUUAUGCUAGUUAAUUUAAAUUUUAGAUUAUUAUUUUUUUAGAUUAAUUAAGAAUCAUGUUGAAAUUGAAUAUAAGAAUUUGGUUGGAAUAGAUAUAUGUUUAAAUUGAGUAUACUAAAUUAUUUUUAAUAUAAGGUUGCAAUUUGAUCUAAAUGUUUUUUAGUAAAAUCUGAUAAUUAUAACUGAGGUUUUAUGCGAAUUGGAUUCGACAGUGGUCUACUCUGGUCCACUCACUCCCUAGUGGACUCAUGGGAGGAUCCAAGAACGUGGAAAGGAACAAACGAUGACGUUUUCGUUUUCGUUUUCUUUUUUCAGGCUUGAUUUGUCUUCACAACUAAUGCGUUCCAACGCAAUAUUGUUCUAGAGAAACUCCGACGUGGCUACUGAUGUUUGGAACAAAAAAAUUAAUUUUUAUUUAGAAUAUAUUAAAAUAAUAUUCUUUUUUAUUUUUUUAAAUUUAUUUUUAACAUUAACAUUUCCAAACAAUUUAAAAAUAUAAAAAAAUAAUUUAAAAUAAAAAAGAUUUUCAGCAAAUGCGCACCAGCAACUUGCUCCACUUAGGUAUUAUGACAACUUAAAAUAUAGAAAACAAUGGUCGAACAAUGACAUCACAUGGCAGGGGCACAGGAUGAAUUCAAACCAGAUCCGAGGAUAUAUAUAUAAAAAAAUAUGAUAAACACCAACAGAGAUUGCAGGCAUCGAUACUAAAAACUUGAUAAUCUGUUGGUACCUUUCAAUCCCAAGUACUGUUUAGCACGACACUCAAGGCUAUCAAAUUCAUUAAAACAUCCAGCUACAAUAAUAACCCAAAUGGCGUCUGUAAAUGUCACGAGAUAGAAGUACAGAGUGCAUUAUCCUAUGAACUGAACUUCAUCACUGCGGCCCAUCGCCUGAUUCACGUUUUGAUGCGUCCUUGAUCUCAUCCCCAGCCUCAUCCUAAAAUUUGAAAAAAUGAAUACAAUGAGCAUAUAACCAGCAGACCAAUACGUCACAAGCAGUUGCUCAUGCAUAAGCAAGAUCAGGUCACAGCCACCUGGGACCAUUUCUGAUAUCAGAAAACUUGAUUUUCUGUUUCGGUCUCUCACGAGAUGCCAAUAACCUCAAACAACGAUGAAUUAUGAUAGAAAGAGACCUAAACAUGCCACCAUAUGACAUUGGUGACAAUAAUAUCGGUAUCAGGCAUAAUUUCCCUUUGAACUUGAAAUUAAAACACUUUGUUGGCAGUCCAAUCAAGUAGUAGUUUUAACAUGCCAAGAGCAAAGCACAUAAUAUUCUUAAGAAUAUGCAAUGCACGAAAUGCAUUAUUAUGCUGCACAUAUAGCAUAUAGUUCUCCAGGACAGGAUUUGAUUAUUUUGUAAUCUGAAACGAGAAUGGUCCUGACGCCCGAAUAUCAACAUGAACACAUGUAUUUAAAUGCAUGCUUGCAUAGAUGCACACAUGGGUUGUGCAACUGCAAGCAGAGAGGGGGAGAGAGGGAGGAGAGAGAGAGAGAGAGAGAGAGAGAGAGAGAGACCGUGAUAUCAGAAGUCCAGAGUGUCAGAUUGUCACGGAGAAGUUGCAUGAUCAAUGUGCUGUCCUUGUAAGACUCCUCACCCAAAGUAUCCAGCUCGGAAAUAGCCUCAUCAAAAGCCUGACCAAAAAAAGUAUAUUUUAGGGAUGUCAAGAGGGCCAACAGAUUGGUCACUGACUUGCAUGCAAUCAAGGAUAUCGACCCUAAGGACUGAAUAGGUAUCAACUUAUCUUUAGGAAAACAAGGCCUUGUCAACUAGGUCUUAUAUUAAUACAGAUCAAAUUGAGCAUAAAAGAUCAAAUGUACUACUAUGAACCAAUUACUAAUUGUAUGUUUGGUAUUGUGAUGUAAGGUGCUUUUCAAAAGUGAUUUUUGUUUGAAAAUAUAUGGAAAAAAAUAAUUUUCAGAUUUUUUUUUAAUUUUUGACACAUCAAAACCAUCAAAAAAACAUUAAAAAAAAUCAAUUUGAAGCUUUUUCAAGCCCAACACAGUUUUAAAAUGCAGUUUUAAAUGCAAAAACAAGCAGUUCCUUGGUAAUACAAAGGCAAAAAGCAAGCUGAUUUCACUAAUAUGUAAAAGUAUUUAGUAAAUUGAAGAAGAGAGGACAAAAACAUUCUCUCAAAAAACAACAAUCAAUCAAAGAUGUCAACCCUAUGGACAAAUAUAUAGUUACAGUUAAGGGAGAGACCAAAUGUCCCGGCAUCAAUGCUUCACACCAAAACCAACUUUUAGCAAUACAAUUUGCAUAAAAUAAUUGACCAAAACUACCAAGGCACUCAAAACGUUUAACUUCCAUCAAGUUCAAAGCUAAAAUCCAAUUAGAUGCCAGUUAUAAAAUUCACUAAUUAAGCUAAACUGAAUAAGAGAAAUAUAAUCAUAUCAAUAGAGAAAAACAUAAAUCACUUCCUUUUACUCAAAAUAAUGAAAACUAAACAGAAGAAUAUGAAUUUCGCAACUUGCCUAAACAUAGAGGCAGAUAAAGGCCAAUUGAUAAGGUAUGCAAGGAAGUACCUGCUUAGCAAGACUGCAAGCACGAUCAGGAGAGUUAAGGAUCUCAUAGUAGAAGACAGAGAAGUUAAGUGCAAGCCCCAGCCUUAUUGGAUGGGUAGGAGCCAGUUCAGAAAGAGCAAUAUCCUGCAACAAACAAAACAUAAGCAAAAUGAGCAUCGAAAUAAUAGCUGCACCUAUAAACCACAACAACAAUGAUAACUAUACAACUUAAUAAUAAUAAUAAUAAUAAUAGGCAACAUGCCGGCACAUCCAGGACCCACCUGAGCAGACUUGUAAGACAACAAAGUGCUCUCAGCAGCUUCCUUCCUCUCAGCCCCGGUCUUAAACUCGGCAAGAUACCUGUGAUAAUCACCCUUCAUCUUGAGGUAAAAUACCUUGGACUCGGCAGCUGAGGCAGAGGGAACAAGAUGUGUCUCAAGGAGGCUCAAGAUUCCGUCACAGAUCUUGCUGAGCUCAGCUUCAAUCUUUCCCCUGUACUCCUUGAUGAUUGUCACAUGAUCUUCAUUUCCCCUACUCUCUUCCUUCUGCUCAAUGGAAGAGAUGAUCCUCCAUGAAGCCCUCCUAGCUCCAAUCACAUUUUUGUAGGCCACGGAGAGCAAGUUCCUUUCCUCCAUGGUUAGCUCCUCAUUAUCGACUGUCUUUGCAACUUUCUCCAUAAACUCCACCAUCUCUUCAUAACGUUCGGCCUGUUCAGCCAACUUGGCCAUGUAAACACUCUCUUCACGUGAUGGUUCAGUUGGAGACAUCCUUUAUAUAUCAAACUAAAAGUUACUUCUGCAAGGUGAUUCCAAACACAAGUAUCAUUAGAAAGACCUGAACAACAUCAAACUUUAAUGCUUACAUUUUAUUACAUAACUAGCUUCCACAGUCAUGAAUCAACUCUUCCAUCAACCACUUAAUAACACGUCUCAAUCCGUUGACUCCUAACUUUUCAUCCUUGAGUUAGUGAUAAUUUACAAAACUUCCCGACCUUUUACACCUCAAGAUUGAAUAAAGUUUAGCCAGAGGCAUUACUUCGAAAAAACACAUAUUCCCAACAAUGAUCUUCGCUACAUUAACAAAACCAAAGCCCCAAUUCAAGUUAGAAAACAGAUUUCUAAAAGUCAUUUAAGAAGAGAAGUCUCAUCAUUGCUUUAACAGAAAAAAAAUAAAGCCCCAAAUUGAUCAAAAUCACAAAUCAGUCACUCAACAAAUAAAAACCAAACUUCCACAAACCCCCCCCCCCAGAAAAAAAAAAAAAACCAAAUUAAUAACAAUCAAACACCUAUUCCUCAACUUCUCCAUUAUUUUCUCGUUACCAAAACAGAUCAUAUCCAUCCAUGUGGAAACAACAAAAUCACACUGUAUCUUGCAAAAACGUUUCAUUUGUCAGAAACUGACCUCUUAGCCUCAAAUUACAAGACCUAAUUCAAGUUAUUGAUUCUUAUUUCCUCAGCAAAUCGUAAAACCAAAUCUGACUCUCUAUUUUUAGCAUCUCCCAAAAAAAUUAAACACAAAAUCUGCUCUAUUUACCCAAAUCAAUCAAUUUUUUUUUUAAAAAAAAAAAACUUCACCAAAUCUCGGGUACCGAAACACAUUAAAAUUGAGAAAAAUAUAAUAAAUAAAAAAUUAGAAACACACAAAUCUCAGCAGAUGGAUUAAAAACCACAAAUAACAUAAAUCCACGAAAAUAACCAAAUACAAACCACAGAUCUAGCCCUAAAAACCAAAAAAAAAGGCUGAUUAAAAAAUCAAAAAAAAAAAAAAAACUUUACCGUGGAAAGAGAUUUGCAGAGACGGAUCUCUCUCUCUCUCUCUCUCUCUCCCUGUGCGUGAUAGAAAAGGGGGUAUUUUGGGUUUAUUAAAAAGGGCGGUCAAGAGGGGAGCGUCCAAUGGGAAAGUGACAGGUGUUGGGUGGCGGUGAUUUCGUGGAGAUUUUAGUUUUCUUUUCGGAUUUAUUGUUUUUGGUAAGGACACGCUGGCGUUGACUGGCAACAGAGUGUUUAUGUAAUGACAUCUUGAAGACAGAGUGUGUUGUGAAUAAUGUAAUUUAACUUUUUUUUAUAUAGUAAUUCAAUAAAAAUAACAUUUUAACGAAUCAUAUAAUUUUUUUAGUUUUUUAAUAUUUUUAUUUAACAGUUGAAAACCAGCCAUUUUAACCGUCGUCGUUGUUCAUGGCUUUUCAUCUGGCAAUCUGUUGGAGAUGCCCUAAUGGUUUAUCCUCUGUGUGCGUGUACACAAUGCACGCGUACAGCAACUUUGAAGAUGGUUAAAAAGUGUAAAAUUUCAUGAUUGACCGGUGGUGUGUCUGUGGGCCUCGGUUUCUUUUAUACGGUGUUUAGAGUUUAAUUUUAAAAUGUUUAUUUUUAGAAAAUAUAUUAAAAUAAUAUUUUUUAUUUUAAAAAAAUUAUUUUUUAAAAUUAAUAUAUCAAAGUAAUUUUAAAAAUAAUUAAAAAUAAUUUUAAACAAAAAAAAUUUAAUUAUUUUAAAAAAAUUAUUUAAAACACAAUUAUAAUCAACCUUUUCUUUUCUUUGCUAUGUUCAUCACCUCAAGGAAAUUGGAACUUGAAAUUGAAAUUUUGAGCUUUGCCGAUUAUGUUUUUUUAUAUUAUUUUAUUUUUUCACAUUAUAUGUGGACCUAAAUGUGUUUUUAUUUGAGACAUAAAAAAUUUACUUAAAUUUAAUUAUAAUUUAAUUUCUUAAGAUCUAGAUGAACUAAAUUAUAAAUUGAAGAAAAUAAACUUAAUUAAACAGUUAAAAUAAAUAAUUUUCUGACUAAUUUUAACAAUUCAGUAUUGGAAUGGAUCAUGAACAUGGAAUCAAACUUUGGAAAUUAUUUUUUAUCUUAAUUAUUUAGAAAAACAAAUACUUAAUAAAAAGAACCAUCAUAUCAUAUUCAUACCCGACUUGAGUUUUUCCCAUACGGGUAAUAUAGACUUGGGUCCGGGACCCAGCCACCAAGCCCGACCCAACUUUCACUUGUUAAGUGACCCAACUCAGAAGCAAGGCAGCGCCACCACAUCCAUUUUGAGCACAAAACUGACUCACUGAGUUCGAUCUCUCGCACAGCCACAGACUCUAAAAAAAUCCCAAUCCAACGUCGUUGAGUAGCUUGAGCUAUCGAAAUGGGAUACAUACAGGAAGCACGUGAGAAUCAUGUGAAGAAGAAAGUAGAAGAAGGUACUGCUUUGACCUAUAACCAUCUCUUAAACCCUAACAAAACUCUUUUCUUUUUCUUUUUCUUUUUCUUUUUCUUUUUCUUUUUUGCUAAAAGAAACAAUCUUUGCUGAUGAAAUGUGUUUCUGAGUUUUGUGUUUUGUUUUUAAUUGCAUUGAUGAUUAUCUUUUUUUAGUUGAAUUGAAUUUAAAGUUAAUUUAUCUAUUGAAUUAAAAUUUGUAGCUUUGAGAAGCAAAAUGAAGCAGAAGGCACUAAAACAAUGUGAGGAACACGCAUCCAAAUAUGCGCAAUGUGCAACUGGAAGAACAAUGUCUGUUGUGUGGCAGUGUAGAAAACAGGCUAAAGAAUUAAAUGAAUGCCUUCAUCAAUAGUAAGUUUGAUUGAUGUAUCUGUUUGUUUGAUUUCUUGUUUUGAGUUUUUUUCUAUAACAUUAUGCAUGCGCAUGUUUGAGUGCGUGUUUGUGCGUUUGAUGAUGAUGAUAGGUUACGUGUUGUGAUUUAAUGGGAAAUUGAUUCAUUAUGUGUUUGUGUAGUCUUUCUCAAUUGGAGCGGCUUGAUGGGUUCUUCUUGGAUUUUUUAUUUUUUAUUUUGUGUUUUGAGUGUAUAAAUUUUGGUUUAAGGGGUUUUGAUAUAUGAGUGAUCUUGGUUUAAGGGGUUUUGAUUAAUGCUUGAUAUGAGUGAUCUUGAGUUGGUUUUCAUGAGAGUUGGAUAACUGAUUCACCUUCUGAUAGGUUCUCAGAUGUUGAGUAGUUGUGUGAAUAAGCUGUGUUAAGCGAGUGAUAUUAGACUCCCAUCUUCCGAAUGGAGAAGGCAAUAUCAAGUUUGAAGACCUUUUUCCCUGUUUUCGAGUAGGAAUGAAGUUCAAGUGUCUUUGAGGUCUUCCUUUUGGUUUUGGGAAGGUCUAAGGUACUUGCCUGAUGAAACAAAAUUUGAAUUGUUACUGGUAAUUUCAUAAAUCUAGUUGGACUUGGUUCUAGUGUUGUGGACUUCUUAGAAAUAUCAUUUAUUUGUUGGGUAAGUAGAGAUGCUUUGAGGCUGUGCUCAUGUCAGUGCAUGGCAAGGUUUCUAUUGUAGUCAAGUCAACCGGUGGUCCUCACUUGCUGCAACUGUACUGUAUGCUGUAUGUGCUUUAAUUGCCAUGUUACUCAUGUAGAAAGUUACUAUGAGGUCAUGAGGGCAUAAACUGUGUGCAACUGGAAAAGUGAGUAUGCAUGAGUGGACUACAUAAAGGGGUACCCUAAAGUCUUUUUACGGUUUGCUUCCUGAUAGUGUGACUUGACUUGACUUGACUCGACUCGGGACCCCUCUGUGGGUUAAGUCUGCACAUGCUUUGCUUAGUGAAUACUGGAUGAUAGGGGUCUAAUGGGACAUUGGCAAGCCAGAAGUAGCUAAGCUCAAUUGGUAAAGUGCUGAAUAUGCUCUGAGCUUCUGGUCCAUUUUAUCCAUGUAGCAAAUGUUGGAUUACUGUUUGAGGUUGAGACCGAUGCAUCCAGAUAGGACAGAUCAUAUUAUAGAUUCUAUUGUAGUUGAAAAAAUAAUAAGGCAUAGUUGAAAUAUCUAUGGUUCUAUAUGUGGUUUGCUAAAAGUUGGUUCGUGGCAGAUGACCAUGUUUCCUCCAUGCUUUUAUUCUGCGUUGGCAUUUAAAUUUCUUUUAUGAAGCAUUCAAGUGUUUCUUACUACCACUACAUUAAUAUUUUUUCUGAUGGGAUUUGGAUGCCUUGUAGAGAUAGUUGCUAGGUUAAUCUGUUUUGGUGAUAUAACAUGGCACUUUUGACGAGUCAGCAAAAAUUGCAUGCUGGUACUUUGCAUUAAAUUUCCGAUUGUGAUUUCCAAUUUAUUGGUGUUGCUAAUUUUGCAAUUGAAGAAUAAUGAGUGCAUGUUCGUUACAUCUAAGAAUGAAGUGUGUUAGAAAGAGCAACUUGUUCUUGGUCAAUUGCAAUAGUUUUCAUCAUUGAGCUCUAACUGCUCAACCCACUAGUCAUUUUCAUACAAGUCUUUCUGCCCAAGCUUUUAAAUUUCCUCUGUGCUCUUUGUCCAGAUCACUUGCUAACAGGAAUGAUUCCUUUAUCUUCUUGUUAUUGUAUGCUAACAGUCUAAAUCACAGCUGAAAUAGAGAAAUGCAAAUAGUAUGAAAAACCAUCAGUUUCUUCAACCUUCCUUCAACACUAGUGCAUCUUUUUUCUUUCUUUGUGCUCGUAAAGAAUGAGUUUGCCAGAAGUGGCCUUAACAUGAUUUGGAUAUGAUAUGCAUUCAAAUAUAUACUGUGAUGAAAGCAUUCAGAUAAAAGGCUCAUGGUUGCCGUAGGUGCCUUCUAGAGCAACCUUUACCUACGUUUUGAAUAAUGGUUUAGUGACACUGGUUUGCUGUUUAACAUAAUUCCAAAACUUAAUGUUGGUUCUUCACUAGAAUACUAUCUAAAAGGAAAAUCCAAAAAUGUUUUACCUUGGAAUAAGAUAUCAAAAGGAAAUAUAACAGGUUUUUUUUCUUUUCUUUUUUAAGAAGAAAAUGUUAUAAUUAUUCAUGUAUCUUGUCGUAUAGAUAUCAAAACAUAUAGCUGACAUCUAUUGAACUCAAAAUUUGUUGUAUCUCAUAAUUUUGGUGUAUCUGUUUUGCAGCACAAAUGAUGCUGUCUUGGAAGAGAUGAAGCGAGAAUACACGCUUCAACAAGAUGUCAAGGGUCCUUUGAGAGCCUAACUGAUUCCCGGUGAUGAACCCAAAACCAAAUGAGCAUUUGAAAGUGAAAAUUUCUAGCAACAACUUUAUAUAUCGGAUAAUGUUUUCAUGAAGCAGUUGGUUUGAAUUUUGAACCUUGUCAAUAACAUACAUUUAAUCAAACCUUUAAGCUAUAAUUGGUCUUCUAUGAUGUACGUACAUGGGAUUGAAGUCAGCAUGAACUAGCUAGGUUUUGAUAUUGUUGUCACUAAUACAUACAAUGUACGUUUCAGUGCAGGAUAAUCUUUAGCAUUUAUGGAUGGCUAUAUAUUAUAUCAGGAAACAAAAGGAAAGAAAGAGUAGAAGAAAUUAAUUUGAAUGAAAUAUAUAUGUCCCAUGUGCAAGGAUUUGGCUACCCUAUAACAUAUAUGAAUUGACGACGUGUUGUGACAUUACAACACGUACAAAUAAUCAUGCAUGGUAUUUUAUUUUAUUUUGGUGAAAAUGAGGGCGAAAUGCCACAAACAUGUUUGACAUGUUGUUUAGACUUAAAAUAGAGAAGGUGAGUUGAGUGACAUGUCGUUCGAUCGAUUGGUUUUUAUUUUUGAUAGUUUUGGCUAGCUGAGUUGGCUACUUCAAACAUAUGAAUAUGAAGCUAUUGAUCUUCAAAUGAAGUAAGAGUUGAGUCAAAUAAAAGAUAUGCAUCUUCUUUACCAACUUCUGGCAAUCUCAGGCGAUGAUGAUGUUAGAAUUGCUCUGACGAUGCCUCGAAAGUUGGCAGCUUAGUCAGCUUUGAUAGUUUUGACUAAUCGAGUUGACAACUUUAAAUGCUUGAAUGUGGAUCUACAGACCUUUAAAUUGACCAAUGUACCUUUAAAUUGAUCAAUGUUGGAUUCAAAUGAAAAGUGUGCAUCCUCUCUAUCAACUUCAGGUGGUAUCGACCGACAAUGACGUUAGAAUUGCUCUGAUGAGGCCUUGAAAAUGGACAACUUAGUUAGCCUUGACAAUGUAAUUAUCAUGCAAAAACUGACCUAUUUUUAAUGUGUUCACACACAAAGCUUUCUCAAUGAGUUUUAUCAAAGGUUUACAAUUCUUUCCCCAAGAUUAAGAGGUUAGAAAUGGAUUCAAAAUCCUAGCAAAACGCUAUAAAUACCCCUUCAAGUUUAGAGAAAAGUGGUUGUUCUAGUAUACUUUUCUAAUCCAAGAGUAGGUUUUUAGUGGCUUGUUUUUUUUGUUUUUCGUUUUGUUUUUUGUUUUAUAUUUAUGUUUAUAAGCAUAAAAAAAUGGUUUAAAUACUUAACAAAUAAUGUUGUAUUUACCUCUUUGUUGUUGUGAUUUUUAUUUAAUGAAGUUAUUUUGAAGGUUUUUUUUUAAUGUUUUUGAUAUAUUAGAGUUGUUGUUUAAGUUGUUUUUUUAAUAUAAUGUUGUUUUAUCCAUAGAUUGUUAAGCCUGUUCAUGAACAAAAUGGGUUCAAAAAACUAAUUUUGAAUCCAUAUUGCAUGAACAUGUAUGUUGUUUUAAGUUGUUAGAUUUUUAAAUUUGAUAUUUCAUGCUUGAUUUUGAUAUUUUUUUUAUUAGUUUUUGAAUUCAAAUAUGUUUAUGUAUGAUAUUGUGACUUGUUAAGAUAAAGAAAACAUGUUUUAGAGGCAAAAAAAUGCUCAUUUAUGGGCUUGCCAGUGGCUGCCUUAUGACUACAUUUUUUUCUGGAUUUUUAAACAAUGUUCUUCAUGUUCUUGAAAAAAAUAUUGUCUUAAACCUUGAUUUGGAUCAAUUUUAGUCCAUUUAUUUGCACAUAACCCUUUUUUAUGCAUGAUUAUUAGAUAAUUUAUGGUUUAGUUUCAUCAAAAACACACAUUUUUAUGGUUUUUAAUCCUAGAGUUUCAAGUUUGUAAAAUUCCAAAGAAUUUUGGCCUAUAUUAAAAAAAUUAUUUUUAACAAGAAAAUAUUAUUUGUUUUUAAUAUAAGGAUAGAAAACCUAAAAGGGAUUAAUAUCCAAAAUAUUAUUAGAGAUAAUAAAUAUCAUUCAUUUUUAAUAUAAGGAUAAAAAAAACCUAAAAGAGGUUAAUAUCCAAAAUAUUAUUGUGAAUAAUACAACUCAUUUACUUCUAAUAUAAGGAUAAAAUCUGCAAGUAAUUUCAUCUGAAAUAUUAUUUAGAAUGACACGGUAACAAAAAUUUCAAUUUUACCCUGAAAGAAGCUUUAACGAUAAUUAAGGAUAUUUUACUUUCCCAAACCGAGUUCUUGACCUAAAAAACCAGAGUUUGUUCAUCGUAAUAAACUUGUCAUAGUAGGCCAGUAGAAAUAGACAUCAUCAGACUGUAACAAACAAUAAAAAAAAACAAUACAACUUAUCUCAGUUAAAGCAUACUAAGGGUGUUAAUAUCUUUUUUUUUACACAACCAGUCUCUUGCCUAAAAUCUCUGGGGAAAAAAACUAUUUAAAAUUUCUAGUAGUCAUAAUGCUAGGUGGCAACUCUCUAACCAACCAAAAUGACAUUCCAGACCCCUUCCGGAAAGGGUCACUGUGAUGUCGCACCCCUGCGAUGAGGGUGACAGUAGUUGUUUCUCAAGAUCCCUUACCAAAAUUGAACCCUAAUUCUUUAUCACCUAUCUUCACCAUGGUAGGUGUCACGGGGUAGUUUUUCGCUCCGCGAAUAAACCCGUGCGGCAGCCUAGUCUCUCGCGAGACUCAGCCUUCCCUCGCCAAUCACACUCGUGUUUGCCUAGUAACUAAGUGUUUCCCUCACCCGAGAGGUUUCCCCACUUUCCCAAGUUAAAAGACAAGCGGAAUACACAAGUAGAAUUGCACAACACAAAGCACACCAAGAAUACAAGAAGAACUCUCAACCUUUAUUUAUCUCGUCAACAAAGGAUUACACAAUGUGUGCUAUGCACAGAAUUCGCAUGCUACACAAUCAAGCUUACACACGUUAUUCCUCUCUAUGCAUUCCCUAUCUCGUGCUCUCUAUUUGCCUUUAUUCUAAGAGUAUCAACAACUAUUUAUAGCCAAGUAUGUGAGCUGUAAGGCUCACCCAUGAUCUCCUAUUUUUCAGGACAUAGUGGGGCACUUUCUCCCCCAUGAUCUUCAUGAUCUCAGCAGCUUGGAGAGCACUCCAGUUAUGCCCCCACGUUCUGCCCCCAUGAGGCUGCCACUUCACCCACGUUCUGCCCCAUGAUCCCAUGAUCUAGGAAGACCAUGACUGCCACUAACCCACGUUCUGCAUGCUCACCUGGCAGCCCCAUCUGUCAGCUCUUGAUUCAUCAGCUGUUGAGUCACUCGUAUGCCUUGGACAGUCCUUCGUCCAAGUUUUAGAUCGUGUCAAGUCAAGCCCCUGACUUGCACAAGCUGCUGCGCGCUGCCGAAUUCGCAUCUGCGUGCAGGCUGCCAAUGUCUUCGCUGCCGAAUUCCUCGACAGCCCUGUUCUCGUCAGCCUAUGCCCCUGACGAGUUUUCCUAUAUGGCUUGGACAUUCCAUCGUCAAGCCCAUGUUCGUCAACAAUCUGCGCUCCCGAUUUUCCUUUGACGAACCUACAGCCGCAUAAAUCUGCGCUGCCGAUUUCUCCCACUGUUGGCAUGGCUGCCAGCACCCUUAGGCCCUGUUUUGGACAGCCUGCCGAAGUGUGCACCUCGUGCACGUUUAACAUUGUUACAGUAGGCUUCUAUCCUACCAUUAAAAGUUGAUAGGGCAGAAAUUUGAAUGCAUCGCCGGGUAUAAUGGUCAUGUGAUCUAUUGAGUUAUCAUAAAUCAUCAGAGCAUUAGGCAGAGCUAGCAUGGAGUUAUCUAAUAAAUGCAUCCCUUUCAAAAGCCAGGGUUUGUUGCACGUAUUAGCUCUAGAAUUACUACAGUUAUCUGAAUAGCAAAUACUAUCAAACAAACUAUAACAGAUUUAAUAAGUCAUUCACAAUUUUACAAUCUGAAUUAGUUCAUACUUACACAUGCAUGAUUUAAAUCUUUGAAACAACCGAUAAGAUCAACCAAGUAGUAUUUAUUGGCGACACCACUACCCAUACGAUCCCCGAUGUUGAUGAGAUAAGAGGUUGAGACGGAUGCAGAGUCAUUCUUAUCAAGCACGAGCUGAUAUUGCAUUGCAUCCAAAAACACGAGCGAUUGCACGUGGGCCAGUGCAGUGAAAGCCUACUCGAUAGGAACACGAAUGUCGUUGCUAAGUUAGCCUCGCACCCUAGGGAGGCCUGGGGCAAAGAGGUGCGUGCAACUUCACAUUAGAAUUCCACUAAAGUGGGUAUGCAAAAUAAGAACCCCGACUAACAACAAGGCAUGCAGGGCCUUGGCUGAAAGUGAUGAGGGCAGUGCAGUAGGAGGCCACCAGUUCAAUGCACUGACUUAAAGCUUGCCGACAAGUGUGAAAGGUAGGGAAAGGUAGGGGGAUGCAGAUAAAACAUGUAGUCUACUUUUAAAGGUACUUAUACAAAAUAAUUGCCCCCAUUAUGGAUGGUUGCACGGUUAAUGUUUAAAACAAGAUGUUUAAAUAAGUCCUCUAUAAGCAUGUUUUAAAACCGUUUUGUAUACCUCAUUGAUGGUAAGAGGUCAAUUAGCAUUAAAUGCACAUCACUUGACUUUGAAUUCAACUAAGCACAAAACAAUGAAAAUUGGGUUCUCUGAGACCUAACUCAAAGGGUCAAGUUCACCCAUAACAUUAGCAUGGUGGGUGGAUGUUCAGGGCCUCACUCAAGAGUCAGGCCCAAACCACUAGCAUGGUGGGUGGGUGGGCGGGCUUAACUCGAACUAUUAAUGAGCUCUAGUUGGUGGGAUCCAUUCCAAAAAAGUAAUUUAUUUUCUAGCAUCACCUUUCUGGACCAUCUUCAGGAUGGUGGGUUCCCCAAGUGCCCCCGAGCCCACACCUUAAAUAGAUUGGCUCGGGGGCUAAUCUCGAACCACUUCAAGAUGGUGGGUUCCCCAAGUGCCUUCGAAUAGGCUGGCUCGGGGGCUAAUCUCAAAGGGUCAAGCUCACCCACACCACUAGCAUGGUAGGUGGGUGGGUGGGCGGGCUUAACUCGAAUUAUCAAUGGGCUCUAGUUGGUGGGAUCCAUUCCAAAAAAGUAAUUUAUUUCUAGCAUCACCUUUCUCGACCAUCUUCAGGAUGGAGGGUUCCCCAAGUGCCCUCGAGCCCACACCUUGAAUUGAUUGGCUUGGGGGCUAAUCUCGAACCACUUCAGGAUGGCGGGUUCCCCAAGUGCCUCCGAAUAGGCUGGCUCGGGGGCUAAUCUCGAACCACUACUCUUGGGUUCGAGAUUAUAUGGGAUGUGCCCAUCAGUACCAAAUAGUAUAACAGUCAUUUCUCUCAAUGCACCGAGAAGAGAUAACUAAAUAUGUGACCAUCAAAGCAUUGUUCUGCUGGCUGUAAAAGAAAGUAUAAUAUUUAAAAGAAAAGCAUCGAAUGGGCAUGGUUUGAUGCAUGUCAACCACUUGAACAAUAUAUAUAUUUUUUUUUAUCUUACAUGAUCUAAACCAUUAAAAUUUAAAUUAAUUAUGAGAUUUAAAACCCUGGAAACAUGAGAGGAUGCAAACACAAAAUGAAAUUGAAUUGAAAAAACAUUGAUAAAAGCAACAUCAAUCCAAAUUAUCAGGUAACGACGAUAAACACAGGUGAAUAGUUUGUCAUAUACAAGAAUAUCAGUGAUCCGGAAACCUUUCGAGUCACAAAAACAUGCUACCAUGUGACUGUUCUACCAUGAGUCACAAACACAACACAAAUGCUAAAAAACGGACAAUGGCCUACAGCAUAUCACCACAGAGAAAAAAUUUCCUUUCCAAUUCAACUCAAAAGGCCAAGGAAUUGACCAAAUAUACAUGUAGAAAUACCUACUGGAAUGAGCACUGAAAAGAGAGAAAUCAAUGCUUUGGUGGCAACUAUGGGGUUUCUAUCAACUUGAAGUUGACGCAGUUAUCAUCAUGGUCCUUCCAGUCCAUAUAUUGUUUUGGUGAUAUUGGCGUUCUGAAAGGAGAUGAAGAAUCAAGUUUGUAUUCCCAAGACUUAUCUUCAUGGAACUGCUCUGUCAUCGCUUCCAAUUGCAAGGGCCUUCGGGGACUCUGAGCAUUAAAUAGAAACCAGUAUUUUAUUUAGACAACCAUAUAAACAAGAGAUUAAUUUUUGAAACAAGAAAGAACCCAAAUGAAACAAUGUGUAAGAGGGGAAAUAAGCAAACUGACCUUCAUUGUAAUUGUUGGCGGUGGUGAACGUGAAAUUCCCAACUUCUUGGAGAAAUCUAGGCAAAAGAAUAAAAUGUGAAUUGAAUUUCACAAGAAAAGAGUGUUUAGUGAUAAUAAGCAGAAGAAUAUUAAGUUUACAUUACCAUCGUUCAGUCCAAUUGCUUGCAGAAACUCAUCGAUGUCCAUAACUCUUGUUUGUGCUUUGAUGCACUCCUCAUGAUUGUGCAGAAACUUUUCCUCAGCAAUUGCACUGGUUCGAUCCGGUUCUUCUGUCAGAACACUUAGGUUUGCAUUGAAACUCUUCUUUUUAGUCUCAGGCUUCCUUGAAUUAGAAAUGUCUGACAGUGGUCUUCUACCAGCAGUCUGCACUUUCCCUGAUGCUUUUGAGAUACUUUUCGUCUUGCUUGCAUCACGUGGAAUUCGAGGGACAUCAGUCUUCAUUGAAUUUGACAAAUCACCAAGAGGUUUCCGUCUACUCACUAGUGAUGCCAUUGGUGCUGUGAAUGAGUUCAAAGGAAUAUUCUGCAAAAUCAUUGGAACUGAUUAAUAACCUAGAUAAACCAUGCAAAAUAAGGAAAAUGACUGAUUUAUACCAUAAAUUAAGUUUCAAAAUGUAACUAAAAGGAAUUAUUCCCGAAAGCACAACCCCUCCACCAAGCAAGUCAUGAAAAAUCAGAUAAACACCUAAGACAGUUGCCAUAACUUUUUCUGUUAUCUCUAUAGCUCUACCGUACACUACUUGUCAAUAAAAUGAACGAAUUCGUGAAACAAAUUUAAUAUCAGGUAAAAAUGGCAGUGAUGUCAAACUAAACUAUUUUUUAAUCUUCUAUCGAACACACAAUAACAUGGAAUUGGAGACCACCACCCCUCUUACAUUAACUCUUGCUUAACACUAGAACUAUUCAAAAAUUCAAAGUACUUGAGAUUUGGAAGUACACUGUACAAUACAAAAUCUAGCAACAACAGUGAGCAUUAACACGAGCGAAACUGAAAAUUGAGUGUGAAAGCAAGAAACAAGAUUGAUUUUCCAGAAUCUAAACACAAGAAGCCAAUCGUUCAAGAAAGGGCGAUAACAAAUUAAUCACAGAUAUCUAUGAUAGUAAUACUCAAUAGAAUACAAGACCCAUCAACUUAAAAGAUUCAUUAAUUGCCUUUCUGUUACCUCAUGUUUAAAUUAAACUACAGAGAUUAUUUUUCAAUUGAAAUUAAGUGCAACAAACAAUAACCCUAAACCAAACUACUAGAGUUUUAAACAACAGCAGCAAAAUCAACUAAAAAAAAUCACAUUUAUUCAUGAUUCAAGUAAAGAUCAAUCACAAACACAUUACAAUCGCACGGAGAGGGAGAGAGUUGUUGGUUUGCUGAGAAAAAACAGGUGACGUUUACUUCUAAGAAAACAAAAUCGAUUUGGGUUUGUCAAAAGUAAAUUUAACCAGAAAUACAAGAAAACGAAAUCAAUUUCAAGAAUUUAAAACGCAAUCCCAAGAAUUAAUGAUAAAUUGAAGUUGGAUUUGAGAAAGUACCUUGUGGAAGUGAUUGAUUAUAGGUUGCUUGACAAUUGAUUCUCUUAAUUUUUGAGGCGCGGAGAAAUUUUCUUUGGGAGAAAGUGAGAGGACCGUUGUUUUUAUAGGGAGAGGGUUCUUAAAUUUCGAAGAAAAAUAUGACCGUUGGAAAGACAGGUUUGAUUACAGCUGCGUCGUGUUAAACGUCAGCGUUUUGAGUUGAUUAAUUAAAUUAAAGUCACAACGGUCCUAUGAACCAUAUUUCUCAUGGUAAUCUUGUUGUGGUAAUUUAUUUCUUGUAAUUUCUUUCACAAUAUCAACAAACAACAACUUCCUCUAUGUAUAUUGAUUCCAAUUCUUUUACACUGAUUAAUCAAAACAAUCACCCCAAAAGAAUAAUCAAAGGAGUAAGGUGAACAUCAAUUGAUUUUAUUCUAUUAAAAUCCAACCGAAUAGAUUUUUUUAAAUUUUAAAUCGAAUCGAAUAAUUAAUUCUAACCGAAUUAUCACAUUCCAUUCUAAUUUAAAAAUUCAAAUCAGCAGACGAGUCUUUAUCAUUUGUUUUAUUUAAAAAAAAAUUAUUUAAUUCAAUUCGUUUUUUAUAUUUCAGUUUCUCAUAUCUAAAACAUGAAUUAAACCAAAUUUUUUAAAAAAACUUUGGAAUUGAUUUUUUAUUUAUUUGAUAUCUCAAAUCGGUUAGAUUUAUAUUGGUUUUUUUUUUAAUAAAUUAGAUUAUUUGGUUAUUUUGCUCAACCACUAUAAAGAGAGAAUUAUUAAUAUUUUUACGUUAAUCCAAUUCAUAUACGUGAAUAGACCAAAAGGCUAAAAGAAAAUUUUAUUUUCAUCAUGGGGCCAAACCAAACAUUUAAGAAAAUCAAUACGGUCCUACAUCCAACAACAGCACUAAUGUGCUUUAGCGUCGUCACCUUUGGCCCUAACCAACGCUCCCUUAACCAUUAUACCUAGCCAAAAAAGCAACGAAGACCGCACACUGCCAAAAGGAGCAUGACAGGCCAUGCAACUCAGAAAGACUGGAAACCCAGGAACAUCCAAAUGCCCUAGAUUCGAGGGAGAAUGUCAAGCCGAGCAGCUCAGAAAUUUUGGAGCCACGAGAACUUGGAAAAGCCCUCGAUAUACAUGAUACCGUCCCUUGCCGCUUAAGGGCAAUUGCACAAGAAGGAUACCAAAUGGACUACAUUGAACACAGACCUUUCAAAACGCAAUUUCUGGUCAGGGGCUAUAAAAAAUGGCCCCCAAACACAGUACAGCAGGGGGAAAAAAGACAGCUUGCUAAAAUGGGAGUAAACAGACGAGAAACCAAGUGAUAGUUCAUUCUAAAUCAAAAUUCCAUGAGACAACGAGAUCCCCUCUAUCACAAUCCUACAAACACAACCAUCCUCCAUUACAUAAAAGCACAAAAGAUUUUGUUACACAUCCAGGCAGCAGUGCAUCCUCAAGACGCAAAAAAGAAAAUAUGCUGGAGAGCAUCACUGACUAAGUUGGCUUCCUCAUGUUCCGCCCAGCCCUAAUCACUUCAUCCACCAGCAGCAAUUGGGAUGCGAUAACAGGCCUGGAAAAUUACAGUAGCAUGAUUAUAGCUGAGUUAGAUGUAUUAAAAGUUCAAAGCUUAAGAACUUCAAGGGGUUCCUUAUUGUUUAAUCAUUCAUGGGAAGUUUGGCAAAAGUAUCUCUUUAUGUACAUUUAUGUAGUCCAUAAGCCACAGGCCACUACAGGAGCUAAACAAGCAUGCUGAAGAAACUGAAACAUAAGAAAAACUGGACCAAGGAAAGAGAGAUGGGGAGGGAUAGAGAACAAAAAAGUUUGGAGUUCCUGAGUACCCUGAGUUUAUGAGUUGGCGCUUGACAGAGUAGUUGUCGAAGAUACCCUCCAUUUGAGGAUCAAGGGGCCCUCCUGUUUGGAGAUUUAUUCCAACAAUGUUAUCCCUGUCAUGCUCUCCCUGAAUAAACAAGCAAGAAACUAUCGAAUCAGUUCUCUUUUCUUUUGUCUUUUGCCCCCAAAAUACAAAAGGAUGAUGCAUGGAUCCCAGCAAUAGUUACCGUGAGAGUGACAAUCUCAUCUUGAGUGUCUAGCCCAGAAUUCUCAGCCAGUGUUUUGGGCACCACGAGAAGGGCAUCAGCAAAAGCUUCAACACCUAGCUGAGCACGCUGUUCCAAAUUUGCAAACACUAGUUUAAAAUUAACCAGGAGAUGGGAAUAAUUACUCAAAUACAGAAAACAGGCAGACAUUUACCCCUUUAACUGUUUUCUUGACUUCAUUGAUUAGGUAUUUCCUGGCUGCAAAUUCAAAAGCUCCUGCUCCCUGAAGAAAACAAGCGAGACUAUCUGAGUGGGAAAGAAAACUGCUUUUUUUUUAUGAAGCACAAGGCACUUGAGCAGCAACAUAACUUGCUCAUACAUGAUUUAACUUCCAAAGCCACCAACAACGAGGACAACUAGGAUUUUAUAUAAAUCAAUAUAUGACAAACUUUAGUUUCAUAGAUUUCUUCAAGCACAACUUACAAGCACAACAGCUUCAUCUUCAAUGGUGUUUUUUACAGCUCUCAAGCCAUCACGGACAGCAUCCUUUAUUUGGGCAAUUGUAUGGUCAUUGGGUCCUGUAACAUUAAAGAAGUCAAGUGACAAUUGAUCCCUGCUGCAUUGCUCAAUUGCAAGGAUUAUACACAUCAUAUAAGAGAAAAUCUUGAACGUAAACUAAAUCCUCCAGCCUGAUGGCUAAAUGGUCUAAUGGAAGCAAUUAAAACAAACAAAAUAAAAAUCAUUCAGAUGGUUUGAAGACCAACUGAUAGCAAUUAAAACAAAAAAAAUGAAAAUCAUACGCAAUUAUGCAAUGUUAAAUGCUUCUAUACCUUUUAUUAAGAUAGUGCAAGAAUGGGGGUUCUUUACAUUUUCAACAAAUGUAUACUUCUCUUCACCAAGGACGUGCUCAUACACCAGUCCAGCCCAACCGAGGCAGUCAGGAGUUAAACUAUCGACAGAAUUCACACCCUCUCCUCCACAAGCCAAAACCAGGCGUUCCAUAUUUCUCCUCUUCGCUCUUCGCAGGGCAAUUAUCUACAGAACAUGAAAUUAGAUCAAUCACAUUCAAUAUAGCAACAACAGGGCAAGCAGGUAGACCAACCACUUUUCAAACUAGCAAAAGUCAUCUUACAUUUAUCAGUAGGUACCAUGAAAAAAGGAAUCCAAUCCAAGGCAAAGCAUUUAACAAGCCCAGUCUUGUUUGUUUAAAACUGGAGCCACAUACAGGUGGCAGGUAUUCUACCAUUUUCAAAAUCUAAACUAUAAUGAAAAACCAUUUCAAGUCUCCAUUCCCACAUCCAUAGUUUCAUGAAAUCAAUAGAAUUACAGAAGCAUCAAAUGGUCUCUAGAAUAUGCUUUUACAUAAUGAGAAAAGAAAAAAAGAUAAUACUCCUUUGAAUAUUGUAUCUUCAUCAACUUAAGCAUCUUGCUUGUUUUCUUUUAAUAAUUACUUCAUUCAGCAUGCAACAUGAUUUCACAACAAUAAAAAUAGAGAAUGAGGCUGUAAGGCUACCAAAAUGUGCAACCACUUGUUAUCACAUAUAACUAUUAACAACUUAUGGAAUCAUGAUCCUACUAAAGCUGAUUACAACUUUCAGAAUCGGUUCGACAUAAUGUUAUCUUCUUAAAACUUCUCUGUAGAAUUAAGGAUUACGUAGAAACACAAACCCAACCACCAUCCCCCCAAGUAAAAAAACUUUUCGUUCUUUUCCCAAGGUUAAUAGAUGCACCCUCUUGGAGGGCAACUCUAUUUCCCUAAACAAUCCACCCUUUCAUAAUAUUUCCAACAAACAAAAUUGAUCUCCAUUGUAAUAUUUAACCCCUAUUCAUGCCACACACCCUAAGAAAACCAAAAGGAAACGCCCAGCACUAACACAUAAAGCAUGAUAUGCAGCAAACUGAUGUGAAUUCAUGUAUAUUAAGUAGCUAUUCAUUGUUAGCAUUGGAUCACUAAAGAACAGAACAUAAUUGUUCCAUGACUUACCCCUGCUCGUGCAAGAAGGUCCAAUGAUGGAGGAUCAAUUCCCUUUUGAUUGAUAACCACAAAAUUGUUGUCUGUACCAGAACAAACCUGGAAGACCAAAAGUAUAAAAAACAUUUCAGAAAACCCAACAUGUAUGACAGAGACAGUAGCAUGAACAUUAAAUGUAUUAAAAUGUGUCACUUAACCUUAUCUUUUAGUUCAAUAAUUUUUUUAACUCUUUCAUCGACCUGACGCCUUUCAGCAGUAACCAUUGCCUCCCUCUGCUCUGCAUUUGAGUAGAAAAAUCCUGCAUUUAUUUCACUGUGGAGAAAAAUAUUAGCUUCCAAUAAACUGAAACUGACCACAGCUGCAUCUACAGAGUACUUGAUAUCUCAUAUUUAGCAUCAAUUCCAAUUAAAUUCAAGUUGACAAGAAGAAUACCUUUUCUCAUAUUCCAAAGACACAUUGCAUGUCAAGAUAAAACAGUUCUCUGCUCGCCGUUUCAUAUCAGGAUGCCUAGAACCAUGGUCAAGAACAAGACCUUCAACCUGGAAAGCAGAACAAGUAAAUAGAGGGUCCAAAACUUUUGAGAAGAGAAGAAAAAUUAUCUACAAAAGACCAAAAUUAUAUCAAAGCAGAUAAAGGAUGAACAAGAACUAAAAGUUGUCCAAGCUAAGAACUUGGGAACUUUUGAAUUUAAACCAAUCAUCAAUUUCUUGGAAAGUUCACCUAAUCCAAAGUACCAGCAUUGAGAAAUAAUUUUGACAUGAAGCAUUAUUUUACUAAAUAAAGGUUGAAUGAUGGAAAAUGGCAGUGAUUCCACCUACUGCCUCCCAUUGAAGAUCAAUGAUUCCAUUUCAAAUGGAAGGGUUCUUGGAGAUCUUAGAUUCCCCAUUCUUAGUCAGGAUGUCAGGAGUUACAAGUCAAUUUUAACACAUCCCACCUGAAAAAUAUACCAUGGUAAUCCAGAUUAAAUGAAAAGGGAUUAACUUACAAGCCGCGUGUCAACAUCGAAUUUAUGACGCAUGUGCAUAAUCUCCACCAUAAAUAGAUCAAUGCCUUCCUCAGGCUUUCGAAUACAAAGCACCUGCAUAAUGCACAAUAGAGUUAAUGCAAAAAUAGAAGUCUUCAAUAUUGUACUUCAACAUCUUUUCUAGCAGCCUCAAGAUAUAUCAACACCAUUGGCUACACUCACCGAAUUGACAACUAUGUUAGUUAACUGAUCUGCCAAAGCUUCAUGCAGCUGUACAAGAGAAUAAGGUCAACUUUAAAUGAGAUCCAAUCUGGACCUAAAAUAAGAGUAAACCAAUGAAUAGAACUUACCUUCGUCCUUAGGGCUGUCCUAGCAACCAUUUUAAGAAUUUCCCUGUCAGGUUCAUCACCCAUGACCACGGGAGUCUUAAAUUUUUCAAGAAACUGGAGAGUGGCUCUUUUGGCAAUCUCAAAACCAUCAACCAAUACACGUGGAUGCAUCCCUGAAGAAAAAAGUACUCCCAUGAAUAAAACAAGUUACCCUGCCAAGCACUAAAACACCAAAUGAGCAUGUUCAAGAUUUUCUGACAUGAAACUCAUGACUGCACACCAAGUAUCCAGAAUAAAAAAAUUAAAAGAACCACCACAAUACGACUGUUUUUUCAUCAGAGAAGGUAUAAAAACAGAACCAAUGUCCUUGAUGAUAAAUUCUAGUGCAAUAAAUAUUUUAUUAGCCAAAGGUCAAAUACACAAGAAUAUGAAAAUUUCUAUUAUUUCCUGUGCAACACGCAUGCACAACACAGAUGCAACCCUUGAACAACACCAACUUGUUUGAACUUUAAGGCAUUAGAAUCUUCUAACACUGUUUACUAUCCUAUCAUGUCACAACAUGAAUUUCUUUAUUCAGUUCGAAACAUUUGAAACAAUAAGCGUAUCAAGAAUAGAAAAAAGUGUUAGAAGAUUGCUAGCUCAAACUAAAACAGAAAACUCAGAAGUAUGUGACUCAAGAAAGAGAGCCACAACAAGUAACACAGCUAGUUCAAACUAAAGAACAUCACUAACCUUCAUCGAUGCACCGUUCAGAUUGCUUCAUAAGCUCUCCAAUAAAAAUCACAGUAGACGUCGUACCAUCUCCACUGAUAUCAUCUUGGGCAACAGCCGUCCUUGCAAUCAUAAUGGCCGUCGGAUUUUGAAUUUGCUGCAACCAUCAGAGAAAUUCAAGCAAAUUCACAAUUCCACAAAAACCCCAGCAAUAAACACCCAUUGUUUAUUCAAAACACCAGAUAACACAAACUUUGUUUACUAGAUCUAUCUCAGCAUUUAAAAUUUAAACUCACAUCAAGUUGCUCCUAAAGCUCAUUAACUUAAAUAUGCUAAUCACUUAGGGCAGACUCGCUUCUAAAAAGAGAAAUAAUAACAUUAAACCCUAAUUCUGCAAACACUCACAAAAAUUCAGAUCGAGAAAACCUAACGGAAGAAAACUAACCAUUUCUUUCAAAAGAGUGUUUCCAUCCUUAGUCAGCUUUAUAUCUCCAGCACCACCAACAAGCCUAAAAAGACACAAAAACACAAAGUAAUUAAAUCGCAGAAACACGGAGCAAAUUCCGAGAGAAAAAAACAAAACAGCGAGAGAGUUACAUCUUGAUGGUGCCUUUGGGGCCGAGAUUGGAUUUUAGAACAUCUUGUAAACCUUUAGCGGCAUUGAUGUUCAUGUGAAGCGCCGCCGAUUUGUUGAGAACCUCCGCGUUAGGGUUUAAUAAUCUUAUCGACAUUUUUCUUUCCUUUCAAAAUUUGUAAGAGAAGAAGUGUGAGUGAGUUUACUGUUGUUCGGAGUUUUAACGGAAGUGAAGAGAGGAACUGUCUCUGCGUUGCGUUGUUUGGGUUUUUUUAGGGCUUUCUGGUAGUUUAUGUAAUAUUUAAUAAUUUCGUUUUAGGGAAAACCUCAAAGUGGUACCGUAACUCUGAAUUAAUUAUAAAAUGGAUCCCUAAAUUCUUGAAUUCUUUAUUUGUUCGAGAAAAUAAGUUCAUAUAUUAAACAAGAAAAUCAUUUAAGCAACAAAAAGAUAGUUAAAUCAAUUUAAAAUUUUGUGCUCGUUAUUCUUUCAAAAUCCUGGAAUAGUAAAUGAUUGAUUUAUAAUUAAUUUUUAGCAAUUUUCUUUUUAGUAAAAACAAUUAAAUUAUUUCAAAGAAACUCAUCUCUUGAAAUCUUAUCUUAAUUAUUUUUAUUAUUGAAAAUAAUUGUUUUGUAAUAAUUAUAAAAGGGUUAAUAUAAAACAAAUCAAGAAAAUAAUAAAUUUUUUAUUUUUUUAUUUUUAUAAAGACUCGACAUAAUUAAAAAGUUUUUCAACUAGCAUCAAUAUUAUAAUUAAAAUCUCAAAUUAAUUUUUUACUACUUAAUUAAAUCAAAAGGAUAUUAUUUUUAUCAAUAAAUCUAAAAAAAAAAUUAUUUUUUUAUUCACCGCGAGCUUCAUCAACAAUAAAACAACUAAUAAAAUCUUCAAUUUCAUCUCAAAAGUGUUUUUGCACUUUACUUACAAGAAUAUGUAAGAUUCUCUUUUAAAUCCAUGAGAAUUAUAAUUGCAAUAAAUUGAAGCAUUAUCUUAAACAACUCUUGCUACCAUAUCACUAUAUAUUUUUAGAUGUUCAAUUAAUUUAAGAAAGUUACCUAUAUAUUUUUUUAUUUUGGAAUUCAUCUUUACCAAAAAAGACUAAAAGAGAAGGGUUGUGAGUAUGGUAUAUAGUGGAUUAUUACGAGGAAAACCAUUAUUGAGUUGCAUGUUUUAACCUCGUUGCAAUUCUUUACAAAAAUAAAUUAUUUUGCUAGUGAGGAUAAAAUUGUAUUUUUUAAGAGAUAUAAAUGUCAUUUGUAAAUUAAUUGAGGAUAAUUUAAUAGGAUGACACAUUUGUCUUGCUAAGUUCUUUACGAUUCAGCGGUGAUUGAGUUUUUUUUUUAUUUCUCUUCCUUUUUAUAUUCUAUCUUAUCUCCUUGAAAUCCGUGUUAGGUUACCCAAAAAUCAGGGUUGUUCUCUUAUUUAUUUUAUCUUUCAAUUAUGGUUCUCUCUCUUUUUAUUGGGUCUUUAUUUCAUUUGGAUUUUUUUGAGUUUUUUUUUUUUUAAUUUCAUCCAUUUUCAUUUGAUUUUGUUUAGUUUUUAUAUCAAAUAUGAUAUUCAUUCUUUUUAUUGUUGUUUUUUUAUCCCUUAUUUAUUUAUUUUUUUCUUUUGAUUUUAUCUCUCAACAUUUUAUUUCAUUUCUUUUUUUUUCUAGAUUUGAUCCUCAUUAUUUUAAUUGCUUUUUUUUUUAUCUAUUUCUUAAUUUGUUUUUUCUUUUAAUUUUGUCCCUCAAAAAUUUAUUGCAUUUGUUUUAUAUCCAAUUUUGAUCCUUAUUAUUUUAAUAGCUCUUUUUUACCCUUUUCUUUUUUAUCUUAUUUUCAAUUUAUUCCCUUUUUUUUUCAUUAGUUUUUAUAUCAAAUUUAGUCCUUAUUGUUUUGAUUGUUAUUUGGUUUCUUUCUUAAUUUUUUAUGGUUAAGAAUUUUGUACAUUUGUUUUUGUUUUUGUCUUCUGCGGGGUCAUUUCGAUCUCAUGACCCGGGUUUCUGGUUUUGAAGUUUAAUCCAAUUUAACUUUGGUCUUUUUAAUUUUAUUCUUUGACUUUAGGUUAUUGGGCCUUAAGCUUUAUAAUCUUUUUCCUUUUCCUUUCUUUGGAGUUAUCUCAUGUCAUGGGUUAAUCAAGUAAACCCGAGGUGUUUUGGGAUUCUUUUCAAUGUUUUUUUAUUUUAUUUUUUUAAUUUCAUCAUUUAAUGUUAGGCUAUUAGAUCUUGAGUUUUAUGAUUGUUUAUAUUUUUCCUUUCCAUAGGGUUAUCCUGAAUUGUAGAGUAGUCAGGUUAACCCAGAGUAACUCAAGUUUUAUUUUAAUAUUUUUUAUUUAUUUAACUUCAAUUCUUUUUUCUAGGUCAUUUUAAAAAAACCAAUUUUCUCAUCUCAAUCUUUUGUUACAGGUGGUAGGUUAGUCUUUUUAAAAAUUAAAGUUAUAAAAGUUGAUGAUUUCUUGAAUCAUCAUUAGCUUUUCUUUUAAUUAUAAAUGCACCAAAUAUCUUAUGUUUAAUCAUAAUGUGAACAACCUAAUAACAAGAAAAAAAUAUAUUUAUAUAUAUAAAGUAUAUAAAUUCUCAUUUUUUUUUGUUCAAUACAUGAGGUUUAAAAAGCUUUACGAUAUACGAUGAGAAAUGACCAUCUUAUAUUCUUAGUUUCACUCGUCUCUUCUUAAAGUUCGAACUAAAUUCUUCUAUUGAUGAUUUCAAGUAUCUUAAAUUCAUCAAGAUAUUUUCUUAUGACUUUUUUUAGUAAUACUAAUCAGCCCCAACUUAUUAUGAGUUUCAUAAGUUAGUUUCUUAUAUGUCAAUCUUUAAAAACACACUCAACUUAUCUUGAUUUUAAUAAAUCAGUCCUAACCUUAUUCAUUUCUUACAAGAAAUUUAUUGAAAUUAGGAUAGCAAAUGAUGGGGGACUAAUUGUUAAGAUUAAGAAAAAAAAAUUGAUACUUCAAGGAUUGAUUUGUUAAGUACAUAAUAAGUUGAAGGUUGAUUUGUAGUUACUGGUCUUUUUUAGUGAGAGGAAAGAAUAAUGUAUCAUGAGAAUGUAUCAUGACUUCUACAUUGAAAUCAUAAUUCAAAUAACUUUGAAAAUAAUUUUUUUUGGUUAAGGAGUUAUUUUUUUUUAAUUUUCUAGAUUUAAAAUUCAGAAUUAGUAUUCAAGAAAAUUGAUUAAACUUUUUUAAACGCAUCAAACUGAUAUAAAGAGCGAAUCUUUAAAAUCAAUUGGAGUGCUGACUUAAAUAAUUUGACUAAUAAACUUACUUGAAAAUACUUUUUGUUAUCAAAUAAAAAAGUGGUAAAUAAAAAAAUUAAUUCUAUAUAUUAAUUAAUUUUUGUGUGGUUCUAAAACUUUUACAUCUCUGAUUUCUAAAAAUUUAAAUUAUUUAUAUACAUAGAAAUUAGUAGCAUCUUUGGAUCUUAGGCUAUAAUUAUUUAGGACAUUUUUUAAAUGAAUCCUAGUUUCUAACAACCAAUGAAAAAACUGAACUAUAUGAAUGAAUAUUGUCAUCAUUAUUUCUUUUUGGUGCAUGAUUGUGUGACUAUUACUAUAUACAUGUAUGUGUUUUUGUUUUUGAUAUUUUCAGGUUGGAUUAUAAGAUAACUGCUACUGUGCCUUUUUUUUGGAUAAAUUGUUGCUUUCUAAAUUUUUAAAUAAAAACAAAAACAAUAGCUUAUAACAAAAAGUUUCAAGUAUAAACAUUUAUCCAAAGCCAUGGUGUUUCAAUUGUUUUUUUUUUUUUUGCAUAUAUUUAUUAGAAAAAUCUCAACCUCUUUUUUAUUAUUACUAUUGAUCUUUGGUUGAUUUUUUUUAAAAUCAAAAGCAUCACAGAAAGGCAAGGACUGUGAAGGAGCCAAAAAAACAAAACUACAUUUUCUGUUUUUGUUUUUAUAAAUGUAUUCAAAAGACGUAAGGUAAGUAAUGAAAGUUUACCCUUUCACUGCUCCAAGUAAUAGCAUCCCAAGUUGUACACAAAUCUAAACACAACAUCUAUAAGAAUAUAUAGUUUGCCUUCUUAUAUAAUUAUUUCUAUAUUUGUAUAAUCACAUAUGUAGUAUAAAAGAAUAUAACAUAAACUGAAAACAAUUAAGGGAAAACUGGUACAAAAAGCAUAACCUUAUCUCAUUAUUUGUGACAUUUUGAUAGAGGUAGUGAAUAAUAUAUGUUAAAACAAGUUCUAAUUGAUUAAAUAAUUAUAAGGACAACCUAUGAUCAUGUCUAACUAGCACAUCAUGACAAAAUUAUACUUAUUAUUGAUUAAAUGAUCAAUUAUUUAAUUAACCUAAACCUUUCAUAUAAGGAUAAAAAUUGAUUACUCAAUUUAAAUAACCAAACAAUAAUAUAAAUUAAAUAUUAUUUUACAAAUCCUUUACAUACAUAUAGUUUUAAUAUGUCAAAUUUUAUUAUGAUGACCAAAAAGGUCAUUACACUAGUCAUGGAAAGUCCUAAGUGUAAUUUAAAGUUUUUCAACUUCAUCAAUAGUGAUCUUUAUAAGACUAAAUAAAGCUAGUUUAUUCUCAUUUUACACACCAUUAAAAGUUUUUCCACGGCUAACAACAUAAAAGCUCUAAGACAUGAGAGAAUAAUUGACCUCCCCAUUACAAGUACAUCAUCUUCUUUAGAUAUCUAACAAAUUGUUUAUUAAAUGAAAGUGCUCACUGAAGUUGUUCUAGCCCCAUAUAAUAACUUUGGAUUUUACCACUCUAAAAUAUGACACACUAGCUAGCUUUACCAUGCUCCACUAAGUGCACAUAAACAACUUCAGUUUUUUAAAGAAACAUGAUAAAAUGAUGCACAAAAAUAAUAAUACUCCAACUUUAAAUAAGAGUUGCUCUCAUCAUGAAGAGCAUUCUUAAACUAGAUGCUCUAAAUGCAAUCUCUAAAAAUUAAAAAAGAACAAGCUGUUAAAGAUCUCAUCAGAUAGGUAAGGGAGAAAAUAAAAAGAAAAGAAGAUAAAAAUGAGAAAUAACCAUAACAAUCAAGGAGAAGAGAAAGAUAAAGAACAAGCUGUUGAAGAUCCACCAAUGACACACACCACAUCACAAGGAAUGCCCCACCAAAAUGAAUCCAAAGACACUAAGGAAAGCCACUAUCAAAGCCAUAAUGCUACUGUACACACCACUACUAAGCGAUGACCUUGUUCACAUUUUAACAUGUGUAAUACACAUGCUAAACAUGGGUGUCUAAUUGGGCCCGUGUCCAUGGCCUAAUCGAGCCCAAGAGGAAGAAAAUGAUAGUAUGAGAGGAUAACAAGAAAAUAUAGAAGAGGAAACCCAGUUAGGCUUAGACCCUUAACCUACUAAGCUCGAUGGGAAGAAAAAGAAGGAAGAAUGAGUGAGAAAUAAAAAUAAGAGUCAUGCGAAUCUUCGUACAUGGUACUCCAAAUAAGGUAUACUCCAGCGCAAACACCACCUGAAUGACUUACCUGACAAGUCAUUAGUACGGGUGCUAACCUCUAUGUACUACUUUACGAAGUAGACAAUAUGACACCUAAAUGAACAACUCGUUUUAUAGGUUACGUGUACGAUGUAGGUAAUUAUUCUCUAUUAUUACUCGUACAUGGUAUAUUUGCAACUCUACUAUCUACGAGGCAAUUUCAUGUGACCUAAAAUGUAUAAAUAUAUAAGGUCAUCGGGUACAAACAUACAAAACCACACAACAAUCAUAAUAUUCAUUCUUUUAUGUUCUUUUUUUCUUUGCUAUAUGUUAUUUUUCUCUUUAAAGUUUGCUAACUUAGGCAUAAGAGGGCACUUUUAUCUUACACAUAUAACUUGUUUUAUAUUUCAUUUAAUAUAUAUAUAUAUAUCCAUUACAUUAGUCAUAGAAAGGCUAAAAUUUAAUUUGAAGUUUUUCUAAUUUUGUGACUAUACAUUGGAGGACACUUAAAAUUUUAAAAGUCAUGUCUAAAAAUAUUGAAAAUGCAUGGUCAUGCAAUCAAAACUUUGAAUUCAAGAGUCCGAAUAUGAAUAAAUAAAUAUUUGAUUUCAAAAUUUUUAAAAAUAAAAAUUACAUUGUCAAAAAUUUUCUAGUUUCAUCUUAAGUUGACCCAAAUAAAACGAGAGCUUUACAAUUGCGAAAAAUAAGAAAAUGAUUAAAUAAGUUUUGUACAAUUUAUUUUUAAUUCUUUUUAAACAAAAGUUUUGUUCUGAUUCCAUAAACCUGUAAUUCAACUGAUUUUUUUUUUUUAAAAGCAUAGAGUUUAAGGGUUUUUUUUUUUUUAAUGGGAGUGUUGUGCUUUAUGGAAGGAGUAAAAAACAGGUUUGGGCCGGCCUCCAAAGCUUUACCAAGUCUCAAUUCAUAGGAUGGAAAAAAAGUUUUGAAAAAUCUGAAUUAAGACCAAUUUUAAGUCUCCAAUGCUGUGGAGUACCGACCAAUCAAAACUGAACAUCAUGGGGAUAAUAGAAGAUCGCAUGCAUCAAAACUGUUUUUUUUUUUUGCAUGAAGAAUGAACCUUAGACUAAAUCCGUAGAUGGACAUUGAGAGAGGGACUCAAUUGAAACUUCCUACUUUUAGAUACCCAAAUGAGAAAAUAAUUGUUUUGAAACAUGGCAGGAAGUGUAAGGUGAAGAAUGAUGAAUGAACAAUAACAAGUUAAGGCUGCAACAUUCAAUGCUCAGUAUCAAACUUUUACAGAAUUCAAAUCCAAGAAUGAAGAGCAAGUGAAUUGCUACUCUUGGUGUGCUUAUCAGUGAAGAUAGAGAAAUGGUGGAGAUGGUUUCUACAAACUACCAGUCUCUGCUGGCCAUGUUGAUUCUGGCACUGAGGCGCGCAUCUGUUGACAUUAAGAAACAGUUCAUGCAUGGUUUUCUAAAUUUUAACAAGAAAAGUUACAUUUUAUGAAUAUUUUUGAUCCAAUGAGAUCUCAUGACAAAGAACAUUGAUCCAGUAAGAUUUCAUUAUAAAUAACUUUUUCACCUGUCCACGGAGCUUGGUCAAAAAGAAGAGAAAGAAGAAAGUGUAUUUAGGAAUAAAGAGAAAGAAUGCAGCCCAUUUUCCUAUCGGGGCUCGAAAGACUUAUUUCUGGUGGAAUGUAAGGAUCAGAAGAAUCUAGACUUUUACACUAAUGAGGCUAUCUGAGGUGAAAAUGACCCAUCAGACACUGGUUCUUGUGAAAAAGAUCUUCAGCUUUGAAUUUCUCAAUGGGAUUAGACUUUGAAGUAAAUAAUUUUUUUUCAUGAUUUAUGGUGGCACAAAAUCUUUGAAAAGGGACCAGCUCAAUAUUGCAUUCUUGCAGAAACAUUGAUCUUGCCACUAAAAAAAGAAGAAAAAAGAACAAAAGUAUCUUACCUUUCUCAUAUGUUCAAUCUUUUAGCAUUAGUCAGUGAUACAACGUAAAUAUUUAUGAUUUGGAAUAAAAUAUGAAUUUUCUGAAGAGAAGAACAAGUGAAAUAGAACUUCCUUAUGCACCACAGAAAUGGUCAAAUCUCAGAAGGUAUCUCCACCUUCCAAGUAUCCGUGGAAGUUUCACUUGAGCAUGAAAAUAAAACACCUCUUGUUCAACCCAGAACAACCCCUUAGGCUCACGAAUAAUGCUGCUUGGCUUUAGCUGACACAUUACAUGGCUCUUUAUUCCAUGUUCGAGAUUUUCAUGGCAGAAAGAGCGAUUUUAGGUGCCUUUCUUUUAUAUAUGAAUGCUGAAAAUGUGAUUCCAUCAUGGGGGGAUUUUCUGAGUUCACAAACACUUCCUGGAACAAUUCUGUAAAGCAUAUCCGCACAUUUCCCUCCCAAGAAAAUGGUUCUAUAAUGAAUCUUUUACUUUCCUUUUUCAGUCUGUAAUUCUUCGUGAAUCUACUUUAAGAGCUUGCAAACAAGCAUUUUAAGAUUUUGAAUGAUACGGAAGUUCGGUGACUCCAUUGACUAAUGCAUUAUGUGCUCAUAUAACUAACGUUGAAAAGUUACUUCAUCAUUUUUUUUAAAAAAAAUGUGUUUGAGCAAUAAGGGCUUUGUUAGAUGAUGUUUAAUAUAGGCAUGGGUGAUUCCCCAAAUUUGACAGAACUCAAAGGGUGGCGAAAGCUUCAUUUUCUGCCCUUAGAGAGCACAAAUUCUUUUCUAGCGAAAUUUCCAACUUGAAUUUUCAUUCUUUUGCAGAAAAAUAUGAAGGUGAAUCAUCAAUACUUCGAGUGCAUUUUCAUUUGCCGUUAACCGGGGGAGAUAAAAUGCCUAGGAAAACAACUUUAUUUCGUUGACGAAUACUAGAAAGGUGAACAGAAGGCAAGAUUCGGGCAAAGGAAUAAAAAUUCAAGAAGCUUCGUUAACACAUGCUCAAUACUUCUCCCUGUAGAUUCCUGUUAUCCUUUUCUUUUUCUUACCAAGCAAUAUCUAGUACAGGUGAAUGAAUGUGCUUAAACAGUCUAUAGCUAAAGUUGUCUUGAUAGGAAACUAAGUUCAUCUUGCAAUAUUGAUGUGAAAAGGAUUCGCUUUGCUCUCAUUUCAACUCAACAAUAGCUAGCAUGAUCAUAUCCUUUAGGAGAUAUAUCUGCAGAAUAAAGAAUCAUUUGCCAAGUACCACUUUUGAACUACAGGAAGAAUUUUGUACCGUUGAAACGAGCAGAGAGAGCUCAAACUAGAUUUCAGUUUCUAAUGAAAUCAAUGCCUAAACUGUGUCAUUAUCUUCUAUGGUCAAGUCAUCUCUCUGUAUAAUGGGGCAGCAUAUCUAUAUGGCAAGUGCACCACUAACUAUUGUGUCAUUAUCUUCCUAUCUCCAUGUCGGCUAUACAAGAGAUCUAAAUUCCAUCUGAAGAUUACAACACAAGGAUUUGCGCGAAAGAAGUUGGAAGAGGACACCUUGGAAAUCAGAGAGUCAAAAGUUAGAUAAUAAUGUUGGAGGAUAUUUGGUGUAUAAAGUUCGCCGUCCAAAAUCAACUCAAGAGUGCAGUAAUUAAAAGCCUUGGCAUAUCAAUAGCAAGAUUUCUAACUUUGAACUUUAGUUGCAGCAGUAGAUAUGUAUGCAGAUCCCCUGCUAUACAUGAUCUUGGAUUCUCAAACACACUUGCUUUCCUUGUGUACCAAGCACAUGCUAAUUUGCUUGCUUAAUUUUUUUUUUUUUUAUAUGUGGAUAAACCUUGUCCAAUGACGGAGACUGGUGGUUCUAAAUAUAUGCAUACUCAUUUGUAAUUCUGUAACUGGACUAUGGUAUGAAGCAAGCAGCAAUAACAAUAUGACAACAACAAAGAAUGUGGAAAAAUGCAAAAUGUCAGAAUAAUUCAAAGAAUAAACUAGGAAUCUAACUGUCAUUAAGUUUGACUCCAUCAUAUUCCUUUCUUCUAAAUCAUGUUUGAAGUUGAACACGUUGAUUUCCAUUAUCUUCCCUAUUUACAAUGAAGAAUUCAGACUGUAUCCACAUGUAUCUAUCCAACAACAAAAGUCAAAUUGUAAUUCGAGCUGUGCCAUUCACUCUUCUUCAAAAGGUAUAUUAAGUGGAUGAGGAUAAGAUUUCCCUCAGGUGUUGGCUCAUGUUGAUCAACUAUUGCAGCAAAUUCAGAUAGAAAAGUUUCUUGAUGACAGUGAUAGUCAUUUACUGCCAUUUCGAAAAAUUACAAGUUCAUAAAUCUUUUAACAGUUUCCACAUGAUGUGAGAAUCUCAGUGAUGUCAUAGCAUGAGCUCAACUGCCUGACUACUUGUCAGAGAAAAAGAAAAGGAAGGUUCCCUCUCAAUUUAAAGUUUAUCCUUGACCUAAUCUCUCACUCUCUAUAUAAAGUGAGUUCAGAUUUAUAGCAGAACAUACCAAAUUGUCCAUUACACCCCACUGCAUGAUAAGAAAAAAUAUGGCUGCCAUUUCGUUUGAUCCAAGAGUUAAUCUUCAAAUGAGCAAGAACUCUCACGGCGUAAUCAGUGAAGAAAUUGAAGGACUCAUCAGAGUUUACAAAGAUGGACGCAUCGAAAGGCCUCCUAUAGUUCCUAAUGUUCCUUGCAAUGUGGCGCCAGUAGAUGAUGUGACAGCAAAAGAUGUUGUUAUCGAUAAGUUCACUAACUUGUGGGCACGCAUUUACGUCACAAAACGCUCAGGCAUACUGCCUUUGCUUGUUUACUUCCAUGGAGGUGGAUUUUGUGUUGCUUCAGCUGCUUGGAUUUGUUACCAUGAGUUCUUGGCCAAUCUUGCUUCUAAAGCAGGUUGCAUCAUCGUAUCCGUAAACUACCGUCUAGCCCCAGAAAACCGUCUCCCUACUGCUUACGAAGACGGCAUCAAGACCCUUAUGUGGGUAAAACAACAGACUCUAAAUUGUUCUCCUGAGCAUAACUGGUGGUUAAGUCGGUGCAAUUUCUCUAGCUUGUUCUUAGCUGGUGACAGUGCUGGAGCAAACAUAGCAUACAAUAUGGCUACAAGGCUAGGGUCCAGUAACAAUCCUGAUUGCAUGACAAUUAAGCCUUUGUGUCUCAAGGGCAUCAUCUUGAUCCAACCUUUCUUUGGAGGAGAGGCACGAACUUUGUCCGAGAAAAACAUGACUCAACCAGCUAACUCAGCACUGACUCUAUCGGCUUCUGACACGUAUUGGCUGUUAUCACUGCCUUUAGGGUCUACCCGUGAUCAUCCAUACUGCAACCCUUUAGCAAACGGUGCAAGCAAGUUGCGGGAUCAAAGAUUUCCAGCAACAAUGGUAUGCAUAUCUGAGAUGGAUAUACUUAAGGAUAGAAACUUGGAGUUUUGUGCUGCUUUGGUUAAUGCUGGUAAGAGGGUAGAAAAAAUGAUUUACAAAGGAGUUGGCCAUGCAUUUCAAGUUCUACUUAAUUCUCAUCUCUCCCAAAUCCGCGUUCAAGAGAUGGUGUCCCAUCUCAAGGCUUUCAUCCACCAAUGACAAAAGGAAAGGGUUCCAUGUUUCGUCAUUACUGUUCAACUUAUUUGUGAAUUAAGUGCUAUCUAUUCUGUGUCAUAGCUUAGAUAACGUUAACGUUGUUCACAAGAUACGUAUUUUCAUACAUGUAUCUAUAUGUAGGCCUUUGCUUUCCGUAUCAUUUAUCCUGUUUAAGCUGGUUUUCCCAUGACUUUCUGUUUGUUAUGCCAGAGUCAGAAUGUGGUAAAUAAUUGUAACCUCGCUUUUGCUUUAUAAAAAAGCUUCUCUUUCCUAUAUUUGACUAGUUGGAAGGAUGGUGGAUUGCUCAAUAUUCCAAGUCGAGUUGUAUUGAUCUCAAAGAACUAUCUAUGAUCCCAAUAAAUAUAAAAGAAAGACCUACAAUGGUGUUUCUACAAAAGGAAUGUGCUCUUGGCAGUACAGCUGAAAAUAGUCAUGUGUUGAAUGAUCGUUGCUGCUGGCGCAUACUAUUUACAACCUUGGAACCUUUGCUGGAUAGCUAAUCUAAACCGCUAGAAUCCUUCCCAGUUUGGUCGCGUGGUAGUUGCAGUGAUAUCCAAAGAUAUUAUAUCUUUUUUUUUCUUUUUUUUAACCAAUGACAAUAGCAAUCGAUAAGUUCUCCAUCUCAAUUGAUAUAAGUUAUUCCUUUGAUGAUUGAUUAGGAAGCAUUGGGCAUAGAAACAUAUAUCAAACUGUCAAAAGGAGUAUUGUAGAUAAAAAGUUUUCAAAUUUUCAAUGACAUUGAUCGUCGAUCAUUUCUCAUCCUUCAAUCAGAUAGUAUUCAAGCAUUCAAUGAGCGAAUGAAAUUCUUUCGAAUCUCUAGAAACUGCGACACUGUGGCUUGGUUUUAACAACCACCUGAUCUUUUGCAGAAUAUAACAGCUUUUAGUCAGACUAAAAAGAAGAGCUUCUCUGUUGUCUCUUUUGCAUGUUGGUUAAUUUCCAAUAACCUUGGGAAGCUGUCUUGGUGUCUUUGAGCUGCUCUUACCAUCAUGCCACUCGUGUCACACGGGAGUUCAUGUUCUGCUCUUCCAUUAUGACUUGCGUUUUCAUGGCUUUGAAAUUUCAUUUGCUUUAUGCUUAUUCUGCCACUCAUCUUGGUUUCAUUAUUGCCAGUAUCUUCGAAGUUAAUCUCUAUGCUUAUUCAAAUCAGAUUUCAUUUGUUUGUUCUCAUGCAUUAAACAAAUCACCAACACUUGUUUGAGGUUCCUUCAUUUUUGAAAUUAGUGUUAGCCUUCUAAAAAAACACUCAUACAGGAAUACCGGAUCCCUGAAAGCUUACAAAAUCCUCCAAAUUGUGUAUCAAUGGACAAAUACUCUCACUGCUUCGACUUGGUGCUAUUCUGAUCAAAACCCUGAUUGGUCUUUAAGACGUGAAUCUUUGGGACCUAGAGCCACCAUGGUUUAAGAACUAGGUGUUUUGAUUUUAUGCUGUAUUGUUGGUUUUAGCAUUCUGUACUUCGCUGCUAUAUGUUUGCUGUAAUGUUGCUUUAGAAUUAUUCUCUGAUCUGACCUGUAGUGUUCAUUCUUUUCUCCUAACUGGUUAGUCAGCCCCAUGGAGCUUAUUUUUAUAGAUUUUACAUGGAUAAUUAUUAUUCCUGAUUUUCAAUUUAGUGAUGAAAGUGGACGUGAACCUAUUCGAGUGAGAUCGGAUUAGUGAUUACCAUGUACUGGAUCGUAUGGCAUCUUUUUGUCACUACUUUGGAGAGCUUUCAUUUUAUUGAAAUGAGCACAGCACAGAACACUAAAUCGAAUUCUAUGUCAUAUUCGUCAAAUUAAGGCUCCAUUUGUAUCAGCAUAUAGCCAUACAGAUUGCUGAUAAAGAGAUCUAAUAUCUGGCUGGGGAUUCCCGCUGAGAGAUUUGCUCAAAAGUGAGAGGAAGAAAGACUAAAACAUAUAGAAUAAAAAAAGCAGAUAAGGUGAUGGAGGAUAUUUGAUGAAUAAGUUUACUGCCAAUUUGCGUGUGCUUUGAAGUUAAAAGAGAAGCACUUUCUUAACCAUCAGUCCAUUCAAGUCUGUAGAAACAGUGUUAAGAUAUAAUGAUAAGAAGGAUCUGUCGAUAUCGGCCAUGUGAAGAAAAUUAAUGGCAGUGGUGAAUGUGAAUCUUUCAGGUCACUUGCAUGUUCAGUGAAAGUCCUAGUCUGCCCAGUGUUUGCCUGUGUUAUCUUCCCCCUACAUAUUGACUCCGCUUGAUCUGCAUUCUAUAUAUUUCUGCUGUGGAAGGCUAAUGGCAAUGUAAUAUCUUGAAAAAGCAUCAGAGGCAAGCUACCAUGUGUUUAGAUUCUUUGUGGGAAGAACUUACUCUGAAUUAAGCAGUCUUUUUGCCAAUUUCUUGCCUGGAGUCCAUCUAAAAGCAUUGACGAACAUGUAUUAAUUUAAAAGAGCAUCCUUUAACUAUAACUGUGUAUUUGAAGAAUACAGUUUCUGAUAUAAUCUGAGUUUCAGAGAUCCACUCGAUCAUUUAGGCGUGGACCAUGAUAGGCUAUCAAGGGAAUCGAAUCCUUUGCAAGUUGUAUCUUUGGGUUAUCUUGAAAUGGUACCUGCAACUGCUGCAAUGAUCCCAUCUGAUAAGAAGAGCAUUUCCUAAGGAAACACGUAUUAAAAAUCAUUUUAAAAAACGGGUUGAAUGCAUUAUCAAACACAUUUUUAAAAACUGUUUGCUUUUGCAGUGUAGUUGCCAAUAUUUGGUGGGUUUUGGAAGGAAGGGUGGUAAAAUUUUGUGUAGUUGACAACAUUUGCAGUUUCUCAGUGUUUGUCGGAGAGGAACCUAGAAUUCUCGAUGAAUUUUCUUUGUCGAGUCAACUAUUUCAGGAUAGGGUGUUUUUUUCCUCUUCUAGUCUUUAUAGUGCAAUGCUUGUCCUUGAAAGCCUUUCCUUUCGUCAGCAUUUGUCUUAUUUAUAGUGUAUUGUUUAUCUUUAUAAUAAUCGCAGGUUUAUUGAGAACAUACUAGCCAUUUAGAUGACAGAGACCAUGAAAAGAUGAAGUUAUUACUAAAGGAGUAUACCAACUGAUGAAAAAAGAUAAGAACUAGAUAAACAAAAGAAAUGCCUGCGACAUGGCCAUACAAACAUUCAUUGUUGCCUUCUGCUAUUUAUCCAGGUUUGAAUGUCUUCAACAUUGAUAUGAAGAUCAUUAUCUGUGUAAGGAAAAUUAGCCUUACAAUUCCUUAACCAAGAAAAUAACUGAUAGAGUGUCAGACAAAAAAUCUCAUGGUUACAAAAAAUCUCAUGGUUCCAUAGACAAAGAUGCUUAGCAAGAUAGCUUAAUUUCUUAAGCAACAUGUAAUGUCCUAGAAACUGAAGACAGCAACUUUCCACAACUCUUAAGCAACAUGUAAUGUCCUAGAAACUGAAGACAGCAACUUCCCACAACGAUGACAGAGUAGCCAGAAACUGCGGAUGAUAUAACCAACAAUCCAAAAACUGAAAUGGUUUCCAACCUGUAUCUUGCUCUUGACACCCUAGCUAGAAGCAAUUGACAAUGAUCUGAAAGUCUCCUAGGCUGAUACUGUAAUAGCAGACCAGCAAACAUCAUAUGAAAAAUAGGAGAAGCGAAAGCACGAACAAUGCGACUCAUUGAUCCCCCACGAAACCAUAUGAAGCGUUGACCAACAAGAGGAAACUCAUGUAAAUCACAAGUUUCUAAGAACAUUUUGAGUGAAUUGGGACCUACAAUAUUCAAGAGUUUACUUCUGUGCUCUUCUCUUUCUAAAGUCUCAUUAAAGUCUCCAAUCAUGAACCAUGGAACAUCAAAAGCUGCCUUUAGAAUAGUCAAAUCCCUCCGGAGACACCUCCAUACUUGAAUUGAGCAAUGAGCAUAAACACCGACCACAUCACAAUUAGAUUUGGUAGCCAUAUGUUUUCCAUACAGAGCAAUCCAUCCAGAGACAUAUUCUACAAUGUGGGCAUUAAAUUUAGACUUGUCCCAAAGUGCUAGCAUCCCACCUGAACGACCCUCUGAAUCAAGAGUCCACCAUUUAACUUCCUUCCCAUUCCAUAUUUUAUAUAUCAUACUAUUUGUACAAGUAGGCAUUUUGGUUUCAAGCAGAAAACAAACUUCAACAUCAUGCCAAUCUGGCAUUUUGGUGUAUAGGACCUUAGAGAUAGCCUUAUGUUUCACAGACAUUCCAAGAGAAAACCUUUAUUUGUAGAAACAAAACAAAUCCCACGAGUUACCUUCUGAAGAAAGCCUACUGCAUAGCAUGCCAAUCUGAAGCCUCCCUUGCCAUUUGAUUUUUAUUCUCCUUCGUGAAAUGUUCCAGUGUAAUGCCCCCACCAAUGUCCAAAAUACUUCCAGCUGCAAUCGUAUUACAGACCUCAUCGUCCGUUGUUGGUGCACCUACAAUGGUCACAGGCUGUUCUUGUUGGCAUCUGCUAUUUCCAAUGCGAGUUGCAGAAUCCAUUGAAGAAUCCUCUACUUCUUUGAGUGAUAUUGGAAUUAAGAAACUGUCAGCCCAUCUCGUUGUUUGCAUUACAGCCCGCUGGUUGGUUAUGAGAGUCCAUAGGACUAAAGCCCGAUCCCUGAAAAGCACCCAUUUUAGAGUCCACCGAGGCAAGGGAGUUUGUGUUGAUGGUGGACACAAACGUAAUAGAAAAUCCCAUGAUUUAUGGACGUAAUAGAAAAUCCCAUGAUUUAUGGAAUUAAGAUGUUGCAAUCUAAUCGGGAGGGUAAUCAGAUUUUGAAUUUACUUUUUAAUAAUUAUGAAUUUAGAUUUUUUUAGAAUUAUUAGAGAUUUACAUGGUCGUUAAUUUUAAAAUUUAUAAAAUAAAAUUAAUUAAAAUAUGUAUAAAUUGAUCUAAACACCCGUAUUAAUAAUAAAAACAAAAAUGCUACAAUCCAUGAUUAACGCAUAGUCAGAAGAGUCGUGCCAUUUGUAUAUGUGAAAUGUAGAGUCAUGGAGCAACUCUCAAGUUUUCCAUAUGAGCUGCAGCAAUAUAAUUAUGCCUAUCCACGUUAGAAUUUGUAGCCACGUCAGCUUGUGCAGACUCUAACUCAUCAGACUCGUCAUCGUCUUCUUGGUUGAGCAAUAGCAUGAAGGUAUCCAUUGUAUAUGAGAUGGACUCACCAUCUGAAUAAUGAAGAAUAAUGAAGGGAGUCAAUUUCUAUAACCUUGACACAAUAAUCAUCUCCAUUCAAGCGUGAAUUAACAAUCUUCCACAUAAAAUUAAGGAAUAAAGUAUAAUAUAUAUAUAUAUAUAUAUAUAUAUAUAUAUAUAUAUAUAUAUAUAUAUAUAUAUAUUAUACUUUUAAACCUAGAAAAAUAAGUAAGAACUUGAUUCAGAUAAUUUUUUUAAAAAUUUUAAAUUAAUAUAUAAAUGUUAUUCAAGGGGAAAAUUUAUAUUUUACUAAUUUAUAAGAUUUUUGAUAUUCUCUUUAAAUAGUAAGUUAUUCCUCAAAAAAAAAAUAUUAAACCAACAAGAAGAAUUAGCAGUGAUCCUGUUUGUAACUUUGUAUGACACGCUACUGACUUUCCCCUAUACAUCUAUAAAAAUUAAAGAAUUGAAAAAGGUAAUAACAUUCAUAUUUUAAAAAAAUUAAUUCAGCAACGCCAUCUUUGAAUGAGAGACUACCCAAAUUUAUUUACCAGCAAAUACACAUCAAUAUUAUAUUACCACAACUGUUGAUUUUAUUUAACCUUUAAGUCAUUUAUUUCAUGUGUCUAUUAGUACAAGAUUCUUGCUUUUAUUCAUUAUAUUUAUAUGGUAAUGCUUCCUAUCAUUUCCAUAACUUCUAACUUUUCAAUAUAAAUAUAUAUUUUUUGUUUUAAAUUAUUGCAAUUUAAAUUGACUACAACUAAUCUAUUAAGGAAUUCUAUAAAAAAUUAAUUUGACUACAAUUAAUUAUUUUCAUUGAUAAUUAUCAUAAUUAUUGAGAAUAAAAAAACUUUGAUAGUACAAUUAUUUUGAUUUGAAGGGGAUAAGUAUUAUUUAAAUUUAAAUGAAACUAAAAAAUAAAAAACUAUACCUCAAUAGAUUAUGAUAAUUUCCCUUGUCAUUUAAAAGUAACACCAGCAUUCAAAUCAAUUCAAUAAUUCAACAACAAAAUUCAACAAAAACAUCACAAUCAAUUCAAAAAAUCCAAAUAUAAUGCAACCCCCCCCCCCCCACCCAAAAAAAAUAAAUAAAUAAUCUUACUUCUUAAUUCAACUCAUUGAAGCUUUCACUAUUGCUUCCGAAGAUCAAAACAGGAACAAAGUUAGGAUCAUCAUAAUGCAAAAACAAAAAAAAAAUUAAGAAAAGAACAAAAUGAGAGGGGGUCAAUUGCUAAGUUAUAACUUAAAAAUUAUGAACGAAUUCACUGAUAAAAAUUAUUAAUGGAUUUAUUUUGUCAGUAAUACAUUUUGUAAUAAUAACACAUCAUUUUUUAUUUUCUUUUUUUUUAUCAUAUAUUUUUUUCUCACUAUAAUUCCUUCAAUAUAUACUGACUGAAAUUUUCUGUCGGCGUAUAUAGAUGGACAUAGCGAGGGAAACAUUUUGUUGAUAAAUAUCAUUAUAAUUUACUGGUGGAAUAUUUUCAUUUGUAUUUAUCAAUUUUAAUCGGUAGUGUACUCUCUUUUGUUUUUUUUUUUCUACUUGCACAUGGUAAAUCAUAUACCAAAUGGAUUUUCAAGAAUGACAGAAAUGAAGAUGAGCGACACAAGGAUGGAUUCUAAUUUAUGGUAGUGUCAAUAGCUUAGGUUUCAGAAUGCUGGGAAGUUAGGAGAUAUGGAUUAAGAGGUUUCAAAAAAUUUAUAUAGUUUCGGAAAAAAUAUCAUUAAUGGAAAGAUCUAUGUGACAAGAGUGCUGGAGUUUUAGAAAGAGUCUAGAUAGUGAGAAAGUGCUUUCUCAAAUUCUUCACGUACUCUUAAUUUAAAAGUUUUUUUUUAAUUAGCACGGUAAACCUAAAAAAAUAACAAAAUAAUAUUGUUUGAAAAAUAUUUGGUGAAAUAGCAAAUUUUUAUCUUAUCGUGCUUAUGAAACUUAACAAGGUGAGAGUCCAAUCACCUGGCUCAACGGGUUAGCCGGUUGGAUCCAUUUGUAUUAAUCGAUCGAUCAUUUCACAUAAAAACCAUAAUUUUAUGAACUUUUUUCCAUAUAUGUUUGAUGAGUCAUAUACACAUUUGUCCAACUUGUAGACUUAAAAAUAGACUUUAAUUAAAAUCUCAAAAUAUACAUGGGUUAGCCGGUUGGAUCUAUUUGUAUUAAUCGGUCGAUCAUUUCACAUAAAAACCAUAAUUUUAUGAACUUUUUUCCAUAUAUGUUUUAUGAGUCAUAUACACACUUGUCCAACUUGUAGACUUAAAAAUAGAUUUUAAUUAAAAUUUCAAAAUAUACAUGUGUUUUUCAAUAUCAAUGAUGUAGUCGGGCUUGUGAUAACGGGUGAUUCUGAGCAGUCAGGUAUGAAUUUGUCAUAACUAAAUAAAAAUUUAUUGAUUAAUAGCCUAAAAGAUGAGUUUAUGGACUAGUGAAACAAGUUUAAAUCCAAUAGGAGGUUUGGUAACACCAGACCAUAAUAAAAGUUAAAAAAAAUCAUAACUUUUGAUUCGAUCAUUGGAUCAAACUCAAAUUUCUACAGGAUUUUUCUGAUGCUAUUUUUUCUAGUUGCUAUGUGGACUGUUAAAUUUUUAGAUAUCAAAAAUCUCGGUGAGACCUCCUAAUUUUAACAAUUUUGAGAUUUUUCUUUUUAUUUUUUAAAUCAAUCGAACGGUUAAGCAAAAAAUAAUUGAAAUUUCACAUUGUCACAUUUAGAAAUAGUGAAAUUUAAUAAAUGUAAAAGUGCAAUGAAAUAAAAGUAUACUAUAUUACUAAAAAAAUUUAAACUGUCAAUUUUUGAUGUUUAAUUUGCUAAUUUCAUAAUUUAUACAAUUUAAAACACCAAAAAAAUUUCAUCCUGCAAGAUGUAAGAAUGAUUGAAAAUAAUUUGAAUGUGUGGUUGAACUGAUCAGUUAUUUAAUUUAUUUUUUAAAAAUUACUCAUUCGAGUAUCAUAAAUCUAUAAUUAUUAAAAAUUUAUAUAUUCAUUCACUUUGUAUUCUUGAAAAAUUAUUUGUUUUCUCGUCAGAACAUUCACCGUUCAAAAAAAUAAUUGAAAAUGGGACGGUGCAUGCGAUCUGACAUGUUGGACAUAGACUUGUCAAUUCAAUGACAAAGUCCAGCAAGCUCGUCUGGCAUGCUUGGUCUGGCUUUGAAAAGUAAAUGAUAGUGUUGUCGAGCUGUGGCGUGAUCUUAGCCAAGAGAAAGCCCCACAACGAGACUUGUCAAAUCAAGACAAGCUAUCACUUUCAAACACACAAGGUAACGGUAAAUCCUCGCACGUUAACUUUUUCUUUGCGUUCUUUAUUCCAUUAUGCAUGCACACACUCCGAACACUAUACGUUUACAAAAUCAUGAACAAGAAUUUACUUGGCAUAAUUUCUUUUAGACAUUAAUCUUAUACAAAAACAUGCUGUUUUUUACGUGAAAAACUCGGCAAAGCAAUUAACUUGGGGGCUCCUGGUAUUACGGAGAAAAAAAAAAGCUAAGAGGUUUUUCCAGCUGCUUGAGUCAGGACUGGGCGGCUGGAAAACCCAUGUCAUGUAGCUGGAAACCUAGCCUAGGUCCACGGCUUGAUGAAAACUUAGGGUGUUUAAAAAAAUUGAAAAACUGAUUAAACCGAGAAAACUGGAAAAAAAAUAACCGAAAAAAUCGAACCGUGAAAAAAACCCGAUUAAACCGAUUAAAAUUUUGAAAAAACCGACCGGUUCGGUUUCGGUUUUUUAAGCCUGGAACCGCAAAAACCGAACCGAACUGAAAAAAACGAGCCAAACCGGAAAAACCAAGCCAAACUGGAAAAAACCUAGCAAAACCGGUUUGAACCGGUUUUUGUUCUAAAAACCCGAACCGAAACCGGUCGGUUUGAAUAGGUUUUGGUUCGGUUUCGGUUUUUUUUUAAAAAAAUUUGGUUUGAUUAUUUUUUUUAAUAAAAACCGAACCGAACCGAAAAUAAACACCCUAAUGAAAACCAUGUUCGCCUAUUUUCUAAGCAAAUUUUCAACUGAAUAAUCUGCGAUGGCACACAAAAUAACACAUAUAUACUUCUCAUACAAUUAUUUAUAAAAUAUUCUUAUUUUUUUUAAUUGUAGAUAUCCUGCUUUCUGGUUGAUACCGCAACCAAUAUUCAAAACACUGGUUUUUACACCUGAUGAACAUGAGAUUCUUUUAACAGUUAAAACUAACCAUACAAUUACAGCAACGAGGAGACAGAAAAGACGGGAUAGCUGUCCACAAAUUUCUACAUUUUGAUCUGAUUUCUCCACCUUAAAAAAUAAAAAAAAAAUAUAAUUUGAAAAAAUAACUUAACUAUUACAUAGUCUCCUUCGUGUAUGUCAUCAUGCAUAAAUAACAAAAACUCUUCGUAUGAUCAAUAUUCAUGCAAAGUUUUUUUAAGAUUUUACAUGAUAUUUAGAAUGAUAUUUUAGUUAGUUAUUUUAUCUAAUAAAAUUGUGGACAUUUGUCUAGAUUUUAUUGAUAAUAACAAUACCCCACCACUUUACUUAGUGGAAGCAUCAUUAGUGGUUAGUGCCACAAUUAGUGGCAUGUUUCAAGGCUCUCCUUUCUGCUCUCCUUCCUCCUAUAAAUGGAGACAAUUAGUGCAAGUGAAGUGUGUGCAAGUGUGCAGAAGGAAAUAAUGCAACUGUGAGAGUGAAAGAGUGUAGAUUUGAGAGAAACACCGAGUGUAAGAGUGAAACACUGGGUUUUGUGGGAUUGUACUGGGUUGAGUUGAGUGUUUGUAUCAUUCCUCCAAUAAUAUACAAUAUAUUGCCUCCGUGGACGUACCCGGUUUUGGGGAACCACGUAAAUCUGCUUGUUUGUGUUUUAUUUGUGUUUGCUUUCGGUCCAGUAUGCACAACAAAUUGGUAUAAGAGCAUUAGGGAAGCUUAAACACAGAAAAAACACGUUUUUCAGCUCUCUGUUCAAAGUUGCAGAAUUUUCAAAGUUCUCAUAUCUUGAUUUUGACCAGCUGUGGAGAUUCCUCUCGACGAUACGAGUUCGGAGAUAUAAAGAUAAUCGAAAUCGGAGUUGAAACGAGCCCUGUAGAGCUCGCCGAAGUUUUGUCGGAAAACUGCCGGAAAAACCAGACCGUGCCGGAAUUCUCGCCUGAGAAGACAGACACGUCAUCCGACACGCAGGCGCUGAGUCAUCAUCCACGUCAUCAACAGAGGGUCCACAUCGCCCUGUCAUCAGACACGUCAUCAGCCAUGUCAUUUGACAGUGACAGAAUAUUCUCUUGACAGAAUAAGAAUAUUCCGUUACCAGUAAGAGAAUAUUCCCGUGACAGAAUAUUCUUUAUCAGAGACAGAAUAUUCCUUCCCUGAGUCAACUCGGUCAGAUUGGUUUUUUGGCCAACUCAGUGAUUUUUUGACCCGUUUUUGGCCGAGUCAAGUUGGUUCCUAGCAUUUUCAACCAUUCCGAACGCAACCGUGGUGUCCGUUUUGUUAAACAGCAUACCGAAGUUACUGUUUUGGCACUUUUGAGCAUAAAAGUGUGUGUUUUAACAAGUUCGGGAUUUCAUUUGUAAUCCAAAGACGUCCUAAUGGCUGAUAUUCCAGAAGAAAAAUCAGCGGGGAAUGCUAGUAUACCUCCACAAUACAUCCCGGUAUCGAAUACCAAAUUUGAGGUGGAGAAGUUUGAUGGGAAAGGUAAUUUUGGCAUGUGGAAAUGUGAAGUCAUGGAUAUGCUUGUCCAAAUGAAUUUGGAUUUCACUUUAGAAGAUAAACCGGAGGAUUUGGAUGAUAAAAGCUGGGAAAGGAUAAAUCGGUUGGCUUGCAGUUCCAUCCGACUUUGUCUUGUAAAGGAUCAGAAGUACGCCUUUUCAGAACAAAACUCUGCAAAGGAAUUAUGGCAAGCACUGGAGGACAAGUUUAUGAAAAAGAGUAUAGAGAAUCGUCUCUACUUGAAGAAAAGGAUCUUCCGUUUUCAGCACAAGAAAGGUACUUCUAUGAAUGAGCAUCUGAAUGAUUUCAAUAAAAUGAUAGCUGAUUUGAAGAAUUUAGAUGUGGAAAUUGAUGAUGAAGAUAAAGCUCUACUGUUAUUAAAUUCACUGCCUGACACAUAUGAACAUCUCGUCACCACUUUACUGUAUGGUAAAGAAAAGAUUAAAUUCAUUGAUGUGUCCCAUGCUUUGGUGAAUAAUGAGUACUGAAAGAAGGACCAGAUUGUUCACAAGGAGUCAACGUCAGAAGCAUUGACAGUUAGAGGCAGAACAAACCCCAGAAGAUUUCGAGGGCGAGGGAGAUCUCGCUCAAAAUCCAGAGGAGAAUCAUCAAACAGACGAUAUCUUGCAAAAGAUGAGUGUGCCUUUUGUCACAAAAAAGGGCACUGGAAGAAAGAUUGUCCAAUCAAGGGCAACAAGGAAAAAGAUGAACCAACUGUGAACGUUGCACGAGAUGAGGAUGAACAAGACUCUGCAUUCAUGGUCUCAUCACCAGAAAACCAUUAUGGUGAAUGGGUUCUUGAUUCUGCAUGUUCCUAUCACAUGUGCCCUAACAAGCACUUAUUCUCGAGACUCGAGGAGUUCGAUGGAGGAGGUGUGUUGAUGGGUAAUGAUGAUGUGAGUGAGAUCAAAGGGAUUGGGACUAUCCAUCUGAAGAUGCAUAAUGGGGUAGUCAAGACACUAACAGAUGUACGGUAUGUACCUGACUUGAAGAAAAAUCUCUUCUCACUUGGAGUUCUAGAAUCCAGUGGUUAUAAGAUUAUCAUGCAUGGUGGAGUCCUAAAAGCAAUCCGUGGUGCAUUAGUUGUCUUAAGAGGCACGAGGAUAGGAAACUUAUAUUUCCUGGAUGGAUCUACAGUUACUGGUACAGCAGCUGUUUCCAAAAGUAUAGAAGAUGAUGAAGCAGAUAAUUCCAGACUUUGGCACAUGCGCUUAGGGCAUGCUGGUGAAAAGGCUUUGCAAGGAUUAGUCAAGCAAGGUCUAUUAAAAGGCGCCAAGACUGGGAAGCAUGGGUUCUGUGAGCAUUGUGUUCUUGGAAAACAGACAAGGGUCAAGUUUGGCACUGCAGUACACAACACAAAAGGGAUCCUAGAUUAUGUUCACACAGACGUAUGGGGACCUUCAAAGAAUGAAUCUCUUGGAGGUAAUCGUUGGUUUGUUACUUUUGUUGAUGAUUUCUCAAGACGAGUAUGGGUGUACAUGAUGAAACACAAGGAUGAGGUCCUUGAUAUCUUUCUGAAAUGGAAGAAAAUGGUGGAGACUCAAACUGGAAGGAGAGUUAAGACUCUUCGGUCAAAUAAUGGUGGUGAGUACACUUCAGAUCCUUUCUUUGAAGUUUGUCAGGAUGAAGGGAUCAAGCGACAUUUUACUGUUCGCAAAACACCACAACAGAAUGGAGUAGCAGAACGCAUGAACCGCACAUUGGUGGAGAAAGUCCGAUGUAUGCUAUCACAUUCGGGACUAAGCAAAGUGUUCUGGGGCGAGGCAUUAAGUUAUGCUCGUCAUAUUGUUAACCGGUUACCUUCAGCAGCAUUAAAUUGAAGAACCCCCUUAGAGGUAUGGUCAGGCUCUCCUGCAAAUGAUUAUGACUCUAUGCGUAUAUUUGGUUGCUCAGCAUAUUAUCAUGUUACUGAGUCCAAGCUAGAUCCUAGAGCAAAGAAAGCUAUAUUUUUGGGCUUUAGUGGAGGAGUAAAAGGCUACAGACUCUGGUGUUCUGAAUCAAAGAAAGUGAUCUUGAGUAGAGAUGUCACUUUUGAUGAGUCUGGCAUGUUACAGCAAGAGAAAUCACAGGAGAAGGAAAAACAGUCUGGUGAUGCACAACAGGUGGAGUUGGAGACUUCAGUCAUUCCUAUAAAGACUGUUCAGACAAUCCCUACUGAAGGAGAUUCAGAUGAAAGUUCAGAUGAAGAGGAUGCAACAACUCCAGCAACCACACAACAAAAAUCCAUUGCAACGAGUAAACCGAAAAGAGUUAUCAAGAAACCUGCUCGGUAUUGUAAUAUGGUGGCUUAUGCACUUCCGGUGAUUGAUGAUGGAAUCCCCUACACCUACAAAGAAGCAGUACAGAGUGUAGAAAGUGCAAAAUGGAAAGAGGCAAUGGAUGAAGAGAUGAAAUCUCUCCACAAGAAUCAGACUUGGGAUUUGGUACAACUCUCUAAAGGAAAGAAGACAAUUGGUUGCAAGUGGGUAUAUGCCAAGAAGGAAGGUAAUCCUGGAAAAGACAACAUCCGAUUCAAAGCGAGAUUGGUAGCAAAAGGCUAUGCUCAGAAGGAGGGGAUAGAUUAUAAUGAGGUAUUCUCUCCAGUUGUUAAGCAUUCAUCAAUCCGUAUUCUGUUAGCCUUGGUUGCACAGUUUGAUUUGGAGUUAGCCCAACUUGAUGUGAAAACUGCCUUCCUACAUGGAGAUUUGGAAGAGGAAAUUUACAUGUCUCAGCCAGAUGGUUUCAAAGUCACCGGGAAAGAGAAUUGGGCUUGUAAACUGAAGAAGUCAUUGUAUGGAUUGAAACAAUCUCCUCGCCAGUGGUAUAAGCGAUUUGAUAAGUUCAUGGCAGAACAUGGAUACACACGGAGUCAGUUUGAUCACUGUGUAUAUUUUCGCAAACUUCUUGAUGGUUCUUUCAUCUAUUUGCUCUUAUAUGUGGAUGAUAUGUUGAUCGCAUCGAAGAGCAAAGUGGAGAUUGAUAGACUGAAAGCUCAACUGAGAACUGAGUUUGAAAUGAAGGACCUUGGAGAAGCUAAGAAGAUUCUUGGCAUGGAGAUUCAGAGAGACAGAAGAAAAGGCACAGUCUGUUUGACACAGACCCAAUACUUGAAGAAAAUUCUACAGAGAUUUGGGGUAGAUGGUAAGACCAAGCCUGUAAGCACACCUUUAGCUCCUCAUUUUAAGCUAAGUGCUUCAAUGUCUCCACGCACAGAGGAAGAGCGCAAACAUAUGGCUCAAAUUCUGUAUGCAAAUGCAGUUGGUGCAUUAAUGUAUGCAAUGGUUUGUACGAGACCAGAUAUUUCACAUGCUGUCAGUAUGGUGAGCAGGUAUAUGCAUGAUCCGGGAAAGGGUCACUGGCAGGCAGUUAAGUGGAUUCUACGGUACAUUCAUGGCACAACUGAUAUUGGUUUGAAGUUUGAGAGGGAUGAUAGACUCGGGCAAAAUUUAGUUGGUUAUGUGGACUCGAACUAUGCUGGUGACUUAGACAAGCGUCGUUCAACAACAGGCUAUGUGUUUACACUUGCUAAAGGGCCUGUAAGUUGGAGGUCAACGUUACAAUCAACAGUAGCUUUGUCAACAACUGAGGUAGAGUACAUGGCAGUAACGGAAGCUUUCAAGGAAGCUAUUUGGUUACAUGGGUUGAUUGAAGAUUUGGGAAUUGAUCAAGAGCACGUGGAUGUCCAUUGUGAUAGUCAAAGUGCUUUUUGUCUUGCAAAGAAUCAGGUUCAUCAUUCCCGCACCAAGCACAUCGAUGUUCGAUUUCAUUUUGUUCGAGAAAUUGUGGAUGAAGGGGAUAUUCUCCUACAGAAGAUUGGUACCGCAGAUAAUCCAGCUGACAUGCUCACAAAAUGUGUCUCAGGGAUCAAGUUCCAACAUUGUUUGGACUUGGUCAACAUCUCUCGGUGUUGAGCACCUUCAGGGUGCAGCGCCAUAUGGCGCAUCAGAGGCAGCAUUGAUUGAUCACGAGGAUUGGAUGGAAAAAUCUUGCCAAGGUGGAGAUUUGUGGAGAUUUGUCUAGAUUUUAUUGAUAAUAACAAUACCCCACCACUUUACUUAGUGGAAGCAUCAUUAGUGGUUAGUGCCACAAUUAGUGGCAUGUUUCAAGGCUCUCCUUUCUGCUCUCCUUCCUCCUAUAAAUGGAGACAAUUAGUGCAAGUGAAGUGUGUGCAAGUGUGCAGAAGGAAAUAAUGCAACUGUGAGAGUGAAAGAGUGUAGAUUUGAGAGAAACACCGAGUGUAAGAGUGAAACACUGGGUUUUGUGGGAUUGUACUGGGUUGAGUUGAGUGUUUGUAUCAUUCCUCCAAUAAUAUACAAUCUAUUGCCUUCGUGGACGUACCCGGUUUUGGGGAACCACGUAAAUCUGCUUGUUUGUGUUUUAUUUGUGUUUGCUUUCGGUCCAGUAUGCACAACAAAAAUGACAAAUCUUUCUUUUCACCAUUGGAAUUAAUGGUGAAGUUUCUAGGUCGAGGCUUCCAAGCUAUGCAGCUUUUCCACCUUCUCAUAUCUUGAUUUUGACCAGCUGUGGAGAUUCCUCUCGACGAUACGAGUUCGGAGAUAUAAAGAUAAUCGAAAUCGGAGUUGAAACGAGCCCUGUAGAGCUCGCCGAAGUUUUGUCGGAAAACUGCCGGAAAAACCAGACCGUGCCGGAAUUCUCGCCUGAGAAGACAGACACGUCAUCCGACACGCAGGCGCUGAGUCAUCAUCCACGUCAUCAACAGAGGGUCCACAUCGCCCUGUCAUCAGACACGUCAUCAGCCAUGUCAUUUGACAGUGACAGAAUAUUCUCUUGACAGAAUAAGAAUAUUCCGUUACCAGUAAGAGAAUAUUCCCGUGACAGAAUAUUCUUUAUCAGAGACAGAAUAUUCCUUCCCUGAGUCAACUCGGUCAGAUUGGUUUUUUGGCCAACUCAGUGAUUUUUUGACCCGUUUUUGGCCGAGUCAAGUUGGUUCCUAGCAUUUUCAACCAUUCCGAACGCAACCGUGGUGUCCGUUUUGUUAAACAGCAUACCGAAGUUACUGUUUUGGCACUUUUGAGCAUAAAAGUGUGUGUUUUAACAAGUUCGGGAUUUCAUUUGUAAUCCAAAGACGUCCUAAUGGCUGAUAUUCCAGAAGAAAAAUCAGCGGGGAAUGCUAGUAUACCUCCACAAUACAUCCCGGUAUCGAAUACCAAAUUUGAGGUGGAGAAGUUUGAUGGGAAAGGUAAUUUUGGCAUGUGGAAAUGUGAAGUCAUGGAUAUGCUUGUCCAAAUGAAUUUGGAUUUCACUUUAGAAGAUAAACCGGAGGAUUUGGAUGAUAAAAGCUGGGAAAGGAUAAAUCGGUUGGCUUGCAGUUCCAUCCGACUUUGUCUUGUAAAGGAUCAGAAGUACGCCUUUUCAGAACAAAACUCUGCAAAGGAAUUAUGGCAAGCACUGGAGGACAAGUUUAUGAAAAAGAGUAUAGAGAAUCGUCUCUACUUGAAGAAAAGGAUCUUCCGUUUUCAGCACAAGAAAGGUACUUCUAUGAAUGAGCAUCUGAAUGAUUUCAAUAAAAUGAUAGCUGAUUUGAAGAAUUUAGAUGUGGAAAUUGAUGAUGAAGAUAAAGCUCUACUGUUAUUAAAUUCACUGCCUGACACAUAUGAACAUCUCGUCACCACUUUACUGUAUGGUAAAGAAAAGAUUAAAUUCAUUGAUGUGUCCCAUGCUUUGGUGAAUAAUGAGUACUGAAAGAAGGACCAGAUUGUUCACAAGGAGUCAACGUCAGAAGCAUUGACAGUUAGAGGCAGAACAAACCCCAGAAGAUUUCGAGGGCGAGGGAGAUCUCGCUCAAAAUCCAGAGGAGAAUCAUCAAACAGACGAUAUCUUGCAAAAGAUGAGUGUGCCUUUUGUCACAAAAAAGGGCACUGGAAGAAAGAUUGUCCAAUCAAGGGCAACAAGGAAAAAGAUGAACCAACUGUGAACGUUGCACGAGAUGAGGAUGAACAAGACUCUGCAUUCAUGGUCUCAUCACCAGAAAACCAUUAUGGUGAAUGGGUUCUUGAUUCUGCAUGUUCCUAUCACAUGUGCCCUAACAAGCACUUAUUCUCGAGACUCGAGGAGUUCGAUGGAGGAGGUGUGUUGAUGGGUAAUGAUGAUGUGAGUGAGAUCAAAGGGAUUGGGACUAUCCAUCUGAAGAUGCAUAAUGGGGUAGUCAAGACACUAACAGAUGUACGGUAUGUACCUGACUUGAAGAAAAAUCUCUUCUCACUUGGAGUUCUAGAAUCCAGUGGUUAUAAGAUUAUCAUGCAUGGUGGAGUCCUAAAAGCAAUCCGUGGUGCAUUAGUUGUCUUAAGAGGCACGAGGAUAGGAAACUUAUAUUUCCUGGAUGGAUCUACAGUUACUGGUACAGCAGCUGUUUCCAAAAGUAUAGAAGAUGAUGAAGCAGAUAAUUCCAGACUUUGGCACAUGCGCUUAGGGCAUGCUGGUGAAAAGGCUUUGCAAGGAUUAGUCAAGCAAGGUCUAUUAAAAGGCGCCAAGACUGGGAAGCAUGGGUUCUGUGAGCAUUGUGUUCUUGGAAAACAGACAAGGGUCAAGUUUGGCACUGCAGUACACAACACAAAAGGGAUCCUAGAUUAUGUUCACACAGACGUAUGGGGACCUUCAAAGAAUGAAUCUCUUGGAGGUAAUCGUUGGUUUGUUACUUUUGUUGAUGAUUUCUCAAGACGAGUAUGGGUGUACAUGAUGAAACACAAGGAUGAGGUCCUUGAUAUCUUUCUGAAAUGGAAGAAAAUGGUGGAGACUCAAACUGGAAGGAGAGUUAAGACUCUUCGGUCAGAUAAUGGUGGUGAGUACACUUCAGAUCCUUUCUUUGAAGUUUGUCAGGAUGAAGGGAUCAAGCGACAUUUUACUGUUCGCAAAACACCACAACAGAAUGGAGUAGCAGAACGCAUGAACCGCACAUUGGUGGAGAAAGUCCGAUGUAUGCUAUCACAUUCGGGACUAAGCAAAGUGUUCUGGGGCGAGGCAUUAAGUUAUGCUCGUCAUAUUGUUAACCGGUUACCUUCAGCAGCAUUAAAUUGAAGAACCCCCUUAGAGGUAUGGUCAGGCUCUCCUGCAAAUGAUUAUGACUCUAUGCGUAUAUUUGGUUGCUCAGCAUAUUAUCAUGUUACUGAGUCCAAGCUAGAUCCUAGAGCAAAGAAAGCUAUAUUUUUGGGCUUUAGUGGAGGAGUAAAAGGCUACAGACUCUGGUGUUCUGAAUCAAAGAAAGUGAUCUUGAGUAGAGAUGUCACUUUUGAUGAGUCUGGCAUGUUACAGCCAGAGAAAUCACAGGAGAAGGAAAAACAGCAAGAGAAAUCACAGAGAAGGGAAAAACAGUCUGGUGAUGCACAACAGGUGGAGUUGGAGACUUCAGUCAUCCCUAUAAAGACUGUCAGACAAUCUCUACUGAAGGAGAUUCAGAUGAAAGUUCAGAUGAAGAGGAUGCAACAACUCCAGCAACCACACAACAAAAAUCCAUUGCAACGAGUAAACCGAAAAGAGUUAUCAAGAAACCUGCUCGGUAUUGUAAUAUGGUGGCUUAUGCACUUCCGGUGAUUGAUGAUGGAAUCCCCUACACCUACAAAGAAGCAGUACAGAGUGUAGAAAGUGCAAAAUGGAAAGAGGCAAUGGAUGAAGAGAUGAAAUCUCUCCACAAGAAUCAGACUUGGGAUUUGGUACAACUCCCUAAAGGAAAGAAGACAAUUGGUUGCAAGUGGGUAUAUGCCAAGAAGGAAGGUAAUCCUGGAAAAGACAACAUCCGAUUCAAAGCGAGAUUGGUAGCAAAAGGCUAUGCUCAGAAGGAGGGGAUAGAUUAUAAUGAGGUAUUCUCUCCAGUUGUUAAGCAUUCAUCAAUCCGUAUUCUGUUAGCCUUGGUUGCACAGUUUGAUUUGGAGUUAGCCCAACUUGAUGUGAAAACUGCCUUCCUACAUGGAGAUUUGGAAGAGGAAAUUUACAUGUCUCAGCCAGAUGGUUUCAAAGUCACUGGGAAAGAGAAUUGGGCUUGUAAACUGAAGAAGUCAUUAUACGGAUUGAAACAAUCUCCUCGCCAGUGGUAUAAGCGAUUUGAUAAGUUCAUGGCAGAACAUGGAUACACACGGAGUCAGUUUGAUCACUGUGUAUAUUUUCGCAAACUUCUUGAUGGUUCUUUCAUCUAUUUGCUCUUAUAUGUGGAUGAUAUGUUGAUCGCAUCAAAGAGCAAGGUGGAGAUUGAUAGACUGAAAGCUCAACUGAGAACUGAGUUUGAAAUGAAAGACCUUGGAGAAGCUAAGAAGAUUCUUGGCAUGGAGAUUCAGAGAGACAGAAGAAAAGGCACAGUCUGUUUGACACAGACCCAAUACUUGAAGAAAAUUCUACAGAGAUUUGGGGUAGAUGGUAAGACCAAGCCUGUAAGCACACCUUUAGCUCCUCAUUUUAAGCUAAGUGCUUCAAUGUCUCCACGCACAGAGGAAGAGCGCAAACAUAUGGCUCAAAUUCUGUAUGCAAAUGCAGUUGGUGCAUUAAUGUAUGCAAUGGUUUGUACGAGACCAGAUAUUUCACAUGCUGUCAGUAUGGUGAGCAGGUAUAUGCAUGAUCCGGGAAAGGGUCACUGGCAGGCAGUUAAGUGGAUUCUACGGUACAUUCAUGGCACAACUGAUAUUGGUUUGAAGUUUGAGAGGGAUGAUAGACUCGGGCAAAAUUUAGUUGGUUAUGUGGACUCGAACUAUGCUGGUGACUUAGACAAGCGUCGUUCAACAACAGGCUAUGUGUUUACACUUGCUAAAGGGCCUGUAAGUUGGAGGUCAACGUUACAAUCAACAGUAGCUUUGUCAACAACUGAGGUAGAGUACAUGGCAGUAACGGAAGCUUUCAAGGAAGCUAUUUGGUUACAUGGGUUGAUUGAAGAUUUGGGAAUUGAUCAAGAGCACGUGGAUGUCCAUUGUGAUAGUCAAAGUGCUUUUUGUCUUGCAAAGAAUCAGGUUCAUCAUUCCCGCACCAAGCACAUCGAUGUUCGAUUUCAUUUUGUUCGAGAAAUUGUGGAUGAAGGGGAUAUUCUGCUACAGAAGAUUGGUACCGCAGAUAAUCCAGCUGACAUGCUCACAAAAUGUGUCUCAGGGAUCAAGUUCCAACAUUGUUUGGACUUGGUCAACAUCUCUCGGUGUUGAGCACCUUCAGGGUGCAGCGCCAUAUGGCGCAUCAGAGGCAGCAUUGAUUGAUCACGAGGAUUGGAUGGAAAAAUCUUGCCAAGGUGGAGAUUUGUGGAGAUUUGUCUAGAUUUUAUUGAUAAUAACAAUACCCCACCACUUUACUUAGUGGAAGCAUCAUUAGUGGUUAGUGCCACAAUUAGUGGCAUGUUUCAAGGCUCUCCUUUCUGCUCUCCUUCCUCCUAUAAAUGGAGACAAUUAGUGCAAGUGAAGUGUGUGCAAGUGUGCAGAAGGAAAUAAUGCAACUGUGAGAGUGAAAGAGUGUAGAUUUGAGAGAAACACCGAGUGUAAGAGUGAAACACUGGGUUUUGUGGGAUUGUACUGGGUUGAGUUGAGUGUUUGUAUCAUUCCUCCAAUAAUAUACAAUCUAUUGCCUUCGUGGACGUACCCGGUUUUGGGGAACCACGUAAAUCUGCUUGUUUGUGUUUUAUUUGUGUUUGCUUUCGGUCCAGUAUGCACAACAAAAAUGACAAAUCUUUCUUUUCACCAUUGGAAUUAAUGGUGAAGUUUCUAGGUCGAGGCUUCCAAGCUAUGCAGCUUUUCCACCUUCAUCGAACACAAGUUACUAAUAUUUUCUUGCUCAAAUGAGUAUUCCACAGUAUUUGCUAUGCAUGUCUCGUGUCAUUCUUCCCUCCUGCAGAAAUUUAAUAACACAAGUUACACAACAGAUCAAAAGGAGAAAUUAUGGCGUAUCAGGUAAAUUAAACUUUAGAUUUAUAAGGAGAGUAUCAUUGAAUGUUGCUGAUGAAAUCCAUAUUUCCUUUAUGUUUCUUUUCAGGGUUAAAGAAAAUGGGAUAUAAAUCACAAAAAAAAUUGAAAGAUUAGGCUAUUUUCCAUUACGAAAACUAAAUUAAACUUUGAGUUUUGUUUAAACUUGAUGUAAAUGCCCAAUAGAAAUAAAGGGUAAACCAAAAAAUAUGAUAUAAUUUUCUAUUUUCUGUCUUUAUCUUUUUUUUUAAAUAUAUCCUGCGUAUUUAUUUCAGAUCCAAGUUUUUGUAUUCUUCACUGUCACAAUAAUAUAUAGAUGGCUAUAUAGACAUAAAAAUCAAAAGAAUAAUAUGAUUACCAGCCUCACAUAAAAAAAUAAAAUAAAAUAAAAAAUUGAAUUAUUCUUGAGGACCUUAAAGUUAAUUACCUGAUUUUUUUGUUUUCUUCAUCUUCGUCUUCUUUCACGCUCUUACAAGAGAAGUACUCAAAAGAACUAAUAGAAAAAGAAGUGUUCGUAUGAAGAAGCACGAGGUACCCUGGGGCUCUAUUUAUGAACGUGGUGGGAUUGAACAAAUUAUGGUCAUACAUCUACAUCGGUAAUAAUUUUCUUUUUGUCUUUGUUUUUUGAUAUUUUAUGUAACUAUCUUGAGACAGAAAGACAAAGAAAGCUGGAAUAGAGAUGACAACUCCUCUUUGUUUUUUUUUUUUUGUCUGGUUUUAAUUAUAAAAGCAAAGAUUCACUCCAAAAUCUAGAGACAAACUUAUUUUUAUAUAUGUUUUGGACAACAGCCAAACAAUCUUAAGAGUAACUUUAAAAAAUUAUUUACCAUAUUAAUGGUAUAGAGUUUUAUAAGAGGUGAAUUACGGAGGUAAUUAAGUAAUUCACAUUUUCUCCUUAAACCCUAAUCCCAAUAUUAAUAUUAUUGUCAAUCUUAAGAGUGAUUGUUUAUAAGUUAUGCUAAACAAAUUCUUAAUUAGAGAUUUUAUAUGGUUUGUAUCAUCUGAUUUCGACAAGAGAUUGCCAUCCCCCCCUCAAUCAUUUUUCUCACCCACACACAUGAUUAAUGGCAAGCUUCAAUCUCUUUACCAAUAGGACCACUCCACUCUUUGCACAUUGAGGUACGUAAUGAUAAUUUCAUACACAGAGGUAACUGCAACUUCAUACACCAAUAUACUUGCAACAACAAUACUUUUCAUGUGACAAAGAAUCAUCUCAACCCAAUAGUUUAAACUGUUAGGUGAGGUUUCAAGAUAUGAUUUAUAUUAUUCUCUAACACACUCCCUCAACUGAAAACUCUUUGACUUGAAACUUACACAAGCCCACAUUACCUUAUACUUAAUUUUUAUCAAAUAAAUGUGAGAUGGUGAGAUUCGAACUCGUGACCGCUUGGUCAUCAAGGCUCUGAUACCAUGACAAAAAACUAUUUCAACCCAAUAGUUUAAACUGUUAGGUGAGGUUCCAAGAUAUGAUUUAUAUUAUUUUCUAACAUCAUGCAUCACAAGGUAAGUUAACGUGAUUUAUAUCUAUAAAUAUCUUCAUCACCAUGAAAGAGAUUUUGGCUAAUUCGAGUCAUUCUAGGCCAUAAAAAGUUGAAGUCACACAAGCUCAUUCAAGAACUUCAUACAAGUUCAUAGAUAGAAUAGAAACACGCUAUCUCUCUUAUAUUUUCCAAAACACAAUCAUAGAGAGCCAAUAUUGUGUGAAGUUUUCAUUACUUCAUCAAAUAGCCUUAUCUUCUUGUUCUAGAAAUGCAGGUUUCUCGCCCUCCCUCGUUCUAAAAUCAUUCCCCUCCUGUACAAGAACAUAUGUUUCCAGUAGGUAAAUUUUAUGUACUUAGUGUUACUAGUACAAAUUAAGCUCUGGUAUGGUGAGAGUGAACUUAAUUUAUGUCGAGAUUGCAUAAAACUUUCAUCAAUCCUCAAGGAUUUUUUUUUUAAUAAUAAUCAAGUGUAUUAAUAAAAAAAAUUAUUUUAAUUAGCUUGUAAUGUUAUAGUAAUGAAAAAACAUAUUAUUUUGUUUUUUCCGGAAAGAUGCUAUCAGCUUUAGCAUCUCCAGAUGCCAUGCAUGGACUUGUCAAAUUCACUGUCCCUGUAGAUGCUGUGCAUUCACAUGGUACGUACGUAUUGCAUAUAUUCCAUGCCACCCCAACCUUGAUGUUAAGGAAUUAUAUUCCUUUUAUUUGGAUUCAAAUUUUAUAAUUAAUAAUUAGAAGAUUUUUUAAAUAUAUCAAUUCAAUAUAAAAAUUGGGAUUUCAAGAUUUUUCGACGAAAAUAUUCAAUAUCAAUCCACAUCACAAUCAACGCUGUUCAACAUAAAAAGAUACCAUCGACAUCGUUGACAAGUAUUGUUCACAGGGUGACACCAAUGAUAAUUACAAACGUUAAGGACACAAGCUAGCUGUAGGGGGCCGCAGCCCCCUGGCAAUAUAUAUAUAUUCAUACGUCAACCUCGAUAUUAAUAGUUAGGUGAGAGGAAGUAUGGAAAAGAAUCUCAAUUCAAAUUAUUUGAACAAAAAAAAUUAUAUAUUUUUAUUGUUGUUCUUGUUUUUACUUAAAGCAAUUAAUAGCAUUUUUUUUUAACACCAUUAUAAUUUUUUUAAGCUAUUUCUUUCGCAUUGAGAAAGAUAAGCUUGUUGAAAAAUAUAAAUUAAUUGAUUAAAUUUUAAGUUUGAUUUUUAUAAAUUACCAGUUUAAAUUUCAUAAACUUUAGAGUUAUUAAAAACUUAUAUGAUUGUUAAUUUCAGAAUCAGUAGAAUUAAUAAAGGUGCACUCAAGCUAGUCGGUUACUCACAUCAAUAAUAAUAAUAAUAAUAAUAAUAAUAAUAAAAAAUAGAACAUAUGCUCUCAUAGAGCAUCUACGUACAUCCAUGCGUUUUAUUUUUAAAAUUCAAAUACUGCAUUCAGUACUAUACUGUAACAGCUAUAUAUUUUAAUGAUUAUGACUAUAUUUUUUUCCUUAAAAAAAACAAUUAAAUUCUUAUUUUCACUCAUCAUUUCUCUCACUUUCUUCAUCCCAACUACAAUUUGUUUAUCUUUUGUUAUUUUUCACUCCGUCGUCUGUAUGUAUGGCUUUUAACAGUUCCUUGCUUAAAAUGCUUCUUCACAAUGAUGACGUCACCAACUCUAAUAAUGAUGAUGUCGAAUUAUUUGUUGCGGUGGUAAUUGAAAACAAAAAACAAAAAAGAGGAAGAUCAAGUUAGUAAAGGACGAUCAUCACAUCGAUGUGGUCCUUCUAUUCCAUGUGAAAAUCUGCAGCAGAAGGUUACGAUCAAGACUUUAUUCAAAGAAAAGAUGCUGUGGAUUUAUCAGAUUAUCGCCCUAAUAUAGCGGGGAGAUGAGGCAUUUUGAACUCGAAAGUGCCCCGAUAUACCCAUCUUCUUGCAUUCCAUUCUAGGAAGGCAAUAAGAGUAAAGCAGCAGCUAGCAGCAAACAACAAUCCUUUUCAGAUUUUGAAUGCAUUCAAAUCAUUUUGUUGAUUGAAAUAAAUCCCUUAACAAAGAUCAUUUAAAAUCAUAUGUUGAAACCUUUGAAACCCGAGCCUAUUUGGAGGGUUGAUUUCAUCUUCAACCUAAUAAUAUAAGCUAUUAGGUGAGAUUUCAAGAUAUAAUUUAUAUAAUUUUUUAAUAUAUCCGCUCAUGUAAAAGUUUUUUGAGAUUUAAAUUUAAAUAGGCUGAUAUUACGUUGUACUUAAUUUUUAUCAAAUAAAAUAUGAUAGUGAGAUUCGAACUCGUUACCGCUUGGUCAAUAAGACUCUGAAACCAUAUUAAAAAACCAUUUUAACUUAAAAGUUUAAAUCAUCAGGUAAAGUCUUCAUAUAUGAUUAAUAUAAUUAUCUAAUAACUAGUAUAGAUAUGGUUGAAUAUCGGCAAUAUUUUGGUGGCAGUAACCAAAGCAAAAUCUUUGACUGAGAGGAUUUUGGAUGUGUAUUAGAGGUUCUUGCAAAAUAUGGUAGUCUUUAGAGUAGGUGUGGUCAGAUUUUGGAAUUGGAUAACCGCAGGUGUGCUGCUGUCUCCCUGAAGACGUCUGCUACUGGAGCUUUUAUUUUCAUACUUGUUCAGGUCUGUUGUUAAGGACUUUUGGGAUGAAAUUUGUUUUCGAUUUUGGAAUAUAUGUGAGGAAACCUCGGGAAUAUUUUCAGAAUUCUCGGAGAUGGAGAAGGUCGUGGUUCAUGGGAGUGAGGAGCUAUUGCACAGCUGUUGUGCUGAAGAAGUUUACUGCAACACAACAGCUACUGUCUUCAGGUCCGUUCAAGGCUCAUAUGUAUGAAAUUUCUCGGAGGUCAUCUCAAGUAUGUCAGGAAGCUUAGGUAAAAAUUUCAGAAUUUCCGAAGCUGAGAAAGGCCGUGUCUCGUUUUCUUUUCUCCCUCCAUGCUUGCUUUUCUAUCCUUUAUCUUUUUUUUUUCUUUUUCUUUCCUCGCAGUGAUUCCCUUUCUAAUCAAAAUUAUCUCAUGCAAAUUUUUGGGAUAGCUUAACUGGUCAGGUUUUAAAUUUGUUUCUUAACAGUCAUGAGUUCGAGUCCUCUCAGGGUCACUGGCGACUUACAUGGUCGUUAACUUUAGGGCCUGCGGGAUUAGUCACAGUGCACGCAAACUGAUACAAAUAUCAACAUUAAUAAAAAAUAAAAUCAUCUCAUGCAUAGGGACGGAGCUGAUAGUAUUUUAUAGGAGAGGUUAAAAUUAAUAUAACAAAAUAUAUUAUUAAAAAACUUAUUUAUUUAAAAUAAAAAUAUUAUACUAUUCCAUAUUUAAAUACUAAAUAAAAUAAAAAUUUAAAAUAUUUUCAAGGCCGACCCUUGCUUGCCUUCCCCUGAUUCCGCCACUGCUCAUGCACCCUCGUAGUUGAUGAACCUGCCCCUCAACCUGCCUACCUUUGUUUUUUACUUCCUUUACUUUCUUCAAGGCCCCCAACCACUAUUUAUUUGUCCAUUUGUUUCUUCUUCCUUUCUUUUUUUUUUUUUUUUUACUCUGAAAAAUGCGUUCCUCCUUUAUUUUUCACUCAACCCGUUUUCUUCUGCGUGCUCACGGCUUUUUUGUUCUGUCCCUCAUUCAUUGCUUUGUUCCCUUUUUCUUUUUUUUUUCCCGCUUUCACAAAGAUCCACCAGCUAUAUAGUGAGUCCAAGUUGCUGAUGCUGAGUGAUGUAUUAAUGAAUUGUUUUUUGUUUCUUUAUUACUUUAAUUUACUUCAAAAAAUUACACGAGAAGCAACCCAGAUGGGAAGCAACCCCCAGAAUUACAUGAGAAGCAGCCCAGAUGGGAAGCAACCCCCAGAAACCCACCUUAAGAAUUAAAAAUAAAUCAAACUUCAAGCAAAAUCCACUUCACAAACUGAAUUUUAUGCAGGCCAGUUGCUUAAAUCAACUCUUCUUCUCAAGAAUCAUUCGAUUCCAUGAAAAUGCAACAGCUAAAACCUCUAAAAUCAAAGAAACCCAGAUGCCAAAUGUUGCCAAUUGAGGAGCGCAUAGUCGUUAUAUGAGAAGCAACAAUGCUCUUGUUUUCUCUUACUAGUUAUUAUAGCUAAGAACUUGGUUUGGCUAGUAUGAACAUGGAUGCGAUUACUAUAUCUAUUACUAUGCCAAUAAAAAAUAUAUCUCUUCAAUUAAAAUUCUUUUUAUUCAUUUAUUUCUUUUUUGUUUUACCAAAAACAUAUUUUUUCAUCAUAAACAUUAUUUUGUAGAAUAAAAACUUAUCAUGUUCUGAAAACAACUUCAAAUCAAAAAACUAGAAAAAAAUUUGUUAAAAAAUUAACUUGAGAUUCUACGGUGUUGAGUUAACAACUCUUAUCAUCGUUUUAUUUUAUUAUAUGUAAGUAUCGACUUUUCGAUUCAUAAUUAUAUUUUUUCUCAAUGUCAAAAAACAUAUUAACAAUACCCACAUAUUUAUCCUUUUACAUUAGAAAAAAAACUAUCCGACUCAUUGCGAAGCGAGUCGAAUAGACAUGUGAAUAUUAUUAUUUUUUUGCAUUUAUAUGAUUCUUGAUCUAUUUAAUUGAAUACAUGCAUAAGCUUUUUUAUUUACAAUUAAAAAAAUUUUGGUCAAAAUAUGCUUUAGAAAAGCAUGUAUAUAUAUUAAUUUUUUUGCAGGAAAAAAAUUCAACCUGUGACAGGUUAAAUAACUAUAAUUUUAUUUGAAAACUAUGACGUUAAAAUGGAGGUAUUGGAUAAUUUGAAUUGGGCAUGCUAGUAGUUUUGUGAAAUUAAAUUGUUGAAAUUCCGAUUUUUCAUGAAAAUUGACAUGCAUGUAUUCCCAAUACCAAUAACAAACACUUCAAAGUUACAAACAUAAUACCAUUGCUUUAUAUUUGUUUUGAUUAUACAUGACUACGUACUUAACAAUUCUUCAACUUUAUAUCUAUCUUAUUGUAAAACUGAACAAAUUUUAAUUAAUAUCUGCAUAGUUUACAAAACAAAACUUAAUAACAUACAAAUCGAGAUGUCAUAUUUAUGUUAGAUGACAUCUUAGAUACUUGCGUUCUUCUCUUGAAGUUUCUAGGUUGUUCUCCUCUUAAAAUUUUAAGAUAGAGACUUCUGAACUAUCUGGUUUUUGGAUCUUUGUUGAACACAAGUUUGAAGUAUUUUCUUGCUCAAAUGAGUAUUUCAUAGUCUUCCACAAUAUUUGCCAUGCAUGUCUCUUGCCAUGUCUUCCCUGCAAAACCUUAAUAACAUACAUAUCAAAAAGAGAAAUUCAGUCGUAUCAGGUAAGAGAGUAUCAUUGUGCAUGUGUUGCUAAUGAAAGCCAUAUAUAUAUAUAUAUAUAUAUAUAUAUAUAUAUAUAUAUAUAUAUAUAUAUAUAUAUAUAUAUGGGUGAGAUUCUUCUGAAGUUUCUUUUCUGGGUCAAAGAAUAUGGCAUCUAAAUUGUGAAAAAUUGAAAAUUUAAGCUGUUAAAAGGAAGGAGAAAUGUAGUAAAGAUAUCAUUAUGCUUGCUUUUACUAUAUAUAAUCGUAUGAGAUAUUAUCAGAUUUUCUUAAAAUCUGGGCCAAAAAUAAGGAUUUUCUCAAACUCUUCGUGCAAUCUAAUUUAAAACAUCAAAUAAUAAUAAUAAUAUAUAGUAGUACGUAGUAGUAGUUGUUCUUGAGGAACUUAAAGUUACCUGAUUUUUUUUCUUUUCUUCAUCUUCUUCUACUCUCACACUUUUGGAAGAGAAGUGUUCAAAAGAACUCAGAGGAGAUAGGAUUGUUGAUAUGAUGAAGCAUGAGGUGCCUUGGUCCUCUAUUUAUGAACGCGGCGGUGGGAUAGAACAAAUUAUUGUCCUACAAUAUUUAACUUCGGUAUAUAUUUUUCCCUUUUCUUUUGUUUUUCGAUAUAUAUAUAUAUUAUUCAUUACUCAUCGAAUAAUAUAGUUAUUUAAAAAUACAAAAAAAAAUUUAUUGAAAAUAACAUUUUUAGAGCUUUAAAAUUCAAAUAAAUUAUAAAUAUCUCAGGAUCGAGUGCUUUAUAUAACUUUUUUAUGUUAUUUAGAAUUUCAUGAGGUGUACACAUUUGAAAAAAAUAAAAAAAAAUGAGAUUAACCUAUAUUUGAAGAUUCAUUCUAAAAAUAAUCUCUAAGAAUUUUAUCAACAUUAAUUUUUUUAAUUGGCGAUAGGGUUAAAUUUAUUUACUAUUAUUGUUAAUAUAUGUAUUAUAAUUUUAGCAACUCAGUAUUGUACUGAAAAUAAAAUAGUUUAUUAAAUAUUUUUUUUAAAUAUGCUUUAAUAUAUAUGGUUAUGUGUGUGUAUCAUAGCACACACCCAUGUGUAUUUUCUAAUUAAAAGAAAGACAUACGAAUUUCUCAGUUUUAAAAAUGCAACCAUUCUUAAUUAAAUUAAAUUUAUUAUAAUCUAAUCGACUUGAAAAAUCUGAUAUAAUUUGAAUUACAGUAAAAAACACAAUGUAAUUUUUUUAAAAAAUCAAAAUAAUUUAUUUUAAAUUUAAAACAAGGACAAAUUGAGUAUUUUUUGGUACUAGAAAUGCAGGUUUUUCUGGCCCUCCUCGCUCAAAAAUUGUUUUCUCCUGUACAAGAACAUAUUUUUUCAGCUGGACCUGUAUUAUUUUUUUACUCUUGUUGAUAUUUAAAGGACGUCGUAUGACUCGUACAAGGCUCUGGUGUGGUGAGAGAGUGACCUUACCUUAAUGCUAUAUGUCUAGAUACCAUAAAAUUGGCGGAGCCUCACGUGACUGUAGGGUAUACUAUUUAGGUUGUCAGUACUAUGUACAAUGUUUCAGAGAAAUUUGUUUUGUAUAAAAAAAUAUAACAAAAAAAUAAAUACUUUUUAAAAAAUAAAAAAAUUUAAUAUUCAAACAAUUAAAUUUAAUAAACUUAGUUAAUUUAAUAAUAUCAUUGAAAAAUAAUAAUAUCGACAAUAAAUAAAAUAAAAAAAACAACAAUUCAAUUUAAAAAAUAAAUAUUUAUUAUUAUUAAAUCAAAAAACAAUAACAAAAUUUAAAUUUUAGACAGCCUUGCCUGAAUGAUCUUUUAUUUUCGUUUUUCAUUUUAUAAAGGAAUGUAUGGCAUGCUAUCUUUCCUUAAAAUAAACAAUCAUGUGAGGGAUGAAAUGUUGGUUUAAACCGCAACCUUAUCAUGUCUCGUCGUGAAUUAAUUAAAUAAAAUAAUGUUUUAUAUUUUUAUAGCUGUUUAUUUUUUAAAAUAUAUUUUAUUUAAAAAUAUAUUAAAAUAAUUAAUUAUUUUUUAAAAAAAAUUUAUUUUUGAUACCAAAUAAUUCAAAAACAUUAAAAAAUAUAUAUAUGUUAUUUUUUAUUUAUUUUUCCAGCUGGACCUGUACUAAUUUUUUACUUAUUGAUAUUUAGAGGAGGUAACUUUAAUGGACGUUGUAUGACUCACUCGUACAAGGCUCUGGUGUGGUGAGAGAGUGACCUUAAUGCUACAUGUCUAGAUUCCAUGAAAUUGGCAUGUAGCCUCACGUGACUGCAGGGUAUAAUAGUUAGGUUGUCCGCACUAUGUUUCAAACAAAUUUGUUUUGUAUAAAAAAUAUUUUUUUAAAAAUAAAAAAAUUUAAUAUUCAAAUAAUUAAAUUUAAUAAACUUAGUUAAUUUAAUAAUAUCAUUAGAAAAUAAUGAUAUCGACAAUAAAUAAAAUAAAAAAAAAUUCAAUACAAAAAAUAAAUAUUUGUUAAUAUUAAAUCAAAAAAUAAUAAUAAAUUUUAAAUUUGAGGUUACUGCUAAUCUUUUAUUUUUAUUUUUUCAUUUUAUAAAGGAAUCGAUGGAAUUCUUUUUUUUCUUAAAAUAAAAAAUUAUGUGAUUGAUGAAAUAUUGGUUAAAAUCACAUCCUUGAUCAUGUCUCGUCAUGCAAUAACCAAGUAAGGUAGUGUUUGAUAUUUUUGUAUUAGUUAUUUUUUAAAAUAUUUUUUAUUUAAAAAUAUACUAAAAUAAUUUUUUAUUUAUUUUUUAAAAUUUAUUUUUGACAUCAAAAUAAUCCAAAAACAUCAAAAAAAUAUUAAUUUAAAACAAAAAAAUUCAAUUUAAAAAAAAAUAGCAUGGCCACGUAAAUAAACCGGGUCUAAGUCAUUGAACAAUUAUGACAACAAACAAUGAAAAUAAUAUCUAUUAGUCGAGGUGCGCGCAAGCUGGCCCGGACACCCACAUUAAACUUAAAAAUAUAUAUAUAUAUAUAUAUAUACUGAUAAUUUAUGGAAAAAGAUAUCAUAUUCUUUUUUCCCUUGAGAGAAAGAAAGUUGCUAUCAUUUUUAGCAUAUCUAAAUGCCAUUGACUUCUCAAGUUCACUAUGGUUGUGCUGUGAUAUUUACUUGGUAGUGCGUCUGCCACAUCUUGAAAUUGUACCAUCAAUUUUGUUUCAUUUAAAAUCAAUACAUCAAAAUAAUUUAAAAAUAUUUUUAAAAAAUUAAUUUAAAAUAAUUUUUUUAAAAAAAAACUCUAAUUAAAACACAAAGCCAAAUACUCUAUUAAAAAACAAUCUCUAUCAUAGUUACAAUAUGUUAUUGGUAGAAAUGCUUUGGAUUAGAAAUAUAAUAUAAACCCUUAUUGCCAUGUUUAUUGUGAAAAAAAAAGUAAGGAUAUAUUAUUUCAAAAAUCAUGAGCACAUUGCUAAUGUCCAGAAGCGAGUUAGGUAAGCAAAUAUCAUAAAUGGAACGGAGGUCUAUGAUCAUUCUACACCACGAAACUAAUCAGUUUGGUUGCAUGGUUGACAUUUGUUUUUGUAAGUCACUCUUCUCCAAUGCAAUUAAAAAUUCAUUUGUUUUUCAAAAAUAUUUUAAAAAGAAAUUGAAAUUUUUAUUUUUUGUCUUUACUACAAAUUAAUUUUUUUGGUGUUUUCAAAUUAUUUUGAUGUGGUAAUAUUAAAAUAAAUUUUAAAUAAUAAUAAUAAAAUAUUAUUUCAGCGCAUUUCCUAUCAAAAAUCAAUUUGAAAAACAACUAUCACCAUAAUACCAAACGAGUUGUAACAGUUCAUGUGGUUCACCGGUUCCAUUGACUAGACCUUUAAAGCACAAUUUCAAGACUCGACUUCCUCGGUGGGUGAAUUUUUUCAACUCAGACCAGUCUCUAGUUGACUCAGUUAAAAAAAAGUUGUUUUUUUAUAUAUAAAACGAUAAUAUUUAAUGUAUCUAGGUAAUCGAGAAAUGGGGGAGACAAAGAUUUCUUGUCUUUUUAUCAAUGUAAAGAGAGAAUGAGAAUCGCCACCUAGUAUUUUGGUCACUAGAAACCCCAACUAGUCUCAGAGAUCGGACACAAAGACUGGUUGCAUAAAGGAAAUGUAUUAGCACCCCAAAUACGCCCUACCUAAGGUAAGCUGCAAUAUUGUUUAAUUGUUUGAUAUAUGCUAAGGUAUUGUCAUGUUUUUAAAUUGUUGGUAUAUCUAAGGUUUAAGAAAAGUCCUCCUCAGCAAGGAGAUCUUUAUCUUAUCAGGUAAAAACCUAAUCGUUCUAAUGUAAAAAAAAAAAGAAUUUAAUAUCAAGAAUAUGUCUUGCGUAUAAGUUUGUAACCCUAGAUACUAAAAGAGAACAAAAUAAAUUUUUUGGUAUUUGAAAUAUUGGCUUAGUUCUCAAAACUUUAAUAAACUGGUUAUUAAAGCCAAAAUGCAUGUUGAUACAUAUUUUUGAAUUUUUUUGUUAUAUAAAAAUACGACAUGAUUUUUCUUUUAUCUUUGAAAGACUUGGUCGUAUGCAAGAAAACAAGACAUUUUUUUUUAUAUAAUUUUUUGCAAUAUUUCGGAGAAAACCGGGUAUUUUAAUACCGGAUUUGUAUAUUUAUAUUAUAAAAAUACAAACCAAUAUUAAUCAAAAUUGAUAAAAAAAAAAAUACUCGGGAAAAUCAUAAUUUUUUUAAAGGUUUUUUAGAAAAUUUUUAGAAUUUUUGUUUUGUUUUUGUUCUGGUUUAAUAUAUAUAUAUAUAUAUAUAUAUAUUAUACUAUAAUAAUAUAUAUUGGGAUGGGCUGCCCAAAUAUAUGGGCUGAGCCCAUCCUUUCUGAGCUGAAAUCGUUUGAGAAGCAAUUAUGUCGAGGUGGGCCCAAAAGAGUGUUGGGCCGGUAUCGACCCAAAUGUAUUUUUCUUUUCUUUUAGGACUGGGCUGGACCCAGCCCCGCCAUUUCGGUCUGGGCCAGAACUGGUGCGGCCCAAUGAAUAGUGGAGAGUGAAUUAAUUCACUCUUCACUGUUCACGUAGAACAGUUGAGCGGCUGAAGGAGAAGAAGGAGGAGAGGGGCUAACCUAACGGUGAGGUGUUGUCGUUCACGGUGGUGGUGUUGUGGCGGCAGGCAGUGGUUCGUAAUGAUCUUCCUCUUCUCUCUUCUGUUUUUUUAUAUUUCUCCUUCUUUUUGUCUUUGUUCUCCUCCUUCUCUGUUUCUCUCCCUUUUUUUUUCUUUGGUUAUUCGUCUGUUCUUCUUUCACUCUCCUCUUUGUCUUUGUUUCUCUCUGUUUUUCUUUCGCUUCUUUUCUGACUUCUUGAAUCUAAAAAACACAUUUAUUUACCUGAAAAUACCUUAAAACACAUCAUAAACCUUGUUAAACCUCAUAUCUAACCCAAAAGCAAUCUCUAAUUAAUCAAAAUUAUCCAAAUUUGAUAAACAAUCUCAAGCCUCAAUCUACUAUUUUAACAAGAUGAAAUGAUAAGAAAAACCUAAAUGGAAUUCCUCUCAUCAAAUAUAAUUCAUUAAAGCCUCGUUUGUUUGACGGAAAAUGGUUUCUUGGAAACCAUUUUCCAAACUUUUAUGUGUUUGUUUAUUAUUAGAAAAGUUGGUCAACGGAAAACAUUUUCCAGUUAAAGGAAAAUUUGGCUUGGUUUCCAGGAAAAUGUUUUCCUUUUAUUUUGGACGGAAAACACUUUCCGGAAGUUGUGAAAAAUUUAGAAAUGUCAUAUUAUUUGCUGAUUAUAUCAAAUUUGGUCCUCAAAUUUUUGAUUGCUAUACAUAUUUUGUUUUGAAUAUUCUUUUUUCAAUUUCAUCCCUUAGAAUUUGAAUUUUAUAUUAACUUUGGUCCUUAUUUUUAUAAUUUUUAUUUGCUUUUCCCUUAUCGCUUUCUAAUUGAAAUUUUUUAUCUAUUAAAUUUGGUUCUUAUUCUUUUUAUUGUUACUUAUUUUAUUUGAAAUAAUUUAUGAAAUGGUAAUUAUUGUUAUUUUAAUUUUUUUUAUUUGUUAGAUUUGAUCUCUAUUAUUUUGAUAAUUAUUUAUUUUAUUUGAGAUAAUUUAUGAAAUUAUAUUUUUUUUCAAUUUCAUUCUCAUUCAAUUUUUUAAUUUGUGAGAUUUGUUCCUUAUUAUUUUAAUAAACUUGAAAAAAAUAAAACAUUAAUAAGUUAUUUUCCAGCUCAUUUUCUAUGAUAUAACCAAAUACUGGAAAAUAUUUUCCAACUUAUUUUUCAUUCCACUACCAAACAUUGAAAAAUAAUUCACUUAAAAAAAAAACUAUUUUCCAGUAAACAAUAGAGCCUAAUAUCAAGAUUAUUUUUUUGUUAAGAUAUGGCAACCGACGACUCUCUAUCACCUCCCUCAUUUUCUUAUUGUCUAUGUAGGUAGAGGAACAUUGCGUGGAGGUAGAAUAAAACCUUAUGCAAAUUAGUCUCUUUUAAUUGUUGUUUAAUUUCUUUUAGCCUCUAAAAGUUUUUUGGCUUGCAAUUUCAUGGAUUAUUCCAGUGAUCAUUUGCAUAACGAUUCCUCCACAUUCAAAUUCUCCAAUGCUCAUGUUUCUAUAAUAUACAAUCCUUUCUUCCUCGUCAACUUCUCUAGAAUGGCCGAUUCCAUAUUUGUUUCUAAAAAGAACUGCAACCAUAGCUCAUGCACCCAUUUCUUCAUAUUACCAAACCAACUCUCCUGAAUUGGGCCUAUAAAUUAUUUAGAUAGACUUAGCUUUUGGGCCUUGUACUUUGCACGCCCUUCUAAUCAUCUUUUCAUGCUUAAGUUAUCCUAUGGAAGAAGCAAUCCGGCGGGUCGAUUCGGGAUUCAGCUGACUCCAGGAUUAAACCGGGCCGGAUUAAAAAAAAAAUAGAGAAAAAAAAACCCAAUGUAACCCGGCGACCCAAUUGACCUGACAAAACCUGGUCAAGACCCGGUUGCAACCCGUUGAUUUUUGUUUUUUUUUUGUUUUUUUUACUAAAACAACAUCGUUUUGAAGGAUGCAUAUCGUUGCCCACAAAGAAGAAAGCAUGAAUACGAUGGGAAAAUUAAAAAAAGAAGUGUAUUUUGUUACAGUUUUAUACACGUAGUUUCCUUUUGUGGGAUUUGUCGUGGUAUUGACAUGAGAUUUCGGUGGAAUCCACUUCGGAGAUUGGUAUGGAAGCUUAUUUUCAUCCUCAUCCGAGGCAACUUCUUCAUGCACUUCAGUGUGCUGUCUGAUGUGUUGUUUUCAUCUGCAAGUAAAUAUUUAAUAUUUCUGUACGAGUCCAAGUCAUGGUGCUUCGGUGAUGGAAUGCUCACCCGUUCCCUCUCAGCCUUGUUGUCGACCAAAUAUGAAACCAUCUCGCUAUUAUGAGAGAGUGAAUCCAAAAAUUGUUUUCUCUCAUUCCAGGUAUAUCAUGGCAACAUCCGGAUAUUACGACGAUAUUAUAAAAUUAUGUUCAAUGAAAAAAAAAUCUGGCAUUUUAUUUUUUGAGAAAAAAUAUCUAGUUUAAAGGAUCGUUAUCUAAUGUUAUGGUUAUUAGAAACCCUAACUGGUCAACAGAGAUUAUAUGAUAUGGGACUAGUUACGUAAAAAAAAAGAUAUUAUCACCGUUUAAACGUCCUACCUGAGACAAACUGCAUUGUUAAUUUUGUCUAAAAUUGCUAAGAAUUUGUUCUCCUCUUUUUUUUCUUUUUCUUUUAUAAUGUUCCUGACUCUAACGUCAAUAAAUGUUUACUUAUAAGUAUUUCUGACUCUGGUGUUGGUAAAUAUUACACAAACUCAGAAAGUGCAAUAUUCCUGACUUUGGCUCAAGUGAAUAAGUUCGUAAAAUUUUGAAUUUUUAAAGAAGAAAAAAAAUAUUCUAUGCCCUUUUUACCCUUUUUUUUAUUUGCUCUUUUUAAACAAGAAUAAAAAAAUGCAUUGCACAACAAAUUUGUGUUUAACAGUAAAGGUCCAUAAAUUAAGCACGGAGCAGAAAAAAAACAAAACUCAAACAGAAAAAAGAAAAAAACAAAGUGCGAGGGGCUCACAAAUAAAUCAACAAAAGAUAUCCAAAUUUUUCUGGAAUUUUCUGAUAUCGAAAAAGGGCUCGUUUGGGCAGAUAUCAAAACAAAACAUGGAUAAAAAUACAUGGCAAAAGCAUGAAGGUGUGUUUUGCCGAACACACUCUUAGCAAACAACAAUUUGGGUUGGUUGGGCCUGAGACCCAGACCCAACCCACUCUUCUUCUUCUUAUUUUUUUAUUGGGCUAGAUCUAGCCCAUCUAUAUGGAUUGGGGCGGCAUGUUUUCAAUUUGAUCUUUGAAGUUUUUGACAUUUUUAAACAAACCCCUAGGCAAAAUUGUAAUUAGACCUCUGCAUUUCGGUGUCUUUUACAAAACAAUCAUUGGCUUCUAAUUUAAUCAAUUUAGUCCUUAAUUGACUUUUCAACUUUUUAAUUCUUUCCAAAUUACCCUUGGAAAAAUAAAUUAAACUUCCUAUAAUACCCUUAUCUUUUCACUUUGGUCCUUAGACUUUAAUUUCUUACAAUUGUGACCCUAAUUAGCCCUGAAUUUUAAUAUUACUUCAAUUAAGCCCCUGAUUUUCUUAAUUAAACUAAUUCUAAGUUUAAUUGAGUCUCCAAACUUAUCAAUUCUUCAAUUAAACUCCCGAUAUCAUUAUUUAAACCAAUUUAAAGUUUAAUAAAGUUCCCAGACUUGUCAAUUUUUUCAAUUCCUACCAAAAUUAACUUCCAAAGUUAUAAUUCCACCCUGAACAACCCUCAAAAACUUCUCAUUUGUGUUGUGCUCAGCCAAAUCUCUUUUUGUCUUAAUUCAUUCCACUCAUCAUUUCAUUUUCUUUAUCUUUUUAUUUAUAUAAAAAUCAAAAUCAAAAAUCAAAAAUCAAAAUCAAAAUCAAAAAUUGAAUUAUCACAUUAUCGUUAGGAUUCGGACUUGAAUUAAAUGGUGUCCUAUCAAAUACAGGUUUUGUUUUGCUCUCUUCUAACACCUUGAGAUGCACUCUUCCAUUUUAUUUCAUGUUUUCACCUACCGAUUCAGGAUUGAUAUUGACAAUGUUAUGGAUUUUGUCAAUUACCAACCUAUCUUUUGAUUGCAUACUCUCCUUUGAAGCUUCAUAUAUCCUUCGAAGUUCAGGUGUCAAAGACCCAUCAGAAUCAUACACAAUCCCUUAUCCAUGACUAGAAUCACCAUGACCAUAUUGUUCAUUGUCCUGAGAUUCAUAUCUUGAGAGUUCAACAGCAGCUCUUGCAGCAUGUGCUGCGUAAGCUGCUGAUUCAAAAGCAUCUAGAGCUGCAGAAGCUACAUCUUUGUAUUUCCUUCCUUUCAAUGAUCCGGACAGCUCCUCCUCCGGCAAAACGUGGGUUCUGGCUUGGUACUCGGUAGCAUCUAACUUGACUGAUUUAUAUUCAUGCUGCUGCUGCUUUGGCUGGUCGACAUCCAGAUUUUCCUGAAACCACCAACGACUGUUAAACCUCAAUAUUCCAUAGGAAAUUGUACUCAUUUCGUAAUGUAGAAGACUCGUACUUGUGCAACCACAGGAGCAUCUUCCUCCAAAUGCAGGAUGAUACCAUUCUCAGUUGCAAUGUCCUUUAGCAGUUUCUUUCUGCUUUCCAAGCUUGGUUGUCUUGCAGAAAGAUUUUGUAUAAUCUAAAACAACAAAAGAAAAACACAAUUAAAUAAGAUGUGAGAAGAAAAUCUGGUACAAUUUAAUCUACAAAUAUUCAGCUAUUUACAUUAGGAUGCACUCCGCAGUUUCUGCGCAACUCGACAGCACGAGCAGCGAAUUCGUUUCCAAAUCUCGUUGUGAAAACUCCACGAAUCUCUUGCAACUCUGGAAACUCACCACAUCUGGAAGAUGCAAAGAUCAAGCUCGAUAUUGCCUCCUUGAACUCAGGACACUCUCUAUGUAAACAACGGUAAUCCAUAUAAAUUAAUAAUAUUCAAUCUCAGAACAAAGGAAACAAAGUUUUCAAACCCUGUAUCACCACCACAGAAAAUGAACAUGAUUGAUGAAAUUCAAGAAACUAACUUGUUUGUUUCAAGUUGAACAACUCUUUCGAUCAGGAAAUGUAAGUAAUCCUCCAUCAUAUCAAAAGCACCCAGCAUAUUCUGAUCCUUGAUGACAUGCUCAACCUGCAGAGCAAACUCCAUCACAUAUCAAAUAUAUAAAGAUUGAAAGAUCAAAGAAGCAAAAGGUAAAGGGAAUAUCAUGAAUUUACGCGAAGUAGAGCUCUUUCUUGGUGUCCAAGGUUAAGGAGCUGAAUAACAUCAGACUUUGCAAGGGAAAGCCUGGCUUGUCUCUGGUUCUUGAGGAUGACGAUCCUAGAUAUUGCUAGUUUUGCUAGAGAACUGAAUUUAGAGGUCUUGAGUUUCCUCCGGAAAAGAGCAUCCAGUUUCUUUCCCAUGUUUUGCACUCUAUAAUCUGUUGCUGCUGGUCUCAAACACCAUGAAAGGCCUGAAGAAGCAAAACCUUAUUCAGGGAAGUUUAAGAACCUCAAGGAGUAACUAAGACCAUGAAAACUUCUCGAUACAAAUUGUUGUUCCUGUUUGAUGUGUCUGUCUGUGAUGAAUUUCUAUCACAGUCAGCUUCUCAGUUCACAGGUUGUCAUAUGUAGCAAUCUAUAAUGCGUCGCAAAUUGGAUGUUAUUAGUUAGGUCAAUAUGUGAAGGCGAUUUUAGCCCGUUCUCUACUUUGAAUUGGACAAAGAUUCUUUGGUUAGUUCUUGGCGGCUGCCGCUUCUUUUUGUCUAGAAGAAGGAAUAAUUCAGAAAACUAUAAGCUAUAAUUUAAACAGAGAUAUUUUAUUUUUAUUAAUAUUUUUCUCAAGAGGUGAAACUGUUGUUUUUCCGUUGGCCAUGACCUACUACGAGGGUGUAAAGGCCAUAAGAGCAAAGAAAAAUACAAUAUAAAACUACCACAUGAUAUACAAUUUUUUUUUAUUUUUUGUCGAAUUUCAGGGCUUCAAAAAUGUUGGCACAUUUUAAGCGAAUAAUAAUUCACAAGUUUUUAUGAAACUGUCAAUCAAUUUUAUUUUGGACUUAACAUUUGUGACAAGAUAAUGAUUAUAUUUAUUAAGGCAGUGUUCGUUAUUGCAGUCCAAUUAUAUUUUUUAAAAAAAUAAUUUUUUUUUGUUUCAGAUUAAUUUUUUGAUGUGCUUGUAUCGUUUUGAUAUGAUGAUAUUAAAAAAAAUUUAAAAUAUAUAUAUAUAUAUAUAUAUAUAUUAUUUAAAUACAUUUUCAAGCGAAAAACACUUUGAAAAACAAUAUUUACCACAAUCAUCACAAACAUUGCCUAAAUAAGAAGUGAGAUUGAUCUCAAACCCUAAAAAAAAGAUGUCAAUUCCAAGAAGCACAACCGUAUAAAAAAUAACAUAAGUUCAAGGAAUAAAUCGUAGGAAUUUUAACAUUCAAUUCUAUACCUACAAAGAUUGUGUCAUUACAUGAUACAUCCUGGUACAAAUUGCACUCUAUCUUAUAUAUUGAUAACCAAGUGAAUCUUUACUAAUCUUCAAUUUUGAUCAGUUUAAUAUGUUAAGAAUUCUUUAACUGAGCAGGAUUGAGCGUUAUGGUUACUCGCAUGCGCUCAAAUUCUCGUGGUUGAUUUUUUUUUUUUAAUCGUGAAUCCUAAUUAUAUGAUCGACUGCUUCUUAGUUUUCUCAAUUGAUUAGAGCUUUUUAAGCUUGGUUGAUUUUACUAUUUAGAAUCAAUUUUAGACUAUCUUUCCCUAUACGAUAAUGGAAUAGAUAUAAAAUCUUAUCAUAAUAGGCUUGUCAAUCUAUAUGUUGUUAAUUUUAAUUAUUUAUGAUGAGAUGACAACUACCUUUAUCAAAUAAGAAGUGGAUUUGUAGAUCUCGAAAUCCUAAUAAAUGGAUGCUUGUUUUAGGAUGCAGAAAAUAACAAGAGUUUAAAAAAAGAAAUUGCAAGAAUUUAAACAUAGAAGAAUUGUAAAUAAGGCAAUAAAAACUUCCUAGGGAAAAGAUAAAGAAAAUUGAAUUGUGGAAACUGAAUAUAUCAUCUUUCAUAAUAAUGGAUGAUCUAUUUAUAAUGGUAUAAUGUUUGAUACUCAUUGAUACUCAUUUAAAUAUCAACUUCUAAUCCUAUAUAAAUUUUGUCUAUUAAAUCAAGAAAUUAUACGAUAAAUUAUAAUAUAAGUUAAACUUUAUAUUAUUGAUAAUAAUGUGAAUCCUAACUACUCUAUAAUUUUAAUCAGUUUACUUCUUGCUUUUAAUUAAAUCUUCUGGUUGCUCACACGCACUCAAACUCUUACGGUGAAUUAUUUUUCUUUGAUCAUUCAUACUUAUGAUCAUCUAGUCGAUUUCUUCUUACUUUCCUUAAUCAAGUAGAAUUCUAUAAGCUUAGUUGAUUUAAUUGUUCAUAAUCAAUUUUAGACUAUCCCUCCCUGUAUGACAAUGAAAAAUAAUUAUUCUUGGUUAGUUGGCACAUAAAUAUUUAUUUUUGGUAUAAACACCAAUCAUCCCAAGCAACCAAAACAGUUCUUAAACUUCUCAGACAACAUUAAUAAUUUAUUCCUUAUUUUCUUAUAUAGUGCACUUUGAUCUUUCAAUAGGUGAUUAUUAAUUAAGGAAAAUUGACCACAAAAUAAAGAGGAAAAAGUCGAUUUCUUUAACAAAAUCCAUCUCAUCAAGAAAAAAAGCUAAUUAUGUGUAAGAAUCAAUCCUAAAGAACUCCUUAAUUGAUUUCUUUAACAAAAUCCAUCUCAUCACGAAAAAAAACUAAUUAUGUGUAAGAAUCAAUUCUAAAAAACACCUUAAUAUUGCCCGCAUACAAAAUCCUUGCUUUUUUGUUAUAGCAAUCCACAAAAAUCAACGAAGAAAAAAUCUUAGCUUCAAUUUAUUUUCUUUUCAAUUCUAGUUUUCUUGACCCAAUACCCAACAUGUUAUUGUGUAACUCGAGGGUUGAAAAUGUGAGCCAUGCUAGGGUUUUUUGCUAGGAAGGACCGCGCAAAUACAGAAUUCGAAGUAUAGUUUAAUAGUCUUGUAUCCGAUACUUGAAGUAGCCUGUCAAGAAGGUUUGGAAUUUAUCUUAUUCUAUGUGUUACUGUUCUUGGCGAAUUUGGCGAAUAUGCUGUUUUGAAGUCUGUGGAUUAACAACACAAACUACAAUAAUUUGUGAAAGCAUCAUUUAAUUGAAUAUUUUACCAAAAGGCCUUGUCAUCCCCAAGAGAUGAUGAAUGUAUCAGAACCCUGUUUUGUAAUCCAAGUGGGCAUCACUUGUGUAGAAGUUUAUUCAUUUCUCAUAUUAAAUCCCAAGUUGAAUUUGUUUAUUUGCCCUCUUUUUCUUUCCUUUUCCCUUUCUUUAUGAAUUCCUGGAUACAGGUGGGUCCUGGCCAUGAAAGCAAAAUAUCAGCAACAAUUUAUGUGUAGCUUAGUGGUCUUUGAAAGAAAAGUUUGCAGAGCCAAAUUCAUCAAUGGUGGGUUCUACUUUAUGGUAGAUUUCACAUGAUUUUAAUUAGAUUUAUGGUGAGUUAGGUUCGCUAGAAUAAAAGGAUUAGAAUUCGGGUUUGAGUUCGUACAAGAGUAAAAACGCAUCAUUCUAGAGAGAGAAAAAAAAAAAAGGGAGGGCGACAUAGCUACAUGAAUUUGUUGAACAACAAAGCCUUAGCAUUCAGUUUGACAGAAUGGUGUAAAAGAUCAAGGCCAGAUUAAGAAAGAAUUAACUCUGGAAAGAGAAGAAAAUGGAACUCUUUGACAGACAAAUGGAAGCGCUGACUAAUUUUACCUCCCAACCUGGCAACGUGAAUGCCUUAAUGGCCAUGACUGGCUCAACAAAUUAUAUAAAUACAUGGGAAUUUAAGCAUGCUGGACCUCUCAAGUUUCAACUUUCAACACUGAAAUGAUGCGUUCAGACUCCGAAAUAUACACUGCAGAUUAUUGGAACCAAGUCAGAUCAAGCCUAAAUAACGAAGUCAAAUUCUCCUACUGCUGUCUUCUCUUAGUCUUUCCAGAGCUAUGGGCAUGGCAUGACAAAUUCUCCUACUAUAAAGCGUGCUCGACACUGCAAUACAUGUUCUCAUGACUCUGUUCAUGGCUGAAGGUCCAAGGAAAUUGAAUUGGAGCUUCUUGGAAAUUACUUCCAAGUCCAGUUCGGUACCGAGUCCAUACGCUCUUGUUUAUGGAACCAGAGCAUGCUCGGACUUGGGACGGUAAAGAUAUAAUAAGCUCGGACUCGUAUAAGCCGACUUGAUUGCGUGUGUUUUGGUUAGGGAAAGAAAAUGGGCACUUGGGGUUUUCCCUGGUCAACUCAACGAGCUAGCAGAUUCCAGCUCUAAGGGUCACAUUAAUGCUAUAGAUCCCAGCAAGAUUAGGUUCUAUCAUUGUGGAUUCCUGUCAUGUCAGAAAUAAUCUAAACCAUUGAUCUAAUCAUGAUGUUCAUUCUAGACCAUUAUCAAGCACUCAUACUAAACACGCAUUGCAUCUUGACCAUUGAUUCAGCACAGCUAGCCACCUUUUUACCCUAUAUUUAAAUUAUCAGGAGAGAAAUCCAAAUAUAACCCUUAGUUGGAUGAAAGUUGAACCAACAAGACAUCAUGCCAUCCCUCCCGAGUGUGAGAGGAACCUUAGGCCCCGUAUCGAGCACUUAGGCCCCGUAUCGAGCACCGAAGCCUAUCGUCUUCAGUGUUGGCUUUGCGAGGGAGUAGUUUAUAUGCACAUGCUGAAACAUACCUUGCACAGCAAAUUUGAAAGCACCAUUAAAGGCUACAAAGACAAGUAUACCAGAAUGCCACACAUGUCCUACGAGCCUUGUUGCCCAGUAGAUGGAUGCUUCUGUGGUAUUAGAAUAGAGAUCCACGACUGUAAUGGUGAGAAUGGAUAAAAAGAAGCACAAUUCCCAUAUUCAAACACAAUUAUACAAUUAUGUGUUUCUGAUAUUAUGAUAACUGAAUUUUCAAAACAAUGAAAGCAGAAAGUGCUAUGUUUGCCCAUGGAUAAAAUGGGGACAUGAACAUUUUGACAGUCUCUGCUCACGAGGUUCCACAAGGUAAAACCAGUUUGGGAUAGAGCACAACUAGACAUGAGAAAUACUUGUUUCAUUCAUCGAACUCAUGCAUGUGGUCUAAUAGAUAGUUAGCUGCCAGUUCUUCAUUCUUGUUGCAUGCAAAGAACACCUCCAAUACUAAGGCUCGAUCAAAGCCCAUUGCUACAAGCUGCCAAAUUGACUUUGUCAAUGUAGACCCGAGGAAAAGAUAGUUUAGAUCAUAGAAAAUUAGAGACUUAUAAGGACUUCUGCUUUUCUGCAUGUGUACAUGCUCUUGAGCAUCGAGAGCAGAAAAUUAUCAUCUCAUUAAAUGCACAAUUUCAAGGACAUCACAUAACCAUGGAAGUAAAUUUUUAGCGAUGUAUGCAAAAGACAAUUCAAGGAUUUCAGCGAUGUAUGCAAAAGACAAUUCAAGGAUUUCAAUGCAUGUGGCAUGUGGCAUGUGGCAUGUGCCAUGACCACCUAGCACCUAAAGUGCAAAUCAAAGGUUAACGGAGGCAUAGAAGCACUGGAAAAAGGAAAACAAAUAUCAAUCAAAUUUAGCAGAUGCAGUCCCAACAAUACUUUUCAAGGCAUGUAUGAAAAAUGCAAGCGACCAAGAUAACUUCAAAACUGUGAUUCGGCUACAAAUUUUAAGCGAAAAAUGAAACAAAGCACCAAUAGUCAAAGAAUAGUGUCAAGUGAUGAACUUACACGGUCUAUUGCUUCACGCUCCUCAGGGGUGACAGUCACUGUUUGUGGCACCGCAGAAGCUAAUUGGCCAAGCACAUUCCUGAUUAUCCAUAAAUAGAAGCAAUUUAGUAUCACAUGCAAGGAAUUCUGUGCAUAUCAUUCUAAAAACAGAUUCAUCUCACCCCUCUCCUUCAACAGGUUCAUUUAUCAAGCGCAGGAAAUCAGGCUGAUGCUCUUGAAUGAGCCGCAUCAAGUGUGGAUUUUGCUUCCCUAGCUCCUGAAGCAUAGGCUGCAAUACAUUAAAAGUCAUUGAUCGUCUGUAGGUUAGCACCUUAAAGUAUGGCAACAAGCAGGAAAAAACACAUAAUCAGAAUCCUACAAAGUACCUGUAGGAUUUGAGGGUUUGCUUGCACCAUAGCUCGCAAGGCUUGGAACUGAAAUUAAGGAGAGGGGUCUAUAAAAGCUUCAAGCAAAUUAGUGAAUGUUACACUAAUAAUAAAAAUCUAAAAUACCUGUUGGCUGUUGCGUAAGAAAUCCAAGUUGCCUGCACCAGCAUUAGAACCCGUACUGGGUAGGCCCUGGUUCCAUAACAAUGAUAUUCAUCAAUUGAACCACCCUGAUGAGGCCUGGAAACUACAGAUCAAAGAAAUACAUACCUGUGGAAAGAGAUCUAAUGGAUUUGCAUUUGGUCCACCACUAGGAGGUGCAGCUGGUUGCUGAGCCUGAGCUGGAGGAUUUACAGCGACACCACUUGCUGGACCUUGGGCAACUGGUGGAACCUCAGCUUGCUCUGGAAUACCCUGAUAUUACAAUUCAAAUACUAAAUUGACUACCACCAUACUAGUAAAUAAAGAAAACAAAACAAGUGGGAGUAAAAUACACUUGCAACCAACUAAAGUCUCACCAAAAGAAGAAGAAAUGUUAAAGCUCUUAUCAGUACAAAAGUGUUGAUCUCAUUAUCACUAAUUAGCAUAACAAAAUGUUGAUGAUUUAUUUCAAGUACAUAAACCAUAUACACAUAGAUGUAAUGAUGGCUUCUCAUGAAUGUUUCCAUUUUUGCGAAGGGGGAUUAUUGCCUAAGUCUAGAUCUUUGGCUGGCCAAUAUAUUGCCAUUAAGGCUUGACAUUAAGCAACAUAUUGCUAUUAAGGUUCAACAGUAUUAUCCAAGAAAAGACAUUGAGAAGAUGGGGGAGGGAGAGCUCAAGAUGAACAAAUAAUAUCAAAGAUCAGACAAUAUAUACCAACACUUUUUAGUUUUCAAUUAGAGAAGAAAAAAUGAAAGCAACUGAGAAUAAACUAGAUCCAGUCACCAGGUUACAGAAUUAUGGACUCACAAUUGUUCAAUGACUUACCGAGUAUAGAUAUUCAACAGCUCGCUCGGGGUUGUUGAAUGCAGCACGUAGAGCACGAACAACAGUCUCUCGGUUCCAACUUCCUCCACCCAUAUCGAGAAUCUGUUGAAUGGUUGCUUCUAAGUUACUUCCUGCAACAAGAUUUGAAGCCGCUUGCCCAUACAUGUCUGCAUCUGAACUGCUACAAUAACAAGAAAAUAUCCAAAUAUAUAAACAUAUAAUAGUGGAAUCUCCGAUUCUGAAGUGCUUCAAUGACAAGAAAAGAAAAAUAUUACAUAACAAUGGGAAUGCAUCAAGUGUUCAAAUUGUUAUGAAUCAUUUUACUACCUCAAGGCCAAUUUAAUGAUUUAUUAUAAUUGGCUAGUAACUGGUGCAUGACCCACCAAUAAUUUUGAUUAGUAUUUCUUAUUAAGAGCACAGAUUUGUAUAUUUUAUCAUUUGGUUAUUAAGAAACCUCACAAAUCUACAUCCGUCCAGAAUAAGUAUUCUCGUAUUAAGAGAGAGUUUUCACUGAUAUGAGGUUCAAGAAUUAAAAAAAAAAAGCUGUUUCCUUUGUGAUUCUAAUUGAAAUAGGUUAUCUUCUAUAAUUUUAUGUAACUUUAAAUUUUUCAUAAAAGAACUCAACGAAUCACAGGAGCUUGUGAUAAAUUUCAAUUCACUGCUUAAUUGAGAAAUCUUCCAUAGUCAAGAUUUAUUAUUUACAGAAAAAAAUUAACUGACAAAUUUCUUGAUUAAAUGAAGAUUUACUACCAAAUAAUAAUGAAAGUUGAUUAGGCUAUGUAUUUUUCUGCUGUUGACAUUUACGCUACAAAUAAUUUUCCCAUUCAUAGGGUUGAAUAUCACAUAUUAUAGUGUUCGUUGAACAUUAAAAUUAAAUAUUUAAAUCUGUAUGCAAAAUAGACUGUUACACUAAUAGCAAAACCAAAGAAAAUAACAUGAGCAACAAUGAGAUUGGUUGUCGUUUUCUAAAAUUUCAGCUAACAUGAGAACUUUAAAUGAUUUUACAAGCCAUGGUGAUCCAUGAUGUGGACAAAAAAAAUUAAAGUCCUACUAAAAUAGAAAAAAACCAGUAAAAUUGUUAACAAUGCAGAGAAAAAUAAAUAAAAGAUACAUACUUUGCAAUCAUUUUUUACAUUUUUAUUAAAAAAAAUGUGUUAAAUACAUAUUUAUAUAUAUAUAAAAAAAAAAACUGCACAAUACAAAGGAAAAAUUGAAUAGUAAACAAACAAGUGAAAACAUUCUUUUACGGAUCCUUUUUUUAUUACUAACCCUUUCUAUUAGGAAAAAAAAUCACAUACAAAAAAUAUUCAUGUGCAUGACUUGUGACAUAAAAGCUAGGAAAUGAAAAAAGGAAACCAUCUAAUCCAUGCUAAAGAUGAGUUGAUAAAGAUAAUCCAGUUAAUUGAAUUAUGAAGGCUGUAGAUCAUGAAACUUAUAUAGACCAAAACACAUGUGAUCAUGGUAUCAAACCCCUUAACAGUGAUAAUAAAGAUUGGUUAAAACUAGUACAAGAAAAUACUCACAGAGCUGAAAUAACUACAGAAGGACUGGAUUCAGCAGCGGACUGAGGCCUGCAAGAUUCACAACUUCAGAACAGAAAAGACCAGAAAAUACAAACCCAAGUAAUGGCAGAAAAUGCAAACAUAUUCUGACAUUUGAACAAAACACAGAAGAUAGUAGAAAUAGGCUGUAAAUUCAACACCCACAAUGCUGCAGCUGGGACAGCAGCUUGAGAUGUUGAUGAUGGUUGGGUCACAUUGGAAGGCAAAGAACUUGUAGGUUGGGCCUGUGAGCAAGCAGUUGUAUUAGUUUACCUCAGAAAGUGACUUAACAACAGAAAUUGAAUCAUAUUGCUAACAGAGCAUCUGUUAUUGCUGCUUGUUGCGAAAAUAAUGAAAAGCAGAAAGAAGGAUGCAAAAAAGUUCAAGAUCUUUUAUUUUAGCUACAAAAAGAUAUCCUCUUGCUUGAUCAAGAUAUCUAAUAAAUGGGUGUUUGUUAAACCAAUAACAUUAAAAUGCAUUUAUAAAUAUUGGUAGAGUGUCAUUUCUUGGAGAGCCUUUGAAAGAUCAAAGUCACAUUUAGAUUUUAGAGUGUCCAUUGCUUGAGGGAUGCUGGGGGCAUGGCAUAAACGAUUGAUAAAAAUCAAUAAUAGGGAACAGUGUGCUGACAUCAUUCUUGGGGUGUGCUUUACAGAAUUAGCAUGGAUUGUGGCUCACUUGGAUCAUGUCAGACACAAUGGAACUAGAUCUGAAUGUUUUAAGCAGCAGGACUGGAGAGUUUUGCAGAGGCAAAAGGGACCUCUGGUGUUUGCAUUCCAUCAUCCGAGGUGAAAGCAAUAAAAGAGCAUUCAAUGGGGAAGAAGUAGAUUGUGGCAUUAUAAUUUUAGCAUUAAGAAAUUACUUUUGAAACUGUAGACAAACUGAUACAGCAAAAAUCAAAACACAGAGAGUGUCUGUGUUAAGCAUAAUAAAUCAUGCAUGCCAAAGCAUCUCUUCAUAAAAGUUAAUAAAGGAAUGCACCUUUGGAUUCUGCAACCAAACAAAUAAAUGUAGAGACCAUUUUACACUUACUAGGGUUGGUGGUGCUGCUGUUGCAGUAGAGGGUCCGCCUGAUGAUACCUUACUCUACACAUGUUUGGGCAUAUGCAUAAAUCAGUAAGCAUAAUUUAUAAAAUUUCUGGCAUCACACUAAAUGAAAGUGUAAUAAUGUUAUUGAUUUUACAAAUCAGAGUGUGACUAAAAUACACUACAUUGGACUUAAAAUGGCAAAUCUACCAUCAUUUUUCAUCACUAUGACAACAAGAUUUACCAUGUACAAAUAUACAUAUGUAGAAAGACAGCCUUAGGCAGCCCCCAGUCCAGCUGUCCACUAUUAUUGUACCACAUUGAUACUUAAAAUUCCAUUUCACGAGCUAUAAAAAUUUCAAACGUCACUAAGGAAUUCAUAUACACCAUUAGAUAAGUUCAGAAAAAUACAUUUGGUGGUGCUGCUGUUGCAGUUGAGGGUCCGCCUGAUGAUACCUUACUCUACACAUGUUUGGACAUAUGCAUGGAUCAGUAAGCAUAAUUUAUAAAAUUUCUGGCAUCACUCUAAAUAAAAGUGCAAUAAUGUUAUUGAUUUUACAAAUCUGACAGCAUGACUAAAAUAAACUACAUUGGACUUAAAAUGGUAAAUCUACCAUCAUUUUUCAUCACUGUGAUAACGAAAUUUACCAUGUAUAAAUAUUCAUAUAUAGAAAGACAGCCUUAGGCAGCCCCGUGUCCAGCUGUCUACUAUUAUUGUACCACAUUGAUACUUAAAAUUCCAUUUCACGAGCUAUAAAAUUUCAAACAUCACUAAGGAAUUCAUAUACGCCAUUAAAUAAGUUCAGAAAAAUACAUUUGCAGCACAGAAGCAGCAAAGCCACAGCAACUUACUUUAUAAGAAAAAGCUGAGUAAAUGAAUGUCAGCAUUACAACGUUGGCUAUUUUCAACGAAGGGCUAAUGAACCCAACCCUUGAGGUACAACAAUACAGCCUUAACAAAUGCACUAUAAGAAUAGCAACAAAAUAUUAAUAAUAUUAUUAAGCUUCCCAUAUUUCUUCAUAAGCAAUAAACUAAAAUAUGCAUAAGUCACAAAACAAACCCUGCCAGCACCCCUCUUAACUAUUUUUGUUUCUAUGCAAAAUGAGAAAUAACGAAAAACCCCUACCAGACAAACCCCGCCGCAUAUAGAGCCAGUCCGGGAAAAUUUUCAUCAUCUUGACAUGGGAAAUAGAGAAUGAAACAAACAAGCAAUAGUAUUUUUAGUGUAUAAAUAUCAAAAUUCUCUAAGUGCAUUUAUUGAACAUAACCGAACUUUCAAAACAAGGACUAAUUGUUGGCUUUAUGCUGUUAUGUAUAUUCAAAAUUCGCAGCAUUUCCUUCCACUUAGAAAGCUUCCUUUUAUCACUAAAAUUAGGAACGAAAGCAAGAAAACUCACCUUGCUUAACAUAACAACAAUAAAACUAUUUUCAGCAACUUUACUUUCAUCCAAUGUUGUAUCGUCUUUAAGUACUUUCCCUUGAUAAAUCAGCAUCUGCUGCGCCGCCGGAUAAACAUCCGCUCCCUGUACAUUCUCUAUGUUUUUCUUCACUUCAACCACCUAAAUUAAAUUAAAUUAAGAAAGGAAAAUUACUAAAAUUAAACUAAACAGCUGAAAAAAUAGAGAAAAAAAAACGUAAAAGCCUGAAUAACCUAGAAAAAAAUCGAAAAAAAAUACACCAAAUUGAAAUUAAUUACUGAGAUUAAACCCUAAAACAAUAAUUAAUAGUUUACAAUCAGUAUAAUUAGCGUGAAAAUCGAAGAAUUAAAGCGACGAAAGGGAGAUGAAUUACCGUAUCUUCAGGUUUGACUUCGAUCUCGAAGUUAGUACCCUUCAAAGUCUUUACAAAAACCUUCAUUAUCUUGAAUCCGAAUAAUAGUCGAUUAUUCCUCUCCGGCGGGUGAACACUGAUCUCCGGUGGCCGCCGGAUAGAGAGAAAGAGAGUAGAGGAAGAGGCAAAGUAGGAGUCGAUGAGAAAUUAAAGAAGUGGGCUUUGGUUUUGUUGAUAUUAGCUGGACGAACAGGGGUAGGAAUUGAGUAACGGCUCAGUUUAUUUCUGAAACGGUGUGACACCCAAUUAUUUGACGGCACGUGCAGAGAUGUGGAAUUUGUGCAACGUGUUGUGCUUUUAUUGGGUGGUUAGGAGUGAGAGGAAAAAGGAGAAGAAAGCGUUUGUCUACGUGAGCAAAGCGCGCAGAGAAGUAAAGAUAAUCCGAGUUAGGUGUAGAUCUGAUAAAUUUGAUAAAAUUAAUAUUUUAUAUUAUUCGUAUAGAAAUAAUAUGUUUUUAGGGAAUACUUUGAUUUGAUUUGAUUGUUGGAACUUUUGAUUUUUAUUUGUAUUAUUAAUUAACUAUAAAAUUAAAAGUUGGGUGUUUUUCACUCAGUUAUCAUUGUUUACACAUUUACAAAACAGAACAGUGUGGAUCUCAUAUGCUUUUUUUAAUAAUUUAUUUUUUAGAUGAUUAAAUCCUAAUUAAAAAUCAAUUGCUUUAGAUUUUUUAGUUAAUGAUAAAAUUAAAAAAAAAAGACCUGGAUAAAAAGGACGUCAAACAUAGAUGGCGUGUCAUAGAUUUUAAAAUAUAUAUAUAUUUAGGUCCUCAAUCUUUCAAAAUAACACAAAUUAUACAACUUAAAUCCCUUUAAAUUAAAAAAAUCAAUUUUGGUAUAAAAAUUUAUUUGUAUUAUCCUUCGGUCCUUGAAUAAAAAGCGAAAAGAGAGGGGUCGUUGGAUUCCAAUAAUAAGAAAAAAAAUCAUCAUUCAAGUUAUUUUUUACCACUAAAAUGGAUUUCUUUUAUGUUCAUGAGUUCCAUAAGAUAAAAGAAGCUUAAUGAUGGUUUUUUGGUGCCUCAAUAUCUCCUAAAAAGAGAGAUCUAGAUUGAGAAAGAUAAAUCUAAAGUGGUUUGAUUUCGGGUAUGUUGGCCAUUUUUUUUGUUUUUUUACUAUUUUUUGGUGUUUUAAGUUGAUUGGUUGGUUUGUGGGUGUUUCAAGGAUAUUAACGAGGUAUUUUUAGGUUGAAAUAACUUUAAAAUUAGGUAUUUUGGCCAAAAGAAACAUUCUUUCAACUUUUUGGCCACCACGACAAUGGUUGGAAACUAGGCUGCAACGUGUUGUUUGUGUAUUUAAAAAAAAACGAACGACAAGUUGUCCAUCUAUUUAGAAAAACAAUAAUAAAAUAAAACAAUCAAGCUCAGGCACACAAGUCUGUGUUUGAAGGCCUUCCCACACACCUCCAAGGUUGUUAAUUCCAUUCUGUUUCAUCCAGAAUUGCUAAAACAUUUCAUACCAAUUCAAAAAACGGAAUAAUUUUCAUUUUAUUUCAAAUCUUGAUCCGUUCCGGAUUUUCCAAAUAAAUUUCGAGCGGAAUGUUCUGGUUUCAUUUCACAUGUUCCGUUUCGAGGUUGAAAAGCCAUUGAAUCAAAUUGAACUCGGUUCAAUUUGAUUAAUUAAAUCACUCAAGUAUAAAAAGCUUUUUUUUCAUUACUAUUUUCAAUAACAAUGAUAUUAAUUUUUUAAAACUAGAUUUAUCACUAAUAUAUAUGGUUUAUAUUCAUGUUUUUUUUUUUCAUAUUUAUACUUUGUAGGAAUUUGAGCAAAACAAUAGAUACUUUAGAUCCCAUUAGCCUUGAUAAUAUUGAUGUAUUGAAUGAAUGAAUUUGUGAAGAACUUAACCUUCUUGAUGGAGAUGAUAUAGGUUAGGAGACUAUUGAAACACCUUUGUUUACUUUAACUUUAGAGAAUGAAAAGAUAUGUUUUAAUGACGAGAAUGAGCUUGAAAUAAUCAAUUAUUAGAAUGUUCAGAUGAUAACUUUCCCUACAUACCACCACAAGAUCAAUAUCAUUAUUUCUUUGUUAAUGAUGAAAAUGAUUUUAGAUUUAUGUUUUUUUUGUGUUAAAACAUUUUACUUUCAUAAUAUUUUGAUAUUUUGUUUAAGUUGAAUUACUUUAAAUUAAUGUUUUAUUUAAUCUUGACUAUUUAAAAAUAUUUUAAAUUUUAAAAUUAUAUUUGCUUUGUAUUGUGUAUUGUAUAAAUUUAAAUUAUAUUUAUUGAAUUAUAUAUAUAUAUAUAUAUAUAUAUAUAUAUAUAUAUAUAUAUAUAUAUAUAUAUAUCAUUGGCUACAAAAACAAAACCAAUACAUCAAACAGCCUUGAACAGAAAAGGAAAAAAAUAUUCUUGUUUCCACCUUCUCGUACCCUGAGGCAUCAGCAGCCAUAAUUCCUCCAGCCUCCAAAGUCCAACCCCCUCUGCUCCUUACCCAUCAUGACUACUGAUUCACUGAAACCCAUUGUCGAAAAGUCCAGAAUUUCACUCACCAGAACUCAUUAGCAACCCCCAAACACAUCGCCUGAUUUCCAUCCUAAGAAAAUGGAAAAGAAACAGAGAAAGAAAGUUAAAAACCCCAUGUCAGAAACUGAAAGCAACGAUCUUGAUGACAUCUCCUGCUUGUUUUUUCAAAAAGGAAUAAUGGGUUUAUUUCUUUUAAUCAGUAUCUUCAGUCUCCUCCUCAGAGUUGCAGUUUCUCUCCAUUCAUAUUCAGGUGCAGGCACUCCACCAAAAUUUGGUGACUUUGAAGCUCAACGUCAUUGGAUGGAGAUUACAACUAAUUUACCAAUUAAAGAUUGGUACUUUAACACUACCAACAAUGAUUUAAGUUAUUGGGGUCUUGAUUACCCUCCAUUAACCGCUUACCAGAGUUACUUUCAUGGUCUUUUUCUCAAGCAUUUUGAUCCAAACUCAGUCUCGUUGUUUACUUCUCGUGGUUAUGAGACACAUUUUGGGUAAGAAUCGUAACCCAUUUGUCAAUUUGUGUUCUUUUUAUAUUUUGUUGAGUUUCUAUUUGUAUUGGGUUUUGAGUGUUUUGUGUUUUGUUUGCAGGAAGUUGCUAAUGAGGUGGACAGUUUUAUCAUCUGAUUUAUUGAUAUUUUUCCCUGCUGUUCUGUAUUUUGUUCUUGUGUAUUACGGGGGUAACCGGUCCGGUGGAAAUAAGAGUGAUGUAGCAUGGCAUAUUGCUGUUAUUUUAAUCAAUCCUUGCUUGAUCUUAACUGAUCAUGGCCAUUUUCAGGUUUGAAAACAAUUUGCGUUUGCUUGUCUUUUGUUUAUGAUUGUGUUGAAUUGUGAAGCAUAUGUGAUUGUCCUUAUAUUUUAUAUGGUUUACUUUCAGUAUAAUUGCAUCAGUUUGGGCCUUACAUUAGGUGCUGUUGCUGCUGUGCUCUCGCAGAAAGAUCUUUUAGCUUGUGUUCUGUUCUGUCUCUCUCUUAACCAUAAACAGGUGCUUGUCCCUUUUUUCAGCAUUAUAUGACUUGUUUAUUAAUUUAAAAGGGCCUUCUGUUAGUGCUUGACUAGUUUGGAGACAGGUGAUACAUGUUCAUUAUACCAUAUGUUCAAGUGUGCUCAACAAAGUUAAUUGGAAAUGGUGACAUUAUAUACACAUAUUUUCCUUAAAGAAUAAAAAGGGCAGCUAACCUUAUCAAGUCAAAUUAGGCUGGAUGAGAGCUGAGAGCUGUGAUAACGUGUUUAGCCAGAAAUGUGCUUAAAGGAGCUCUUCGGAGAGUGUAUGUGUGUCUUUGUUGAAAAAACUGACUGCAACAUGCACGUUUAUCGGUCUUAGCAGGAAAUUAGCUGAAGGAGCUCUUUUGAGGGAGUGCUGGAAACUAUAUCAUAAAUUUUACUGUACAAGUUUUCCAUCCAUAGCUAUAAGGACCUUGCACUUUUUUGGAGAAGUAAUUCCCUUAUCAUGUUUCAUAUACAGAGUGAAUAUUUUGCAUCGCCAUUGUCUGACCAAAUUGAUUAAAGGCUGGAAGAAUAAUAACCUAGCAAUGAUGACUACUCUAGCAUGACUGCUUAAGUGUGACCAGGUUCGAUAGGGGAAUCUGAUUAGGAAUGUGUAAUGACUAGUGAGUGGAUGCUCAGUGAAGUCUUAUUUCCUGGUUCAGAGUUUGAACGCAAAUUUAUUAUCUAAUUAUGAGAAUAGUGGUUACUGCUUACCAAACAGUGUGAUUACAUGAUUGAGAGGGUUGCUGAUUGUUAUAUCUAUUGGACAAUUGUAGGUGUUGGUGUGGCUGGUUUUCUGAAGGUUUGUUAUUUUUAUAAUGAAGUCACAUCUAGUUUUGUACUCAUAAUGUAUUGAUGCUCUGUAACUUUGAUUGGAGGGGUUUUAGCCAGUGUCUGUAUAUUCUGAUCAAUAUAUAUAAAAGACCUGAUUCAGAUAUCCUUACUGCUGGAUCGCCAAGAAGCAGAGUGACAUAAGACAAUGAAUGGAUAUCUUUUGACUCCAGUUGUCUAUCUGGACUUCCUUAAUCUUUAUUUUGCUUUGGAAUAUGUAAAUGUGUGAACUGCUCAUGUUGGGAAUAUACAGUAAAUAAGUAUACAAUAUCAAUUUUUUAUAAUAGACCGAUCAACCAUCCUGAUGCCAUUUUGAACAACUCAUAUUUGAGUUCAUGUCAUCAUUGACACUGACUGCCUUUCUGUUUAUUGCAUUUUGUACCUUAAAAGGUAGAUUGCUAACUACUCCUGCUGUUUAUGAUGUGCAACUUGCUUGAAUACACUGGAGGAUUUCGUUACAGAAAUUGCCAGACUUCUGGUGCCAGCCCUAUUAUUAUCAGUCUUUCAUUAAUCAUGUGAAAAGCUGUUAGGUAGACUUAGUGCCAGUUUGGUAGUGUGGUGCCAGCCCUAUUAUUAUCAGUCUUUCGUUAAUCAUGUGAAAAGCUGUUUGGUAGACUUAGGGACCGUUUGGUAAUGCGUUCGGAAAGCGCUUUCGAAAAAAUUUGAAUUUUUUUUUUUUGCUUUGAAUUAAUAUGUAUUUGAUAUUUUCGAAUCGUUUUGAUGUGCUGAUUUCAAAAAUGAUUUUUAAAAAAUAAAAAAAACAUUAUUGGCAUACUUUUCUAAGUGAAAGCACUUUGAAAAGCAAUCACAACUACACUCCCAAACACGCACUUAGUGCCUGUUUGGUAGUGCGGUUCCCUGCACUACCAAACGGUGCCUUAGUAUAUGAACUUACUCAUAGAUUAAGCACACACGGGUGAAUUCAAACGUCACCACAUAAGUUCCAUUUUUUAACAUUGUCACAUCAGUGUUGGCCUAGUCUAUGGAUGAUUUGGUAGGCUAAGUCUAUCUGACAAUCUCUCCAAUUAUGCACACCAACUUUUCAUUGAACCGAAAGUCAUGUUGACUCUUGUCAUUUCAUAUAUGUUUCCUUUCCCUUUCCAAUUUUUUGUAUGUUUAUAAAGAUUUAUAGUUUUCAUGCUUCUCAAUCUGGGAUAUGGACUGUCCAUGUUUUAUGGAGAAAUAACCACAUGACAUUCUUUUCCAUAAACUAGAUGAAAAUAUAUUCAAAUACCAGUAAUAUUUACUAAAAGUUUGUAACACUUCUGCAAAAAAGUGAGAAACACGGAGCAGAAAAAAUAUUGUUUGUUUUUCUCUGUUUUGAUGUAGAGACUGAUGGGACCUUGAAAAUUCUUAUAGUUUCCAUGCAUGCAUAUUUACAGAGCAGUAUUGUAUGUUUAUAGUGGAUCUAGUCCAUUAACCAUUGUUUUCCUCCACUGAAUUGCACUUUCUGCUUGUUGUGUGCAUACAAGCCAUAUUGAGGAGAGAAACAGACAAUUUCUGCACAAUGAAAAACAAGAAAGUACAAAUAAUGAAUACCUUAUAUAUCCUUGCCGAACAAAUUAAAUAAAAACUCCUAUUGUUAUUUUUACUUAUCAAGACUUGUUAUAAGGUUGAUGUUAAUUAUAAAUUCUAAGGUGAUGUUUUUUCUGUGUUUUCUUCCAGAUGAGUGCGUAUUAUGCACCAGCGUUUUUCAGCCAUCUGUUUGGUAGCUGCUUAAGGCGUAAGAAUCCCCCGCUAGAGGUUUUAAAAUUGGGCUUGACUGUCUUAGGAACAUUUGCUAUUGUUUGGUGGCCCUUCCUUCAUUCAAGAGAUGCCUUUUCUGUGGUAUGAAUAAGUGCUAAUAUAUUAGAAAAACACAGUUGGUCCUUGUCUUUAUUUCCAUUGUUUAACACAUGUAAUUCAUUCCAUUUCUUUACCUGAGCAAUUCACACUUGUUUUUAUUUGCAUUUGUUAACACAUGUAAUUCAUUCCAUUUCUUUACCUUAGCAGUUUGUGCAUAAUGGCAAUUCACACGUGCUAUUUCCAUAUGUUGAACACAUGGCCGCCUCUUGUUCCAGUUUGUAUUUUAGUGUUUAGCACAUGGUCGCUGAAGCUGUGCUCCUUAAUGGCACUUCUUCAAUUGAUCUUUGCUCUUGCUAUUUGACUGUCCAGACAAACUGAUACUUGACUAGCUCUAUGAUUGGCAGAUGUUCCAGUUUUAGUUUUCUGUUGUGGUAUUAUAUAUAUAUAUAUAUAUAUAUAUAUAUAUAUUUUGUAAGAUGCAUUUUAGGCAAAGCACAGGCUGUGGCACAAUUUCUAGAUCUUUUUUUUUUUCCUUCUGUGCAUGGUGGCAAAUAUAACUUUUCUAUAGAAUGUCUUGCAACCUGUUACAUUCUUGUUGGCAAGAAUUGAAAGAAUUACAUGCAUGAUUUCAUUGGUAAUUAAAAUUGAUUGGGCUGCUUGAUUAAAUUUUCAGUGUAGUUGCCUGCAUAUGUUUAUGUAUUUGUAUACAUGAGAACAUUGAUUAGACUAUUAGAACGAACCAACAUGCUUGAAGGUCUUCAUUCCUCUCUAAAGUUGAUUUGUUAUACUCAAGCGAUAUUUACCCCAACUUGGUGCUUGCUACAGGUUCUUUCACGGCUUGCUCCUUUUGAGAGAGGUAUAUAUGAAGAUUAUGUGGCUAACUUUUGGUGCUGCACCUCAGUUUUAAUUAAGUGGAAGAGAUUAUUUACAACAAAUUCUCUGAGGUUUCUCAGCUUAGUCGCUACUAUAUUGACAUUUCUGCCUUCAAUGAUUCAACAAAUAUGGUCUCCCAGCAGCAAAGGUUUUCUUUAUGGGUUGCUGAAUAGUUCUUUGGCCUUCUACUUAUUUUCAUUCCAAGGUGUGCAGAACUUUCUCAAAUAUUAUAUAUUUUUAUAUAAUCUCAUGUGUAGCAAGUAUUUGAAUCACUGAUCAUUAAAUCUGCAGUUCAUGAGAAGUCCAUUCUGCUGCCGCUUCUGCCUGCAACCUUGUUGGCUAUGGAAUUGCCUGGUGUACUCUCUAUGUUAUUAAUGCAUUCUGCAUUGCUCUCUAUGUUUCCUCUUCUGUGUCGUGACAAAAUGGCUGUGCCUUAUAUGGCUCUUUACAUGCUUUCCAUCCUUCUUUAUCUUGCACCUUGUGGAAAACAGCAUAUUAAAAGGCAUCUUUCUAGGUCUAUGAUCACAUUCUCAAUUGUGAUUUCAUACCUGUGCUCCCUUGUUCUUCAUAUUAUAUACUUAACCAUUCGCCCCCCUGAGAAGUAUCCUUUCCUUUUUGAAGCAAUGAUCAUGAAUUUCUGCUUCUCUCAUUUCUUAGCCUUUACUGUUUAUACCAACGCAAAGCAAUGGAUGUUGUCAAGACAAUCUACAUCAAGGGAUAAAGAAAAGAAACUUAAUUGAUUUUUGUGUUUUUUACUUCAGGUUUCUAGUAUUAGCAUUUAGGAUUUUGUUGUGCUGGUGGGGAGCAUAGAUAUGAAGGUGGCAAGGGCAUAUGUAAGCAAUUUGCCGGCUGGCAAACUGUUGUAUUGGAUCAUAUCUCAAUUGAAUUAUGCAGCUCUAGUCUCACAUUUAUCAUUUUGUUCCAAGUUUAUUUGCAUUAGUGGUAGGGAUUAAUGACUUUUGGAAAUUUGCUUUAUAUUUUCAAUGAUGGUUGCUGGGUCUUCAUUAGAUUCGUCAGUGCUGUUUCUUUUUAAACUCGUAGAAUGAUGCAACAUGAGCAGAUCCCAUCACCAACACGUACUCAGGCAAGAAGUGCACAACCACCACAUGUAUAGGCCACGGCAAAGGUGACUCCUAUCUCUCGUACCGUCGGUGUAAAUUACAUCCGGCAAUGUGUGUGUGUACUAGACUGGUUGCUCUACAAGCUUGACAUGUAGAGCAACGGUCUCUACGUGCGCAGGUUGCAGUUUUGAACUUGCACCUUGCCUUGAGCAAGGUAAUUAGGGGAGUCCUUGGAACUUUGAAGAGACUAGAUAGAGUAGAAGUUAAUUUUGAAUGAAAAAAGAAAGAAAGCUUUGGUAUUAUAGAUACAUUUCCUAAUAUUAUAAAAUUUCUUAACUGAUAAAUGGAAAGAUGAUGUAUGCAUUUAAUAUAAGGAAUUAAAAAAUAUUUAAUUGAUGAAUAAAAAAAUCGUGAAUGCUAAUUAAAUAUUAAAGUGAGAAGUUAAUUGUUUUAGUAAGAAGUAAAUGAUAGAAGGAAAUUCAAAUAUUUUAUCUCGGUGGUUCUUUUUAUUUUAUUCAUUAUUUAUUUAUUUAUUUAUUCUAGAGAUUUGUUAUAGUAGCUAAGUACAUGUGAUAUAUAUAUAUAUAUAUAUAUAUAUAUAUAUAUAUAUAUAUAUAUAUAUAUAUAAUACAAAUGCAAUUGUUCUAUCUUAAAUCUUAUCAAGAAAAAAUUUAAAGUUAAAUUACAAUAAUCUCAUGUAGUUAUUAUAAGAUUAUAGAAACCUUCCAAAAAAUUAUUACUAUUUAAAUAAUAGAUCAACUAAAUAAUUUCUUAAAAAUAAGAAAGAGAAUAUUUAUUAAAAAUUAAAUUAAAUACAAAACUAAAAAAAUAAUCCAAACCUACUUAACCUAGAAGGAAAAGCUUAUGCAUGCCUAGUUUUAUGUUUUUUUUUAAAAUGGUAGCAUGCAUGCACAAAUUACAUGUUUUCUCCUAGUAAAAUUUUGGCCCUUUUGGUUACUAAAAAAAAAUAAGGUUAGGGUUUUGGGAUCUAAAAAAAUCUAUUUUCAACUUAUUUUUACUUAAAAUAAUUCAAAAACAUCUUAUGAACUUUAAUAAGCUAAAUUUCAACCUAAAAAUACCUUUUAAUCACUCAAAAAAAAAAAAAAAACCCAACCUAAUAAAAACAUUUCCGAGCUUCAAUCUAAAUUAUGAGGGCAAAAAUAUUUUCUUUGAACUUUAUCUCCAUGAUGAAUUCAUUGAUAGUUCAAUUUUUUUUAUGGCUAGAAUGUGAUUAGAUAGAUCCCUUCUCUCCUUUUAUUUUGUUUUUGAUUACUUUCUCUCUUAUCUCUCCACAUUCAAAACCAAAACUUAAUAAAAAUAAAGUUAAGAAUCAAAACAUUAAAAACUAAAAGAAUAGGGAUCAAUAUGAAAAAUUAAAAAUUGAGGGACCAAAUUGAAGUUUGUUUUCUAUUUUUGAUAACUUUCUCUCUUAUCUCUCAAUAUUUAAAACCAAAACUUGAUAAAAAUAAAGUUAAGAAUCAAAACAUAAAAAACUAAAAGAAUAGGGAUUAAUAUGAAAAAUUAAAAAUUGAGAGAUCAAAUUGAAGUUUGUUUUCUAUUUUUGAUAACUUUCUCUCUUAUCUCUCAAUAUUCAAAACCAAAACUUGAUAAAAAUAAAGUUAAGAAUCAAAAUAUAAAAAACUAAAAGAAUAGGGAUCAAUAUGAAAAAUUAAAAAUUCAGGGACCAAAUUGAAGUUUGUUUUCUAUUUUUGAACAAUGCUAUUAAAUAAAGGCCCUGCUGUUUGUUUAUGUUAAUUUUGGUCAUUGUUCAUUCAAUUUUUUUUUUUUUACAAUAACCUAAAAUUCUAUUUUAUAAAACCAAAUUUUCUUUUAAGGUUAGAAUAUUCUUUGACAUCUUGCAUCGUAGGAGAGCAUGCAAGCCGAAACAAAUCUCAAAACAUAAAAUCAUACAAACAUAACUUUUGGGGAACAAAUAAAAUUCAAUAACUAAAACGGAAAGAAUGAAAAACUUGAGGGACCUAGAAUAAAAAAUGACACAGUAAAUAGCUGCAAUGUUCUGCUGAUCUCCUUCAGUUUAUUAGUAAAUUUUAAGAGGAAAACACCUCGUGUACCCUGAAUUCUUGCAACUAAUGCAGAAGAUUUCUUGCUAUGAUUAAGGAAUAUCUUACUUAUUCCCUCGUCUACAAUAAUGCUAAUACAGACAAUGCUCUGUCUCCUGAAGAAAGAUGGCUUAGGUUAAAUUCUCUCCUUUGUAACCAAGAAAAUUCAUAUAGCAUGAGACAAUGUUUCAGGAUUAAUGAUCUACCUAAUGAAAAGAAUCCCUUCAAUGAAAAGCAACUAUCAAAAUGGCAACAAUAUUGGGAGUCGAGGAUCAAAACAUUGAGCUCGGGCCUGAACUUGUACAUUGAUGAUUUCCCAGUUAUGAAGUGUGAAAGUGAAGUGUUUGGUGAAUUGUGGAGGCUUGUCAUGAGAUUGUGUUCAUCAGAAAAGAUAGAAUAAACGGAGAAGGAAAGUUAACUUAUGGUACCAUAAGAUUUAGACACGAAUAUUAUUGUGUUCAUCAGAAAAGAUAGAAUAAAAGGAGAAGGAAAGUUAACUUAUGGUACCAUAAGAUUUAGACACGAAUAUUAGGGAUAAUGUAUAGAAUGCUAAGUAAAGAAUAAAAUUCACGGGCUCAGUUGUGAGGACAGACAUUGAUGUCCUGAAUAUUGCAUUAUCCUGAGAAAGAGACUUCUCAUAUUUUGAUUGAUUUCCCAGGUUCGUCAGCGACAAUUUUUUGACGUUCAUUAUGGGCAAGACUUGAAAAUGUUCUGCAGUCACUACAGCAUAGCUAAUCAGUAUUCAUUCUAGUCAAUUGGGCUAGGCUUGAUGUGAAAAAACAUGGAGUUUUUCCGUACCCAGAAGUAUGAAUUGUACCCGAGUUGUUCUUUUAGAGAGUGUAUCAAUCAAAUCUCAUGUUAGUGGCCGUCUUUAAGACCCAUAUCAGGCAAAAACCUGCCCUUCACUUUAUCAAGUGCUCAAUCAAAUUGGGUCAAUCUACUUUUCAGGCUGGGUAGUGAUUCGAAAGUAGGGUUUUGCAAAAAUUAUGAGGUUUCUAUGCUAGUUCUUGGCAAUGACAAGUUGAAUAAAAGAUUUUAUGCUAUUAUCACCAACCCCAGUUCAGCACAUGUGAGAUUAAAGUUUGCUGUGGGUCUCGUAAAUAGACUCAUGUUUCAUCAAAAACCAUAAAUCUUUGCUUAUCAAUGCCAACCACAAGAACCAACGAAUCUAAGAUCUGAUAAAUUAUUCAAUGCAAAUUGUUAGUAUGUUUCUUUUUUCUUCUGUAAUUUUUCACAAUCACACAAGACUUAUUGCAGAAUCCAUUAAUGAAAGUGAGAAUAAUUAUGUAUACAUCAAGAUCACUCAAUAAUUUGUGUUGAAAAAUCUAUAUUUCAAAUCCUAAUUAGAAAGGUUGUCGGAAACCUUUUUUUCGUCAAUAUUACACAAUACAUCUAAAAAAAAACAUUAAUUAAUUCACUAUUGGUUAUUGUGUUUAGUCUCACAAUUCACUAAAAACGACAUUGUUUAACAAGUGUUUUUUUUUUAAUUUAUUAUUGCUGUAUUUCUUCUUCUAAUUUCAGUGAUGUUUGUGAUACUUUAUUUAUUGAUAUUUUCUUAUGUUUACAUGUUCUUGAGAACUUAAGGUUUUUGAUAAAAUCUCAAAAUUGAAUUACAAGUCAAUUCGAUGCAAUAGAGUUUAAAUUUGUAGUAUGAAAAGUAAUUAAAACAAAAAGGUCCACCAUAGAAAAAAAAAAGGUAGUGCGGCUUUUCUCAAAUUCACACAAAAUAAUUCAUUUCGUAAAAAAAAUCUAUGUUCUAUCAUUUCGGUCCUUUUAGUUUUAUGAUUUUACAUUUAGAUCCCAAACUUCAUUUUAUUUAUAUUUCAAUUCUUUAGUUUGAUAGAUGAGAGGGAAAGUCAUCAAAAAAGGAGUAGUUGGGUGGCCAAAUUACAACAAUAAAAAAAAAUUUGAACUUGCCAUCUUGAUAUCAAUAGGUUUCACUCGAUAAAAGGAGUAUCAUUGAAAUGAGUUUAUUGAGGUUUUUAUAGUAUUUAUUAAGUAUUUUCAGGUGAAAAAAAAAUUCAAAAUGGAUUUUUAAAGUCCUAGAACUUGGACCCUAACUUUAUAGUCACCUCCAAUAGUCAUAAUCUUUACUAUUAGAUCAUUCGUCGUCUACCACAACAAACAACAACAAACAAUGCAUUGUCCAUUUGAAAAAAAAAGAUGAAUGACACAUCCACCUUAUUAAAUAAGAAAAGAGAAAAGAAGGUUCAUGUGCACCGAAACUUCUUUAUAUGGGAUCAAGCAUGUUGGCUUAUCCAAACCUAAUCACCUGACCUAUUUUCAUACAACCCUAUAGUUUUUUUUAAAAAAUAAUUUUAAUUUAAAUUCAUUAUAAAUAAAAUAAUUAAAGUUAUAUUUAAAAUAUUAUUCCAUUAAACACCAUUCAAUUUUCCUUUUUUUCAAAUAAUAUUAUAGUAAUUCUUUGAUAAUAUUAACAAUCAUUUCAUUAGGUAUUAGAUAUGAUCCUAAUAUGCAAAAAUCUUUUAAAACAUUUUUCAUGAAUAUUCAAUAAAAAUAAAAUUUGUAUUUUGUUAUUAUUAAUUCUUUACAUGCUUUUCUCAAAUUAAUUAUUUGUUUCUUCAAUUGCAUAUAAAAUAUCAAGAUAUGAUUUUUUUAAUUGAAACUUGCUUUUCAUUUCAUGAUAAGUUUUUUAUUUAAAAAAUAAUGCUUAUGAUGAAAAACAAAUUUUCAUAAAAAAAUGAAUUAAUAAGAAAAUGUGAUGUUUGUUAUAUUUUAUUUAUUGAUAUUUUCUUCUAUUUGCUUGUUCUUGAGAUUUAAUGUUUUUGAUAAAAUAUCAAAAUUGAAUUAGAGGCUAGUUUAGUAAAAUAGAUUUUAAACUUUGUAUUAUAAUAAAUAAUUAAAAUAAAAAAGAUCAAAAUAAAAAAGGAGUUUUUCUCAAAUUCACGAGAAAAAAAUUCAUUUUUUGUCGAAAAAUUAUAUAUAUUUUUUACUCAUUUUAGUUUUAGAAUUAUAUGUUUAUGUCCUAAACUUCAUUUUAUUUAUGUUUAAGUCUCUGAGUUUGAAAGAGAAAAGAAAAUCAUGGGAAAAAAAGUGAGGAAAAAGAAAGUGGUUGAUUUGCUACAUUCCAAUAAUAAGAAAAACAAUUUUAGUAUUAAGAGGUUCUACUUGAUGAAAUAAGUAUCAUUGAAAUGUUUUGAAACUCUUAUUUUAUGAAAACAUAGAUCAGGACUUAGGAAUUUUUUUUAUUUAACUUAAUUUUGGGUUUUUUCACCAAUUAAAGAGUAUUUUGAUGUUAUAAAUGAGUUUAUUGAAGUUUUUAAGGUGUUUCUUGAAUACUUAUAGGCGAAGAACAUGUUAAAAAUAGGUUUUUAAGAUCUAAAAACUCAAACUCUAACUUUCUAACCAUUAAUGACCCAUCGUUCUACCAUUAUAAAUGACAAGUUAUCUACUUUGCUAAAAACAAAAGUUGAAGCAAGUGUUGUCCAUUUUAUUAAACAAAAACAAAUGAGGGGGUGGACUUCUUUGUAUUGGUUCUAGCCCAUAUACCCUCUUUUCAUACAAGUAUAUAGUCUUUUUUUUUAAUUUUAAUUAAAAUUCAUUGUAAAUAAAAUAAAUAAAAUAACUAAAAUUAUAUUUAGAAUAUUAUUCCAUUAAAUACAAUUUAUUUGUUUUUCAAAUAAGAUUAUAGCAUUUUUUUUAUAAUAUCAACAAUUAUUUUGUUAAUUAUUAUAUAUGAAACUAAUAUGUAAAAAAAAUUAAUUUUUUCUUGAAUAUUCAAUGAAAAUAAAAUUUAUAUUGUUUAUUAAUUUUUUAAAAUAAUUUUCUCAGACUAAUUAUUAUCUUAUUUCUUAAAUUGCAUACAAAAUAUCAAGACAUGAUUUUUUUUUUAAUUUUAAACUUUCUUUGCAUUUCAUGAUAAAUUUCUUAUUUGAAAAAUAAUGCUUCUAAUAAAAAGAAAAUAUUUUCAUUAAAAAAAGAAAUGCAUUAACAAGAUAAUAUAGUUUAGAUUGAAGAGGUAUAUUUCUUCCUACUUAUUUUAAAUUAUUAAAGAUUUUAUAAAAAAACAUAUUUUAAUAUGAUGCUAAUAAACAAAUAUUUUGGUAAAAUAAUGCAUGAAUAAAAAAAAUAACUUGUACCAUUUCGUACAAAUACCUAUUUUAAUUAUAAUAAAAUAAAAGUAGAUUUUGAAAAAUAUCCAUGACAUUCCGCAGGUAAAUAACCAAUACUAACUAUUCAUAUAUAAUUGUAGAUAUGAAUCUGGAAAAAAUAGCAUGUUAAAACUAGAAAGAAAUAAGUUACAUUUAAAUGCUAAGUUUUUGAAUUAUAUAUAAUUACUAGAAAAAUAGAAAAAAACAACAAAAAUACCGAUGAAAAAUAUUCCAUUGUUCUUUAGUGACGGAAAAUACAACAUGAAUCUUCCAUCAAUAAUUUAAGAUGGUAAUAUUGGUGACAGAAUAAAAAAACAUUUUGUUGGCAUUUUUGCUGGAGUUAAUGACGUUUUAAAUCACUGAUAAAAAUAUUGGCAAAAAUUCUGUCAGUGAUUUUAAGAGAAAUUAAAAAUUAAAAGUGGCUCUCCACAACCUAUUUUCCUUGUGAUUUUCAGACCAAAAUCCUCUCCUUUUCUCUCUCUAACGUCUCGACAACCACCUCCACAACCUCAACAAAUACAGCCACCAUAACCUAUAACUGAUAAAAAAAAUUUAUUUCACCAAGUAAGCAAACUAACCCGUUUUAACCCAUUUAUAUUUUAAGUUAACUUAUUGAAAUCUUUUUCUCCCCCUCCACCUUCAUUUUCAGCACCUUUGAUGUGAUGUAUCAUGUAUAAUUUACCAUUUACCUUGUUGAUUUGAUUGUAUUUCAAUUGUAAUUUGGAUAGUUUCCUACUAGUAUUUUUUUUUUGUUCAUUUCUACUUUCUUUUUUUUUGUUCGUAUAUGGAAUUCUGUCUAUCACAUUGUUGUGCACUAUUUAUAUGAAUUUGCUACUUAAAUUUUUUGACCGUGAAAACUCAUAGGUCUAUCCAUUUAACAUUAUUCAUUGUGAAAUUUGUAUGUGUUAAUUUUUGGAGAUACCUUUUGUUUGUGGGUUUAUUGUAUAUGAAUUUGCAUUAUUUAUGGUUGUGAGUUUAUUAUGAGCAAGCAAUUAUUGGCUUGGGGACCCUAAUAAAAAAAAAUUCAAAUCUUCCAUGAAAUCAUUGACAAAAUCAAUAUUUCAUUGGCAAUUUUACUGGAAUGUUUCUAACCAUUCAGGAACUUUUAGUAAAACUUACAGAAAAUGUAAUAAUUCGGUGACAAAAUCACCAAUAAAAUAUUUUGUUAGAAAAAUAAUUAAACAAUGAUAAAAUUUUUGACGGAAAUAGGUGGUAAAAUCUAAUUUUUAAAUGUGAAAAUUCCAUUGAUAACUUUAUCGGUAUUAAAAAUUAUUGAUUAAAUAAAAAACCCGAUGAUUUAUUUUUCAAUAGUAGUAUUCUAUCACCGUUUUUGUAGGCAAUUUUCAAUACUAAUAAAAUCUUCCUUGUAUGCUGCUGGAAUAUUUCAUUGAUAUUUUUUAAUUUUUUGAUAAUGUAUCUACGAGCUGGUUUUAUGUUUUUUCCUCUCUAUAAAUGAAAUUUAUUACCUCAGACAGGAAACCAAAACAAUGCAUGUACAAGGAGCAAACGCAACACAUGCAUGGUUUUGCCUUGCCUCGAUCAAUCCGUUUCAUUUUUUGAAACAAAGGAAACAAAACCUACAAGAAUUUGCAGAAACAAUAAAAUGAAUGCACUAACAUGUUGCAGGUGGGGUUCUUUCAUUCAAAAAACUGUCUAUACUUUCUCUGAUUAAACAUAAUCUCAACCGUACGAAGCAUAUAUACUUUUGAUACAACGUUCGACUUUAACCGAAUUUUGUGUUCCUCUGUGUGUGGCAUAGUGCCCCCUAGCAAGGGCACUCAUGCUCCUUUCUUCCCAUGAGAACAUGUUCUAUGCUUUCGUUUAAAGGUAUUUCCUUGGGACCAAUGCAUAUGUUCAUGUCCUCCCUCAUCUCAUCCUUUUUUGACUGACUCAAUCAGCAAUUCGUUUCCAUCCUUUCCCUCUUAAAUUAUAUUUGAAAGGUGGAAGCAAUGCGCAGUUUAUUCAUUGCCAAUUAUGAUUCCCUGAAACCCUUUCCGUUUUUGACGACAUUUUCUAAUUAAUCUUUGUUUUAAUUGCAAUAUUAUGAUUUCGUACACCUUUUAGAAAAGUUACUUUAGACCCUCAUAUUUUACUAUAAUCAUGAAUAAGUUUUACGCACCGACUCACCAAUCCCCGCCAUGAGAUCUGAGAGAUUACGUUUUCUGUUCAUGGAACAUAUCCAAAGAUGAUUCGAUAAAUUUUGAAUUCUUGAAAGGGAUUCUAAGUUCCAUUUGGAUCAUAGUUUUAGCAAGUCCAGAUUAAAUUUCUAAAUUUGGGAGACUUUGUGUUGUUAGCUUUCGGUUGGAUUAUAUGCAUGCGUUGAUUCUUGAUCCACUUGGUUUGCGAGCCAAUCGAUCUCUUUAUGCGUUUUGACAGGAAUGUCCAAGAAACUUCGCAGACAAUUACUUCCUUUUCUUUUGUUCAUGCUAUCAUUCCCAUAUUUGCUUUGCAUGUGCCAUGCAUUACAGGAGAUAUUAUUCGAUAUUUGUGUAUAAUUCUCUUGGAUAAUUCUCUAUUUCUGUCGUUUGUAGUAAAUAUAUACAAGGAUUUCGAGAUUUUGACCUGUUGUUUACACUAAUUCUCUACGUCACGAUUAUUGAUUUGAGUUUUUCAUAUGAUUAAUUUGCAUAUUAAUAGCGACAAACACUCAUGCAUGGACACAUGAUUAAGUAACUAUUAAAUAUUUUUUUUUAACGGCCCUCUAAUUAAGGUGAUAAAUUAAUCAGGAUUGUACCGUGGUUGACUGACAAAGGUGGUCAAAAAACCAAAUAUGCACAAAGUCAAAGCAUCUUCCUUGCUUUUUGAACUAAUUGACCACAAACGAAGGUAGCAUUUUGUUUACUGUCCUUUGAUAGCCGAAAUAAAAGGCAUGUGAACAGCGCAGAUAUUUGAUUGAAAAAAUAAAAAAAUAAAAAUAUUUUUAGAAUAAUUUUAGAGUGAAUAUAUAUAUAUUUUAAAAUAAAAGUUACAAGGGAAAUAUAUAUUUAGAGACAAUAUUUAUUACUUUUUAUUUUUAAAAUAUCUUUAUAAAAAACUUUCAAUUUUAAAAUUAUCUCAUGUAAUUAUAAAAAUAAUUUUAUCAUAGUUUUAAAAACUAACUCGGGGGUUGAUCCAGGGUAAAGUCCGGGUCACUGGUUAAGGUCCGGAUCGGGUUCACCUGAGUCAGCGUAAGAAUAAAAAUAGUUAUUAUUAUAAUUUAAAACUAGAUUCAGGGGUCGACACGGGACACAAGACUCGGGUCAUGAGUGGGGUUGACUGUUGAAUCAAGUCAAUGUAAAGAUAAAAAUGAUUAUUAUCAUAAUUUAAAAACUCAACUCAAGGGUUGACCCGGGGUAAGGCCAGGGUCAUGUGUUGACCCGAGUUAACAUAAAAUAAAAGUGAUUAUUAUCAAAGUUUUAAAACUUGAUUAUUAAGGGUUAAUUAAUUUGGGGCAAGGUCUGGGUUACGGAUCUUGAGGGUUAAUAUAAAAAUAAAAAUUAUUAUUAUCAUAGUUUUAAAAUUUAACUUGAGAGUUGACCAGGACAAAUCCCAGUUCACUGGUCAAAAGUCUCAAGACUUGGUAUUUAUAGUGUUUGAUGAAGAUACAAAAAUUUAAUUGGUUGAAAUGGACGGCAUGAUCUCUCUUCAUGUUAACAACCUUUCUAGAAAUAAUUUGUACAUAUGGAUGAAGUCGAUUUUUGGAGAGAUCUUAAGGAUGAUAACAAUUUUUUAUUUUAAAAAAUAAAAUUAAAUACCAUGAAGGCGGUAAGGUAAAAAAAAUAAUAAUAUACGGCAGGUUGGGCCGGACUAUUACAGUUUACUACUAAGUUUGAAUAAAGAUAGUAAUAAAUCUCAUACAAGGAUAAAAUACUUAAUCCAAAAUUUGUAUGAUUUUUCUAUUUGUUUUUUCAAAUUAGUAUCAAUUUUUUUUUCUAUGCUAUAUACCAUUAUCACUUAAUUCUCUUUCCCUUUUCAAAUUAUUUUCUUCAUUUUAAAUGUGACUCUAUCUUUGUGUUUAGUAAACUUAGUAUUUUAAACAAACAAUAAUUUUUUUAAUCUAAAUCCAUUUAUUUUUUUAAAAAAUCAAAUGAGUUAUUUGAAUGCACUUAAAAUGAAUAUUGAAAAGGAUAUAUCAUUAUAUUAAUAAGAUUAAUUCUUCUUUUAUUAUAAAACCUAGGAAUAGAAUGACUCAAGAAGUAUCUAUCAUUAUAAUAUUGGCUUUUAUAAUCUAAUAACUCUUCGAAAGUUGUAACUUCGAUUUGGUUUUUAAGCAAAUAAAACAUAUUAGUAUAAUAAUUGGAAUAUAAGCAAUAUUCGAAUAGUUAAGUACUAUGACUUUUUUUGCUUAUUGAAAGAGAAAAAAAAAUCCUUUUCCAUUAAUUUAACCUGGAGCUAGAAGAAAGUGAAGAAUUAUGUUUUAAAAUAAACAAAUAUUAGAAAAAAGAAAAUAUGAUUAAAUAAUAAUUAUUUAUCUAUAAUUAAAUAAAAAAAGCAUGAACUUUAUAUCGAAACAUUUAAUUCAACACAAAUACCUUUUACGGAUCUUAUUGGUAAAUGCUAAAUAUACCAAUUUUUUUUUUUAUUAAAAAGACUUAAUACUCCAUAUAUAGAAAUGAAUUAUUUUUUUUAUAUGACAACAUAAAAUAUAUACCAAUAAAAAUAUGUCAAUUCAAGUACUAUACCUUUGAUCAUGAAAGCUACUGGAAACUUAAUAUAAUUCACUAAAACAAUUAAUUUCAUUUUUUUAUUAUGUGCCUAUUUAUGCAUUAGAUAAAUCCUUAAAUAAUAUAAAAUAAUUAACCUUCUUAAAUCACCCUCUACUUUAUUGAAAAUUAAUUUUGACUAUUAAAUUAUUUAUACCAAUAAAUUAUUAAUUUCAGUAAAUCACAUGUAAGUUAAUCAUUUUUAUAAGGGAUCCUUGGUAUUUUAUCUAAAUAUAACAAUUAUUUACAUGGAUUGUAAGGAAAAAUAAAACUCUUUUUAUUUUUUCUUUUAUGAAAAACAAAAAACGAUAUGAAACUUUCUUAUAAUAUCAUACGAAGAAUAUUGUUUUAAUUUUCAUGCCACAAUUUUUUAAAGAUUUGUUUGUUUUAGUAGUGUGUAUAUAUAUAUAUAUAUAAAAACAAACAAAUCUUUAUAUAUAUAUAUAAAAGUGCUUUGCAUUUUAAUAUUAAUACAGUCUAUCAAAUAUAUAGAAAAUACUAAAAAUAUUCUCUAAAAAUAAUCAUACAGGAAAAAAUAUAAUACAUGGUUAAAUUCGGCGUGGCGUAUUACUUAAAACACAAUCACUCCAGUAGUAAUGAAUUUUUUAUCACAAGAUGUAGAUUUGCUUAAGAAAAAACAGAGGUCAAUAGAGUACUAAGAAGAGCAAAAAAGUUUAUUGCUUGCCUUAAAUAUAAGGAAUUAGAUUUACUUGUGAAAACUGUAGUAGAUUUAGAACAGGUAGGGAAAUGACCAAGUUCAGUAUUAAUUUGUUUUUACGUUUAAGAAGCAUUUUAAAAAGAAAUUAUCUUUUUUUAUAAUUUUAGAUUAUUUUAAUGUGCUAUAUAAAAAAUAUUUUUAAAAUACAAUUACUUUUUUUGUUUAAAUUGAUUGGAUUUUAUUAUUAAAAUAUUCAAGUUGUGUUAAAUCAAGAAAGUUAUUGUACAGUAAAAAUAUAUAAAAAUUAAAUUUAUUAGAAAUUUCAUUGGUCUAUUAAGUUUUUAACUAGAUAUUUCAUUAACUAGCUAUUGGACGACUAGAUCUGCCAGAUUUUUUUCAUCUAAAAAUGGUAAAUAGUUAAAUAUACUAGUUAUAAAAUCCAAGACUUUCAUAAUUUAUCUAUAUUAUAGAUUUAAAUUUAAUAUUAUCAUUUAUGGAAGUAUAAAAAAUCGAGGGUAUUCUUAUCUAUAAUAAUAAUAAUAAUAAUAAUAAUAAUAAUAAGUUGUUUUGGAGUGAAAAUUUUCAAACUAAAUAAUGAAGACCUGUUAACUAUUAAUUCAAAUGUUGAAUAUUACAUUAAUUCCUUCUUCUUUUUUUGUGCUAAAUGCAUUGAGGCGCCACGUAUAUUAAUUCAACGAUUAAAAUUGUGAUUAAGGGAUCCAUUACCUUCAUUAAGUAAAAGUGUUCUGGAUUAGAUAUAUGCAUAGCAUUUUGUUACUGCAUGACACAGAAGAAAUGUAGACAAUGAGGACAAAAAUAUAUUUGGUAGCAAAAAAUUCUAAAUUUCAAACUUGUUAAAUUAAUAAAUAAAAAUGAUUAUAGUUUUAAAGUUUGAUUUGGGGAUUAAUAUGGGGCAAAGUCCAGAUUACAUGUUGGAAGGGUCAACUUUAUUUUUUUAAAGUAUUAAAAAGAUGUUGUUUUGACUUAUUUUCAACAAAAAAUCAACAGGUUUUUUACUUGUGUUUUAAAAGAGUUUCAUCUCAGGUUGAUCAUGUUGCGGGUGAACUCGGGUUUUUAAUGAGGUCAAAUUAAAUCAAUCAUUCCCCUAUUUUUUUUUAAAAGCAGACCAAUCUAGGCUUCAGGUUGUCUAGAUCUUGAGCAAUUUGUCAAGCCGAUCCAAGUUUUAUAACUAUGAUUAUUAUACUAUCAUUAAUUUCAACACUCAAUGUAAAUUAAAGUAAAAAAAUAAUAUCUAAUUAUUUUUUUAAAAUACAUAAGUUUGACAAUAAUAUAUAUUAAAAGUAAAAUAAAUUUUUUCCGUAUUUUAUUAUGUAUAUUUCACCAUCAACCAAAUAGAAAUUCUAAUUUACCAAUUUGCCCCCCAAAAAAUAAAAAUAUAUGUGCUACUUUUAAAAAUUCGUGUCUCUUCGCGAUGCCUAUAAAUUAAUGUCCCUCCCCUGAUUAACUAGACAACCCUCCUGUCUUCAGCUCUUUAAUUCUUUUUCCCAUUUUUGGUGUCAAAUUAUAUUUGCUUAGUUGAGAACCUGUUUCAAUCGAUCACCGCCAGCAACCAUGGCCAUGAUCGUGUUGGUGCUGACAACUCUAUUAGUUAUAUUCCUUAUUUCAUUCUUUAAGAUUGCAUAUGAUACCUUAUCGUGUUAUUUUCUUACACCAAGACGCAUCAAAAAAAUCAUGGAGAAGCAAGGAGUGCGUGGCCCCAAACCCCGCCCUCUUAUCGGCAACAUCCUAGACGUUGCCGAUUUUGUAUCUCAGUCCACUGCCAAAGACAUGGAUCACAUCACUCACGACACUGUCAAUCGUCUCUUGCCACAUUAUGUUGCUUGGUCUAAACAAUACGGUAUGCACAUAUGUCUCACAUUCGAGACGGGACUCAAACCAGAGACUGAAUUGUUCAAAGAACUUUGUUGGGUUUCUCUCUUUUCUAAAAAAAGGUUUGAUUUCUCUUUUUUCAGGGAAAAGGUUUAUAUAUUGGAAUGGGGUGGAGCCAAGGCUGUGCAUAACAGAGACUGAAUUGAUCAAAGAACUUUUAACAAAGUAUAGCUCUAAAGCUGGUAAGUCAUGGCUGCAAAGAGAGGGAACCAAACAUUUUAUCGGUCGUGGUUUGUUAAUGGCUAACGGAAGUGAUUGGUAUCAUCAACGCCAUAUUGCUGCGCCGGCAUUCAUGGGAGAAAGGCUCAAGGUUAAUACAGUUCACAACAUGUUUCAUAUUCUUGGUAUUGAUUCAUUUUAAUGAUGGAAGCACUGAGAGAUUUGCUUUUUCUGGUUAUGAAGAGCUACGCAGGGCUAAUGGUGGAAUGCACAAAGAAGAUGCUCCAAUCACUGCAAAAUGCAGUAGAAUCUGGCCAAACUGAGGUAGAAAUUGGUGAAUACAUGACUAGAGUGAGUGCUGAUAUAAUUUCAAGAACCGAAUUCGACAGUAGCUACGAGAAGGGGAAGCAAAUAUUCCAUCUCUUAACAGAGUUGCAAAGUCUUUGCCAUCAAGCAACGAGGCACUUGUGCCUUCCCGGAAGCCGGUAAGUGUUCUUCAGAGAAGUAUAUAUAUCUGAUAAAAAGUUGUGUGUAAUUUACAUUACGUGGUCGGUUUUUUCUUCCUUUGACAGAUUCUUCUAUCACUUUCAAGUUAGUUCUGGUUCUUUAAAAUUUACUUGGGAUUCCUUGUCUGCAACAAGUUGCAUUAGUGGAUUCAUGAUCAUGUGACGUUAAAUUUUAAUGUAUUCCCCUGACAGGUUCUUUCCUAGUAACUACAACAGACAAAUAAAAUCCAAGAAGAUGGAGGUGGAUAGACUACUACUGGAGAUCAUACAAAGCCGAAAAGAUUGCGUAGAGAUCGGUAGAAGUAGUUCUUAUGGAAAUGAUUUACUGGGGAUUCUUGUGAAUGAGAUGGAGAAAAAGAGAAGUGAUGGUUUUAAUAUAAACCUUCAGUUGAUCAUGGAUGAAUGCAAGACAUUCUUCUUUGCCGGACAUGAAACAACUGCUCUUUUACUGACAUGGACGGUCAUGCUUCUAGCCAGCAACCCUUCUUGGCAAGAAAAGGUGAGAGCCGAGGUGAAUGAAGUCUGCAAUGGUGAAACUCCUUCAAUUGAUCAUCUUUCCAAAUUCAAUUUGGUAAGUGACGAUUUACCAAGUUUUUCAAUAUCCAUUCCAUUUUCUCUAAAAAGUACAAAACAGCGGGCGUGGUGGUAAGUAAAUCCAGGGGUGUGAGGCUAAUUAUAUUGAAACCCAACACAAUGGGUCCAAAAAAAAAAUUAUUUUUCUGUUUUAUUAUUAGGAAACCCAUUGAACUAAGCUUCAUGAAGAAUUCAAUUGUAAAUUGAGUCAUGAGCUGUUAAUACUCAUAGAUAUGGAAGUUGUCCUGUCUCCUGAUAAGAUAGCUGUCGUUCUUAACCUUACAAAAACUUUUAACUAAAAGUUGUACAAACCAAAUCCUACUCGUAGCAGUAAUAUUAUCACUGACUAACUUCUUCCUCAGAUAAGCUAAAGGAUUUUGAUUUUAAAUAUUUCUCAUUUCUUUUAAAGGAAGCAAAUCUUUUCUGCAUUCAGGAGAAUAAACAAAAUGGUUUUGUACUGUUGUGCUUUUAGUUGGUGGCACUCAAAUACGUAAGACAAUGACCAGUCCAGGUUCAUUUUGAAAGAAAAGUAAGUGGCCCUCUAACUUAAACAAGGCCUUAGAGUUCAUGGUUCACCACUUCAGAAUUUGUUCUUCUCUGCUUAGAUAGCUUGAAGGUAUAUUUUAAUGGAAGAAGCUAAAUAUUGAUUAAUCUUAUUAACAGCCUAGCUGCCUACUAGUUAUGAAUAAAAUAUUGGAAUCAUCCAGAGAGAGUCAAAAAGGAAUUUGGUAUUGUUUAGAUUCAAGUAUCCACUCAGAUGGGAAUGGUCAACAAAGGUUCUAUAGUGGCAUGUAAAGUGUUGUAUCUUCACUGAAAGCGAAAAAUCACCUGCAUUCCAAAAAACUUUCGGCCUCAAAAUAUUUCUUCAUGGUCAACUAAUAACUUGUACAUGAACUUUUUGGCAUUUUUGCAGUUAAACAUGGUUAUAAAUGAGUCUCUAAGGCUCUAUCCACCGGCCACUUUGCUACCUCGAAUGGCCUUCGAAGAUAUUAAGCUAGGUGAUCUUCAUGUUCCAAAGGGGCUACAAAUAUGGAUUCCGGUUCUGGCAAUUCACCAUAGCGAAGAAAUAUGGGGAAAAGAUGCAAAUGAGUUCAAUCCUGACAGAUUUGCCUCCAAGCCAUUUGCUCCUGGACGGCAUUUCAUCCCUUUUGCCACCGGACCGCGGAAUUGUAUAGGCCAGUCUUUUGCUAUGAUGGAAGCUAAAAUCAUAUUAGCCAUGUUGAUUUCCCAGUUUAGCUUCCAUAUUUCUGAUAGCUAUCGCCAUGCUCCUGUUGUCGUCCUCACAAUAAAACCAAAAUAUGGGGUUCAAGUUUAUUUGAAGCCCUUGAAUUCGUGAAAACGAUCGAUUUUGAAAAGCCAGAGUUUGUUAGGUCUAGAUGCGACGAGGGAGUUUAUACUUUAUAUAUAUAUAUAUUAAGAUUGAUCAGCUCUUAUAAUUAUAGUAUAUUCAAGAGAUAGAUAGAUGUCAAAUUAGUAAAGUUUGUACUCUAAUUUUGUAAACAAUAUUUAAGGUGAUAUAUAUCUAGUUACCUAUAAAUAAUAUUAAUAAAAAAAAACAUUGUGAAAAUUAAUACAAGUUCUGUGUUCAUAAGCCUCAUCAGAUGCUCAUACGAAGUGCUAAAAGUGUAGAGGGAAAGGGCCUUCUUCUUCAGCAAUUGAUGCUUACAUACUCGUAAUUAUAGCUUGAUUCUUCCCUUCUUUUCUCUCCAAUUAGAUUUUGAUUUAACCAAGUGCUCCAACUUUCGACACUGAUAAAACCAAAAAGGAUGCAUCCUUGGCUUUCUGACCAGCCACUCUCCAUAUUCCUACACCAAUCUGUUAUUCUGCUCCUUCCACUACCCAUUUUCUCCAAUUAUUUUUGCUGCAGCUUUUUCCCUUUUCUUUUCUUUUUUUGUCGCUGUCUUUUUCACUUUACACGAAAAAAUUCCUAUACCUAGCUAUCGCACGAAUACAUUACAGAAUGUUAUGCAGCACAUAUUUCUUUUAAAGGAAGCAUUUUUUAUCGAUAUUAAACCCCUUUUUAAUUUAUUUUUUAAUCGGUCGGUCGCAAUCAUGUGUUACGUAAACUUGGCUAGCAAGAGAUUGCAAACCCUAAUUAAGGUAAGAUUUUGGAAGAAUGUUUGUAGUUAGUAUAAAAGACUGGAGUACGUAUAACUGAUCAAAGAAAAUUAGUAUGAUAUAAAAAAAUUCGUUCAAUUUUUCUUUAUAUUUUAUAUUAAGUCUUCAAUUUUUUUUUCUAUAAGUUUAAUUGCUCUCAGUUAAUUUGUUCAUUUUCUUCUAGUAUAUAUUUCCGUGUAAAUUGAUAGAAAUACCCUCACUUGAAGAACUCAAGCCGUGUCUAAUUUUUUUAAAAUAUAUAUAAAUCUGAAAAGAGUCCUGAUUCAUGAAGAAAAAAAAGUGAUAUUGUGUUAAAAUUCAUUUUUAUGGUUUUUUAAAAUAAAUUAGGGUAGGUUUUAGUGUUCAUAUUUUCGUUAGUGUGGAUGAAAAUAUCUUAUACAAGCAUAGAUCAGAGAAUGAUUUUAUAUUCAGGUAUAAAUUGAAGAACAAAUUACUUAUAAAAAAUAGAUUGAAAAAUAAAUAUAAAUUAUAAGAAUAGAUCAUUGAGCUAUUUCUUCGAAGAGUACUAUUGUAAGGAACAUAAUUUUGACAGGAUACGUAACUUUUCCAAAAUCAAAGCACAGACUGUCCGAGCUCGAUGCUAUUCAAAUUCCAGGAACUUUCAUGAGUACUGUUGUUGGCAUUUCACUAGAUUUGAUUGAUUCAUCUGAAUCUUGAAAUUGAACAGAGCUAGUAACCAAAUUCCAAUCCGUUCCAGGCUUAAAACACUGUAUCAAAAGAUCAUGAGGAAUCUAAAUUUGCGGAUUGCUGCAGAAAAUAAUGUGAAAACAAGAGGAUGAGAAGAAAAUGGUAAUCAUUUUCACAAAAAGCGGUUUGAAAAUUUGAGAAGAUAAUGUAAGAAAGGCAAAUCAGAACACCUGAUCAACUAGCCGAAAGAAGAAAGAACUUUUUUUUUCUCGUAAGCUCGUUGAAUCAUGCAUGGCUGUAAAUUUUGAGCCGUCCUCACGAGUUUUCGGUGCCAUCUUGAUUCUAAUCAGAAGGGUCUAGAUUUUUAAAGACUUUUAAGAAGUAUUGUUCAGGUUUAAUUUAAAAGUAUUUUCUUUUAAUUUAAAAAAUCACUACCAGAAAAUUAUCAAAUAUCAAAGGCAAUACCGACAAAAAAAUAUCAUCAGUAAAUUACAAUGAUAUUUACUGAUCACGUUGUUUCCGUCGAUAAUAACUGACAGAAUUACUGAUGGAAUUCAAAGAAUAAAAAAAUUAAAAAUGCAUUCCCUUGUUAAUUCUGUCGGCAAAUCUGACGUGUCAAUAUUUUUGACAGAAUUAUCAAUGAUAAUUUACUGUCACUAAUUUCCAUCAUGAAAUCCAUCGGUAAUAUUAAAGUUAUAACCAGCAUCACGACUCCCCCUUCCUUCCUUUUCUUUUUGCAGAAAAAAACACUCUUCCUUCUAUUUUUUCACAAAUCUAGUUCUCUUCAUCAUAAAUUCAGUCACCCUAACACUCAGUCUGUCAAUAUCCUUAUCCUAGUUUUUUUUUUUUUUAAGAUUCUCCACAUUAAGUAAGCAAACUUGCCUAUUUUUUUUACCCUUAAUGUUUUGGCAUUUUUACGUAGUAUAUGUAGUUUGUUUGUUUGUUUACUUGUUUAUGGCUUUUUCCUAGAUAAAUGUGUUGUAUAGAUGUAUGAUUUGAACAAGUUAGAGUUUGCUUGAGAUUUUAAAAAAUUAUACUUGUUUGUCAGUUGAUGAAAUUGAGUUUGAUUUUGUAUCUUAGAUGUGUUAUAAUAAAAAUCACUGAUGGUAUAUUUUUCAACGAUAUUUUUUCAUUAGUUAUUUUGUUGUUAAUUGUAUUUCUGACUGAAUAUGUUGGAGAAUAAUAUAAAUCAUAUCUUGGAAUCUCACCUAACAGCUUAAGCUAUUGGGUUGAUAUGGUUCUUUAACAUGGUAUCAGAGCCUUGAUGACCAAGCGGUCACGAGUUCGAAUCUCACCAUCCCUAUUUAUUUGAUAAAAAUUAAGCACAAGGUAAUGUGGGUCUGUGCAAGUUUCAAGUUCAAAUGGCUUUCACUUGAAGGGGUGUGUUGGAGAAUAAUAUAUAUCAUGUCUUUGAACUUUACCUAACAGUUUAAGCUAUUGGGUUGAGAUGAUUAUUUGACAGAAUUUAGCUUUAAACACAUACGAGAUAUUUUUUUGGUGUUUUGCUAUUUUCUGGUAGUGAAUAUUUUAUUUUUAGUUCAUGAACUUCAAUAAAAUAUUUUACAAAUACUAAUCAAUUCACACUAUCGUUCAAUAAUUUCAAUCAACACUAUCCUCACCUCAUUGUCAUUGUCGUCACUACCUCCGUCAUUGCCACCACCCUUUCACUUCAACGCAAUUUUUAUGUAUUUUCAGUGUCACCACUGUCACCUUAUCAUCACAACUCCAGGACUUCACCAUCCCUCUCAUUACUCUAUUAUUAUUGUUGUUGUUGCUGCUGCUUCAUCAUUAUAUCAAAUCACAUCAUUCUACUACUAUUACUAUGUUUUUCACAUUAUCAUUUAUUAAAUAUCAUAAAAUAUUUUUCAUGUAUGCUAUUUUAUGAAAAACAAACGCACUUAAUAAAUAUAAAUUAUUAGAUAUGUGACUUCUUUAUGUUGGACUCAUACUAAUUCAAGAGGAAAAAAAUGGAUAAACGUGCACCACGCGAAAGAAAUUUUGUUAAGUACCAAUGAAGAAAGAUAUCUUCACUUCGGAAAAGAAAAUGGAGAACAUAAAGUGUGAGAAUUACAACACUAUAGUUGUCCUUAAGGUUCUUUCUUCAAUGAAGACAAAUGCACCAAAUAAAAUAAUAUUUGACUUGACUAUCAAUGGUCGGAAAUGGCUACAAAAAAAGCGGCCCCGUCGCUCGCCUUCAACAAAAGAUUUCCAAAAUAAGCUUGAAAGGUGCCUUUAGAACCGUAGCUUUUUAUUUUUCUUUGAUAGUGAAACGUUGUCAUAAUCCAAAUUUAACUAUUUUCUAAUAUAUUUUUUAAAAGAAUUUUUUUUAAAAAAAUAGAGAGUGAAAUAAUAAGCAAGCUAAAGAAAGGGAUCCAAAUAAAGAUUAGACCUUCAUUUUCAAGAUAAGUGUAAGAUGAAAGAUCAGUAAAGAUAAAGUAGGAGUUUAAAAUAAAUAAAAAGGUUAAUUUUAAAUUAAAAGUUAAAGUUUUGAGAAUUAAAAACUCAAAAAAAAAUUUAUAGAUUUGAAAAGAUAAAAUCUUUAAAGUUUAGAAAUUUAAAAUAAAUACUACAACUAGGGCUUAGGUUCGGAAAGAGGGACAAGAAAAAUUAGAUAAAAAAAAUUAUGAGAGAAAAAUCAGAGCAGAAAAACUAUAAAAGUACCGGAGAUAAAAAUCAUAAGAGAAACACUGCAAGAGAAAACAAAGAAGAAUUAGAGAGGAAAAAUAAAGCCAUCUUUCUCGUUCCAAACCCUAGAAAAAUUUAUGAAUUUUUUCAAAAUAGAAGAAAUAUUUGUGUGUGAGAGGUUUGUGUUGUUGGUUUUUACCAAAGAACCCAUUAAAAGUAUGAUCAUUAAACAGGUCGUGUCAAUCGAAUGUUAAAAUUUUGUUAUUUUUAUUUAAUACAAAUAUAUUUUAUUUUGUGUAAUUUAUGUUCAAUUUAAUAGUAGUAUGAUCCUUAAACAGGUUAUAUUCUUUACUUAUUAAAUUAUGAAGUCUAAUUUGAUUCUCAAUUAAUUUAAUAUUGAAUGAUGAAAUUAAAAAAAAAUCAACUAAAAAGGACAAAAAACCUGAGUCAACCGGUCUAACCCGCGAUCAGGUCAUAAGACGAUAAUAACCACAUAGAAAGUAAAUAAAAGAAAUAUAUAAAUCUCAAUUCUCAAUCAACCCAAUUUUAAAAGAUUAAAUUGAAAAAAAUAAUAAAAAAGACAAAAAAACAAUAACAGAGUCAACCAAUCAAACCUGGGUAAGAAGACCAAGAUAACUCAAUAGAAAGCGAAUUGAAAAAAAUUAUAAAUUAAUAUUCUUAAUCAACUCAAUUUUAAAAAAUAAAAUUGAAAAAAAUAAUUAAAAUAUAAAAAAAAUAACCCAAGUCAACAUGGCUGACCUGUCAAACUAGUGACUCAAGUCAUGAGACCUGAAUAACUUCAUAAAAAACAAAUCAAAACAAAAUGUAAAGUCUUAUACUCAAUAAACUUAUUGUUUAAAGAUGAAAUUAAAAAUAAAAAAAAAUCUAAGUUUAACAUUAAAAAAAAUCCUCAAAAAUUUUAAUGAACAAGAUGAAAAAGUGCUUUUCGGGAUUUUUUGUUUCUGCGUUUCAAAACCGCUUUUGAAAAAAUUUGAAAUUUUGAAAUUUUUUUUUAUUUACUUCAAAUUAAUAUGUUUUUAGUGUUUUAAAAUCAUUUUGAUGCGCUGAUAUCAAAAAUGAUUUUAAAAAAAUCAAAAAACAUCAUUUUGAUGCAUUUCGACACGAAAAGUAUUUUGAAAAGCAAUCGCAACCACACUUAAACAAGCUUGAAAAAAUGCUUUUCUUUUCACAUAACAUUGCUACGAUGAAAAAGCAAAGCUGUUUUAGUGUGUAUAUAUAUAUAUAUAUAUUAAUUUGUUUCUGUUAUAAUAGUUGAUGAAAAAAAAUGCUUGUAGUGUCCUAAUUUCUUGUUGAAUGCUUGUUUGAGAUAAAAGAGUCAAAAUAAUCAUAAAGAAAACUAAUAUAUUUAUAGAAGUUGAAGCUUUGAGAGUUAAGACCAUGAUUUAAACCUUGUAAAAUGCUUUCUGUUGGUAUUCUCUAACAUUCUUUUAUCAAGAAGGAAAGGAUGAGUGCUUCUUGUUCAAUCACGUGGAAAUUAAUUUUAGUUCAUGAACUUCAAUAAAAUAUUUUACAAAUACUAAUCAAUUCAUAUUAUCAUUCAAUAAUUUCAAUCAUCACCAUACUCACCUCAUUGCCAUUAUCGUCACUACCUUCAUUAUUGCCACCACUCUUUCACUCCAAUGCAAUUUCUAUAUAUUUCCAGUGUCACCACUGUCACCUUAUCAUCACCACUCCAUGACUUCAUAAUCCCUCUCGUUACUCUAUUAUUAUUGCUGUUGCUGUUGCUGUUGCUGUUGCUGCUUCAUUAUUAUAUCAAAUCAUAUUAUUUUACUAUUACUACCAUGUUUUUCACAUUAUCAUUUACUAAAUAUUAUAAAAAAAUGGAUAAACGUGCACCACGCGAAAGAAAUUUUGUUAAGUACUAAUGAAGAAAGAUAUCUUCACUUUGGAAAAGAAAAUGGAGAACAUAAAGUGUGAGAAUUACAACACUAUAGUUGUCCUUAAGGUUCUUUCUUCAAUGAAGACAAAUGCACAAAAUAAAAUAAUAUUUGACUUGACUAUCAAUGGUCGGAAAUGGCUACAAAAAAAGCGGCCCCGUCGCUCGCCUUCAACAAAAGAUUUCCAAAAUAAGCUUGAAAGGUGCCUUUAGAACCGUAGCUUUUUAUUUUUCUUUGAUAGUGAAACGUUGUCAUAAUCCAAAUUUAACUAUUUUCUAAUAUAUUUUUUAAAAGAAUUUUUUUUAAAAAAAUAGAGAGUGAAAUAAUAAGCAAGCUAAAGAAAGGGAUCCAAAUAAAGAUUAGACCUUCAUUUUCAAGAUAAGUGUAAGAUGAAAGAUCAGUAAAGAUAAAGUAGGAGUUUAAAAUAAAUAAAAAGGUUAAUUUUAAAUUAAAAGUUAAAGUUUUGAGAAUUAAAAACUCAAAAAAAAAUUUAUAGAUUUGAAAAGAUAAAAUCUUUAAAGUUUAGAAAUUUAAAAUAAAUACUACAACUAGGGCUUAGGUUCGGAAAGAGGGACAAGAAAAAUUAGAUAAAAAAAAUUAUGAGAGAAAAAUCAGAGCAGAAAAACUAUAAAAGUACCGGAGAUAAAAAUCAUAAGAGAAACACUGCAAGAGAAAACAAAGAAGAAUUAGAGAGGAAAAAUAAAGCCAUCUUUCUCGUUCCAAACCCUAGAAAAAUUUAUGAAUUUUUUCAAAAUAGAAGAAAUAUUUGUGUGUGAGAGGUUUGUGUUGUUGGUUUUUACCAAAGAACCCAUUAAAAGUAUGAUCAUUAAACAGGUCGUGUCAAUCGAAUGUUAAAAUUUUGUUAUUUUUAUUUAAUACAAAUAUAUUUUAUUUUGUGUAAUUUAUGUUCAAUUUAAUAGUAGUAUGAUCCUUAAACAGGUUAUAUUCUUUACUUAUUAAAUUAUGAAGUCUAAUUUGAUUCUCAAUUAAUUUAAUAUUGAAUGAUGAAAUUAAAAAAAAAUCAACUAAAAAGGACAAAAAACCUGAGUCAACCGGUCUAACCCGCGAUCAGGUCAUAAGACGAUAAUAACCACAUAGAAAGUAAAUAAAAGAAAUAUAUAAAUCUCAAUUCUCAAUCAACCCAAUUUUAAAAGAUUAAAUUGAAAAAAAUAAUAAAAAAGACAAAAAAACAAUAACAGAGUCAACCAAUCAAACCUGGGUAAGAAGACCAAGAUAACUCAAUAGAAAGCGAAUUGAAAAAAAUUAUAAAUUAAUAUUCUUAAUCAACUCAAUUUUAAAAAAUAAAAUUAAAAAAAAUAAUUAAAAUAUAAAAAAAAUAACCCAAGUCAACAUGGCUGACCUGUCAAACUAGUGACUCAAGUCAUGAGACCUGAAUAACUUCAUAAAAAACAAAUCAAAACAAAAUGUAAAGUCUUAUACUCAAUAAACUUAUUGUUUAAAGAUGAAAUUAAAAAUAAAAAAAAAUCUAAGUUUAACAUUAAAAAAAAUCCUCAAAAAUUUUAAUGAACAAGAUGAAAAAGUGCUUUUCGGGAUUUUUUGUUUCUGCGUUUCAAAACCGCUUUUGAAAAAAUUUGAAAUUUUGAAAUUUUUUUUUAUUUACUUCAAAUUAAUAUGUUUUUAGUGUUUUAAAAUCAUUUUGAUGCGCUGAUAUCAAAAAUGAUUUUAAAAAAAUCAAAAAACAUCAUUUUGAUGCAUUUCGACACGAAAAGUAUUUUGAAAAGCAAUCGCAACCACACUUGUUGAAUGCUUUUCUUUUCACAUAACAUUGCUACGAUGAAAAAGCAAAGCUGUUUUAGUGUGUAUAUAUAUAUAUAUAUAUAUAUAUUAAUUUGUUUCUGUUAUAAUAGUUGAUGAAAAAAAAUGCUUGUAGUGUCCUAAUUUCUUGUUGAAUGCUUGUUUGAGAUAAAAGAGUCAAAAUAAUCAUAAAGAAAACUAAUAUAUUUAUAGAAGUUGAAGCUUUGAGAGUUAAGACCAUGAUUUAAACCUUGUAAAAUGCUUUCUGUUGGUAUUCUCUAACAUUCUUUUAUCAAGAAGGAAAGGAUGAGUGCUUCUUGUUCAAUCACGUGGAAAUUAAUUUUAGUUCAUGAACUUCAAUAAAAUAUUUUACAAAUAUUAAUCAAUUCAUAUUAUCAUUCAAUAAUUUCAAUCAUCACCAUACUCACCUCAUUGCCAUUAUCGUCACUACCUUCAUUAUUGCCACCACUCUUUCACUCCAAUGCAAUUUCUAUAUAUUUCCAGUGUCACCACUGUCACCUUAUCAUCACCACUCCAUGACUUCAUCAUCCCUCUCGUUACUCUAUUAUUAUUGUUGUUGCUAUUGCUGUUGUUGUUGCUGCUUCAUUAUUAUAUCAAAUCAUAUUAUUUUACUAUUACUACCAUGUUUUUCACAUUAUCAUUUACUAAAUAUUAUAAAAAAAUGGAUAAACGUGCACCACGCGAAAGAAAUUUUGUUGAGUACCAAUGAAGAAAGAUAUCUUCACUUUGGAAAAGAAAAUGGAGAACAUAAAGUGUGAGAAUUACAACACUAUAGUUGUCCUUAAGGUUCUUUCUUCAAUGAAGACAAAUGCACAAAAUAAAAUAAUAUUUGACUUGACUAUCAAUGGUCGGAAAUGGCUACAAAAAAAGCGGCCCCGUCGCGCGCUUUCAACAAAAGAUUUCCAAAAUAAGCUUGAAAGGUGCCUUUAGAACCGUAGCUUUUUAUUUUUCUUUGAUAGUGAAACGUUGUCAUAAUCCAAAUUUAACUAUUUUCUAAUAUAUUUUUUAAAACAAUUUUUUUUAAAAAAAUAGAGAGAAAUAAUAAGCAAGCUAAAGAAGAAAGGGAUCCAAAUAAAGAUUAGACCUUCAUUUUCAAGAUAAGUGUAAGAUGAAAGAUCAGUAAAGAUAAAGUAGGAGUUUAAAAUAAAUAAAAAGGUUAAUUUUAAAUUAAAAGUUAAAGUUUUGAGAAUUAAAAACCCAAAACAAAAUUUAUAGAUUCGAAAAGAUAAAAUCUUUAAAGUCUAGAAAUUUAAACUAGAUACUACAAAUAGGGCUUAGAUUCAGAAAGAGGGACAAGAAAAAUUAAUCAGGUCGUGUCAAUCAAAUAUUAAAAUUUUGUUAUUUUUAUUUAAUACAAAUAUAUUCCUCACUUGUUAAAAAAUUGUUAUGUUCGAUGUGAAAGCUAUAUAUAUUGUUUUUUGAAAUGUGAACUCUGCAUGUGAGUUAUAAAUUCACAUUUUAUUGCUUUUAUAUCAUACAGUAAAUUAUUAAUUUAUUGGUGUAGUCACUUUCAAGGUGACAACAUUCAUAAAAAAUCAUAUAUGGUGUGAAUUAUCUUUUUUUUUCUUUGUAAAUGUUUUUUACUUUGAUUUUUAUCAAUGCAUGUAGAUUUUUAUUUAUAAUUUUUCAUGUGUUGGGAUAUUAUUUCCAUUAUUGCAAACAAAUUUGAACUAGGUUAAUAUGAUCCUAUCAAAGCUCUUUUAGAAUGAGUUAAUAUCUUGGAGUCAUUUUAAAUAUAAUUAUAUAGAAAGGUUAAAAUUCAAAUUGACCAUUACUAUUUUCUUGGAUUCAAUGCCUAUAUUUUAAAAAUAAGGAUUAAACUUUAUUGUUAGAUCCAUGUUCCAAAUCAUUGUCUCAGGAUUAGUAAUCUUUUACAACGUAAUAGUUUAGGUGUGUUAGAGAAUAAUAUAAAUCAUAUCAUGGGACCUCACCUAAUAGCUUAAACUCUUGGGUUGAGAUGAUUCUUUGAGAAGGUAAACUCCUAGGAAGAGUACAAGAUACAUUUUUAUCAUUAAAAGCAAGCAAUAAUACACCUUAUUUUAAAUAUAAUGUUUUAGAAUAAAUAAAAUAUUUUUUUAAUAUAACUACUCCUUUAACUAGAAUUCUAAAAACUAAAUAAGAUAUCUAGUCACCAUAAAUUAGAAAACUACAUCUUUUUUUUAUUUUAUCUCUACUAAUUUUAAAUAACCAAGAUCACCAAGAUGUCCAAUGUGACAGUCACAAUGAAGUUCCUCGUAAGAGAUACGGCGUUAAAGAUGCAAGGAGAGUUGUAUAAUGAAUGGAAUUAUUUGUGCUCAAUAUCCGAUAUCAACUCGAUAAAAUGUCGAUACAAAUUCGAUUAAGCUUGCUCGCAAUUUUUAAAUUCAAUCACUUUUAUCAAGAAUUGAACAAAUUAUUAUUCAGCUUGAAAUGUUCUUAAAUAUAAAAUAUACUUUAAAUAAUUAUUUUGAAAAAAAAAAGUGUUAGUGAAAAAAAAAUUAACAAAUCAAACUUGAAUGUUAUUAAUUUUAAAACUCGAUAUGAUACUCAAACUCGCUCAAGUUCAAUGUAAUUUAGAGGAACCAAUUUUGAACAUCACGAGUGACUCAAAUACAUUACUAGAUGCAAAAUGAUGCUAAAAUCUUGGGACUUUAAAUGUAUAAUAUAUUCCUUAAUUAAUUCAAAGUCCCACCACAUUUGAGAUAUAUAUAAUCAUAUGAUAUAUAAUAAUUAGUUGUAAACCUUUGUAUUCAUUAUCUGAUCCCAUCUGCCCGAGUGGAUUUAAUUAAAUGGCUCAAAAGUAUUGGUUUGUACUUUAAAAAUAAUUAUGCUACUUAAUCUCUCUCACCUUCCCUUGAAAAAGAAAAAGUGGUGGCAUGUCCAUGUAGGGUCUCUGCUGAAAGAACACAAGGGAGUCGAAGUUACUAGCAGCAAGUCGGAUGAGUUUUUUUUAAUAUGUUUUUUUAGUAAAAAAAAAAUUAAAUUAUAUAAGAAUUUACACGGUAUAGUCUUGUCAGAUUUACAAAUUCAAAGACACCUGAAUAAUCGAUAAAAUUAAAAUAACUUUAUACAAAGUAAAUUGAAACAAAUUAUAAAACUCAAUUCAAAAUCAACCCAAUAUUAAAAGGUAAAAAAUUUUAAAAACAAAUUACAAAAAAAAUCACCUGAGUCAACUGACCAAACUUGUAACCCGAGUCAUGAGAUCAUGAUAACCUCAUAGAAUACAAACUGAAUAAAUUAUGAAGUCUAAUUUGAUUCUCAAUCAAUCUAAUAUUGAAUGAUGGAAUUAAAAAAAAUCAACUAAAAAAUACAAAAAACUUGAGUCAACCAGUCUUACCCGUAACCCGAGUUAUAAGACAAUAAUAACCACAUAGAAAGUAAAUAAAAGAAAUAUAUAAAUCUCAAUUCUCAAUCAACUUAAUUUUAAAAACAAAAAAAAUAACAUAGUCAACCAGUCAAACAUGGGUAAGAAAAUCAUGAUAACUUCAUAGAAAGCAAAUUGAAAAAAGUUAUAAAGUCAUAUUCUUAAUCAACUCAAUAUUGAAAGAUGAAAUUAAAAAAAAAAUUAAAAAAUGAACAAAAAAAAAGAUCUAAGUCAACACGGCUAACCUGCAAAACUCAUAACUUGAGUCAUGAAACUGAAAUAACUUCAUAGAAAAAAAAAAAUAAAGUCUUAUACUCAAUAAAAUUAUUGUCGGAAGAUGAAAUUAAAAAGAAAAAAUAUCUAAGUUUAACAUUAACAAAAAAAAUCCUCAAAAAUUUUAAUGAACAAGAUGAAAAGGUGCUCUUCUUUUCACAGAACAUUGCUUCAAUGAAAAGCAAAGCUGUUUUAGGAUAUAUAUAUAUAUUUGUUUCUGUUAUAAUAGUUGAUGAAAAAAAAUGCACUCGAUAUCAAAUUAUGCGCCACCAUUCCCCCUCACCUCCACCACCACCACCACCUUGUCCUUCCCCCACCACUCUUCUUUGCCUUGCAAAAGAUGAUGGAUGAAACUACUAAGUGCUUCACCAAUUUAAAAUUAUCCAAAAAGGGAAUGUGUCGAUUCUUCCAAAGAACUCCAAAGUUAUCAUUUAAAUCUACUUGCCCAAUAUAAAAUUGAGAUUCCAGUGGACCAUUAUUUUUUGCCCAUAUUCUCUUUAGUGAUAGCUCGUGCGGUCAUUAUAGCAUGUAAAUUCCCUUUCUCACACUUUCUCUAAGCAGUUGAUCACUUUGAUUAAUAUUCUAUGAGUUAUAAUUUACUUUAACAUCUAGGAUAAUUAUAUUCAUAAUUAAAUUAAACCCUUUCCCCCAGCACUAAUUAAGGUACGUAUUGUUGAUUAAUUCCAUCCUUAUGUCAAAAGAUGGGGUUAGGCUUUACGUAACAUCAACAAAAAUACCCUCCACAUCGCUCAGGAAUUCUCUAGGUUGAUUAUUGUGUCGGGGACAUAAACUCCCUGCGUUGACAAGAGAUUUCGAGGGGCACUCACCACUGGGUUGAAUUUUUAACUAGUUAAUUAGUGGUUGUUUUUUCAAGUGAUUUUUACUUGGAAUUGUAUUAAAAUAAAAUUAUUUUUAUUUUAAAAAAAUUAUUUUUUAUAUUAAUAUAUUAAAAUAUCUAAAAACAUAAAAAAAAAACAUAUUAAUUUGAAGUAAAGAAAAAAUUAAAAAAAGUCUAAAUUUUUUCAAAAGCGUUUUUAAAAUACAAAAAUAAACAGGCUAUUUUUUAUAUCAAUAUAUCAAAAUGAUUUGAAAAUACCAAAAAAAUAUUAAUUUAAAAAACAGAAAAAAAUAAAAAUUAAAUUUUUUUCUUCAAAAACACUUUUAAAAUGCAAAAAUAAACGGUAGCUUGUUAUUAAUCAUACUUACCCCUUUAUCCAAAUAUGUCAAGCAUUUUGUCUGAAUUAUAUGUUUUAUGCAAUAAAAAUGACAUUUCCUUCAAGAAAUCUUGAUUUUUUCAAUUACAAAUUUAUGGUGAUUUUGUAGAUUAGGGGUUUUAUUGGAAAGUUCUUACAUUUUGAGAGCCUAAAUGAGAAAAAAUCUUCUUUUGGGAAGUAAUUAAAAUAAACUAUGGUAAAAAGGGAUGUUAAAAUAACCAAAUGACUAUCUAGAAGAAAAAAAAUGAAGAAAAAAGAAGUAAGAAUAUCAUUUUAAUUUCUCUCAUUGAAGAAUUGUGUGAUUGUGCCAUCACCAUGCUCGCAAUUUCUUGUUGAAUGCUUGUUUGAGAGAAAAAGUCAAAAUAAUCAUUAAGAAAACCAAUAUAUGUAGAAGUUAAAAGCUUUGAAAGUUGUGGUGUAUGGAAAAAUAUUCACACAUGAGUGGUACAUAUAUUUUCUCUUAUCGCUUUUCUAAUCUCGGUGAAAACCCAUCUUCUUUUUCUUGAGCUCCUCUCUUAAAAAUGAAUUGUAUUUGAAUUGAUAAAUUUUUAAAUCAAUAAUAAAUAUUUUAUUUUGAUUUUGAUUUAAUUUCUUUUAAUUAUUUUCUACUAUGUUUAUUAGAUUUUUUUUAAAAAUAUAUUUUAAUAAAUUAAUGACGGUUUUACCGACAGAUUAAGUGUGUCGGUAUAUUCUAGAGAGUUGAAAAAAAGUGAUAUGUCAUAUUCACCGAGGGAUAUACCGAUGAAAUAAAGCAGGUAAUUCUUUUUGUUUGGCGUGCUUUUUCCGUCUGUAAAUUUAUAAGUGAUAAGUUUUCUUACGAACAGUAACUAUUUGUGAACCCGCCAGUAAAAAAUCAUGCCAACAGAAUUAGUAUCUAACUACCGACAGAAUAUUCCGUCAAUAAAUUACGAAACUAUGGUAGUGUCCUAAUUUCUUGUUGAAUGCUUGUUUAUAGAAGUUGAAGCUUUGAGAGUUAAGACCGUGUAUUAAACCUUGUAAAAUGCUUUCUGUUGGGAUCGAAGGAUCAUGAGUGCUUCUUGUUCAAUCACGUGGGAAUUAAUUUAUCAUAAUGGUCGACAUUGUGAUGGAAACUUUGUAUUCUCACCAUUUUAAUUAGGUUAUGCAUCACUUUGCAGAUCUUCCAAAUCAUUAUUAUUAAUUAAUUUAGAGGAUGAUCAAGAAAACCAUGUCAUGAAAUCCCAUUAAUUAGGGGCAUAAUUAAUUAACGGCUGACAAUUAUAUUGUAUUAUCCAUGAUUAUCAAGUAUCUUUAGGACAGCUAUAAAAUAUCAAUUGCCACCUUUUCACUUCUCUAAUUAAUGGCCCAAUCUCCCUUGAUAAUCAAUUCCUGCCUUCAUAAGUGCUAUAUAAAAUAAAAUCCAAGCCAUUCAAAAUAUUUGGGGAUCUUUUAGUGAAUCUUACAACCUUCGAGCAUGAGAGAAGGGUUGUUUGACCGAUGCACCAAUAUCUGCUAAAUCUAUAAGAUUUUUUAUUUCCGAAGAGUCUAAACUAAAGUUUUUUUAAAGUAAUGUCUAGUUAUUAUCUUGUAAUAAGAAAAAAAUAGAGAUAAUAGAGACAAAUUAAUUAAGGUUAGUUGAUGAGGUGCUUGUUAAAUGGACAUUAAUUAACUGACCCAAACACCUCUUCAAGUUAAUUAUAAUAAUAAUAUUAGGCCUGUUAAUUAUAAUUAAUUAACGGCUGACAAUUAUAUUAUCCAUGAUUACAGCAAGAUCUAAGAUUUGUUAAUUUUUAAAAACACACAAAACAACUACAAAAAAGCUGCAGGGAGACUUAUAAUUUGAAUCUUAUGCAAAAGAUAUAUAAUAAAUGGCAUCCAAAUCUCAAAAAAUAGUUUAAAUAGUUUGUCCUGGUCUUACUCUAGUGAUAAAAUUACAAUAUUGAAAAACAAAUAGUACUAUUUUAAUAAACUUGCAUAGUUAUGAUGAAAACAAAUUUAUUUGUAUUUAUUUCAUUAAUAAUUUAUGGCGUUAAGAUAUAAAAAUGGUUUUACUUAAACAACUUAUUAUUUAAAAGUAGCAAUAUUAUCAUUUACUUAAUUAAAAUUUAUGAAAUAUAUGAUAUAUAUUCCAUUGUUCACAAAUAAAAAGAAGAAGAAGAAGAAGAAAAAGAAAAUUAAGAUCACAGACCACGUCUAACUGGAAUGGUCCGAAGAUGAAUUAUAGCAUAAACUAUAAGAAUUAGGGUGAUACGCAGCAUUGUUCAUGUGAAGAGUAAAGUAGCUGGAUCUUUUUUUCAUUUAAAUUUUAUUUUUAUUGAAUAUUUGAUGAAAUUAUGUUUUAAAUUAUGGCAAAAAUAUGUUAUUAAAAGAAAAGGAACCUAAAUAUAAAAAAUAAAAAAAUAUAUGGCUAACCCCAAGUUUAUGACAAUUUUUGUUUCAAUCAAAAAGUUUAUUUUGUUUGUUUUUUACUCUCUAGAUUAGAAAGGAUAGAGAAACUUGCUGAAAAAUAACAAACGAGAGAGAAAAUAAUUAGUUGUCAUCAUGAUUUCGGCAAUCAAAAUAUUCAAUUGUGGUCUUGAAAAGAUAUUAACCAAAAUAUCCACUUAAUAUUAGCAAGUGUUUUUUACAACCCAUCAUUAUUUUUUUUAAUUUUAUCCUGUUGUUUUUCUAAUAGUACAUAUUUUUAUUAAUAAUAUAAUUAUAUGUUGUUUGUUUGUAUGUUUAUUUAUUUUAUAACCUUUUUCCAUGGAAAUUUCAAGUUUACAAAUGAUGAAGUUGCCCACGUAAUAACACAUUGGCAAUGAAAUUAUCGAUGAAAAUGUCAUAGUUUCAAUAGAGUUAAGUUUCUAAAAAUCUUAAAUGGAAACACAUGAUUGAUACGUGGUUAGGAAAGUUCAAGGUUAGUGUAUAGUUAAAAUGUUACCGACAGAAUAGCCAACAAAACAAGAAUCAUGGAUGAAAGAUUUUUCAACGAACAAAAACAAUUUGUGAUCCCAUCAGUAUAAGUUAGGCUGAUGGAAUUAGUAUCUAACUAUUGAUAGAAUAUUUCAUCAGUAUAUUAUAAAAUUCUGUAGUGGAGUGCCAUCAAUUUCCUUCGAGAACUUCAAAAAAAAAAAACAAAAAAUAUAUAAAAAAAAGUUAUUUUAUGAAAGAUGAAAAGGAUUGUGCAUGUCUAAUGUGUGGCCAAGUGCAUGGUGACCUCUUAGAGCAAAUUGCAUAGUUUCGACUUGAUAUUAUAUCCAUAAAAGUUCAAAGAGAUGAACUUUGGUCGGCAUCUUAAUUUUUAGUUUUAAGCUCCCACUUACAGACUUACAGGCAUCAAUGAUCAAUCUAUAUUUCUUCUCAAUUUGGUGUCUACGUACAAAUUUCAUGGACCACUUUCCAUGCAACUUGCCGUGGUUUCUGCCUUUCAUAUCCCACUUUAAUUGCUAUCAUAUGCUAGCUUUGUAGCCAGGCUUGGCUUAGGCCAAGGGGUAGUGUAUAUUUUCCAGCUAUCAUUUCGAGUUUGAAUUUUUUAAAAAGAAAAGGUGAGAAAGAAGUUCCUCAUAAAUUACUACAAAAAUCGAAUACGAAUAACCUAUUUAAUAUUCAAAAAUUAUUUUCUCAUGAACACACUCGUAUGAGUACAAUUAUUUUUCCCAGAAAUAUAUUAAUAGUUAAAAACAAAAGGUGGAUAAUUGGAAUCUUUCCUUCCAAAACAAUCAAAUUUUUCAGAUUUUCACUCGAGAAAACAUAUUAAAAAAUAAUAUAAAUUAUAUCUUAAAAUUUCACCUAACUUAAAUUAUUAGAUAGAAAUAAUUCUUUUAGAGGUUAUAACUCUUAACCCUUUAUUCAGUCAUCCCUUUAUCAACUGUGUGAAGAAAUUCAAUGUCAAGUUAUAUUUAUAAUAUAAAGUAAUCAUAUUUAUUUUAAUGCACCUACGUAAUAAAAUUGAUUAGCAAACUUGAAUAACCCCACAACAUAGAGGCUAGCUAGGGAUUAGGCAUGAAUUAAAAUCUUGACAAAUGAAAAGCUAGUCGAUCGAGACAAGAAGAUCACAAAAAGAUUAUAUUUAGUGGGUUAGCUUCUAAAAUGGCUCAACCAACGUAGAGUUGUAGACUAAGUGCUAUAUAUAUAUAUAUAUCUAAUUUAGGCUGUGCUUGAUUUUAUACUAAAUUACAUUAUUGAAUGUAUUUUGUGGUUUUUAUAGAUUGGAUGAGAUCAAAAGUCAAUGGAUUAACAUUCAAUCUCAUCGAGGUGGGGUGAAAAACUGUUAAGAUAGGAAAAUUCUUUAGAACUGGUUUCUUUAUUCUACUUAAAAAUUUAAGUUAUUUUAUAAUAUUCUAAUUGUACUAUAUUUUAAUAUAUAUUUUUAAGUAAAAGUAUUUUAUAUUUAAAAUUUAUGUAGAUCCACAGUUGCCUUAUACUUAAUUUUAUUAAUUUAAUAAAAAUAUAUAUAUAUAUAUAUAUAUAUAUAUAAUAAAAUUUGAUUCCAUGAUCAUUAAAGUUAUCAUAUCAUAUUAUAGAAUUAUUUUAAUUCAAAAAUUUUAAAAAUUAAAUAAUAUCAAUAUCUCACUAUUAAUAGUCAACAAUUUCUAACUUAUCCUUCACUUUUUUUAUCUAAAUAUAAUCAUUGGUCCCGUAAAUUAUUAUUAUUAUUUUAAAAUUUAUUAAAUUCCAUCAUUAUAUACACGCUUAUUGGAUAUCUUUAACACUCUACCUUUCAACUAUUUUCUUACAUCAUUAACACUUCAUCGUUCAAAAAAAGCAAAGGACAUUAUCUUUUAGUGAUAAUUGCUAAAUCAUUUUAUUCUAUUUUUUCCGAAUAUUUUCUAUUUAAACGUGUGUAUUCAUUUUUAAUUUUUGUUAUUUAUUAUUGCAAGCUCUGUGCUAGAAAAGUGUGAUCAAUUAAGUAUUUUGGUUAAUUUUAAUUUAAGAAUUGACGAGGUGUUUGCUAAAUGGACAACUAAAAAUUAAAUAUUUCCAAACAUUUCUUUUGUUAAAAAAUAAUAUAAAUCAUAUCUUCAGAGUACCUCACCUAAUAGUUUAACUUUUUGGAUUGAAUUGAUUCUUUGACAUGGUAUCAGAACACAAGGUAGUCACGAGUUCGAAUCUCAUCAUCUCUAUAUGUGUGAUAAAAAAGAAUGUGUUAGAGAAUAAUGUAAAUCAUAUAUUAAGAAUCACCUAACAGCUUAAGCUUUUGGGUUGAAUUGGUUCUUUGACAUAAGUUAAUUAUAAAAUCAGUGCAUAAAAUGGUUGAUUUUUUUUUAAUUUGAAUACUUGUAUUUAUUUUCUAUUAAAAGAAACUUUUGAGUUGAAUUGGUUCUUUAACACAAGUUAAUUAUAAAAUCGGUGCAUAAAAUGGUUGAUUUUUUUUUAAUUUGAAUACUUGUGUAUUUCAUUUAUUUUCUAUUAAAGUAUUCUAUCCUGUCAAGAUUAUAUUAAUUUGACUGCUCCUUUUAUAUCUUUUCAUUUUUUCUUAAUGUUUUGACUUUUUUAUUGUAAUCUUUUUCUUUAACUAGUGUAUUAAUUUUAUAAAUGAGAUAUUUCAUGAUGUGUCACAUAAAGAGGAUUAACUUUUUUCUUUUUUUUUUCCUUUUUGGAUUAGCAUCUCAACUCAACAAAAACUAAGCUUCAAAGCUCAAACCAAAUGGGAUCUGAACGUCCGUGGAUGGAUAUUUUUCUUUCAUUUUGGGUUAUUUCUUCAGGGUUUUUUUUUAAUGAAGUUUUUGGAUAUAGUUGAAUAUUUGAUGUCGACACAUGCUUGACCAAUGAGCACAGUGAACCAUGCUGGGUGGGAAGAAACAGUUGACUUUAAUUUGCAAAGAAAGUCAAAGGGACACUGUUACAUUACAGGAGACGGUCAUUUUUGGAAAACACAGUUGAAAGGGAUUCAACUGUACACAGCAUUAGAAAAUGUAGAAAUGAGUUUAGAAUUUAUGGAUAUAAUGGAAGUCAUAAGUGUCUAGCUAGUUGCACCUUGUUUGAUUCAUUCAAGAUAUGAUUAUGACUGCAUAUUUUAUGAUAUACUCCUUGUCUUGGUGUUGCUUUGUCUGAUUCCUUCAUGAUAUGAUUGUCACUCUACUUAUUUCUAGAGCCUUAGUUUCCAUGGAUGAGUUUGUUUUUUGUGUUAUCAUCUAUGUUUCGAAUGAUUUUUAUAAAAAAAUGUGAUCGUAGAGAACCUUAAUCUUGGUACGUGAAAAAUAAUUUUUUUAAAAAAAAAACAAGCCAUUAAAUAACUAAUCCAGAGUUAAUCCUUUUACAAUCUAGGUUAACAGGCACCUUGAUCACGAGUUGUAUAGAGCUAGUAAUCGAAAGUUUACAUGCAUUCGUUAUAUAAUAGGAAUGGAAAAGUUAAGGCAAGAAAAACCCAUGAGAAAUCUCAGGUGACAACCAGGCAUCUGCAUGACCCUCUCAUGGUUCAAAUUACACUGAAUGAUGCCCUUCGGAAAGUUUUAUUUAGUGAAUUCGAAGUGAAAUGCUGACAGCACUCUCACCUCGAUAGUUAGUGACACUUGUCAUUGGACCGAUGAUAUUGAGUCGAGGAUAUCACCAAAUUUGAUACCACAACAGCUCAGGACCAAUUUCAUGUCGACAGGUUUGGUUGCUUUGUUCUUAUGGGUGCACUCAAUUUGUUCCAAAGUCAAUCAAACAUGGCUCGUGAUGCUUCCUGUUGUUGCUGUGUUCAGCUUUGAAGUGAAAAGAUACAAGCACUGUAGCGUCAUUCCUUGUGCGGGCAAACAAGAAGUAUUUUUUUUCCAUGGCACUCACUAGGUAGGGAUUAUAAUGCAAACAAGAUCAAAUCUUCUUCUACAUGGAUCUCCACGAUGUGUCUGGUCAAGUGGCCAAGUUGAAGGUUCACUUUAUUGAGGAUGUGAAAUGACCAUCUAUUUGGAAAUCUUUCUGGUUGCCGAUGAGUAGUGGAUACCAGACUCUUAUCCAUUUUUGUAUUGCAUGUGCAAAAUGACCCAGGCCCAGGCUCUUGUCUGCUUUGCAAUACAAGUUGAAUAAUCCCCUUACAUACCGGGUCAACCAUGGACUAGCACUGUGCUACCAUUUGUCUGGCUGUGACGGUGCCUAGCAGGUGCAGACGUGCACUAGACUUGCUGGCAUUUCUAUCAAAACCUGGAACCUAGCCUACGCCUAGCAUUCACAGGUUGUCUGCUUUGAAACUAUGGAUAAAUAUUGAGCUGUAAAGAAAGCUUGUGGGUUCCCUAUUUCGGAGAGAUCAUAUCAAUCCAUUCCGAAAAUCUACUUUGCGUAAUUUAGAAGAAACCUCGCUUUGUACAAAAAGCUUUCUGGUGCGCACAAACAGAGCUUAAAUGCUGAAGAGAUGGCUAGUAAUCACAUCACCCCUGGUUACCAAACCAUCUGAAUCUGAAUUGUCGGUGCAAGUCAUGGAAUCAAAGCAGGGGUUUCAUGGAUUUCCCACAGAUCUCUCGUCCUGAGCAGGUUUUAAUCAGAUCACAGACUAUUUGAUUGUCCAUGUUAAAGAAUAAAAAUCCUGUCUGUUUCUCUAAUCAGAAGUUAAGCACUCGGCACAGGCCAGCCAAAAUUGAACCGCCGCUCCCCUAAAAAUCCCCAAGAUAAUGUCCCAGCUAAAACAACCGCUGUGCAUCCUGUCCUGCUGAUAAGUUGAUCUGCCGGUUGUAGUUAAGAAACCUUCCUUCUCUCCGAUAGUAAUUAUUAUAGUUAAGACACUAGAUGACAAUUUAUGGUACAAAAAUGGGCAAAUCGAAGUCAGAACUCAAUACUGGUAAGUGCCUUGCUGAGCACUGUUGUUGUAGGAGCUUGGUGGAGCAUUGAUAUUUGUGUAGACACCUUGCUGAGCGGUCAUGGAGUAGGGGCUUUGGUGUGCCCUCAUAUUUUGGUGCGGGCUCGGCUGAGCAUUCAUGUUUUGAUAGGUGUUUUGCUGAGCAUUCAUGUUUUGGUAGGUGCUCUGCUGAGCACUGAUGCUUUGGUAAGGGUCCUGCUGAGCACUCAUGGCUUGGUAGGUAUCUCGCUGAGGAUUCAUGCUUUGCUGGGCUGUUACAUUGUUUUGGUAGGAACCCUGGUGGGCACUCAUGUUCUGUCCACCAGAGGCCAUGAAGCCUUGAUAAAAACCUUGUCCAGCAAUCAAAUGCUCGGAAGAUCCAUGAUUCUCAACUUCAGAACUACCAUAAUGAGGAUCUUGAAGCUUUGCCCUUCUCCCAGCAAACUGCAUUUUGUAGAAAGUGAUUCAAGAAUCCUUUGCAAAAAUAAAAUUUCACAAAUGUUUGUUAGUGUACAGAGCAAACAAAAUUUCAUAAUAUACUUCAAAAAUUCCAACUGUGAAGUUUAAUUUUAUCAAAUGUUUCAAUUAUACUGUUUUGAAAGCACCAGACUCAAGCCAUUAUUCAUAGUGAGUCCUCCUACUUGUGUAUGGCAAUGAUAGUGCAAAUUCCUUCAGGGGACGGAUAUUGUCAAGGGCAAGGCCAGCUCCAAGACCAUUACUAAAAUCAACAUGUACCCACAUGAUCAAGCAUGGAUGACAUGGACUACACGAGAUUAUACAAUAAUCUGGAAAUUACAACUCAAUCUGCAGAGAUAUAACUCUAGACUGGUGUAGUAGGCAACAGGCAGUUGUAUUUGUUUGGACUAUUUAGGAUUUUUAGAUGGUUUCCUAAUGUCUCUUAAAAACUCUCCAAAAAACUCACUUUCCUCUAGAUGAUCUAUUUGAAUUCAGAAACAUUUGGCAUACAACUCAAUAAUUUUACCAGUGUCGUCAGUACUGACAGUAAAUGGAGGCAUAAUUUGGUAUCUAGACAAACAUAAAGAGGUAUGAGAGAUUUGGAAAGUGACACUUCUCUUUUUUAUCUGAGAAAUUGUGCUAAAUGCAAUUAAAAUUAUACAUGCAAAUACUAUCUUAAUGAUUUGAAAUAUAUUUGGUAUCUAGACAGACGGAUGGUACCUCAAUUGUGUGUGUCUGUGUGGAGAGAGAAAAGGCCAUUAUAAGAAGGGAGACAGCCAAUAAAAGGCAGAAUGAAGGAGAAUUCUUAAGAGGAAGAUUUUAGGAGCUCUUAGAAUGGGCGGUACUUUUUCAUUGGUCGGAAGCUAUAAAUCAGCAAAUUGGGUUGUGAUUACUGAAUUCAAAAGGCAGUAAAGCAUGGACUAGUUGCCAAUGUCAGCUAUUGAUAUGUCAAGUGAUUUAUAUUUAUGUUGAUCUGGUCUGCCGUGUCCCUGGCUGAUGCAACCACUUAGUGGCGUCAUCAAUCAUCUAGCAUCCAAUCAUUGAUGAACUAUACAAGAACAGUUCGUAAACUCUUAUUGAAGGAAAAGCAGUUCCAAAACUCAAUUACACAAUUUGAAAAGCAAGGGAAAUAUUUGUGGUUGUCUCAAUAGUGUGUGUGUGUGUGUGUGUGUGUGUGUGUGUCAUACCUCCCAUGGGAGCAAAUGAACCGAGAAUUAUAUCAGACAAGAAGUCCAACAUCUCAACAAUUUUCAAUGCUUCUGCUAAACCACAAGGGCAUGAUAUAAACAUACCUCAUCAGUAAUUGAAACAUCACGCCCUCCAGAUCGCAUAACAGAAUUCAUUCCAUUAAGUGAGUUAUUGGCCUCCAAAACACGGUUCAUACUACGAGAGUUAUCAGCCUCCAAAACACGGUUCAUACUUGGGUAUCUGAAAUUAGGAGAAUAAAAAAGAACUCGCAUUAUUAUUCAAAAACUCACGUGUACUUGCAAAAAAAAAUUAUAAAUAUAUAUCAUCAAUACCCCAUAGCAGCUGGAGGAACUGAAUAGCUCUGAGGCUCAUGAUCACGUCUUCCACCCUUCAGAAAAGCAUAAAGAAUAGGUAUUAUGACUGGGUCAUAUCUUGACAUAAAAAUAAUAAAACGUUAAAAACAGACUGCUCAAGAAUCCUAAUUAAGCAUCUAAAAAACCAAACCAUUAACUAGUAGUAUAUUCUGCUAUGUGUAUUUAUUAUGCGUAUAAGUGAAAAGCAAACUCAGGUACAAGCAAUAGGCAUGAUUUUUGGAAUUCUUCAUGAGAAAAGAGUAGCGAAGGCGAAAUGGCAAACCAUCUAUAUAUUGAAGAGAAACAAACAUUAUGUGUUUGUACCUGCGUUUCGCCCACAUUAGAGACACACACAUGGAGCAUAUGCUUGACUUGCAGCAGAAAGAAGAAGAAUUAUGUUUAGUCAGAUCAAACACUUGUCACUGUGACAUAUAUAGAUCAAUUUGUGGUCUCAAUGCAGACAUUCCUAAUUACCACAUGGGACUGCAGCGUAUGUUCAACCAAGAUAUUGUCUCAAUUCAAUUAAAUCACUACAGAAAACGAAUCUAAAAAUACAAGUUAUUGCCCAGAGCGCGGUAGAAAUACAAUAACUCCCAACAAGAACAGUCUAUAACCCUUGUUAAUGAGUUUAUCACAAACACUAAGCCGGUAAGUUACGCAGUAAACAUAAAAACUGCAUGAACAUGUAACAGAAAUUACCCUGAGCGGUUCAUAUCCACCAGAGCUGCUAGCUGCCAUCAUACCAGAUGGUUGGGGUCCUCUUCCUGGUAAGUUUCGUGCCGGCCCAAAGCCUGGGACAGGUCCAGCAGGCCCAGGUUCUGUUCCAGCAUUUGCAUCACGCAAAGUUCUUGCUCUGAGUCUGGAUGCAAUCUCUGCCAAAGCAUCUUUAGCAACACCAUAAUUUCCAGAUAUCUGAAAAAACCAGUUCGAAAUUUAGCUCAAGUAAUAGCCAAGCUCCAAGGAUAUGGGGAAAACAUCACAGAAUCAUCAGUUAAGACAUUAAAAUCAGCAAAAGAUACAUUCAACCACAUCACCUGUACAAGCUCUUCAUCAUCAGAUGCACAUUUAGGCUUAUCAUUUUUGGGGUAAACACGAAUGUCUGCCUGCAAUCUCCUUCUCAUUUCAUUGAUAACCUGACCUCCUUGUCCAAGGAUGCAGCCAACCUUACUUGAAGGAACCAGAAGUCUAGUAAUUAUCAUACCUUUUUCAGAAAAGUCACUUGUUUUAUCCUGAAGCUGAAGAAUUGCAUCAAUGGUUUGGGAUCUCGGAUUCCAGAGACCCUGAAAAUAUCAGUACAAUGCUGUUGUUAAUGUAUAUCAGUAAUAUACAAAUCUGCAGGCACUGCCAAACCUUAGGCAUACAAAGAAAUAGUGAUGUUUAAAGCAGCUAGACCUCAAAAGCAGAGACACGAAUUGCACGUUCUUCUGACUCCGCUGAAGCAUCCUCAACAUGAAUACUAGCUCCUGUCUCCUGCUGUACAAUCUUAACAUUAGAGCCUCCUUUCCCAAUUACCCCACCAAUCUUCCCAGUAGAGCACAAAAUUUUCAUUGAGAACUCAGCUGAAGGCUCCCUGCCAUGUCCAGGAGGAACACCAUUGAAACCACCUGGCCCAAAUUCUGAAGGGUGAUUCCCAUAUUCCCCCAUCCAUGGCAUACUGUGGGGAGUGGAGUUACGAUGAGGCCACAUUGGAUUUCCUGGUGGAAGCAUGUUUGCCAUGGAAUCACUAGGAGGAUGAAAAGUUCGACCACCAUAAGGCAUAGGAACACUUGGCAGUUUGUCCUUGCGCGGAUUCUGAUGCAAUAGAAUGGAUAUUUCAUAAAGAGCCCUCUUUGCCACAGCUGGUUUUCCAGAGAUCUGAAAUAUAGCUUUUGAAAUUAUACUUAGUAGGGAAUUGCAAAAAUAAUCCACCUUUUUUCAUAGAUGAAUGAAGUGGGGGAAAUCCACAUGCAACAUUUCAUAAACAUGAACUUGGAAAUGUUACAAAAACAAAAAAGGCAAGGCAAACAGGCACAAUGCCAUGGGUUCCAUAAUAGAACGUCAUAACAUAAGAAAUAAUCAUGCGGCAAUCAAACUCAUUUUUGUGUCUCCAUGCACACCAGGGCAAAUGAUGAUGCUUUUGCAUACAAAUGCUCAAAAGCAGUAAGCUCACACAAUCAUCAAAUAAUAUUCAACAAGUAAUGAGGUAUAAUCAGAUUCACACUAUGAUGGAAAAAGUUUACUGUUUGUAAUAUAAAUGCUAAAGUUACACCCUCCUCAGCUUCCGCUUCAGUGCAAUGCAAUCAACACACACCAUACCACCACAUGCCUUCAACUAAGCAGCAGUUUAAAGGUCCAGGAUGUAUUAGGGCCAACAGUAUGUGAUACACAACAAUCUAACUCAGGCUAGAUGUUAACAACUAAGACCCUUGGUAAUAACAGCAACAAUCUGUUUGAAAAUGUUGCCAACUUAAAGCUCAAUAAAAGGUACUAGAUAUACUACCCCGGCCAGAUAAUCGUUAGUUAUAGAGAAAUAUUAAAAUGUCUCAGGGAAAAACCAACAGGAGGAAAGUCUACCAUGGUAAUGGACAUUGGUCAUAGGAGGUUAAGCCUUCCAGAAAGGCAAGACAGCCAAUCCUAGCAAUGAAAUGACCAUCUUAAACUCCAUCAGACAAAAUCUUAGUCAUCAAAUUCAACCUGAACGAGACCCCCAAAAGCAGGUUAUGCAAUUAAACUAACGAUUUAAUGAAUCUAAGAAUUACGUGUCGCUAUCAUUAUGACCAAUCUUAUUGUGCUGUUUCAUACUGCACAACAAAGGACAUUUUUUUAGAUUGAACCAGUUAAAAAGAGAAAAGGAGUAGCACACUUGCUCCCAUAAAUAUGCAAGACUAUCCACCACUUUUCUGACAGGAUUUGAUAUAGUAUCAAAAAAUAGCUUCAAAAUUAAAAAUCUCAAUAAAGUGCAGUGGGGGUAAGGGUGUAACCCAGUCACAGUAACAAUCAUAAGAAAAUACGUAGUUGGUAAGUAAAUUGUCGAAGCAUAUGAUAAUAGCAUAGCAGACUAUAUGAUGGGACCAUGGCAUAGCUCUGUCCUACCCCUAACCCAUCGCUAAAAACUCCCCAUGUGUAACUCUUCCUUUUCAGGGGUGAGGAGGUAAAACUUCUAAUCUGGGUGGUGGUCACUAAAUGGAGAAAGAGAACCUAAUAUAAUGAAUAGCUUAUCUACUAAUGUCAGGGAAAACCCCAUCCAUCUUAUAUUAAAGACACAAUAAAGAAUAUGAGACAACACAUAAGAAACAUAAAAUAAAUACCAAAGAAAAAAGGGAAAGAGGUCAAAAUACAAAACUAAAUGCCCUUCAUAAAUGUUAUUAAUUCCCUAGCUAUGCCAGUCUUCCUGCUUUAAAUAUAAAAAUAUGGUGAGGAAAGGUCACUCCACCCACCUCUUCUGCAUGUCUGGCCUCAUCCUUCAAACUUCCAUGACCAACAAAAUGCUAGGAUCUUCUUGCAGGGGCAUACUCAUUUCAGUAUGUAUCUCUGAAACUCAAACUUGAAACUAUAACCUUCCUUCCAAUAUAAAGAACAUUCAGUCAAGCAAAUCAGUUGAUCUGUAUUGGAAAAAUCAUUGUCACAUCUUUGAGGAAAGUUCAUGGUGAUCACAUAUGUCAACUGCUCAUGAGAAGUGAGCAAACAGUUGAAGAAGACCCAUCUUACUAAGAGGACCUGCAUUCCACCAUGCUGAUUCACAAGGCGGAACUCAAGUAAGAAAUCUAGCAGUGCUUUGAAAUCAGUAGAAAGCAUAAAGAUGUCAAUGCCAAAGGUAGCCAAACAACGUUAACAUAUCCACUUAGGUAACGAGUCGACUACAGUACAAUCCAUUGGACAAUAGGGUCAUAUCAAAAAUCAAUUGAUCACUUUCAGAUCAUUUAUGCGACUUCAAUCAACCCACAAUCUUCCACAUAAGACAUUCGUCUACUUGAUCUAAUAAUACUACUUUAUUCAACUAUUGGCACAUGCAUUAAAAGAAUUCCAAUAAUCCUAAAGGCCUUCUGGUGAAGUUUUUCUAAGUCCUUGGGUUGUUGAGCAUCUCAAUUAGCUUUACUCGUGUAGAAAAAAGCACUGAGGGUCAAUAUCUCACGAGCCAGUGAAAGAAUAUUUCCAUAUCCCAUCUCAUGUAAUCAAUUAUAAACUCAAGUGUUUGCUGGCACUUCUUAAACCCAUCAUACUGCAGUUACCAUCAAAGGUUGCAGAGGCAAAAGGACAUUUUGCAAACCAAGGUAUUUCUUCUCGGAUGCCAUUUCAUACUCAAAUUAUAAGAAAGACCAGACUGCAAUUGGAAGAGCUGCAUUAAUGUUUUACCAGCGAAAUCACAAACUUGAGAUAUAAUGCAGUAGAAAAGGUUAAAGCUGCAUCCUCAGCAUUUCUUAACUAAAAAGAGCAGGCUUUGCAAUUGUUCCUAAUGAUACUAAAAGUGAAACUUGAUAUGACUGGGCUCAGUACAUCGCAAGCCCAAAAUUAGUUAAGCGUUCAGAACCGAACCACAGGCAAGUAAGUCUCCAGAAGGCACAGCCAGAAAUCCUAAACAUAGGAAAGAAAGCACUCCCUAAUGGGUCUUCACCUUAGCAAUUAAUUUACUGAAGCAAUGAUAGUCAAGUGAUAGAACAGUAGGUACUUUAUAUUCCACCAUGUCAAGAUGUUCUGAUUUUUUGUUAUCUUGGCUCACUGACUACUUGAACUCUAAGGACCAAGAGCCCAAAUAAUAACAGCAUUUGUCAAAAAGAAGGAACAAAAGAAUCAGAACAUCUUCCCCUGUUGAACAUCCACGCAAAAUAACAAAAAAUCUUCUCUGACAUGCAUAUAACACAUUGCAACCUUUGAUACAUCCAAGAAUGCAAUACCAUAAAUGUCAUGACAAAUCUUUAUUGCAAUCUCAUGAUGAAAAUCAAAUUAAUACUUUAAAAAAGGUUCAAGAAAAAUUACAAUUCUCAAGCAAUGCUAACUUAAAGCACAAGAGAGAGAUCAUGAUUAUCAUCUUAUAUGUCAAAUGCACAAACAUGAUGAAUCCAUAUUACAUAACGCCAACAAACGACUUUGGUAUCUGAACUACUUAAGAAUCUAGUAGACCAAAAAGGCCAACAUAAUAACUAUAAUUCAGUUACUAGGGGAAAGAAUUGGAAUAAAAGAAAAUAAAAUGCAGCGAGCCUCAUGUUCAGUAAAACUCAAUGUAGCAAAGAGAGCAACAUAUAUUACCUGGACCAAUUCAUCAGUAUCCAUAGCACAUGAAGGGAGAUGAUCAGCAGGAAGAACACGUAUGUUCGCACCAGUCUCACUUCUUAAUCUCUGAAUAACAUCUCCCCGUUUUCCCAAAACACAACCUACCAUGUUGUUUGGAACAAGAAGUCUCGCGGUGACAACAUUGUUGUCAUUAUCAUCAUCCGACGCCAUCCCACCAAAAAGAUCCUCCUCAACAAUCCGGUCAUGAACUUUCAAAAGCGCAUCCUGGGCAGCACAAUGUGGCUCAAAGGCCUCCUGCUGUCCAUUCCCCGCAGGCAAACCUUCAUCGCCAUCCAUUUUCCUCGGAGGCUUAUCAGAAGAACUAUAAAUAAUAAUCACUCUCUCAUCCGAACCCUGAACAGAAUCAGCCACUGUAAUUUUCGAUUGCGUCUCUUCUCUUAGAGCUUUCACUAUAUUCCCACCCUUUCCAAUAACACCCCCAAUUUUUCUCGAAGGACAGAGUAUCCUAUAAACAGUAUCACCAUCACCUGAACAUUCUUCGCCGUGAGAGUCGCUCCAUUUUCCUUUCCUACUACUGCUCACUCCUUUCCGUUUAAAAAGAUUGUUUCCCGGUUUCUUGAAAUAUUUCCGCCUAUUCCCAUCCAUUCUUCCACAAAAUAAUUAAAAUCCUGCAGUAACAAAUGCAUUGAGUACGAAAAUUACGUAAGAAAACAUAAAUGAUUAAUUAGAAUCAGGAUUUAAACAUAAUAACUGGUAAUUAGAGAAUUAAGUAAGAAAUCAGAAAAUUAGGGUUUUGGAGUGUGAGAAGGAGGAGGCGAAGGAGAGAGGCGCACGUACCUGAGGGUGAGAGAGAGAGUUACUGAGAGAAUAUUCGAAUAUGAGAGAGAGGGGGGGGUUGAAGCAAAUUGCAGCUAAGUAGAGAUGGCAGUGGAAGGUUCCAUGGAGGGGGAAGAGAGGGAGGGGUUGCAGGAAGAAAAAGAAGGCUUUGUAAAUGUCUGGUUUUCUUUCUUCGAUUUUGUUUUCUCUAAGUUGGGUGUUGGUAUGGUGUGGGCCGGCCCAUGACCCAGACCAUGAGAUAAAUUUAGUUGCAUGUUCUCAUUAGGGUUUGAGCCCACUUAGUUUCUUUCAAUUUACAGAUAUCUAGCGUCAACUUUCUCCUCACGGACAGGCUGUUCCUUUUAAAGGAUUUAUUAAAAACAUUUCCUUUAUGUAUUCCUCUUCUCUACUAAAACAACUGCCAUUCUUUAUGGAGUUUUAUGGAGUUGUUCAUAUUUUUUUUUUAAUAUUUAUUCUUGAACUUGUCAGAUCAACUAUAUUAUAUUAGGAGCAACUUCCACAUUGAUUAGUUUUAAACUUAAGCUAGGUAGGAAAAUGGGUCAAGAAGAUUUUUCUGUCAGUUUCAUUAUUUUUUUCUCAGUUUUAUUUUAAUAUUUUUUUUACCAAUUGGUCGAGUUGUUUUUAGAUUAGUUAGGUCGACUGAGUCACGUCAAGAUAACUUCCACGCGGUUUAGUUUAAAAUUCAAGCUAGGCAAUAAAUCGAGUCAAAAGGUUUUGGGGUUCACCCGUUGGGUUAAGUUUAAUAACAAUAUCAAAUAGUUUUUUAAGACCCAAAUAUUUUUUGUUGCAUUCAAAAAAAAAUAUUCAGCCCUCAAUGUAGCGCAAGCACGUAAAUUAAUAUUUGACUAAAAAAUAAAUGGUUCUUAAAUAACUAUUGUAAACAAUAAAUAAUAAAUAAUUUUAUAUUUUAUAAAAACAAAAACAAAAGUUAAAAAUAGAAUCAAACUAGUCCCUUGGCAUUUAGUUACUGUCUUAGGACACAGGAGAUAAAGAUUGUUGUUAGGACAAAGGAAACAUGUCUCUUGAUUUUUUUUAAAAAAAUACAAAAUUUAAUCUAAAACAAUUUCAGAAAUAUAUUUAUUUUUAUAUCUCCAUCUCCAUCCUUAUAACCAAAUGCGUUUUUAUUAGCUAUAUAUUUGUUACUCUUGUCUUAUACAAAAAAAAAAAAAAAAAAGGUUGCAUUUAGCUAGUAUCCAAAAAUAAAAGGAUAUGUGCAAAAAGGAUAUAAAACAUAUUUGGUUAAGGAGAUGGAAAUAUAAAAUAAAUUUAUUUUUUAAAUAAUUUUGAGUGAAUUUUUAUACUUUUAAAAUAAUAAAUAUAUAAAGACAUCUUUCUUUGUUUUACAAGGAUAUCUUAAUUCUCAAGCCAGUUUAACCUAUCUUAAAUGAGUAAUAAACAAAUUAUUCAAUUCAAAUUCAAAUUGGUAUAUUAAAAAAAUAUUUUUUUCCUAAUAUUUUUAAGAUUUUAAGCCCUAAAUAAUAAGGCUGGAAUAAAUUUACUUCUAGACCAUCCCUUCUAAGUUUAGAACCAAACUAGCGAGCUAACUCAAUUUUAAUUGUGAGUUGAAGAGUUGAUGCAUGAAUUUAGUUUAUUAAUUUGUUUAAGCUACAGUAGCAAAAAGAAAAGGAUUCAGGUAAUUUAUUCCAACAUCAAUUUUAGUCUUCAAAGUUUCAAUUAUGUUUAAUGAAAAAAAUUAAAUUAAAUUUUACUAAAUUGAACAUUAAUGAAUUUCAAGAAAGGAAAAUCAACGACCCCACGCAUUUGAAUGUGUCCAGCUAACUUGUUAUAAGAGGCCGAACUUCAUUUGAAAAGGCUGAGCGUGACGUGACACUCUUCCAAACUUGUGAGGAAUUUUACAAUUUUAUCUUAGAAUUUUCAAAAUAUUUAAUUACUCUUAUUUCUCAGGAGAUAUGUAUUUUACUAUUUUAUGCAACCGGAGUUUCAUAAAGUUUUAUUUUUUAAAAUAAUUUUUAAUAAUUUUAAAUCAUUUUGGUUUGUUGAUGUUAAAAAUAAUUUUUUUUAAAAAAAUAUUAUUUUAAUACAUUUCUAAAUGAAAAACAUUUUAAAAAGCAAUCGCUACCACUAUCUCGAGUAAACUUGUUUGAUAUUGUGGUAGCGGUUGUUUUCUAAAAUAUUUUUUACUUGAAAAUGCAUUAAAAUAAUAUUUUUUAAAAAAAUUAUUUUUAAAAUGCAAUAUAAAUAAACAUUCACAAGGUGACAAGGAAAAUGAGGAUGAUAUGCACUGCCUUGUUUGGCUUCUUUUUGUUGAGGUCAUAGAUAUGAUUAAGUGUUUUUUCUACUUUAUUUAUUUAAAAAAAAACACUAAAUUGAUAAUUUCUAGGAGCACGAAAUACGAAAAUAUUUUCAGAUGGAAUACCAGAUACGUAAGAUUUGCAUUUUAUAUGUAAAUCAAAUCGAAGGGCACAGAAGAGGAGCGUGGAACAGAUUCAAAAUUACUGGGCGUGACGAGCUAAGGGCGGGGCAACAGGCAGGAUUCCUGGUCGGACGGAAGCCACGCCCUUUACCUCUGAUGGAAAAUUGAAAGGACAGAACCUACGCAAAAGGCUCCAUCAAAAACAGUCAAACCUCAGCCUUUUUCUUACAAGUGCAAGACAUGCGCAUGUACGUGUCAGAGCAAUUCAGUACACAUCACUGACUCUUCACCAGCUACAACCCGCCCACAACUCCUAGAUUCCUUGUUUUGGUAUCGCCAGAUGCUGAAUUCAUUGUACGUUUUCAAAAGGCCCAUCAACAUUUUCCACCCUUUUGAACAUCAUUUCCUCGCAUCAAAUGCCACCAAACGCCAACAAAUCCAGUCAAACAUGCAUAAUAAAUGCCUUCGACGCUCUCCACCCUCGUCGACACCUGUUCACUGUUGCAGUGUCUCCCAACAUUAAUUGCAGGAUUGAUCAUUCUGCUUAUCAAGGUAGCUGAGAUCUUUGCUCUUGAAUUCCUUGACCUCCACCACAUAUGUUGAUAGCGGCCCGUGAUACGAGCAUUUGGGAUGUCCAUGAUGAACACCUACGCCGUACAUGAUCUAUAACGAUCUGCGUAUCGUGUUCUUGAUAGACUCGUAACAUAUUGGUGAGUUUGUGAGUGUAACAGCGCUGUUGAUUUUUAAGAUGCUGAAGAUUACGAGAUAUUGCUUUUCAAAAUGCUGAAAGUUACGAGAUCUUGAUUGCUCCAGGCACAAAAAGGCCAAGGAAAGUUAGAAAGAUCGCUCUCUUGAUCAUUUACCAAGUCUUUGUUCAUGUAAAACCAGAUUUGUACAGCUCUAUUCUCACCAUAAAGGGUCUAAAAAGAUUAUAAAAAAAAUAAAAAUUACAGUUGGGCAAAAAAAAAGAAGGAAAAAACAGAAUUGGCAUCUCUUCUAAACAAAACCCAGACUCAAGCCGCCAAAACUGGACUUCCUCUUUCACAAUUUCCUUUGGGCUUCAUCGAUUAUUCAAGUCUGAGCUCCAUCUUACACGUGUCAACAUCACCAGACCCGUAAGCUUCCACCCUUCUCUUCUUCACGGGAACCACGUGAUGUGCACGUGACACGGGCUCAAGGCCCAGGGUCAAGUCCAGGCCAAGUUCAAGCCCAGAAAUUCCGUUACUCGCAACGUCAUGGGCCUUGCAAUCGUUUUUCGACUCGGGGUUGGGUGGGAACAGCAAUGAAGCCUCGGCUGUUUCCACAGACACCAUGCUCUCAUCAGACUCUUUGCUGUCGCCAUCCAACACUGCCAACUCGGAUUGGUGACUCACCGAAGACUCGUGACUCGUACACCGAGUCAACUCGUCCCGUGCCGACAACGUGUCGACAGCGAUUGACGCCAACCCAUUACCAAAACAAGCCCGCUUGCUAGCUUUCGGCUUCACAACUCGCCUGACCCGGCACCGAGUCCUGGCUCGGUUUGCAUCAUUUGACGCAGCCGAGUUUUCUUCUUUCGAAACGUGUCGUAUAUCAUAAACUUUUAGCGGGGGGCCAUGGCCAUUAACUGCAGCUUCAGAGUUAAUUGGAGUUAUCGGAGCACCUUUUAGUACGGCUUCAACAGCGGCUUGACAAAGCUGCCAGCUUCCCGACCACAUCAGCCCAACCGAGCCAUAAAUCGGGUUCACUAUCCUCCCGCAUGCUUCGUAGAGCAACGACCUAAAAAUCGCUGUCGCAAAAAAAAAAAUAAUCAAUUUUAAACCCUUGGCAUGGAAACUUGAGGCAUCAACAAAAAAGUCUUGAACAUAGAAGCAUUUCUUGCAUCAACAAGAAAUAAUCUUGGAUUUCAAAUUGAAAACCUUUAAAGGAUCGUACAGAAUAUCUGAAUUUUCCAAAGCAUUUCUAGAUUAAGAUUCUUAAAGGUCAUUAAAAUUAUUAAGGAAAAAAAACCAUCAAUAAUCUUGACGCAUUCCUUGAACUAGCAAGAGCUAAGCUUGUAUUUUUUAAAUCAAAACUUGAAAGGGUCAAAAAAAGAACUCCGAAAUUUCCAGAAACACCUUUUGUUAUAAAAUAUUUGGGAUAGCUCAAAAUUCUUAAGAGUUUACAUGUAUAUACUAACCAGGACGGAGAUGUUCAGGGCCAGCGUUGAUGAGGUUCAUAAGGCCAGCACGGCCAUAAAACUUGGCAAGAAAAACAGUAGCGUUGGCUUGAGACUCAGAACUCUUGAUCCACUGUAAACAAGGCCUAAUACUACAGUUUUCACUACAGCCUUUGCGUAAAACUCUACAUCCAUUACAACUCAUCCGCAUUUUGGCUUCCAGUUUUGUGACAAAUCAAAAGACCACUAGGGUUGGAAAGAAAAGGAAUUAGAAACGAAAGAGUGCUUGAACUUGGUGGUUGAUGAAAGAGAGAAAUGAGUAUAUAAGAGGAUGUGAUGUGCGUGUAGGAGGAGUUAGGACAAGAUGGGGUGUGCUUAUGUAUGUAUAAGAGAGGAGAAGAUAAGAGUAGGAGCCGCUGGAUUAGAGGUACAGGGGACGCAACUUGUUUUUCAUGUAUCUUCCAAAACACUGGUUUCCACAUUCAAGGAGGUUGGAGUUUGUACUACUGCUUCUCGUUUUAAGUCUGGUUGUGCUUAAAAUAUUGAAUUUCAAAAAUGUUGAAAAGUGAAUGAAGGUUUCCUACUUUCACUUGGAGAGCGUGAGGAGAACUCCCAAUAGUAGAAGCUUGUUUUAUGCUGCCAUAGGUGAGGAGCUGUUUCUUUGCAUGCCAACAUAGGUUUGCGGUAACUUAACGGUAGCUCUUAUCUGGACUUCGUGGUUACCUAUGUGCCCUGGUACUAAGUUAAAAUUACAUCCUUUUGUCUAGCUUUUUCUAAAUUACAUUUUUUUUCUGUUUCUUUUUAUUGUUGUUGUAAGAUAUAUUAUUAUUGUAUCAUAAGGGGUGCCAGAGGUAUUUCAUCAAGAUGCUGUUUGUUUUUAUGUUUUAAAAAUAUUUUUUUAAAAAAAUAAAUUUUAUUUUAUUUUUUUACUUCAAAUUAAUAUUUUUUGGUGUUUUCAAAUCAUUUUAAUGUGCUGAUAUCAAAAAUAAUUUUUAAAAAAUAAAAAAUAUAUAUUAUUUUGAUGUAUAUGCGAGUAAAAAGUACUUUCAAAAGCAACCGCAACUACACUUCCAAACAGGUAAUAUUCAUGAAUUCAGCUGAAGCACACUGAAAUAUCGAGUUUUUUUAUUUUACUAUAUUUAAGUUUUUUUAAUAUUGAAUUCUAUUUUCUUCUUUAUUUUUUGUCUGUAAGUAAAUUUACAAUUUAUACACAUGGUAAAUUACAUAAUAGUAUAUUUGUCGGAAGCAGCUGCUUAAUUUAAUGAUAUAAUAUCUUGGCAAGCUUGGAGAACAUAAUGUCCAUGCAUUUUAGCAAAUAAAUGCUUUGUCAAUAACACUUUUCAUAGUUUCUAAUAUCUUAAUGGUUUUUCAAAGGUCAAUCAAUAAAUUUUAUUUCUUAUAAGAAAAUAAAAUGAAAGGUAUUAUUUAAAAAAAAAAAACUCAUUCAUACUAAUUCAUACAAAUACUAUUAUUCGUAAAAGCAUUAAUUAUAAGUCUUAUAGAUAUAAACGGUGCCGAAUUUGGUUAAGAACAAAUGGAGGGAGGGCAAGACGGUCCUUGAAACUAUAGUAGAGCCAGGCAUGCAGGUGGGUCCAAAUCUUAAGAAGACAGGAGAGCAACGCGUGGAGAACACGUUUUGGUGUUAGAGUGCGGUCGAAUCGCCACAUAAUCGGGGAGGUCGAGGGUUGGGGUCCACGGGGAGCUCCCGGUAUCUAAAACAAAUAAAGAAAAAGAAAACUCCCGGUUUUCGGGAGGUCGUGUGCUAAAACCGCUUAGAGGUAAAACAAGUAACCGGUUUCCGGGUUUGUGCGGGUGAAGUGUUGGGACUGUGGGCGCACUACAUGACCAAUAUAGCCAAUGGUAUUGGAAAGGGUCAUUGCCUUGUUUCCUUGUGCUUAUCCUCUCUAACACAAUGACUAACCACUUGGAUUAGAUUAGAUUAUCAGAUUGGUUAACUGAAAGUUAACCAUCAUUUCAGAGCUAAGGGACAAGUGGGUAAUUAAACUAAUGAUUUUAAGGUCAGCAUCAGUUGGUUGGUUUGGGCUGUUUGAUCAGCCAAAACUACGUCGCCUAGGAAGGAUCGAUUCCAGGGCGGUUCGAUCUGGUUCUCUUCACCCUCCAGCAUUUGAUAUCCAUUUUCAUAGGAUAACUGUGGGAUAGGCCUGUUUUUACAAGUGGACUCCAAUGGAUUUAGUUAUUUAUUUCGGAGUUGGUAAUUUUUUUUUUUAUUUGUAUAUGAUGUAUUUUACUUGAAAAAAUAUUAAAUUAAAUCAAAUAUAAAAUAUAAAAUUAUUAUUUUAAUACAUUUUCAAGAGAAAAGCAUUACUGACCUAAACCGAGUCAAUUCAAGAUUUGGUUCAUUUGUAUAGUUUUAUGGAAUUUCGAAACAAACAUGAAUGUAUAGUGAAAGUUUUAAACAAACCAUAACAUUGUACUUGAAGAAUCGACCAAUUUGGUUGGGUUCGGUUUAUUUGAGCAGCCUAGUUCUUUUGAUUUGUCUGCUAAUCCAUGUUGGGCAACGACAAGGAUGGCAAUGGAUUAGUUUAGAGCAAGUUUUUUUUUUUUUUUUUAAGUGCAUACAAUUUGGUUUUAUCUAUAACUACCAUUCACGUUUAGGUAGAUGAUAUUGAAUCUAAUGAAAUGUAUUUGUUAGAUAUCCAUCGAAUAUCCGAUUCCAUUAAUUAGAUUUUUAAAAACAUUUUUUCAAGUCAAAAUUAGGUGCAUGCUGUAAUCUAGAACAAAUACGAGAUAAAUAGCUGGUGAUUCACUGCAUACCAGAUUAAUUUUUUACGAAUAUAUAAAAAAAUAUUCAUGUUAUAUCAACGUUUUUUUUUUAAAAAACAAAACCUAAGUAUUUAGAAUGUUAACCCUUGUUGUUCACAAAACCACAAAAAUAAUCCAAUGAAAAAUAAAUAAAAUUAAUAUUAAUGAAUGAAAUUAAUUUUUUUAAAAAAAAACCCAAGUAAGCUCUGGUGAAUUUUAUAAACCUGAGUUAAUUUUUUAAAUUCAUAACUCGUUAAAUGAUAGACUUGAGCUAAACAAAAUAACUUAAUACAUACAAAAUUAAAUGCCAGAUAAUGAAAUGAAUAAAUUUAAUUUAAUUAAAAAAUAAAAUUUCUUUUAAAAACACUAAAUUUAACAAAGAUAGGAAAAAAAAAAUAAGAGGCAACCAUUUUUAUUUCUAAAAUCAAUUAAUUUUAAAACAAAAUUUCUUAAAAAAAGCUAAAUUUAACCAAGACAAAACAAAAACCACGACAACCUGUUUUAUUUUUAAAAUGAUUAAAAAAUAUCAUAGAAAGUUAAAAAAUAAUAAAAUGCGAAGAAUGGGGAAAAGAGCUUAAAAAAAACAAAGGAAAACUGUGUAAACUUCGUAAAUCGGGGUUAAUCUUUUAAACCCGCAAACCGUUAAAUUCUAGACCCGAAUACAAUUAAAAAGCUAAAAACUGACUAAUUAAAUGUUGGAGGAUGAAAUAAAAAAAUCAAUCUAAAAAAAUCUUGCAAUGUCAAAAAACGUAAAACAAUAAAAAAAAAAGUAUUAGAUUUGACAGGAAAAAAAACUAAAGAAUGAUGAAAUUAUAAAAAAACAAAAAUUUCAAAACUCAUUUUAAAAAAUAAUAAUCAAAAUAAUAGGAACCAAAUAUGAUAGAUGAAAAUAACUAAUGGGGAUGAAAUUAAAAAAAUAAUUUAAUAAAUUACUCCAGAUAAAAAAAGACUGCGAUAAAGAGAUUAAGGGUGAAAUUGGAAAAAUCCCUUAAUUUCAUAAAUUAUUCUAAAUUUUAAAAAUUAUAAUAAAGAGAAUGGGAUGAAAUUCUAAGGACAACAAACCUCAGGUACUGAUUUGAUAUUUUUUAAGGCCAACACAAAAAUCAAGUAGAAGAGGGAAAAGAAAAAAAAUACCACACGCGUCACCUCGGUCACAUUUGGGCUACACACGCCACGCAUGCAGGGAGUGGAUGCCUAGAUGCUUCGACCGUUACCUUGGAAUCACAAUUUUAAUCGUCAGACAGUGCCACAUGCGCCAUCUGAAAGUGGAGGACUCUGUUCACACGUUUUCUGGUUUUUUUUAUUUCCUUAUAUCAAAUUAUUAUAUUACCCCUAAUGACACUCAAUAAUUAUCAAAUCACCACAUCUAAAUAACGAAAGAACCCCUAAGUGAAGGACAAUGCUGUUUAAUUUCAAAGGGGUGUAACUUAUGUAUUUAAAAAUUAAGUCAAAGACUAAAAAACCCAUUGACCAAGGUUAUAUUUUUUUUUUCUUUCAAUGGCAAUUAAGUAAUCACAUUGUGCAAAAAAAAUAUAAAAAUAUCGUUUAACCCCUCUCUUUCUAGUAAUAACCAAUGUAUUCCGUAAAAAAAGACUUUCAUACCUCUAAACCCAAGCCCUGUUAGUUUACCUACAAAGAGUAAAAUCAACAUUACAUUGUGCGAAUCCAUAGUAAAAAGCUGAUCUGUUUUAAUAUAGGGUAUAAUAAAACAAACCAAAUUUAUCUAGUGAAAGUUUCUAAACAAGCCAAACUCGUUUUACUGAAAAUAAAACAUGCCAAUUGGGUUCAAUUUGUACUAAAAUACAUACCAAAAUAUUUGAUGAAAGUUUUUAAACAAACCAACUUGUACUAAAAAUAAUACCAAAGUAUUAUUUUUCAAUUAUGUUGGUGUUGCAUCUCUCAUGUAUAACAAAAAAAAUUUUAUUUCAAAACUCAAAUAUAUUUUAUAUUAUUGAUGCAAAUAAAUAAUCUUAAACUAAUAAUAACUAUCAAAACAAUGACAACAAAGGCACCCACUCUCAACAAGCUUUUUUCCUUGAAACCCUACCCUCCGUUUUAUUUGAGUUUCUUUAUAUAACUCUAUAGGAGUCGGUUUUCACCCAUAUUAUUUUGUCUACAAAUUAAAUAGCUUGUUAAAAGUUUUACUAAUAAACAUGCAAUUGAAACUUCAAGAAUAAUAAUAAAAUAUAUAUAACAAUUAACUAUUAUAUAGACGUUUUGCACGGUAGAUAAUCAGAAUUGCUCAUCUAGUGUGUACUUUGACAUGGUAGAAAUACCGAUGAAAUAAAAGCACUCCCAAACACACCAUAUAGUUCAGAGUGGAGUGUGACCCGAACCAGUACUCAACUCAACGUUGCAUGCUACGAGUUGAUAAUGAAUAGUGACAAUUGUCUUAUUUGGACCGUUUUGACCUUGUUCGAAAUUUUCUAUCUUUCUUAUUACUGCAUGUGAUUAAGAAAUGAUCUUUAUGAUCCGUAGUUGCACGUUAUGGAUUCUACAUCGACUAGAUAUUUAUGGAUGGUUGGCUGCUAGGAAUUUGGAAGACAAAGACUCCCUCCGCCUUCGUCAAAGACCACAUGUGAUUUGGUUUGAUUUUCCAGAUUUUAAUCUCAUUUGGCCUCGUCUCCUGGUUCAACACUCCAGCUGGCUUCAUUUGUGAUUUUGUAUAAAAGAAUGGCCAUAAUUUAAUUAUAGAUAGUUGCAUAAUCCAUCGUGGAACUCCUCAAUUCUAAUAUAUACAUAUAUGUAAGGGUAGUUUCGAAUUAAUAUACGUGUUAAUUAAUAUUAAAUUCUCUCUUUAAACAAUUUUAAAGGCAUGUUACUCAUAUCAAUUUAGAAUAUUAAGAGAAAUUUAAUAAUUUUUUCAAUUAUUAAUUUUGAAUGCUAAACUAAAAAACUCAACGAAGAAACAUGCCUCCUCUUUUGACGUUAUAUAUAAUGACACUGUAAGAGUUGUUGCUAUGAUUUCUCUCCGAUCAGAAAAAAAAAAUUGUUGUCAUGCAAUUUAUUUCUUAAAAUGAACUAGAUUCAAUUAUUAUUAUUUUUUUAUUAACGUGGGUGUUCGGGUCAACUUGCGCGCAUCUCGACUAAUCUCACUAGCUUUGAAAUUAACGACUAUGUAAGCCUCCAGUGACCAUUAUAUUAAUAAUCACAUGGCUCGAACUUGAGAUUGCAAAGAAAGCAAAUCUCUUGAUUCCAAGUUCUUAUAACUAGAUCACUUAAUAGAUAAUCCAAGCUAUUUAAAUCUUACAAGUAUAUAGUAUAUAUUUGAUCUUAUUUAUAGUACAAAACCUUUUUGUAUGUUCACAGAUACAGAUCACUGAUUUAAAUAUAUAUUUUAUAUAUUUUUUAUGAUUUUUUUAAUUAAUUUUCCAGAGGUUAGCUUCUAAAAGACUUUUUUAUUUGUUAAUAUACUCAAUUAUUAAAAAAAGGAAAAGAAUGGGCCAGCAAGCUCCUGCUCAGGGUGGCAUCCAUUGUACUGAGUCCGAAAGCUUUUCUGGAAACUGAUGCAACAAAAACUUUGGCUUUUUGCGAUUCCUAGAAAAAAUGCCAUGAAACCGUCGUGUAGCACAGCAAUGGACAGGUUGUCAAUAAAAUUGCAAAGAGAAAGUUCUGUUACAUUUGGAAGGCAAAGACAUGGCAAGUGGACAAGACCAGAUGAUAAGGAGGUGGAAGUCUCAUGCAAUAGAGUCCAAGAAUGUCAUGCAAAUUGUGAAGCCAGCGCGUGGAAAUCACCUUUUCAGAUUGUCAGUGAAGAAUCCAGCUCCCUCGAUGCCCUCGAAAUUAAUUAAUGGCCACCUUUCAAGGAUCAAAAUUGGAGUUCCAUAUAUUUAGGAAAGUCCAGGGAUCAGAAUAAAUAAUUAAAAAUAAUUAGGUGACCACUGGUUUUUGGUUCUGUUUGGACCUUUUGGACUUUGGAGUGCCUGGCUAGGGUAGGAACUGCAUGCCAUAUAGCCUCUGUUCCCUCAAAAGAAACCCAGAGAUCCAAAUUUUAGUGGCAGAGCCUAGAAUUGUUUUUUUUGAAAAUCAGCAUGCUUAAAAAAGAAAUUAAAAAAUUGGCAAACUAGCAUAAGAAUUUUUUUUUUGACAAAAAAUAACACCGGCAGGUAAAAAUCACAAGUUGAAAUAACAUCACGUUUGAUAAAUGCAGUAUUGUAGACAAUGUUUAAAAUGUGCCCGUAUAUAAAUUUCAACGACAAAAGAGAAAAGAGAAAACAAACAAAAAAAAAUAAAAAAACAAAAAUAAAUAAAAAGACUCAACGGGCAAACCAAACCUCUAAUAACAACACUUCUAUACAAUAAAUUUUUUUGUCAAAUCAAAUCCAAUGACACCAUGAAAUAUCAACAAUCAUGGAUAAAAUGUGUUACAUGCACAUACCAAAAACAAGUAAAACAAGUAAGAGGUAAACCAUUACUUUUAUAAGACAUAUAUGACCUAUUUUGUUCAUUGUUUAUGACUGUUUUUAGUAUUGUUAGAUUCAUCUCAUUAAAAUCUUUUUAAUGAUACAAACAGUGUUAUCAUCAAAACUUAAAUGGUCUCUAGAAUCUCAUUCUUUUUUUUUUCUUUUCUUUUUUCUUUCUUCUCUCAUUCUUGAAAUUCACACCAUCUCAUUUUAACCAUCAUUUUAAAAAAUCACGCUUCUCACCUACCAUCUUUACCAAACUAUGUGAAUUUUACUUCUUUUUUUGGUUGGUGCUAGUUUUUUUUUUUAAAAAAAAAACAAAAUUCAAACUAUGUUAAAAAGGAAAAACACCCUUGCAUACACCGAUAUUCAACCAUUCAUCAAUCCAUUUUGUCAAGGUACUCGUACCAUCAACUCACAUCAAACUCGCCAAUGACUCGUGCUCCCCUUUGUGUGUGAUUUCAAAUUAUCUUAUAACAUAAUAAAAAAUAUAUUGAUAUUAUAAACACAUUUUUUCACAUUAUGAAAAAUUUUAAUUGAGAAUUAGAAAGUUAAAUAGUGUGUUUAAUAAAACACAGUGAAAAUUAGACUUCUAAGAGAGCUCGUUUAAAAACUUGUAAAUAAAUUUACUUGCACGUUACUAUAUGAAACCAACCACUUUUUUUUUGGCACAAGGUGGAAAUAUUUCUUUUUAUAUUAUUUUUUAAAAUGUAAUUAAUGGUUGUUGAGUAAAAAAUAAUUUCUAAUAGACCACCAUCAAACAAUAUAAUAUAAUUAGCUAUACCGAUGUGAUGGUUUAGUUCCUCAUGAAUAAGCAUCAUCUCGAUGGGAGCUAAAAGGUAUUUAACUUUUAAAAACAAUACUCUAUAUAUUGUUCAAUGCUUGAGUCGCUUAGUAUAUCAACUUAGAUACCUAUUUUUAUCGAGUUAAUUAGCAAGUUUGGUUGAAAUAUUAUAUAGUUUGAUCGAAAUAAUACUUAUUUAUUAAAUUUUUAAAAAUUAUAAUUUAUAUUUUAAAUUUUAAUAUGCGUUUAAUAAUUUACAUUCCCUACUUAGUGCGUUAAAAAAAUCAACAAAAACUGUUUAAUUAUUUAUAAAUUUACUAUUAUUUUUUAUUUUUCAACUAAAGAACUCUAGUAAUGUUAAAAUAACAAAAAUAUUAUAGAGUUAAAAACUAUAUUUUUAUUAUUUCUAGUGUUAAAGUUCUAGAAUUGCUCUUUUAUUUUGGACUUUUAUCAAACAUUUGGUGUUCAUUACGCCAGAGAAUUAAACUGAGAUUGCAGAUUCAUCCAUCUUUAUUGAAAAAUAUACAAAUAUCAAUACAAGUUGAAUUUCUAUUUUCACCUCCUUGUUACGAAUGAACAUGCCUACUCCUCGUUUGUCGUGUCGUUCAAUUAAAGUACAAAUCAAGGGUUAGUUUUUAUGGGAGGAAAUUCAUUCGAGAUCCUACGAUGCUCUGCUUCCAUUGACUACUAUAACCUGGUGAGCCCUGAUUAUUAUUGGCUACGUAAAUCAUUCUCAUUUCAAUUUUCCACAAAAGUAAACAAGAAUAUCCUUACUCGGUAGGAAGACUCAGAUCCACUUUAUUUCCACAAAUCAAGGGUUACUCAAGAGAUUCUUAUUUUGAUUUGGAUUCAAAUCCUCUUGAGAAUAUCUAGAGAGAGAAAUUAUGCUUUGAAUAUAGAGAAUUUUUUAUCCAUAUUUUACUUGAGUUUUUGAUAUAUUGUACAUGAGAAUAAUUUGGUUUUUUCAUCUAAUCUAAAAAUUUGUGUUGAUCAAAUUAUAGGAUAAUAGGGAUAAUUUCCCUAUUUAACUCAAUUUGUUAAAAAAAACAUACAAAUCGAACUCUUAUAAUAUAAAACCGAUUUCUUAUAAUAUAAAACCGAUUUGAUUGAAAUUUAAAUUCAUUUUAAUUAAAAAUAUUAACAAAGUUUAAAGAUAUUUAUAUUUUAACUCAUUAAAAACAAGUAAUAUAAAAUGUGUGCCAGAUAAAUAAAAACUAAGGGGACCAACUAGAAAAAAAAUAUUUUAAUUAAUCAUUAUACAAUUAACAAAACACUAAAAGGAAUGGAGAAAAUAUUGUUCCCCACGCCACUAUAGCUCUCCUCAUAGUUCACUAUGGAUUUCCACACUGAUUUAUUAUUAUUAUUAUUAAACUUUUUUUUUAUCAACAAUUACAUUUUUUAUGGUCAAAGUAAAGGCCAACUAGUUCAAAUUUUAUUAGGGAAGCGUAGAAUUGAAAGGAGGGGACCAAUAUGAAAAAAAAAAUGAAGGAAAUAUUUGGUGGUUUCAAAAUUGACUAAAAACAUUUACUUUGCUCCUCUUAGCUUGCAACAUACUCAUUUUAUAUCCCUUGAUUUGUUUUCAAAGUCCACUUUUGAUGCAAAACUUCAUUUCUCUUAUUUUUGUAGCUUCUAGUUCGAGUAGAAGAGAGAAAGUCAUCGAAUUCCAAUAGAAAAGAGAGAAAAUAUUGAUUGACAACGAUUCUGACAACUAAAAUGAUCGAUCUUGGUGUCUAAGAUUUCUAUUUGAUAAGAAUAGUUCCAUUAGGAUGAUCCCUCAUCUUCAAGUUGCCUAAAAAAUCAUAUAUGACAUGGAGAAGUUUUUGGGUUUUCGGGUUGAUCUUGGUGUCUGCUAAUAUGCAUGUAUUUAAUUAAAUACAUGCAUAUUUAUAGUUAAUACUUAAUUCUGAACAAAAUAACAUAAGUUAAAAUUUAUUUUGGAAUGUUUUGAGUUUGCUCUUUCCCUUUCUUUCAUAAUACGAGGACAAAAAUAAAUGUGAAAUUAAUUUUGUUAUGAAUUGAUAAAUCAAUAUUUUUUAUGCUUUGUGAAAAAUCCUAAGUCGAUGUCUAAAAAGGUCCAAUAAAAGGGUGUUAGACUAGCUUUCAUACCCGACAUCCCUAGCCUUGGUAUAAUGCCAAGUCUAGAUGACACAUGUUUGCUCGUUUCUAGGUCCAACAUACCUAGGUUCGACCAUGUGCUGAAUCCAAGUGGACGCGGAUCUAACAAGCUGCCAAACCCAAAAUACUUGGGUUUGGCCACGUGUUGAGCCUAAACAAACAUGGAUUUGCUGUUAGACCCAACAUAUUUAGGUUUAGCCACGUGCUGAGCCAAAUUGAAUGUGGGUCUGACAAAGUGCUAGAUGCAACAUGUUUGGGUUUGGCCACUUACUGAGCCCAAACAAACAUGAGUUUGACGAGAUGUCAGACCCAACAUAUUUCGAUUCAGCAACGUGUUAAGCCUAAGUGAACGCGAGUCUGGCCAACUGUCAAAUCCAAUAUACUUGGAUUCAGGCACGUGCUAAGCUCAAGUGAACGCGAGCCUGAUGAGCUGCUAGAUCCAAUAUAAUUGGAUUAGCCACAUGUCGAGUCCAAGUGGGUGUUGGUCUAGCGAGCUGCUAGACCCAACACUAUUAGGUUCAGUCAUGUGCUGAGUCCAAGUGAACAUUGGCCUAAUGAGCUGUCAUACCCUACAUCUUUGGGUUAGCCAUGUGCUGAGUCCAAACAAACAUGGACCCGACGAGCUGUCAGACCCAACAUCCUUGGGACAACCACGUGUUGAGAUCAAGUGGACGCGAGUCUGGCAAGCUGCCAGACCCGUUGCCCCUAGGAUUGGCUACGGGCCAUAACCAAUUGGUUUGGAGGUCUUUAUAGACCCAUGCUAGGGCCAUAAGGCUCUGUUUAUUUAUUCUUAAGACUUUUAACAUGAAAUAUUCAUGUCAGAGAUAUUCUUUUCUCUACAUCUAACGGUGUAUAAAAACUCUCCUAAGAGCAUACCAUAUUUUCAUCUUAUUAAUGAUGUGUAAGAGAUAUUUACCCCUCAUUAAUGUCAUUAGAAUAAAAUAACUCUUUGUCCCCUCCACUCCAUUAAAACGACAAGGUUCAUGGAUUAUAAAUAUUCCCUGAAUCACUUAGAUAAAGAAUUCAUAAUUUCUAUUCUCUAAGUAUUCAAACUUUUAUUCUUAGAGUAUUUACCAUACAAAAAACAAGAACAAAUAUACUUAUUUUUAGAAUUUAAAGCUCAUUCUCGCAUUUAUCACAAUCUCAUACUAAAAAGUAAUUGAUUUUAUUAUCGAAGAAUCCAUAAACUUCACUAAAAUGAACUGUUUUGCAAGUGUUAAGCUUUUACCACUAAUCAUCUACUUUGAAAACUCUAAAAAAAAAAUUAACUCGAAAACAUGAUUAACUACUACAAAAAUAUCAAAUAAACUCAUUAUCGAGCAUGCUUAGAUUUUAAAACAUCAUCAUGGAUGUCUUGAAACCUAAGCUACAGGUGGACAAGUUUGAGAAGAAAAGUAGUGAAAUUCUCAUGCAAGACGGUCCAAAAUGCAUGCAAAAUGUGAAGAUCACCCGUGGCAGUCCCAUCAGAAAAUGUAAGAGGUCAUUGUGAACGUGUGAGAUUUCAGUUUCUCUUGAAACCACCAUGUUGAUACUGUCUAGUAAUCAGCUCCAUGUUUUUAGGAAGCAAAAACCAUCUUCGUGAAAACCAUUGGCAUGUCUUGAGAGGAACAGAGCCUCCAAACAUGGAAAAUACCUGCCGCCUUAAAUAGUUUUAAUCACCAUCAAAUCAACCAAAUUACCCCACUGAUGAGCCAAGCAAAAAAGUUUAUCAAUUUAUGAUCAAUAGAAAAAAAGGAAAGAUUAUUCGCAAGAAUCAUACUUGCAGUUCCUGUUAGUCCAUGGCCUCCCAAAAAGAUUAUGCUAAAGAUUUUGUUUUGGAUGGGAAAGUAAUGCUUAUGCUAAAGAUUUUUUAAAAAAUAAUUUUUAAAAAAUAUAUUAAAAUAAUAUUUUUAAAAUUAUUUUUAAUACUAUCAUAUCAAAACAAUAUAUAUAUAAUUUUAAGUUAAAAAAAUUAAAUUUUUUAUUUUUUACUAAAUCAUCAAAUGCGAGAAAAAGUGGGACUGGCCUCUUACCCCAAGAAACACGUUUAAAAACAAUUAAAGAGUAAAAUUCCAUUCUCAAGCCUCUUCAAAUAUUUUAUCAUAUUAUUUACUACUAAAUGUUGGUUCUUAGAUCUCCAAGUUUUUUGAAAGCAACACUGCCUUUGCUAAAACCAAGCCGAUUGACCAUAUAAUCAGGCAAGAAAUUGGUGUUUGCUCUUUAAAAAGUUUAAUAUAUCAUCGGCUAAUGAUUCCAUUAGCUUGAUGUGAAUUAUGAUAUGUUUGCCGAACCCACCAUCUUUAAUUUAAAGAAUAGCUUUCAUGUGUUCAAGAACAUGCAUGUUAUUGAUAAAGAAUAUUAAAAAAUUAUAUAAAUUAUAUAUUAAACUUUUAUAUAAUAAUUUAAGUUAUUAAAUUGAGAUGGUUAUUUGAUAUGGUAUUAGAAUUUUAUUGACCAAGCGAUCACAAGUUUGUAAAAACUAUUAAAAAAUUAUAUAAAUUAUAUAUUAAACUUUUACAUAAUAGUUUAAGUUAUUAAAUUAAGUUGAUUAUUUGAUAUAGUAUUAGAGUCUUAUUUACCAAGCGAUAACAAGUUUGAAUUUCACUAUUUUUAUUUUAUUUUAUAAAAUUAAGUACAAGAUGAAGAGUAUAAAUUUCAAGUUCAAAAAACUAAUUGAAAGAUAUAUUAAAAAAUUAUAUAAAUUAUAUAUUGAGAUUUCAUAAAUUAAAUUUUGUGGUUGAUAUAAUUAUUUAUCAUAUAUUCGUUAAUUCAAGAUCUCAUAUUUGUUUUUUUGGAAAAUGAUCAUAGGAUGAGAUUUGACGAAAAUGAAUAACAUCUCAUCAUUUGUGUAGUGCAUUAUCAAUUACUUAGCCUCCCAUAAAAAAUAAAAAAUAAAAAGGGAUUUGGCGGUACCAAAAACUGAUCACCAACUUUUAUUUCUGAGAAAAUAAACGAAUUAGUUACAUUUAUACUUGAAAUGAUGAGGUAAUUAGCAUAAAAUUCGUUCUUUAAAGCUGAACUCACACAGGGGUGUUUUCAUUGUUCUCUGGGUUUUUUUUUCACCACCAAUGUUACCCCAUUCAUUUUAAACCUAUUAAUGGUUAUGAUUUCAAUCUCAACUAGUUGAAUCAUGUUUUAAAAAAAAAACCCAUGCUAGACAACACAAACUCCUCAAAGAAUUUUGCUUUUAAAACUGCAUUUUGAUGUGAAAUAAAAAAUAUAUCAAUAUAUUUUUAAAAAUAUUAUAGAACAUACGACGAGUAGAAAUAUGGACUAUCAAAGAACAAUCUAAACCCGAUAACUUAAAUCUAUAAGUGAGAUUUCAAGAUAUGAUUUAUAUUAUUAUCUAACACACCCCUUCAAAGAAAAAUCUUUUAGUACAAAUAAUUUAAAAUUUUAAACAAGAUUUUAAAAUAUAAUUUAUAUUAUUUUUUAAUACGAAUAUUAACAGUGAUCUAAUAAUAAUAAUAUAGUACAUGGACGGCUAGUAGAUAUUUGGACCCCCUCCUCGUCCCGCCCCAACAUUAAUAUAUUUUUCAACCGUCGAGUCUGCUCACUCUCAUCACCCAAACAGUCGAUCCAUUACAGAAAAUUAUAAUUGUUUUUCCAAUGUUAUCAACAACUAGACAAUAUAUGGUUAGUGCAUGAUUACUAGUUUCGUUUUAACAUUUUAUUAACUGUUUUGGUACUUGAACAAGCUCAUGUAUGACCAAUCUAGGGUAACUAAACAUUCCCUCAUGGUUUUUUUUUUUUAAUGUUGUUUUCCUUAGGUUCAUCCCCCCUGAAAAUUGUCGUUGAGUCAAUCAAGGUGCUCAAUUAUGGCCCACAUAGAUUAGUUUCGCAAUCUAGCUACCCCGAUCUCGGCUUGUGAUACCUAUAAAAAUAUAUUUAGCAUGGAGGCUAUUGAUGCUAUGCUAGGAUUAAUUAGAUUCCCAGCCACUUAUUGCCAUUGAAGUUUCAACGCCCCCUGCCACAAUAAAAUAUAUAUAAAAACACUUUCAAUACUAAUGAAAAUUUAUAUAAUUAUUAAUUUUAGAAUUUAUAAAAUUAAUUAAUAUAUACACAAAUUAGUUUAGACAUUCACGUUAAUCUAAAAAAAACCCUUUAAUUACUAAAUAUAUCUCAUCUCAAUAUUCAAUUAAUCUUAGAUUUCAAAUCUAAAGAUCAUCAAAAUCAACAAUUUUUACUGAUACAACAUGUUUUAAAGUCUCUAAAUUUAAUUUGUUUUAAUGAAAUUUUAUGUUUAGAAACUUUUUAAGUGUAAUCGAAUUUUAAUAUUUAAAAGUGAUGUAAAAAUAAAUUAGAUGUCAGCUACUCUAAUUUAAAAUUCCAAAAAAAGCAAGUUUAAUAUUAAAACUAUUUUUAAAAAAAAAUACAAUUCUAGAUUUUUUUAAGGCUUUUGAAAAAAUAAAAUGAAAAUAAUAAAGAUAAUAUAGAAAAUAAAAUAUAUUUUAUUUUAUUUUUUUAAAACAUGGUAAUUCAAUUUAUAUAUCAAUUAAAUUUAAAUCAAAUACUAAAUAGAACUCAAUAACAGAUCGGAGCCGGUAGUGAUUUUCCUUUUUAAGCAAUAAACGAUAACGUCCCUCCGGAAUAAAAAAAUAAAUCAAGAGUAACCGACUCCAUUGCUCCAACAUUAAAAAAAAAAUAAAAAAAUAGCAGUGGUGGGAUAAAUCCAAUUAAGACCCAACGAGGAAAGUGGGAAUCCAUGGUUUACAAGGAAGAGGAAACGGUCAAAUUAGAGACGUGGCAUCCAUGCAAGGAGAAAGGUCCAAUAAAACAUGGAUGAGGUGGCGGUGCGUUCAGACAUGUGAAAAGGCAAGAAAUUCAGACCAAUCCCGGCAUGCAUCCCCUCGAAAACACCAUCUUAUAGCUCCCUGUUUUCAGGAAGUCAUUUUUUCCACGGUUCCUCCCCAUUCUUGAAGCUAAACUGGUGACUGGCUUCUGGUUUUAAUUUGGUGUAGGACCAUGGGCGCUUAAUAUUCUAAUAAUCAUGAUUAAGAGGGCACUAGUUAUAAUCAAGGGUACAUUAAUCUAGUUGGUUUAAAACCCUAUCUAUGGACACCCCACAUGGCUUAAUUAAAGUAUGUUUAUGACACAAGACUUUGAGAGAGAUUUGUGCUCGAACCCUAGAUUGUCGGCAACUGGACUCAUUACUUUUUGGCAUUAAUUAAGUGCCGCUAAUCAAGUUGUCUACAUAUACUUUUCUUUUUGGUAAGUGUCUUGAUAUCAAGAGAAUGGUGUCUUGCUAUAUCAGGUCAUCGAGGUGUCCAGAUAUCUUUUCACUUGGACAAUAUUGGGGUAUUUUAUUCACUGAUAAUGAGUUUAAUGCUUAGGUUAGGAGUUGGAAGUUGUAUUUGGGAACGUUUGGGAACGCGGCUGCGUUCCCAAAAAAUUUAAUUUUUUUUUAAUUAAAAUUUAAUAUGAUUUGUAUGUUUUGGAUCGUUUUGAUGUGCUAAUGUCAAAAAUAAUUUUUAAAAAAUGAAAAAACAUCAUUGGCAUGCAUUUUGACACGAAAAAUUAUUUGAAAAGCACCCGCAACCACACUGCCAAACACGCUCUUUAUUCUUACAAUCUCUCCAGUUUUUUAAUAAGUUAAUAAAAACUUGGGCGGAACUUGGUAGGGCGGUUCUCUUAAUUAUACGUUGAUUUAUGGUUGGGUUAGUGAAAAAAUUUAUUUCAAAAAAAAAUUAUGCUAUUUCAAGGUUUUUUUCAAGAAUUUUUUUCUGGUUUGACUUUUAAGUUGAGUUUUUUAAUAAUUAUAAUGCGCAUUUUAAUAAUAUUACAAAAUUUAAAACAUUACACUUAGAUUUACUAGUCGCUAAAUCUAAAUUAGUAUACAACAUAAUAACCAAUUUUAAUUGGAUUCUGGAACUAAAAAAUUUCCAAGCUGAUUUCUUGAAGUAUCAUAUACAUAUAUUUCUCAAUUGAAUCUUCCAUUUAUAGAUAAAAAGCUUCCGCUAAUAUUUGUAUAUAUUAACACGGCACUAUUUCAAAGAUAAUUGAACAUUUUUAUAUUAAAAAGGUGUGAAUAUUUCAUAUAUAUAUAUAUAUAUAUAUAUAUAACAAUUAAGAAAUUCUCCAAUGUACAUGAGGGACACAAUAAAAUUUAUAAAAUCAAUCUUUGUAGGAUACGAGAAUCAGAUAAUACAUAUAUAAUAGCCGAAAACAAGGUUUCUACAAAAUUAGAAUUUAAUUAAUACUCAAAUUAAUAUUAUAUUUAAGUUAUUUUCCUCGAUCUUUAGGAGUUCCUUGUAUUUUUUGACAAACCAUUCAUGAAUUUGAAGUAAAGUACUUUGAUUUAAUUAUAAAUUAUAACAUUAGUCAUUAUAUAUAGGAUGUCGGAAUCAAAUGACAGCACAUAAAAAUAUAUAGAGUUUCUACAAAUUUUAAUAAUAAUUCAUUCAAUUCCAACUUGCAAUGUACUUAAAGCUUUUUCAUUCAAUCUUUAGAAAUUCAUUACUGUAUUUAUUAAAAACCCAAAAAAUUCAGUUCCAGAAAAUUAUAAAGUUAUAAAAAUUCAUUAAAAAAUUAUUAAAUCAUUCUAACCAUAUAUGUGUGUGUGGUUAAUUAUUUUAAAUAAUUUGAAAAUAGGAGAAAUAGCUAUUUUAUUUUAAUUAUUUAAUUAACAAAAAAUCAUAUGAUUAAUCUCGAAUAUCAAACAUUUAAGUCUGUUCUUUCUAUCAAGUAUCAGUGAAGAAUAUUUAACAUAUAAUUGAAUAACAUAGAUGCAAUAAUAAAAGAAAUAGUAAUGAAAAAAAUAUAAGCAUCUCAAAAGCUAUACCAAGAUAUCGGAGUGUUUUUGCACGCCUUUUCAAAGAGAGGUAGGCAGUAGGCCAGACUAGGCAGGUUUACAAAAAUAAAAAAUAAAAAAUUGGGUCCUCCUCCAACAAAUGGGCGGCCGCUGAGAAUUUGGAGUCGGACCAAUGACUCCUACCUCCACCUUUAAUAAUUGCUAGAUUUCCAGGUCUUCACAGGCACAAAGUUUUAGCAGUGUAUUAUUUUAAUUUUGACUUUGAUAAUAGUUUCUGCUUUGACCACCUAACUUCUCCAUGGCUAGCCAACCAUCUUUAAAUUUUGCUUUUAUUCAACGCAUGCUGCCCAGAAAUUUAAAAAUGCUCCUUGUUUGACCCUUUUUUGCAUUACUCAUGUUAUUUAUGAGUUGAAAAAUUAAACAUAAUUAAUUGUUUGAUAAUGAACUUCUAUGUUAUAUUGUUAAUAAAAUUAUUUAAAUUAAAGAAUUUAUUUAAUGAAUUAAAUAUUUUACUAAAAAUGCCAGAUUGGACCAAGAAUUGUUAUAUACUUUAUACCCCGUAAAAAUGAAAAGACAUUAAAAAAAAAAAAAAAAACAAGAAUGGCCGAGGACGUCAUCACAUAAGUUUAAUAUAUUAUAUACGAUGGUGCAUCAAGAUACAUAUAAAAAAGACCCAAAUAGCCUAACCAAGGAUACAUGUAGCCCAGCCAAGGCUCUUUGUUAAUGCCUGAACCGAGGCUGCUUGUGGAUGGCCUAACCGAGGCUAUUGGCCUAAUCGAAAGAGAGAAGGAGAGGAAAAAAAUGAGGCAGUCUACAUAUCCAAUCGAACCCAUGAGUCCAGCCGAGACCGAGAGAGGGAGGAAAAAAGCUGACCCAAUCAACCCCUCUGUAGCCUUCAAGAUUAAGAUAUAAGAUAAAAAAUAAAUUAUAAAACUUGAAUUAGCCCAACUGAAUCAGCCCAACCUUGGCUUAAUUCAACUUAACUCGAAUUAUAAGAUUAAGAUAUUUUAAUAAAAAAUAAAUUAUAAUAAAUUAUAAAACUUGAUCUCUAAUAAAUUUAAUAUUAAAAGAUAAAUUAAAAAAAAAACUAAAUUAAAAAAAUAUAUCAAGUUAUCAAAUUAAUAACUUGAAUUAUAAGAUUACAUGAUUCUAUCCAAAACAAAUUAAAAUAAAAUAUAAUGCAAAACAUAACUCUUGCUUUAUCCAUUACCAUGACAUCAUAUGUGACAAUUCUCCAUUAUCUAGUAAAUCUAAUAAUGAAUUAUAAAUUUUUAAAAAACUAAAUUAUAAAAAAUAAAAAAAAUUAAUAAAUUCAAUAUUUCAACAAACCUUGUUUUAUGAGGAUAUAUAUAUAUAUUUGUUAAAUCAAACAUGUACAAAUUCAUAAAACAAAGGACAUAAUCAAUAAGAGCUAGCAGGGAAGAAACGGAGAGGAGUUGUGGUGGUAGCAUUGAGUGAGAAAAAAAUAAUAAUGGUCUGUUAUGGUAUGAGCCCACAUGCUCUUUACAGAUGGCCAUGAGAAGCUUCUAUUGGCCAAUUGAAAGUUUGAAACAUCUAGACCAUUUCCUUUGUUUUCCCCUGAAUAUGUAGCAUUGGGUUUCAUAAAUACACUGGACCGGACCAUCAAAGCCUUGUCUGGUGGACUAAAUUGCAUCAUUUAAACAUUUAAAGGGCCUGAUGCAUAAUUUUGACUGUGACACUUAACAGGCCUACACGGUCCAAACUCGAGGGACCUGAACAUCUAUGGGGCCUUCAGCUAGUUUAGGGUUUCAUUUUCGAUAAUGGAAGCUCCAUCCCUUUUCUAAUAAUUCAAGUUUAAAGUUUCUCCUAAAAGCUCCACUGUGCAAUUGAAGAUUGAGUGUAAAAGACGCUCCAAGAGUCAUUUUCGAUCACAUUGACAUGCCAAUCGAAAGUGUUCUUUUUUAUUAUUAUUAUUAAUGUGAAUGUCUGGACUAAUUUGCGCGUAUUUUGAUUAAUUCUACGAGCCAUGAAGUUAACGACCAUGUAAACUUCCAAUGACCCUGAACUUUAUGAGAUUCGAAUUGGUAACUUCUAGAAAACAAACUUAAAACCUGAUCAGAUAAGCUACACCUCUCGAGAUUGUGUUCUUCUUCUAAGCAGUGGGUGCCAAAAAAAUCAACCCAUGCAUGCAAUCUGGUAUCAAUUUCUUAGAAAAAAUUGAUUUUGAAAAAAGAAGGUUACACAUAAUUUAGGGGCAUGGUUCACUUUCAUUCUUUUUAAUGCACUUGAUGACAUAUUUUCAAGCUAUUAAAAUUUAAAAAAUAACCGCUAUCUUCCUUUCCGGCACCGUCCGAGCCCACAACACUACAAUUCGUUGCCUGCCACUUCAUCCAAAUGUGAUGUGAACUUAAAUGAGUAGAGCCCAUAUGUAUGAGCUUAACUAAGAUCAUCUGGUCAAUAGCCGAGCACCACAAGGGUGGUCAGGUGCAUCUUAAAGGGGCUUGAAAGAGAGAGUAGAAGCCGAAGCUCGACUCGGCGAUAACCUCAAAUGAACUAGUAUCACACAUCCAUGUCCUCCCGAGGAUGAGAUAAGGUCCUGGAGCUUCUUCCACGUGGCAAAUCCAUUGUGGUGCCUAACGAUAAGGCUAGCAUUCCAAGAAUUUCCACCCUCAUGUGGAUAGAAUGGUGUCAUGUCAUCACUUAUCAUAUCCAACGGUCACAUUUUGCUCAUUAUCAACCACGAUAGCUUGUGUCCAUAGGAUAUGAGAUAGACAAGUUGAGGCAUUAUAUAUACGGUGUGGCAGGAGUACUUCAAUCUUACAAUACUAGCAAAACCACAUAUAGAGGGUGUAAUAGCUAAGUAGCCUGUAAGAGAUGGCUUCCUCUGUGAUUUCAUCGGCGGCCGUUGCCACAGUUAACCGCACCCCUGCACAGGCCAACAUGGUUGCACCAUUCAACGGCCUCAAGUCUACCUCAGCUUUCCCGGUCACCAGAAAGGCUAACAAUGACAUUACUUCCAUUGCAAGCAAUGGCGGAAGAGUUCAAUGCAUGCAGGUAAAACCUUUUAAACAACUUUGGUACAACGUUGUUAGUUUUAUUCUACCUACUUGGAAUUAAUUAGCUCUCUGUGCUCACUUCUUUUUUAUUUUUUUUGGAAAAAAAAUGUGCGUAGGUGUGGCCUCCAACUGGAUUGAAGAAGUUCGAGACUCUUUCUUACCUUCCAGAUCUCACUACUGAGCAAUUGGCCCAGGAAAUUGAGUACCUUCUUCGCAACAAGUGGGUUCCUUGCUUGGAAUUCGAGUUGGAGGUGAUAAAUCCAAUUUCAUAAUCUUACAAUUUUCACUAAUUAUUAUUUAUACGAGGUGAUAAUUAACCAUAUAAAGCAUUUUUUGUAUUUUGAAAGUAUUUUUGAAAAAAUUAUUUUUUUCAAAUUAGUUUAUUUUUUUUGUAUUUUCAGUUAUCUUCUGUUCUGAAGUUCAAAAUAAAUUUUAAUAAAUAAAAAAAAUAUUUUAAUAUAUUUUUGAAUAAAAAAUACUUUUAUUAUAAUUUUAUAACUAUCGUACUAAAUUAAUUGUACCUAUACUUUUACGUUGAACACAUUAUAAUUAUUGGAUUUGAUUAAUUAUUUUAUGAAGAUUAUGCAUGUUCAUUUUUAAUUUGUUGGGUUUACACGAAAAUUAAUAAUGUUAUCAGGUAACUUAAUUAAGCAUUCAAGCAGAUUCUUAGUUCCUCAAUAUAUAGUCACAUAUAAGGUUUGUGAUUAAUUGUUUAUAGACACUAACUUGAAAAUGUUUGAUUAUGCAGAAAGGUUGGGUCUACCGCGAGCACCACCAGUCCCCAGGGUACUAUGAUGGACGCUACUGGACUAUGUGGAAACUACCCAUGUUUGGAUGCACUGAGGCAUCUCAGGUGCUGAUUGAGCUCGAGGAGGCGAAGAAAGCUUACCCUAACUCCUUUAUCCGUAUCAUUGGAUUCGACAACACUCGUCAAGUGCAGUGCAUCAGUUUUAUCGCCUCCAAGCCGAAGGGUGUCUAGGUUUCAAGAUUUGAUGAGUCCCUAGCUAUCUGUUAGGGUUGCUUUGUUCAAAUUGUACCUGGGCUCUGGCAAAAAGAUCGUUGCUUUUCCUUUUUUUAUUGGGUUUUUGAAGAUCAAUAUUCUACUUUGUUUUUGCUUUCUGGAUUCGGAUGCUGAAUCGAACGCUGAGACUAGUUGAAUAAAAAGUUGUUUAUUUUUAAUUAGAGAUGAUCCGUGCAUGUGAAACCAUUAAUCUGGUAUGCCUCUUUGCCUUCAGCAUCUUUGAUUGAUGUUUAUACAUAUAUAUAUAGUGUUGAUUUUAAGGCACAAUUAAUGGAGGAAUGGCUCUUUCCUGUGACUUUAAAUUAGUCUAAUUCAAAA